NNNNNNNNNNNNNNNNNNNNNNNNNNNNNNNNNNNNNNNNNNNNNNNNNNNNNNNNNNNNNNNNNNNNNNNNNNNNNNNNNNNNNNNNNNNNNNNNNNNNNNNNNNNNNNNNNNNNNNNNNNNNNNNNNNNNNNNNNNNNNNNNNNNNNNNNNNNNNNNNNNNNNNNNNNNNNNNNNNNNNNNNNNNNNNNNNNNNNNNNNNNNNNNNNNNNNNNNNNNNNNNNNNNNNNNNNNNNNNNNNNNNNNNNNNNNNNNNNNNNNNNNNNNNNNNNNNNNNNNNNNNNNNNNNNNNNNNNNNNNNNNNNNNNNNNNNNNNNNNNNNNNNNNNNNNNNNNNNNNNNNNNNNNNNNNNNNNNNNNNNNNNNNNNNNNNNNNNNNNNNNNNNNNNNNNNNNNNNNNNNNNNNNNNNNNNNNNNNNNNNNNNNNNNNNNNNNNNNNNNNNNNNNNNNNNNNNNNNNNNNNNNNNNNNNNNNNNNNNNNNNNNNNNNNNNNNNNNNNNNNNNNNNNNNNNNNNNNNNNNNNNNNNNNNNNNNNNNNNNNNNNNNNNNNNNNNNNNNNNNNNNNNNNNNNNNNNNNNNNNNNNNNNNNNNNNNNNNNNNNNNNNNNNNNNNNNNNNNNNNNNNNNNNNNNNNNNNNNNNNNNNNNNNNNNNNNNNNNNNNNNNNNNNNNNNNNNNNNNNNNNNNNNNNNNNNNNNNNNNNNNNNNNNNNNNNNNNNNNNNNNNNNNNNNNNNNNNNNNNNNNNNNNNNNNNNNNNNNNNNNNNNNNNNNNNNNNNNNNNNNNNNNNNNNNNNNNNNNNNNNNNNNNNNNNNNNNNNNNNNNNNNNNNNNNNNNNNNNNNNNNNNNNNNNNNNNNNNNNNNNNNNNNNNNNNNNNNNNNNNNNNNNNNNNNNNNNNNNNNNNNNNNNNNNNNNNNNNNNNNNNNNNNNNNNNNNNNNNNNNNNNNNNNNNNNNNNNNNNNNNNNNNNNNNNNNNNNNNNNNNNNNNNNNNNNNNNNNNNNNNNNNNNNNNNNNNNNNNNNNNNNNNNNNNNNNNNNNNNNNNNNNNNNNNNNNNNNNNNNNNNNNNNNNNNNNNNNNNNNNNNNNNNNNNNNNNNNNNNNNNNNNNNNNNNNNNNNNNNNNNNNNNNNNNNNNNNNNNNNNNNNNNNNNNNNNNNNNNNNNNNNNNNNNNNNNNNNNNNNNNNNNNNNNNNNNNNNNNNNNNNNNNNNNNNNNNNNNNNNNNNNNNNNNNNNNNNNNNNNNNNNNNNNNNNNNNNNNNNNNNNNNNNNNNNNNNNNNNNNNNNNNNNNNNNNNNNNNNNNNNNNNNNNNNNNNNNNNNNNNNNNNNNNNNNNNNNNNNNNNNNNNNNNNNNNNNNNNNNNNNNNNNNNNNNNNNNNNNNNNNNNNNNNNNNNNNNNNNNNNNNNNNNNNNNNNNNNNNNNNNNNNNNNNNNNNNNNNNNNNNNNNNNNNNNNNNNNNNNNNNNNNNNNNNNNNNNNNNNNNNNNNNNNNNNNNNNNNNNNNNNNNNNNNNNNNNNNNNNNNNNNNNNNNNNNNNNNNNNNNNNNNNNNNNNNNNNNNNNNNNNNNNNNNNNNNNNNNNNNNNNNNNNNNNNNNNNNNNNNNNNNNNNNNNNNNNNNNNNNNNNNNNNNNNNNNNNNNNNNNNNNNNNNNNNNNNNNNNNNNNNNNNNNNNNNNNNNNNNNNNNNNNNNNNNNNNNNNNNNNNNNNNNNNNNNNNNNNNNNNNNNNNNNNNNNNNNNNNNNNNNNNNNNNNNNNNNNNNNNNNNNNNNNNNNNNNNNNNNNNNNNNNNNNNNNNNNNNNNNNNNNNNNNNNNNNNNNNNNNNNNNNNNNNNNNNNNNNNNNNNNNNNNNNNNNNNNNNNNNNNNNNNNNNNNNNNNNNNNNNNNNNNNNNNNNNNNNNNNNNNNNNNNNNNNNNNNNNNNNNNNNNNNNNNNNNNNNNNNNNNNNNNNNNNNNNNNNNNNNNNNNNNNNNNNNNNNNNNNNNNNNNNNNNNNNNNNNNNNNNNNNNNNNNNNNNNNNNNNNNNNNNNNNNNNNNNNNNNNNNNNNNNNNNNNNNNNNNNNNNNNNNNNNNNNNNNNNNNNNNNNNNNNNNNNNNNNNNNNNNNNNNNNNNNNNNNNNNNNNNNNNNNNNNNNNNNNNNNNNNNNNNNNNNNNNNNNNNNNNNNNNNNNNNNNNNNNNNNNNNNNNNNNNNNNNNNNNNNNNNNNNNNNNNNNNNNNNNNNNNNNNNNNNNNNNNNNNNNNNNNNNNNNNNNNNNNNNNNNNNNNNNNNNNNNNNNNNNNNNNNNNNNNNNNNNNNNNNNNNNNNNNNNNNNNNNNNNNNNNNNNNNNNNNNNNNNNNNNNNNNNNNNNNNNNNNNNNNNNNNNNNNNNNNNNNNNNNNNNNNNNNNNNNNNNNNNNNNNNNNNNNNNNNNNNNNNNNNNNNNNNNNNNNNNNNNNNNNNNNNNNNNNNNNNNNNNNNNNNNNNNNNNNNNNNNNNNNNNNNNNNNNNNNNNNNNNNNNNNNNNNNNNNNNNNNNNNNNNNNNNNNNNNNNNNNNNNNNNNNNNNNNNNNNNNNNNNNNNNNNNNNNNNNNNNNNNNNNNNNNNNNNNNNNNNNNNNNNNNNNNNNNNNNNNNNNNNNNNNNNNNNNNNNNNNNNNNNNNNNNNNNNNNNNNNNNNNNNNNNNNNNNNNNNNNNNNNNNNNNNNNNNNNNNNNNNNNNNNNNNNNNNNNNNNNNNNNNNNNNNNNNNNNNNNNNNNNNNNNNNNNNNNNNNNNNNNNNNNNNNNNNNNNNNNNNNNNNNNNNNNNNNNNNNNNNNNNNNNNNNNNNNNNNNNNNNNNNNNNNNNNNNNNNNNNNNNNNNNNNNNNNNNNNNNNNNNNNNNNNNNNNNNNNNNNNNNNNNNNNNNNNNNNNNNNNNNNNNNNNNNNNNNNNNNNNNNNNNNNNNNNNNNNNNNNNNNNNNNNNNNNNNNNNNNNNNNNNNNNNNNNNNNNNNNNNNNNNNNNNNNNNNNNNNNNNNNNNNNNNNNNNNNNNNNNNNNNNNNNNNNNNNNNNNNNNNNNNNNNNNNNNNNNNNNNNNNNNNNNNNNNNNNNNNNNNNNNNNNNNNNNNNNNNNNNNNNNNNNNNNNNNNNNNNNNNNNNNNNNNNNNNNNNNNNNNNNNNNNNNNNNNNNNNNNNNNNNNNNNNNNNNNNNNNNNNNNNNNNNNNNNNNNNNNNNNNNNNNNNNNNNNNNNNNNNNNNNNNNNNNNNNNNNNNNNNNNNNNNNNNNNNNNNNNNNNNNNNNNNNNNNNNNNNNNNNNNNNNNNNNNNNNNNNNNNNNNNNNNNNNNNNNNNNNNNNNNNNNNNNNNNNNNNNNNNNNNNNNNNNNNNNNNNNNNNNNNNNNNNNNNNNNNNNNNNNNNNNNNNNNNNNNNNNNNNNNNNNNNNNNNNNNNNNNNNNNNNNNNNNNNNNNNNNNNNNNNNNNNNNNNNNNNNNNNNNNNNNNNNNNNNNNNNNNNNNNNNNNNNNNNNNNNNNNNNNNNNNNNNNNNNNNNNNNNNNNNNNNNNNNNNNNNNNNNNNNNNNNNNNNNNNNNNNNNNNNNNNNNNNNNNNNNNNNNNNNNNNNNNNNNNNNNNNNNNNNNNNNNNNNNNNNNNNNNNNNNNNNNNNNNNNNNNNNNNNNNNNNNNNNNNNNNNNNNNNNNNNNNNNNNNNNNNNNNNNNNNNNNNNNNNNNNNNNNNNNNNNNNNNNNNNNNNNNNNNNNNNNNNNNNNNNNNNNNNNNNNNNNNNNNNNNNNNNNNNNNNNNNNNNNNNNNNNNNNNNNNNNNNNNNNNNNNNNNNNNNNNNNNNNNNNNNNNNNNNNNNNNNNNNNNNNNNNNNNNNNNNNNNNNNNNNNNNNNNNNNNNNNNNNNNNNNNNNNNNNNNNNNNNNNNNNNNNNNNNNNNNNNNNNNNNNNNNNNNNNNNNNNNNNNNNNNNNNNNNNNNNNNNNNNNNNNNNNNNNNNNNNNNNNNNNNNNNNNNNNNNNNNNNNNNNNNNNNNNNNNNNNNNNNNNNNNNNNNNNNNNNNNNNNNNNNNNNNNNNNNNNNNNNNNNNNNNNNNNNNNNNNNNNNNNNNNNNNNNNNNNNNNNNNNNNNNNNNNNNNNNNNNNNNNNNNNNNNNNNNNNNNNNNNNNNNNNNNNNNNNNNNNNNNNNNNNNNNNNNNNNNNNNNNNNNNNNNNNNNNNNNNNNNNNNNNNNNNNNNNNNNNNNNNNNNNNNNNNNNNNNNNNNNNNNNNNNNNNNNNNNNNNNNNNNNNNNNNNNNNNNNNNNNNNNNNNNNNNNNNNNNNNNNNNNNNNNNNNNNNNNNNNNNNNNNNNNNNNNNNNNNNNNNNNNNNNNNNNNNNNNNNNNNNNNNNNNNNNNNNNNNNNNNNNNNNNNNNNNNNNNNNNNNNNNNNNNNNNNNNNNNNNNNNNNNNNNNNNNNNNNNNNNNNNNNNNNNNNNNNNNNNNNNNNNNNNNNNNNNNNNNNNNNNNNNNNNNNNNNNNNNNNNNNNNNNNNNNNNNNNNNNNNNNNNNNNNNNNNNNNNNNNNNNNNNNNNNNNNNNNNNNNNNNNNNNNNNNNNNNNNNNNNNNNNNNNNNNNNNNNNNNNNNNNNNNNNNNNNNNNNNNNNNNNNNNNNNNNNNNNNNNNNNNNNNNNNNNNNNNNNNNNNNNNNNNNNNNNNNNNNNNNNNNNNNNNNNNNNNNNNNNNNNNNNNNNNNNNNNNNNNNNNNNNNNNNNNNNNNNNNNNNNNNNNNNNNNNNNNNNNNNNNNNNNNNNNNNNNNNNNNNNNNNNNNNNNNNNNNNNNNNNNNNNNNNNNNNNNNNNNNNNNNNNNNNNNNNNNNNNNNNNNNNNNNNNNNNNNNNNNNNNNNNNNNNNNNNNNNNNNNNNNNNNNNNNNNNNNNNNNNNNNNNNNNNNNNNNNNNNNNNNNNNNNNNNNNNNNNNNNNNNNNNNNNNNNNNNNNNNNNNNNNNNNNNNNNNNNNNNNNNNNNNNNNNNNNNNNNNNNNNNNNNNNNNNNNNNNNNNNNNNNNNNNNNNNNNNNNNNNNNNNNNNNNNNNNNNNNNNNNNNNNNNNNNNNNNNNNNNNNNNNNNNNNNNNNNNNNNNNNNNNNNNNNNNNNNNNNNNNNNNNNNNNNNNNNNNNNNNNNNNNNNNNNNNNNNNNNNNNNNNNNNNNNNNNNNNNNNNNNNNNNNNNNNNNNNNNNNNNNNNNNNNNNNNNNNNNNNNNNNNNNNNNNNNNNNNNNNNNNNNNNNNNNNNNNNNNNNNNNNNNNNNNNNNNNNNNNNNNNNNNNNNNNNNNNNNNNNNNNNNNNNNNNNNNNNNNNNNNNNNNNNNNNNNNNNNNNNNNNNNNNNNNNNNNNNNNNNNNNNNNNNNNNNNNNNNNNNNNNNNNNNNNNNNNNNNNNNNNNNNNNNNNNNNNNNNNNNNNNNNNNNNNNNNNNNNNNNNNNNNNNNNNNNNNNNNNNNNNNNNNNNNNNNNNNNNNNNNNNNNNNNNNNNNNNNNNNNNNNNNNNNNNNNNNNNNNNNNNNNNNNNNNNNNNNNNNNNNNNNNNNNNNNNNNNNNNNNNNNNNNNNNNNNNNNNNNNNNNNNNNNNNNNNNNNNNNNNNNNNNNNNNNNNNNNNNNNNNNNNNNNNNNNNNNNNNNNNNNNNNNNNNNNNNNNNNNNNNNNNNNNNNNNNNNNNNNNNNNNNNNNNNNNNNNNNNNNNNNNNNNNNNNNNNNNNNNNNNNNNNNNNNNNNNNNNNNNNNNNNNNNNNNNNNNNNNNNNNNNNNNNNNNNNNNNNNNNNNNNNNNNNNNNNNNNNNNNNNNNNNNNNNNNNNNNNNNNNNNNNNNNNNNNNNNNNNNNNNNNNNNNNNNNNNNNNNNNNNNNNNNNNNNNNNNNNNNNNNNNNNNNNNNNNNNNNNNNNNNNNNNNNNNNNNNNNNNNNNNNNNNNNNNNNNNNNNNNNNNNNNNNNNNNNNNNNNNNNNNNNNNNNNNNNNNNNNNNNNNNNNNNNNNNNNNNNNNNNNNNNNNNNNNNNNNNNNNNNNNNNNNNNNNNNNNNNNNNNNNNNNNNNNNNNNNNNNNNNNNNNNNNNNNNNNNNNNNNNNNNNNNNNNNNNNNNNNNNNNNNNNNNNNNNNNNNNNNNNNNNNNNNNNNNNNNNNNNNNNNNNNNNNNNNNNNNNNNNNNNNNNNNNNNNNNNNNNNNNNNNNNNNNNNNNNNNNNNNNNNNNNNNNNNNNNNNNNNNNNNNNNNNNNNNNNNNNNNNNNNNNNNNNNNNNNNNNNNNNNNNNNNNNNNNNNNNNNNNNNNNNNNNNNNNNNNNNNNNNNNNNNNNNNNNNNNNNNNNNNNNNNNNNNNNNNNNNNNNNNNNNNNNNNNNNNNNNNNNNNNNNNNNNNNNNNNNNNNNNNNNNNNNNNNNNNNNNNNNNNNNNNNNNNNNNNNNNNNNNNNNNNNNNNNNNNNNNNNNNNNNNNNNNNNNNNNNNNNNNNNNNNNNNNNNNNNNNNNNNNNNNNNNNNNNNNNNNNNNNNNNNNNNNNNNNNNNNNNNNNNNNNNNNNNNNNNNNNNNNNNNNNNNNNNNNNNNNNNNNNNNNNNNNNNNNNNNNNNNNNNNNNNNNNNNNNNNNNNNNNNNNNNNNNNNNNNNNNNNNNNNNNNNNNNNNNNNNNNNNNNNNNNNNNNNNNNNNNNNNNNNNNNNNNNNNNNNNNNNNNNNNNNNNNNNNNNNNNNNNNNNNNNNNNNNNNNNNNNNNNNNNNNNNNNNNNNNNNNNNNNNNNNNNNNNNNNNNNNNNNNNNNNNNNNNNNNNNNNNNNNNNNNNNNNNNNNNNNNNNNNNNNNNNNNNNNNNNNNNNNNNNNNNNNNNNNNNNNNNNNNNNNNNNNNNNNNNNNNNNNNNNNNNNNNNNNNNNNNNNNNNNNNNNNNNNNNNNNNNNNNNNNNNNNNNNNNNNNNNNNNNNNNNNNNNNNNNNNNNNNNNNNNNNNNNNNNNNNNNNNNNNNNNNNNNNNNNNNNNNNNNNNNNNNNNNNNNNNNNNNNNNNNNNNNNNNNNNNNNNNNNNNNNNNNNNNNNNNNNNNNNNNNNNNNNNNNNNNNNNNNNNNNNNNNNNNNNNNNNNNNNNNNNNNNNNNNNNNNNNNNNNNNNNNNNNNNNNNNNNNNNNNNNNNNNNNNNNNNNNNNNNNNNNNNNNNNNNNNNNNNNNNNNNNNNNNNNNNNNNNNNNNNNNNNNNNNNNNNNNNNNNNNNNNNNNNNNNNNNNNNNNNNNNNNNNNNNNNNNNNNNNNNNNNNNNNNNNNNNNNNNNNNNNNNNNNNNNNNNNNNNNNNNNNNNNNNNNNNNNNNNNNNNNNNNNNNNNNNNNNNNNNNNNNNNNNNNNNNNNNNNNNNNNNNNNNNNNNNNNNNNNNNNNNNNNNNNNNNNNNNNNNNNNNNNNNNNNNNNNNNNNNNNNNNNNNNNNNNNNNNNNNNNNNNNNNNNNNNNNNNNNNNNNNNNNNNNNNNNNNNNNNNNNNNNNNNUGAUCGAAAGGAUUCAAAAUCAAUAAUUUUUAAUGGUUGAUAUCUGUCGUUUUCAAGUUUAACGGUGUAGAAGUAUUCAAAUCAGAUGAAAUUUUGAUACAAAAUUCUUUAUACUAUCUACAACAAGAUCAAUAUUUCUGAUCGAAAAUUUUAGUGCUAUAUCACCACUUUUUAUAGAAUUUUUAUUUCCAGCCGUUAAAAAUUAUUAAUUUUGAAUUUUUUCGAUUGCUACGAAAAUAAUAUCGAAAAAUCACAAAAAUUAUUUUACAGAAACUUCAAAUACACUAGAUCAAGUCUAACCGAGCAGAUCGUCGAUUCGGAAGUCCCAUCAUCGAAAAUGGCUCAGGAGCACGGAGGGCUCCGUACUCCUGAGAGCACACAAGAUCUACUCACAUAGAGCAGGGCUGCUGUGCUCUCAGGACUCAAGAGCACGGAGGGCUCCGUGCUCCUGAGAGCACACAAGAUCUACUAUAUAUAUAUAUAUAUAUAUAUAGAGAGAGAGAGAGAGAGAGAGAGAGAGAGAGAGAGAUGGCUAAAAUACUCUCAAAAGCAUCAAGGGGUUGGUGUUUUUGAGUUUUUAGUAAUUGGAUGGAGAGAUGCAGGGUUGAGAUGAUGAUGGUAGGUGGAGGUAGGUGGAAUAGUAUUUGAUCUAAAGGUUAUUAGUAAUCAAGAAAUAGAUCCAAGGGCUAGAAACUCAAAAGCACCAAGGGUUUGUUGCUUUUGAGAGUAUUCUAGCUCAAUUCUAUAUAUAUAUAGAGAGAGAGAGAGUCCGAUUACUGUACUCUUAUGAGUACGAUCGUCCUCGUACUCAUAAGUCAUUUUUUAUAAUAGAGCUUCCGAGUCGACGAUCGAUACAGUUAAACGUUAUUUAGAACAUUUAAAACUUCUAGAAAUCAAAUUUCAUAAUUUUUCGACAUCAUUUAACUUACGAUCAAAAGGUCACAAAAUUGACAAUUUUUAACGACCGGUAUAAGAUAUUUGCCAGCUUAACGAUGUAAAAAAAUCGGAAUCGAUUGAAUUUUUUAUAAAAAAAAUUCUAUUCACUACCUAAAUAGAGAUUAAUAACUCCGAUCUUAAAUUUAAGGAUCUGAUCAUCUAUCUUUAAGACGUCGUUCAAUUUUGACCGUUCAUUUUAUACCUGCUUGAUGGAAUUUAUUAUGAUUUCGAAAAAAUUACGAUAUUUAUUUUCCAGAAGUUUCAAAUACUCUAGAUCAUAUUUAACAAAGUGGAUGUCGAUUCAAAAGCUCCAUUAUCGAAAGCAACUUAUGCGUACGAAGAGCUCUAUACUCAUAAGAGUAUAGUAACCCUACUCUCUCUCUCUCUCUCUCUCUCUCUCUCUUCCUCUAUAUAUAUAUAUAUUAUAUAGUGCCGUAGGAAUGCUUAUGGAGCACGGAGGCUCCGUGGGGACUCAAUCCACUCUUUGUUUUCGAUGUUCGACUUUCGAAUCGAGAUCGGCGAUCCGUAGACUUGAUCUAUGAGUAUGUGAAGUUAUCUAGAAAAUAAAUUUUAGCGAUUUGUUCGAUAUCAUUUGCCUAGUGAUGCAAAGCGCGGUCAAUAAUCAUACGCUGAAAAUCCAAAAACUUACCAAUAUGAUUGAUAGACAAUAAAUUUUAGGUCAAAGUUGUUGAUUCUGUGUUUAAGUAUGUAAUAGAGAAUUUUUAUCAAAAUUUCAUGUGAUUUGGAUAUUUCUAACAGCACGACCGUUAAACCUUGCAACCGGCUCACCACGCGCCGUUAAAUAUUAUUGAUUUUGAGCCCCUUCGAUCAAACAGGCAAAUGAAUAAUCAAAAAAUCAAUAAAUUUAUUUUUCUAGGUAUUUCAAUUACCAGAUUCAAUACUGCUAACGGAGCGAUCGUUCGAUUCGAAAGUCCAAAUCAUCAAAACAACUUGAAUCACUUAAGGCCCGGGUUGCUUCUAUAAACAUACCAGGCGCACUAUAUAUUAAUAAUAUAUAUAUAUAUAUAUAUAAUAUAUAUAUUAUAUACAUAUAAUAUAUAUAUAUAUAUAUAUAUAUAUAUAUAGUUGCACUAUAGUUUUAACUAAUUGAACGCUGGGUAGGUAAGCUUGCGCCAAAUUGAUACCUCAUUUUUUCGAAUUAUCUCUACAAACAGUCUAAGAAUGGUAAGAAUAAGCAAUUAUUGAGAAAAACAGUAAUGCUAAAAUCACACAAAAUUCUGCCAAAUGGUCUACAUGAAAAUUUUCUGCCAUUAGAGAGCAGAGACCUCUCAGGUGGAAAUCACUGUAGAACAUGUGUCAGCGAACCGCACACUGGCGUCGCAUAAGCAUAAUAGAUAAAAAAAAAAAAAAUGUAAUCUCAAACAGUCUACUUGAAAGGAGACAAUAAAUAAAUCCUCCACCCUACAACUCUCCCUGAUGAUCUGCAUGGACAAAGCCAGUAGCAUCAUAGAUGCCUUAGUCGGUCUUCGAUUCGAUGACCCUCUUGGCGAAAGAGGGCAGACAAAAUGCAGCAGAAUGGAUCUGAAGAAGGAUAACAAAAACCAGACAAGUAAAAUAUUUUCAUACGACAAACAUUCAGUUGAAUUUAUUUAGAAAUAAAAUCUUUUGUGUGGAAAAAAUCGGAGUCCGAGUUGAUUCCAUUCUGUCUUUUGUUGUUUUGGUAAAAGAUGAGAAAUCAUUUUAAUAUGUUUCCUUUUCCUAAUCUUUCUUUUCUUAAUAUGGUAAAAAGGAUAAUAUAACUAUCUCUAGAAGAGGCACUUUUAAAGAGUAUCACUAACACCCUGAUUGGCUUCACACCCUGUUUGGAUUGCUCAAAUUCUAGUAUCCUCAACAACUAGAAUUAAAUUCUCAACAAACUGGAAUUCUAGUUUUCCUAAUUACAUUAUUUCGUAUCAUUAAUUAAUGGGAUUCUUAUUCAUUCAGAAAAAUUUGAAAGUGAUUUCUCAUAUACAAAUGGCUCUCAUCCAAUUUCCAUGAUGUGAAUAAUCCAAAAGCACCCCGUCUAAAAAUAUUUAUCUUAUCUAUCUUAUCAUGCCGUUAAGGAUACAUUUGGAAAAGUAAACAUAUUGAAAUGAAAUCUCAUAUUGCACCAAGCAACAAAACACACAGUGAAAUUCAAUUGAACUCCAAUUUUUUCCAAACAGAAGAUUUCAUUUCUAAACUGGAUUCUUGUCAUUUGAACUCUAUUGAACUCCAAUUAGAUCUGCUGUCAAACAGACUGUAAAUCAAAUGAACUCUCACUAAAUCCGACAUCAAAUCAUGGGAAUUUGAUCGAAAUCAUUCGCAUUAUGAGAAAUCCUACCAAAACCUUCAAAAUUAAUUGAAAUCCCAUUAACUAUUGGUUUAAAAUCAUGAAUAAAAUAUAAAUCCAAUUCUUGAGAAUUCUAAGAUUUGAGACGACCAAAAAGGGUGAGGACUUUUUUAAAAAAAUGGCCCUUAAAAAAUUUAUAAUUUGCUAAACAACCCUGUCAAAAUUUUAAUUAGCAAACUAACCCUAUUUUGUCCGACUCAACGCCAUGAUGGAAAGAAAUGUGAAAUGCGAUGAUUCAUUCACUGUGUUCAAUAAGACUUUAAAAGCGGUGAAUCAUUCACCGUGUUCAAUAAGAUAUCAAAAGCGGUGAAUCAUUCACCAUCUUUAGAAAAUCUUAUUGUUAUUUGUGGGAUUUAUACAUGAGUUCUUAAGCUUUUUAUGGAAUUGUUAGGAUAGUAUGUGAGUUGUUGGAAUUUUUAUUUAGUUGUUAUGAUUGUAUUGCGAGUUGUUAGAAUUUUUGUGAGUUUGUUAGAAUUAUAUGUUGGUUGUUGGAAUUUUUAUGUGAUUAUUAGAAUUGUAUGAGAAGAACAUACGAAAGAAAUGGUGAAUCAUUCACCACUUUAUUUCUAAAGAGAAAAAGAGUAAACAAUUUACUGCUUUUAUGUUUUGUUAAAACGGUGAAUAGUUCACCGUCUUUCAAUUUGUGCUCCAUCCUGGGGCCGAGUUGGGCCCCAGGUUGGACAAAACAGGGUUAUUGGGCCAAAUACAUUUUUAAAGGGAUUAUUUGGCCAAAAACAUUAUUUUUAAGAGUUAUUAUGUAAAAAAAAAAAAAAAAAAAAAUUGAGGGUGGAAGAAAAAAUUAUACCUCUGAAUUGUAGAAUUUGAGGGGUCCUUUUGAUUUGUUGGAUUCGUCAUUCUCUUCUAUCUUGUAGACUGGAUGCUGAAAGUCGACUGACGGCCCUUCAGUGGAGCAAAGCAUGAAACCAAUAACCCCACUGCAUUAACAGAACAAUGUACAUGAAUUGCCCGUCAUUUUUUUUAUCAAAGAUUUAAAAAUAGGUGUUCAUAAGAAGAGUGUUGAAAUUAAUGUGAAGCAUACCUUGGGUAAGUAGGCACGGUUGUCCAUGCAUAAUUUACUGAGCCCUUGAAGACUUGGCGGCACACAGAAACAAUAUCUUCGAUGAUGUGCAUAUGCAACCAUAUGCUCUCUGCUUGGGUGCACACAACACCCCCUGGACGGAGCGCUCUUGCCACUGAUUCGAAAAAAGGCUUCUCAAACAGUUCUUGAGCAGGACCUGAUUCAGCCAAAAUGGAUUACCAUAUGCCAAAAAAUAAAAAAUACAUAAAGAGUAGGUUAUAAAUCUCCAAAGCUCACCGAUGGGAUCAGAGGAAUCCACGAUAACUGCAUCAUAAGUGCCUUCAGGAAGGCUCUUCAUGAAUGCCACUCCUGUUUGUAUGAGAAAAAGAAGGAAAGUUACACUAGUUAACCAAUACAAAGAACUUUUUUUGUUUUUAUUAUUAGGAGAAAGCUGUAGGCAUGGGAAAAAAGUUGAGAGGAUGUGAAACAUUUUUUUGAACAGUAACAUGAGAUUUAUAAACAUCCUAUGUCGAGGCUCGUCGAAAGUGCAGCCUUUCCAUCAAUUGCACUGAAUGAACUUCUACUCGUGUAUAUUGAUCCUCUAACCACAAAUGGCAGUCAACACAUCUACAAUAUAAGUUGUGGAUGCGGGUUAUAAUGUCACACAACAAAUUGGUUACUCCAGCUAUGAAAGAAAGGUAUCAUUAAUUCGCCACAACAACCACAAUUCCCAUUACAGUCACCACAAUUUCCAUUACAGUUGUAAUCCUAACAUUAGGAGCUACAAGUAAGUUGCAUUCACUACCCAUAGCUUACCAAAAUGACAAUUACUAAAAUCCCAGUGGUGAAGCAAACUGCCAGUGACCAAAACGAAGUUGCACUAGAUGAUAUAUAGUCACAAUGGGUCACUAAAAAUUUAUAAAAGUAGUACUAAUAGUCCUACUAAUUGUACAUCCAUCAAUCAUAUACAAUCUGCUUUACGAUAAUAUAUCUAUCUCUAGGUUUAAUGUUUCUUGUGAAGCUAACAAAACACGAAACAAGUUACAAAAGCCUCAUUUGCUAUUGUCGCCAUUCUCCUUUUGUUUUUUACAUAGAAUUUCUACAUGAAAUAGUGCAGGAGUGGAUAGUGGAUUGCUUGCAAUCCUUACAUCUAAGGUAUUUAUUUGGCAACAAAAACCAAAACUUGGAACCAACUUUUUUUUUAACACUACCAAGAUUUUCUCUGAGCUAAUUAUCAUCUACCACUUGGCUGGAGUGCAUUACAAGCUAAUCAACCAUGAGGACGAAAGUUUUUUUUGCUAGUAUAUCAAAUUAUAUAGAGUUAGCGCUUAAAAAACCAAUAAAAUGGCAACAAUGUCAAACAAGGCCAAAACUUCUUGCUGUCAUGAGACCACAUCAUAGUAUUAGACCUUAAAGAACAUAUUGACAAGUGGGAAACCGUAUUUUUUUAAUUCAAAAUAUUGGUGCAGAUAAAUUCACAAGCAUCAGCCAGAACUAGCUGAAACUGAUACAAAACUGUUGACAGAAAGUAGGCCAAGGCUACUGAAACAAAUGAAAUUCAAAACCACUGAAACCCACACACCAAAACUACUAGACUAGCAAAACUAAAAAAAUUAAAACGAUUCCAAAAGAUCCCAGCCGAAACAGUCCAUUUUGGUUGAAACUUACUAGCUCCAAACACAAGUUUUGAGCCCAGUCCAUUAGCCCUCAACUCAUGCAUAGGAGUGUGAUACUACCGGACAGCGGUGCAUUGAAUGUGUACGGUUCUGUGGCCUCUUCCGGUUAGUUUUACAAGCUAGAAAGUGGCAUGGUAAAUAAAAGGGGGCAAAAAUUCCAUACUAAUCUAAGGUAAGACUAAAGAAAGAUCUAGAAAUACACAAAAUUUGAAAUUUAGGAUGCCAAAAGAAUGUAAUAGAAUGCAAAACUAUCAGAACCUUUAUAACAAAGAGCGGACAACAGAACGCUGAUCACGUAUUUUAAGCAGUGGUUAAAGGCUUCGAAGGAAAAUUUGAUAUAGCAAGUGGCAUGUAACUAAGGUGGUAAAGAAAACCAGGCAGAGUUGAUUCUUAUAUCAUCCCUUACGACAAUUGAUGAAAUAAGGAGAAGAUCCGCCAAACGAACAAGCGGCUAGUGGGUAGUGUAUGACUAUCAGGAUUUGAUCCCACUAUUAGAAAGUUGCUAAGCUUAAGAUACUCUGCUUACUUGUGUUUGACUUGACUGAGCCUGAAACCUAUUUAAAUAAAUGAUCUUACAUAGUAUCUACAUGUCUGGAAUUCAUAUCUGAUUAUCUGUGUAAAAAGAAAGUUAUCAAAAUUUUACUUCAAUAUAAGAUAUAAAAUCAUAAGGAGAAUAUGGAACACCUGAAAUCUUUACCUACACUUCCAUUGUUUACUUGCAAAUAAUCAUAUCAUCUUUCAUGAUUAAAAUCAAACAAAAAAGGUCAGCUCAAACUAGCAGACACCAAGCUUUCCUAUUAAACAUGUUGAUGAAAAAUAAACGCAAGCUGAAACUAAGUUGAGCCAUGCACAAUUGGGAACUGAUCAGUAUUUGAAAAAGCGCAAGGCGCAAAGGCCUUAUAGAGCCAAGGCCCGAGGUGCACCGGGAGGCGCGGGCGCAUAUCUAUUAAAAAUAAAACACUCUUAACAAGCCUAUUUUAAAUGAAUGUUUUAUGUUAAAAAAUUUGAAAAUACCUAUACAAAAACAAAAUAACCAUAAAAAAAUAAAGAAAUCGCAUACAUAAAUGUUCUAAGCCUAAAAAUAAAAAAAUUAUGUUUCAUCUUUCAACUUAAAAGUACUUGCUGCUGCUUCUUGCUUCUUGUCGUCGCUACUUAUUACCAUUGGGGGAGUGGAAAUGAGAACGACCAAGAGAAAAGGGAAGGAAAACAUUCAAUUAGAACUUUUUUAAAGAAAAAUUCUUAGCAUUUUAGAAUAUAUUGAAGAAAAUCAAAACCCAAAAAUCCAAACCAUAGACACAUUAAACGUAAAUAUCACGAGGCGUGUCUGAGGUGCACGCCUCACUCCUUGAGGCACCGAGACUCGCGCCUUGCGCCUAGGCGCUUAGGCGGGCGCCUGAGGCGCACCUUUUCAAACACUGGAACUGAUACAAUAUAAUCAUAGCUUAUAAUUGUCAACUUAGGCAGGGUACAUUUUCAAGCCUAGGCAUAGAUGAUAUACUAAUAGAUGAACAAUUCUUACCAUCUCCAAUAUGUAGAUUCACACGGGGAUCUUCAAAUCCAAUAGCCAAGUGAGGGAAAAAUUGUUUAGAAACCUGGAAGGGGGAUGAAAAAUGUCAUAACUUUUGGAUGAUUUUGAGCAAAAACAAGGGGAAAAAAGAAAAAAAAAGAAAAAAAAAAGAAAAAAAAAAGAAAGAAAGAAGAGCUACUCCUGUUGUCCACUACGUAAGGAUGAAUAUGAAUCCAUUAUGUAUCGGAUAGCGGCCAAUCCAUAUCCAUAUCCACAUUUUUAUGUCAGAUCGGAAUCAGGAUUUGGAUACUGGUUGGAUAUUGAAACUCAAACCCAUAUCCAAUAAAAAUUGAUUCGGCUAUGGUUAAUGUAUUAAAUGGAUACAUAUACAAAUAGAAUAUUUAAUUAAUAUAUAGAACUAAAAGAAAAAAAGAUUUACCACGAUAUAUUUAAGGUUUCUAAUAUUUAUAAAUAAAUUAAAGAAAUUGAGAAUGUUAAAAAAAGAAUGUCAAAUAUGGAUUCAACAGACAUGUUAUAUAUUCAAAACAUAUUAAAACUAGUUUGGAUUCGGAUAAUCUGAAGCUGAAUCCAAACCCAAAGAAGAAUAAUGAACUGGAACCUGAAUUCAAAUCAAAGAAAAAUUCAAACCAGAGAUUUGAAUCUGAAUUCAAAUCUGAGUCGGAUAGUGAAUUCUCAAUCCAAAUCCGGUUUUCUUUUUGAUACAGUUGGAUAAGGCCAGAUAACAUUCUACCAUUUUUGCCCUAACUAGUGGACAAACAAAUACUACAUAAAUUGGUCAAUGUGUACAGCUCUCAUAUGAAGAAAAACAAACAAUAGAAAGGAAUACUCCACUAAAAGAGCAAUACACUAGCUUAAAGUAAUUUGUCACUAGAACUAUGAAGCCUAUUUAUUGCAAUUGUAAACCAAGGACUUUUUGGAAUAGCACCUUGUACGAAUUUCCUGCCUGAUUGCUUAAACGGAUGACUUGCUAGUUUUUGGGUAAUAGCAGCUACUAUUAUGUAAACUCCUAAAGAAGUUUCCAUAACAUCGAAGUUGGAACUUCAUACUCGUUAACGAGGCUUGUAAAAAGGCCAUAGUCACGGAAGAUAGAAGAUCAACUAUAUUGUAAUAACAAUAAAAAAACUAACCUUUCUUUAUAUUCAUUGUUCAAAAAUAAUAAAGGAACUAGGAAAUUGAAAUAUGAGUAAAUGAAGGAAAAAAAAAUAUGAUAAUCAGUAGAAGCUGAAAAAUCAUGAAAGAUUUAUUUAAAUGAACAAUAAGCCAGGGAAACACACAUUACUAAAACAUCAACAUAGUCAUAGCAAAGUAAAGGAAAAAUAAAAAUAAAAAUAAAAACUUGUUAGACUCACAUCAACAACCAUCUUAUCAAUUUCACAUAUGUCAAUUUGUUCCACUGAAGAAUAGCGUGAUACUUCACGUAGAACACCACCAUCACCACCUCCAAUAACCAAAAUCUGUAACAGCACCAGUGUUACUUAAACUAUUAAUAUACAAUAAAGAACAAAAGAAUUUUUUCUGUUCCUUCUAUAAGUUUGUCAGGAAUAUAGAAAGAGUUCAUUAUGAACACCCCAUAAGAAAAAUUGAAAGGGAAGCCAGCUACUCACCACUGAAAAUACACAUCAUACAAUACAGCAUGAAAUGACAGCAACUGAGAACUGUACAUGGUAAAAGUAUAACACUUUAAAAAAAAAGAUAUUUGGAAAUGUUAGAAGUCUAGAACUGUGCUAUUACUUUUUCCACAAUAUAGGCAUGCACUAUAUCAGUUAAUAUUGUUUGAUAGAUUUGGAAAUGUUAUUUUGUUCAAAAAGACAAGUUUGGAAGCCAACCAACAAUAACAAGAAUGGAGAAGUACGUCCGCUCGCACAUUUGAUUGCACAAGCAUUGAUUAUCAAAAAACAGUAAACAAGAGUGCAAGCAUACCAAACAAGGCCUUAGCGUGCUAGUUAGAUCAACCCGAGUCCAAAUUAAAUUUGAGAGAAGCCUAAAUGGACAUACAAUAAUACCCAUCUCUUACUCAGUAUACAUCUUACCAUCUCCCUCCCCCUCCCUUGCCCCCCUCGAUAGGCGGUAUAUAUCUUACUGCCUCUCUCCUUCCCCCUUUCCGGUUAUGAUUCCUUGCUGAAUAAUUAAUUUUCUACAAACUCUGAUCACCAUUUUCAGCUAAGGGCUCAUUUUGGUUGUUAGGUUAUCGGGGUCAAAAGGUAUUUUUUCCGUAUGUUCAACGUUCAACUCUAGACAGCCUUCUAUAAGCACAUUGUUGGUUUAGGCAAACAUGAUCCACCAAAAAAUGGUAAGUAAGAAUUGCAGCUUGAGAAAAGGACACAUCAUUUCUUAACCUUUCCAAAUAUUUGAAACUUCAUUACAUUUCUGUUGUCAAGCAUUUUGGAAAUGGAAAGUGGAUAUCCUUUAUCAAGGAUCGGAAAAAAAUAUUCCCCUAUGCAUGUACUUCUCCAUGAAAAUUCUUGAAUUAGACUCUCACUAUUUGCUUCUUAAUACAUUUAUCGACUCUUCAUACACAAUGUAUAAAGGUUAGCUAACCUGCUUCUUUCAGUAGUAGUAUGCUUUUCAACACGAAAUUCUCAGAGAAGCUUAUUGGCUACCAAAUAUGAGAACAAAAUGAACAAAUGAUGCACACUUUGUAGUUUAAAACAGUAUACAGGAAUAAGAAAGGAAUACUUGAUAAUAAAACGACCAAAAGGUUAAAACAGCACGGAGAAGGAUUAAACUCCUGUUUUUUCGUUUUCAAGAUGAAAAACUACUACCCAUGAAAAACUACAACAAAGAUGCAGCUCACUAUGAUGGCAGACAUGCAUAUGUGUGCACAUGCAAUGCCUAUGAGCACACGCACAUGCUUGUGAGCAUAUGCACACAUACACACAUGCUCAUGCACUGAUACACUGUGUACAUAUAGGGAUCUAUAUACACAAGAAACAAAAGAGAAACAAUAUUAUUUGAUUUACCUGACAAAAUUGAUCAGCUUACUGAUGAUAAAAACAGUCAUCCAAGAUUUCAGAGAACUCUGAUAUUGAGAAAUCAAGUGAAAUACAGUAAACCAACCUUUUUAGGAUCAGGGAUAGAGCAAAGUGAAAGAUGUGUGAUCAUUUCUUGGUAAGCACACUCAUCCCUUUCUGUCACUUGAAUGACUCCAUCCAAGACAAGAACUUUCCCAUAGGUAGAUGACUAGAGUUAAGAAUAGAAACAGCAUACAGAAUUAGAUAUAUAAGAUGGAACAAGGAUGUUAUAAUUCAAAACCUCUGUAUUGUUGCUAUGGCAAUAGAUUACCUGAAAAACCAAUACAUUUUGGUAGUCCGACUUCCCCUGAAACAAUACCUUCUCUACCUUUAAGGAGUGAGCUUCUCCUAUAAAAGUUAGAAACUUCAUUUAAACCAGAAUUCGUAACCAAAUUCAAUGGCAAUAUACCAAUAGCCAAUAGAUAAACAUCAUAAGCAUUACAUAGUUCAAUGUUGAAGAACUAAAGAAAGCACCAAAUUUACAACUAGAACAGGUAGACCAAAAGUUUGCGUACAUAAGAAUUUCACAAACUAUGCCAUACUGGAUAAUAUUGGGAAAGUACACUUAUUAUAUGCAGAACUAGCAUUCUAGUAUUGAUUCCUUGGCCUUAACGUUUUGGGUAAAGUUGUCAAGGCCCAUCAGGUUGCUACAACCAUAGAUCAAAUAAUGUUGUUUACAUAGGCAUCAAAGCCACUUCCAAAGGUACUAUCAUAUAAGGGAUGACAAUUAUGGGCACGACAUGCAUAACCGAGAUGACCUGUGUAACCACUUGAAGUUUCCAUUAGCUACCUGUGUAACCACUGGACCCGUCAAUGACCUAUUUAUAAACACAAAUUGUGAUAUAUAUAUAUAUAUAUAUAUAGAGAGAGAGAGAGAGAGAGAGAGAGAGAGAGAGAGCGCUAGGGUGCUAUAUUAUCGGUAGCACAGAGGCCUCCAUGCUAUCAAGUUGUUUUCAAUGAUGCGGCUUUUGAAUCGACGAUCGGCUCCGUUAGACUUGAUCUACACUAUUGAAAGUACUUGAAAACUAAAUUUCAUAAUUUUUCGACAUUAUUUGGCUAGUGAUCAAAAGAUCUCAAAAUUGACAAUUUUAAUGGUCGAUGUGAUGCGUUUAUGAAUUUAGCGAUGUAAAACAAUCCAAAUCUAAUGAAAAUUUUAUGGAAAAUUCUUUUCAUAUUUAGAAUAAGAACAGUACCUCUAAUCUUAAAUUUAAGUAUUUUAUCAUUAUUUUUUAUAAGAUUUUUAUUUUCAGCCGUUCAUUUUUAGACUGCUCGUUUGAUAGGUAAAUGAUGUCGAAAAAUUAUGAAAUUUAGUUUCCAAAUACUUUCAAUGGUGUAAGUCAAGUCUAACGGAGCCAAUCGUCCACUUGGUGCUACCAAGUUUUUCACCGUUAGAUUUACUUUUUUGACCAUUUCUAUCCGUUAGAUCAUUCUAUCCAACCAGCCACCAACUUAACCCUAGGAGAUCACUAUCAUCCUAAUAGCACAUCCCUUCAUGUAACAUACAAGGGCCGAAAACCAAAUAGCACCAAUGACUUAGUGCUAUUAGAAGCAUUCCAGCCUAAGUAUGUAUAUAUAUAUAGUUGAGUUGGAAUGCUAUCGAUAGCAAACGAGUUCCGUUGCCAUCCAUUUAUUUUCAAUAAUGAAGCCUCCAAAUCGACGAUCAGCAUUGUCGAACAUGAUCUAUACCACUUAAAGUAUCUAGAAAUCAAAUUUCAAAUAUUUUCAACAUUAUUGACCUAAUGAUCAAAGGGUUUCAAAAUUUGUAAUUUUAAUGAUCAAUAUGAAGCGUUUUCUCGUUCAACAGUGUAAAAAUAUCCAAAUCAAUUAAAUUUUGGUUAGAAAAUUCUUUAAACUAUUUAGAACAAAAUCUAUGCUCUCGAUCUUGAUUACAAAAUUCCUACCACCACUUUUUAAACAAUAUUCAUUUUCAGCCGUUCAUUUUUGUGCCCACUUGAUGGACAAGAGAUCACUAUCAAAAAUCAAAAAAAUAUAAAAUUUGGGUUCUAGAUGCUUCAAGUGGUAUAGAUCAUAUUCAACAGUGCCGAUUGUCAAUUUGGAGACUCCAUCAUCGAAAACAAAUGGAUGACAGCGAAACCUGUUUGCUAUCGAUAGUAUUCCAGCUCAACUAUAUAUAUAUAUAGAGAGAGAGAGAGAGAGUUCGGCUAGCACUAAGCAUUUGGUGCUUGUAACUUUUCCACCGUUAGAUUUAACCCUUUGAUCAUUUCCACCUGUUAGAUUAUACUAUUCAACCAACCACCAACGCAAUCCUAGGAGACCACUAUCAUCCCAACCGCAUACCUCUUAAUCCAGGGGUUACAAACCUACAAGCACCAAUGACUUUGUUCUUUUAAAAGCAUAGGAGCUCAAUUCUAUAUAUAUAUAUAUAUAUAUAUAUAUAUAUAUAUAUAUAUAUAUAUAUAUAGUUGAGCUAGAAUACUAUCGAUAGCAAACGGGCUCCGUUGCCACCCAUUUGUUUUCGAUGAUGGAGCCUCCAAAUCGACGAUCGGCACCGUUGAACAUGAUUUAUACCACUUGAAGUGUUUAGAAAUCAAAUUUCAUACAUUUUCGAUAUAGUUCUCUUAUCCAUCGAGUGGACACAAUAAUGAACGGCUGAAAAUGAAUAUUCUUUAAAAAAUGAUGAUAGAGUCUUGUAAUCAAGAUCAAGAGUAUAGAUCUUGCUUUAAAUAGUUUAAAAAAUUUUCUAACAAAAAUUCAAUUGAUUUGGAUAUCUUUACGCCAUUAAACGAGAAAACACCUCAUAUCGACCAUUAAAAUUAUAAAUUUUGAAACCCUUUGAUCAUUAGGCAAAUGUUAUUCAAAAGAUUUGAAAUUUGAUUUCUAAACAUUUCAAGUGGUAUAGAUUAUGUUCAAUGGUGCCGAUCGUCGAUUUGGAGGCUCUAUCAUCGAAACAAAUAGGUGGUAACAGAGCCCGUUUGCUAUCGAUAGUAUUCUAGCUCAACUCUCUCUCUCUCUCUCUCUCUCUCUCUCUCUCUCUCUCUCUCUCUAUAUAUAUAUAUAUAUAUAUAUAUGUAGUGUAGAAUUACAAUACUUUCGUUAGCAUAAAAGAGUUUAUGGUUUCGACUUUUUAGCCCUUGGAUUAAGGAUUGUAGGGUUGGUAUGAUAGUGGUCCCCCUAUGGUAAUAAUAUUAUUCAAGGGAUAUUAAUUCUAGAAGAACUAUAGUAGGACUCUAUAUAUAUAUAUAUAUAUAUAUAUAGAGAGAGAGAGAGAGAGAGAGAGUGAUGUCGGAUUGGGUGGUAAAUGUACUACAAUGUAUUAGAAAAAGAGAUUUUUUUUUUACUAAAUUAUAGAAAACCUAAUUAUAAAUACCUGUUUGUUCACUUUUCUUCUCCUAACUUUCAAAAACUUAUAUUUUACUCUCAACAUUUCAAGUUGUUGCAUUUAACCCCCCUCCGUUAGAGUUCCAUCACUAUUCUGUCCAUAUUUUAUAAUUUAUACCGAAAAUGUCCUUCAAAAUGAUAAUAUAUUAAAAAAUUAUUUUUUUUUCUUAUAGAAAAAGUAAGGCAGGUCGGUCACUUUGCCCUCUCCCUUAACGCCGUACCCAUCCUGAAAACAUUUAUGAAAGUUUAAGGGGACAAAAUGUACAAUUUUGUAAGUCAAGGAGGGAAAGAAAAAAGUGGAUAUUUACAGAGUGAUUUUCUAUAAUUUAGUCUUUUUCUUUACUUCCUAAAAUGUUCAUAAGAGAAAAACUUAUUUUCCUAAAAAAUUGAGAAACGAGAAGAAAACUUUUCCGUGAAAUAUGAAAACUAAUUUUUCAAAAAAUUUAUUUUUCCUACGAACCAAAGACAGAAAAAAAUUUUCCAACUGAAAAAAAAAAAAUUAGGAUAUUUUUCAAGAAAUCAAACAGGCUCAGUAACAAACUUGUCGUAUCAAAUAAAAUAUAUACGAUAUUCACAAAAUAACAUACACAGGUGGAAUUAGCAACCCUUUACUGGUUAAGUUGUUGUGCGGUCCAGCCAAGCGAUGGACAUAAUUUCUUUAAAAGAUUGAAAAGCAAAAAAAUAAUUAGCUUUCAAGUUUUUAUUUUUUACAUUGCCACAGAAAACACCUUGCAUAAAAGAUCGCAAGUAAUCGACCAUCCCAUCCAACACCAUUUCCAUCCGAAGGAAAUAUACCAAGGCCAAAUCAUUGAAGCAAACCAAAUUUUUUAUUUUUUAUUUUUAAAAAAAAGCGCCGAAAUCGCCGAAUCCUUUACCUGGCCACAUGGGGCUGAUCUCGGAGAACCAGCCCGGGAUCACGGCGGAGAUGCCGUCCCCCGCCGCCGCCGCCGCCUCCUUUCCGUCCUCCACUGCCAUGGGCGCCGCGCCCUCUCCGUCCUCGCUCGCCCUCGCCCUUUUCGCCGACGCCUCCUCCGCCUCCAUCACCCCCACACCACACCACACCACACCUCUCUCUCUCUCACGCACACUCACACACCACGUUGUACGAUCGCUUUGUUUAGAGAGAGAGAGAGAGAGAGAGAGACAGAGACAGAGAGAAGUAUACGGAGGGAGGGAGACGAAGGGGAAUGGGGAAGGAGGGGAAUCGCACAAAGUGGGAGCGGGAUGGGGAGCGUCGGCUUUAUUCUUAUUCUUAUUCGAUCUAUUGUAUGUAUUGAAAUCCCGAUCCGUGUUGACAAAUCGGAGUGACGCGUAUUUUUUAAGGUUAGGGUAAUGAUAAGGCUCUCAAUUAGGGUUUACUUUGGUGGGGGCCGCCCGCCCGAAUACGGCGACCGCUUUUUCGUCCUUUACGGGAUUCCCCCUUCCCACCAUACCUCUUUCCGUCUUUCCCCACCCCGCAUUUCUAUGCCGAGUGAGGGGCCCGUCAAUAUUUUCACUGAACCGUGGAAGAAGUUUUUAUUUAUUAUUUAUUCUUUUUUAUUGGCAACCACCUGUCGGUGCAAUGAUAUUAUGGGUUUUUUUUUGAAAAUAACUUUGUAGAAUUUUAUAAUUAGCAAAAUAAUUUUCUGAAAAAUUUAUUUAUAAAAUUAACCCUUCUUUCGCAACGUUGGCGUCACCUUAACUUUUUCUCGCAAAGACGGUGAAUUGUUCACCGUCUUUGCAUAUGUCUCAUGAAGGCGGUGAAUGGUUCACCGCCUUCAUAAGACGGUAAACCAUUCACCGCCUUUAGAGCAAAUACACCCCCGCUUUCCUUACAAGGCCACCUUUCCAACUGCCAUAGCUGUGCCCUCGAGAAGACGGUAAAUGAUUCACCGUCUUAACUAAGACGGUGAAUCAUUCACCGUCUUUAUACUAAACCCCCCACCCAGUCAAAUUUAGCCAAGUCCUGGAGGUGGGGCUAAAACAGAGAUAAGACGAUGAAUAGUUCACCGUCUUAUUAGUGCUGCAAUAAAGACGGUGAAGUAUUCACCGUCUUUAGUGUAAACACCCGCUAGCGGGGACCUAGAUAAGACGGUGAAUCGCUCACCGUCUUCACCCUACUUAAUGAAGACGGUGAACAAUUCACCGUCUUAUGUAAGUAUACCCAGCCCCAGACCCCGACACCUCUCCCUCCCUCUUCGCUCUCUUUCUCUCUCUAUCUCUCUGUCUCUCUCUCCCUCUCUGCCCAUCCCUCUCCAGGAGCCGCACCCCCGUCGCCGCCGCCCCUACCGACGUUGCCACCGCCAGUCGCCGUCGACCCAUCAAGUCGCCGCCCGUGCCACAACAACCCAUAUUGCAAGUAUAAACCUCUCUUAGCAAGUUUAAACUAGGUUUAAACCUAGUUUAAACAUUUACACCCAUUUUAAACUAGGUAACGUAGUUUAUACCUAGUUUUUCACUUUUAAACCCAGUUUAAACUAGGUAACCUAGUUUUUCACUUUUAAACCCAAUUUAAACUAUGUUUACCUAGUUUAAACUAUGUUUAAAUCUAGUUUAAACUACCUAGUUUAAACUAUGUUUAAACUAGAUUUAAACAUAGUUUAAACUAGGUUUAAAAGUUUAAAUUAGGUUUAAACCUAGUUUAAACUUUUAAACCCAGUUUAAACUAGAACUAUAGUAACAUGAGAAUUUUAGGACCAUAGUAACACUCCCUUUAUUUGCUUGUUGCAAACUUUCUAUAAUUUAGUUAUCAUUUCACUUAAGUUUAGUUUUCACAAAUGAGAACAUAGAGAAUGCUGUUGAUUUAUUUUCUGUGUAGUUAAAAUGGCUAGUCAUCGGAUGUCUCUUAGUGUUUAUUGGGAUGGACAGUUAGAUAUGGAUGGAAAUGGUUCCCGAUAUUUCGGUGGUCGAAAGAAAUUGAUCGCGAUUCAUUCAGACACAACCUAUGCGAAUUUUGAGAGGAGAAUGUAUCGUUUAGUAAAUUGUAAUAGAGAAGAAUGUUGUCUUAAAUACACAAUUCGAUACCCUACGGGAGUGAAUGAAUAUAUUGCUCAUGAUAUAGUAGAUGAUGAAUUAUUGGAGGGAUUAAUUGGAUUGUUUGAAUAUUAUGGAUGUGUGUCGCUAUACAUAAAGAAAGAUUUAUAUCCGUCAGAGACACAAUAUCCGUCGCAAGGCUAUUACACAAGUCUGCUACAUAAUAAUAUCGAUGUGGGAUUUCCGGAGAAUCCAAUUGGUGACCGUGAAGUUAGUAAUGAACCAGGCAUAAGAAUGACAAGGUCAGUAAUAUAUCUCAAGAUUGCGGUGAAUAUUUUCUUUAAUUAUGAAAUAUUUUAAUAAAUUAUAAUUAUAAAUACUGCAAACAGAGUCAGUCUCCACGUGCGCAACCCUCGACGUCACGUGCGCAACCCUCGACUUCACGUGCGCAACCCUCGACGUCACGUGUGCACGUAUCGACGUCGCGUGCGUAACCCUCGACGUCACGUGUGCACGUAUCAACGUCACGUGCGCAACCCUCGACUUUACGUGACAAACCCACGAUAUUUCAUACACCUAAUGAAAAUUACGAUUGGGGGUAAAAAAUUUUUUGAUUAUUUAAUUAAUAGUAAGUGAAAUUUUACCUAAUAUAGUAAACAUUCGGGACCUAUUACAGGCUAUCUACGUCCUAUACAAAUUGGAAUGAAGUUCUUGAUAAUACUGUCGAUGAAGGAGAUGAUAAUGACGGUAAUAAGAACGAUGCACCCAUUCAUAAUAAUGGUGAUCAGGAGGAUGCACCCAUUCAUGAUGACAACAAUUAGGAGGAUGCACCCAUUCAUGAGGACGACGAUUAAAAUGAUCUAGCUGUUGACAUUGAAGAUGAUCACGAUGGUAGAUUAAAUUGCCUUGCGAAUGCCAUUUACAGUUUGAAUGACGACCCGCAUGUAAACAACAAAUAUGUAGACAAUCCUGACGAGGAACUUGAUUUUAUUGACCAUCCGGAGCAAUUUUCUAUGGAUAACAAUUGGAUACAACAGCAUGUUGUGAAUUCGAGUGAGUUUGAUGUUAGACGUACCAAUUCCGAUCUACCUAGCAUUGACGAGACUUGGCUCCAUAAAAUCUUUAAUGAUCAGGCAUCUUUAAUGGGCGCUUUAGAUCGAUGGCACAUUACUCACAAUAUUUAGAUGAAGAUUUUGAAAUCCACCAAAACAACUUAUACAGUGAAAUGCACAGUUGAGGGAUGUCCUUGGAGGUUACACGCUUCGGUUCCUAAGGAUGCAACAUAUUUCAGAGUUAAGACAUAUGCGGGUCAACACACUUGUGUUAUUCCAAUGCUAAAUGCGGCGCACCGUAAUUGUACUUUAAAUCUCAUAUGCCAAGUAAUUCUCCCGUUAAUGAAGACAAGACUUAAUAUGACGCCAAAAGAAGUGCAAGAAAUGGUGCGAUCCACUUUGCAUGUUCAAAUAAAUUAUUGGAAGGCAUGGUUGGCAAGGAGCAAAGCAUUACAGAUUAUUUACGGGAACUGGGAGCAGUCAUACACAGACUUGCCUCGGUAUCUUACUAUGCUGCAGAGUACUAAUCAUGGAACUUUUUGGCGGCUUGAUCAUAUAUGGCCAUCAGAUGGAAUAUGUUAGUUUGGUCGUGUUUUUUGGUUAUUUGCUCCUUCUAUUCAUGGAUUCGCACAUUGUCGGCCGGUGGUGAGCAUUGAUGCGACUCACUGGUAUGGCAAAUACGAAGGCCAUGCAUUGAUAGCGAUGGCUGUCGAUGCAAAUGAUAGCAUUUUUCCCUUACUUUUGUAAUUUGCGAAGGCGAAAAUGGUGGAAGUUUGCGUUUGUUUUUACAUAACUUGCAACAUUAUGUUAUACGCAAUCGAUCGGUUUGUUUUAUAUCUGAUAGAUUUAGUGGCUUAAAGGAAAUAGUGGCUGAGUUAUAUCCUACGCGACAGAGGCAUGCACACAGGUGGUGUCUUCGACACAUGAAAGCAAAUAUGGCUAAGCGGUUUAAAAAUGAAUCGUUAUUAGACAAAUUCUAUAGUAUCGGCAGUGCUCCAACAUCGGUACAAUAUUAUAAACUAAAAGAAGAGUUACUCGCGCUAGAUCAGGAUGUUUGGAAGUGGGUUGAUGAGCUCGAAGUAUACAAAGAGUAUUGGGUGUGGGCAUUUGAUAGAGGGCGACGCUUCGGGUUGAUGACCACCAAUAUGUCCGAGAGUUUAAAUGGGGUACUUAAGGCAAUUCGUGCUCUCCCUAUAACGGCAUUUGUCGCGGAAACUUUUUACAAACUUAAUAGUUAUUUUUUAAAACAUCGUGAAAAUGGUGAAAGUAUGACGGCCACGUUAGCACCUAAAAUACAAAGUCGGAUUACGAUGAAUAUGGUGAUGGCGCGGAGACACAUUGUAUAUCGAUUUGGGCCUAUUGAGUUUGAAGUCAAAACAGGACACUCCGAUUACAAUGUUAUCCUGAAUAGACCAUAAGCGCAUUGUGAUUGCGGCGAAUUCAAGCUAACGGGCAUACCUUGCUUGCAUCUUUUAGCAGUUUGCAGUAAUUCACAAAGAAUAAUAGAUUAUCAUAGUCUUUGUUCCCAUUAGUAUACUGUAGAGUGUUAUCGCCAGACAUACGCACCGCUUUUCCAUCCAGUUCCAGACAGGCGCUACUGGCCACGACCCCUGGGCCCACCAAUUGUACCGCCUCCAGUGAGAAGGAAGAAAGGUCGACCACGAUCAACACGUAUUCGUAAUAUAAUGGACGCAACCAGUGGUCGACGAACAAAAUGCAGCAUUUGUAAGCAGGAAGGUCAUUAUAGAAAUACCUGUCCACAGAAUACAGAGAGAGCACAACAAUGACGUCGACGUAGGACUUGUUACCUAACUUACUAGUAUUUAUUAAACUUUCAAUAUUCCAAUAUUCAAUGCGCUUUUUGAUAAUAUGUUACUAAUUACAAAUUCUUUAAAAUUGCAGAUGGUAGAUCUAGAGGAGAAGGCGGGACCGGUUGAUGAGUCCAUCCUGAUAGAGCAGCAUCUACAUAGGUCUUCAUUUAUCACGAUUGAGGUCAGAGCAAGAAUUAUUUCUCUAAAAGUUAUCUUAAGUAUUAAUGCAUAUAAAUGUUGUUCUAACUAAAUUUUUGUCACUAUAGGGAUAUCGCGGGGUUCAGUUCAUAGAGCAUGGCCGCAAAUUAAACCAGUGGGAUCUUGAUCAUCCAGCCGUGCUAGAUCUGCUACGACAGUCUGGAUUCUAUUAUAUCUCUCGACUUAGGCGUCUGCAACUGGAUCAGUCUUUAUUAGAAGCUCUGGUCGAGAGAUGGAGACGGGAGACCCAGACAUUUCACUUCCGCCACGGUGAGAUGAUGAUUACACUUCAGGAUGUGGCGGUUAUUUCUGAUCUUCGUAUCGAUGGAGCGCCUGUCACGGGGACUACAGUGUAUCCGUGGCCAGAGAUGUGUCAGGCACUUUUAGGGGUUGUGCCGGAUGACAUCCGAGCUAGGCAGAUUAGAUUAGAUUGGAUAUACCAGCACUUUUUGUCACGCCCCGCCUCGAAACCACUACCGAUUUGGCACGGUUCGGCCGCGGCGACGGACCGCCGAACACCCACUUCCUUGUCACUUGUUACAGUAACUUGUAAUAAUAAGCUUGUACUUAGCUUAAGCAAUCGUACUAUCAUUUGGAAAUGAUAUACUACGUACGUAAGUAAUAUGUACUAAUACCCGUAUCAUCGUAUCUAAAGGAAAUACAGAAAUUACGAAACUCUAUAGAUAGAUAGAUAGAUGGACAACAACGAACACGGGUGAACCUGGAUCACCCCUCUAGCCGUCUCAGCCGCCGGCUCGGGUGACCCUUGAUACCUUCUAUCAAGAGUGGGGUGAGAUAAAGGUCACCAUCCAAGUCCCGACGUCUCUCUCCUGGCGCCGUUCCCGCAGCGCGGGCUGGUCACUCUGGCACCAUCAUAUCAUCGAAAGGAAAAACGUAAUCAGUGGAUACAUAACUCUCUCUAAGAACAUCCACUCCAACCUCUCGAUACAUAAAACCUACUUUUUACUACAUUACUUACAUUGAUUACAUUAUCAAUCAUUUAAUGAGAGAAAUAAAGUGAACAAAUAGAGCACCUAAUGAACGAGAAGACCAACAACCGUGACAAACACGGGAGCAACUUACACAUACAAAUCUUAAAUUUAAGGACCCAUUUAAGAACAUGUGUAAGGACAACAACUCGGAACUCGCCCGUCCCCUCCACGACAGGNCACCCAAGCCCGGGACCGUCUGCGGACCUCCAAGUGGUCCGGACCUCCAAGUGGUCCUAGUCGCGCGACACUCCGGAGUACUCGACGACAAUCCCCUCCAUGUGGGGAUCGGAUGGCUAUGCCACCCUGAACGCAGACUGUGAGCUAGAUCUAUCCUCUUCAAGUGAGGACACUCUACAACUAGAGUCAAUACCCAAUCGAAUCCUCUCCAAGUGAGGACGCCCUACACAAGGGUCAACGACUAUCGCGGAAUCAUUGGUUCCCGACAUUCAUGCAAUGUUAUUUAGUUUUCUAAAUUCAUUGUUCACAAGGCAUUCUCUAAGGGAUCCACCUAUCCCUAGGUCCUUCGACCUCUAGUGUUAUUUACACUACGUUAAUGCCACUCGUUAUCAUUCAAUAUUUGGAUGCCACUCGUUUGUUCUUUGACAAUAACACUACUUUCUAUGUCAUCAAUACCCCCGUCGGGUUCAUCUCUAUCUUUAGCAUCAUAGGAUCCACGUUCCGACCCAAUCCUCACCUAUCUAGUUACCAAGCGUUCCAAGUACACUAGGUUAUCAUUUAGAAAGCAUAAGGAUGGAGCUACCAUGCAAUCCUACAAUGCAACAUGUAAGAGAUGAGAUUAAAUGCAAUCUAAGACAUAGAAAGGAGUUCGAAAGUUUCGGAUGACACCCCCCACCUUGUUACCAAUGUAGAGGCUUUGGAAAUUCUUGUCGGCGAGCUUUGCAAAAAGGCUUUAGCCUUCCUCGCCCGAAUCAAUGCUAGCCCGGCCCAAUUUUGCCGAGAACUCCACGUCGGUUCGCCGAAUGCCAAAAUCGACUUCGCCCCCGCGUUUUGGGACCUAUCAAUAGGGUUUCCAAGGCUUCAAAUGAGAUCAAUCUCAUACAUUUACAAAAACCUCAUUUUGGAACCCUAGAUUUGCACCUAUAGCAAAUCACCCCAUAAAUCCCUAGAUUCUUGGGAUUGAUCUAUUUAGAAGCUUGCUUAGGGUCCAUUUGACCCAUUCCAAGGCAUAAAACCCAAAGACCCUAAGUUCUAGAAGCUAGGGUUAGUAGCUUACCUCAAGAGCUACUCCAAUGGGAAGAGGAGAGGGAGUUGGAGGUGCUCAAAGCCUUCCUCUUGAUCUCCUUCUUCUUCUCCUUCCUUAUCUUCCUCUUCUUUUCCUUCCUCUCCUUCUUGUUCUUCUUCUCCUUCUUUCCUUUCUAGAGAGAGAGAGAGAGCAAGAGAGAAAUGAAAGUGAGAGAGAGAGGAAAUGAGAGAGUGUGAGGGAGAGAGAGGGCUCAGCCCACUCAAAUAAAUGCCAUUUUGCACAAAAGCCCCUCAACUUUCACCCCUGUGCACUGCCCUUACUGGGCAGUUUUCGCGCGGAGGGACCGGUCUCCCCGACUUGGGACCGGUCCCCGAGAGCUUCCCUCGGGCGCACGCGUUCGGGAACCGGUCUCUCCCCGGGAGACCGGUCCUCGGGAGACCGGUCCUCACCUGAGAGACCGGUCCCCGAGAGCUUGAUUUUCAGGACUUAGCUAAUUUUUGGCAUCUCACACUUGGGCCACGUUCGGGAACCGGUCCCUCACCACCAGGGACCGGUUGCAUCACGCAACCCCGCAACACCCAGCCGAGGGAACCGGUCUCUCACCUGCAGAGACCGGUCCCCGAGAGCAACUUCUGCCCAAUGAUGCCAUUUGCCUCAUUUGCUCUCGCGGACUCAACUCCAAGGCACUCUUUGUGCUUUGGACAUUCUCAACUCCCACCAAGGGUUUACUUGCGACAAUCAGUCGAUCCUGGGUGAAGUACAAUCCUCGUAUUUCGAGAAUUCACUUCCUUACACUUUUAUCAUAUAUAUUUGGAUGCCCCGGCUAGAUUAGUUGCAGCCACAGCACGUGCAUAUAUGUUAUAUCAGAUUAGCUGUAGUCUAUUUUCAAACCCCACCGGAUAUGGAGUUCACCUUAAGUGGCUGCCAUUUAUAGCGGAUUUUGAUGCAUGUGGCGGUUUAGCCUGGGGUGCAACAGCACUGGCCUAUCUAUAUCGAGCAUUGGGAUCGGCUGCAUUAAAAGGAAAGGUCGAAUGCUGUUGCUUCGCGACAUUAGUACAGGUAUUAUGAGUAAUAUAUAAUAAUUGUUAUAUAAAGCUUCUCCUUUUUAAUUUCACUUGUUUAAUUUAUUGUCAUUUAUUUAUAGAUUUGGGCGUGGGACCAUCUUCAUGUCGGCCCACCUACUAGCGUUGGAGCUAUUGCCGACAUGGCUGAUUGCCCUUUGGGUUGUCGAUAUGAUAUAUGAAUUUGAUACAUAUUACAUUUCUAUAUAUACAUUUGCAACUAACACGUAUACUUUUCCAAUAUUAGGUGGACGAACGCCGGCGUGUUACGUUUUGGAGCAAACGUUAGAACAACAGAUAUUGAAUUCUACCAAGAUGAGUUAGAUCAGCAGAGAAAGUCCCAGGUACGUAUUAAUGCUACCAAUUUUUUUAAUAUACAACCGUAUUAAUGCAUUCAGCUGACUAUUAUUGGCUUUUUCAUAGAUUACAUAGCGGCCGUACACAGAUGCUAUUAUAGAUGCGCUAUCGGCAUUCUAUGUACAGGGCAGUGAGGUAUGGUGAUCGAGGACGACACUGAUUUCUUUUCAUAUCGUUGAGCUUCACGUGCCGGAUCGAGUCCUACGGCAGUUUGGUCUCCACCAGCAUAUACCCAUUCAGGUGGAGACCAUCCGUCGCGUCACAUCUCAGGGGGCGGCCAGAUGAGGAUUGGACCCAUUUUCAUGCUGCACACAUCAAGAGAUGAGGACAAAGAUUACAGGCCAUUAUUGACCAGCAUCCGAUUGUCGAUGAUGACUCGGUACAGGCGACUUCUAUUUAUAUGGAGUGGUAUUGGCAGAUCACGAGAAGAUGGAUUUCUCGUCCAGUACAGCGUCCACUAUUGACUUACCAGCCUCGGGGCCAGAUCGAGAGAGCUUUGGUACGAUCACUCAUAUGCUAAUUAUUUUUUUAAUCAUAUAUAUAUUAUAGAUUGCCAAAAGUGAGUUUUUAUCGAUAAUGCAGGUAGACGCAUUACGACAGUCUCAGUAUAGCAUCGGACAGCUAGUUCGUGAUCAACCUUCUUACGAUACGAUGCUGGAGAUAUUGACGGGCAUGUAUGCCCACAUUGAGUCAGUACUGGAGUACAUUCCUUUCAUACCUAUUGCCGCUGAUAUCGGAGGUCGAGAUUUUGGUCAUGCCUCGACAUCGGGUCAUCACAAGAGACAAUCACCGACAUCUACUGGAUCAUACUCGAGAUCGAGCCUGCGAGUGUCACGAUCUCCAUCUCCUACUGAUGUUGCAGAUAUGCCCGCCGCCCCUUCAAGAUUUCCUUCUUGCCAUUGGACUUGGACUCGCUUCCGCCGCCAGUCUCUCGAGAGCACUUUAGAUUAGUCUACUAUUGACGUCAUGCCGCGUCAUCAUGACAGGCCCGCCUAGCAUCUACAUCGGCCACUAUCGAGGGUGAUCGACCUGAGCCAGAGGAGACUCAUGCGAUUCCGGAGCAUCCCGAGGGCAUUAUCAUUGCGGAUCUCGAUCAGAUGGCCGGUAUCGAGGCACUUGAUGACGUACCUACUGCUGAGCUCGAUGUACAGGGUGGCCGUAUGUGACACCCCAAUAGUCCCACAUCGGAUGGAAAAGGGGUUGUCAUUGGGUUUAUAUGAGACUUAGACACUAGUAAUAAUAACUGGGCUUAAGCAUUUUGGGCCGGUGGUUGGGCCCAACGAGUUAUUGUUGCUAGUGGGCUGGGUCGUUACAUUUGGUAUAAGAGCCAGUUUACCAGCUGGACAUGUGUGGCGAGUCUCGGCUGAGCCAAGGUCUAGAUGACGGGCUAGCGAGACGAGUCUCACAUCGCCUGGUGAUCUUGGGCUGUGUGUGUGAUUGGACUGACGAGGACGUCAGGGCCUUAACGGGGGGAGUCUGUGACACCCCAAUAGUCCCACAUCGGAUGGGAAAGGGGUUGUCAUUGGGUUUAUAUGAGACUUAGACACUAGUAAUAAUAACUGGGCUUAAGCAUUUUGGGCCGGUGGUUGGGCCCAACGAGUUAUUGUUGCUAGUGGGCUGGGUCGUUACACUGUAGAUGUGGACGUGGCCGUGGCCAAGGAUGUGGCCGAGGACGUCGAGGGAGAGGAAGAUCAAGAGACUGAUUGUAUAUUUUUUUUAUUUUGAGAGCAUUCGUUGUAUAAUAUUAUAUAAUACUUUAUUUAGUUCAUAUUUGUAUAUUUGUCUGUGUUUUUUUUAUAUUUUUACCUAGUUGAUUGUAUCUUGUUAUUCCACUUGUGAUGUUGUGUUUCUUGUUGGAAUAUUUGUUAUCGUGAAAAAACUUGCCUCAAACUUGUUCUAACUUGUUUUUAAAAUCGAGCUGAAUUUAUCACCUGCUGCAUGUUUGCACUAAAGGCGGUGAAUGGUUCACCGCCUCUAGUGCAAAUCCACGAAGCCCUCCACGAAGCUGCAAAAAAAUGGCUAUUUCCUAGACUGGGGGCUGUUUACAUUAAAGGCGGUGAACUAUUCACCGCCGUUAGUGUAGCACAAAUAAGACGGUAAACCAUUCACCGUCUUAUCAGUGUUUUAGCCCGAACUCCAGGACUUAGCCAAAUUAGGCUGGGUGGGAGUUUACUCUAAAGACGGUAAAUCAUUGACCGUCUUAUGAAGACGGUGAACAAUUCACCGUCUUAUAUAGGCCACAAAACCGUCGACUUUUGCGGGGAUUUGCUGCGAAGGUGGUGAAUGGUACACGCCUUCAGAAGGCGGUCAACCAUUCACCACCUUCUCUAGGACACCUUGGCAAAGCCGGGGUUGGGAUUUGCCGAGAAGACGGUAAACUAUUCACCGCCUUCUCUAGGGCACCUUCGGAAAGCAGGGGAGGGGUUUUGCUCUAAGGGAAAGCGGGGGAGCGGUUUUGCUCUAAAGGCGGUGAAUGGUGGUGAACGAUUCACCGCCUUAUGAAGAUGGUGAACGAAUCACCGUCUUUGCGAGAAAAAUCUGAGGUGGCGCCGACGUGGCGAAAUGAGGGUUAGUUUUACAAAUAAAUUUUUCAGAGGGUCAUUUUGCCAAUUACAAAAUUUUACAGGGUUAUUUUCAAAAAAAGCCCUGAUAUUAUUAUUAUUAUUAUUAUUAUUAUUAUUAUUAUUAUUAUUAUUAUUAUUAUUAUUAUUAUUAUUAUAAAAUAUUAUUAGUGAACCAUACACUACAAAUAUAAAAUAUUUUAACAAUAAAUUUUUAAUUAAUAUUUUUAUAUUUAUAUUAUUUUAUUAUUUUAACUAUUAAUUCAAUAAAUUUAAAUAAAUAUAAAAAUAAUUUAAAUUAGUUUAUAUAAGGUUUUCUUUUUAAUAUUUAGCCCCUCAAACAAAAAUUUUCAUAAAUAGUCCGAUAAAAUUUAUAUUUGCAAGAUUAGUUGUAUUCCCGCCACGGAAGCGCCAUAUAAGCGCCACGUGAGUAUGGAUGAUGGUGCAGAUUAAAUUGAACAUGGUGAAUCAUUCACUGUGUAGGAACACGGUGAAGGAUUCACCGUGUUCCAUUAUUUUCCUACCAAGUAAUAUUUAGGGUUAUGGUUUAGGAAAGACACGUUAAACCAUUUACUGUGUUCAACUUAAUAUUGCGCUCGCGUUGCGCUUCCAUAGUAGGGAUAGGGCCUAUCUUACAAUAUAAAUUUUGUGGGGCUAUUUGUGAAAAAGGAAAAUCUAAGGGGGCUAAAUGCAAAAAAAGCUCACUAUGUAUGAUAUAAUUUUUUGUAAAAAUUUACCAAUAAUUAAAUCAUUUUAUGAACGGAUGUGAAAAAAAAAAUUAUUAGAACGGAAACUACUAAAUUAUUUUUAAAAACUUUAUAUAAAUUUAAAAUUUAAUAAAUUUAAUAGAUAUAGUAAUUGUUAGUUAUUGGUUAUUUAAUUUUAUUUCAUUAAAAUUAAUUAUAAUUAUUGAAUUUGGCCAAAUUUUGAAUAAAAUUUAAUAAAAAUUUUGUUUAGUUAACUAAACCUAAUCAUAAAAAAUCAGAAAUUAUACAGAAAUUAGUUAAAAUUAAAUAAAUUUGAGAGAUCUAUUAAAAAGCAUCCUAAUAGUUGAAGGGGCUCUUCACAUAUUUUUUUACCAAUACUUUUUUUUUUUUGGUGAAAAUGUAAAAGGACAUCCUCACCUAUUGACAAUUUUGAUAUGGACCCUUUAUUUUUUCAGGCCAUUAUAAAAAAGAUCCCUAGUUAUUUUUUUUCCAUACAAAUUCAACUUUAAUUUUUAAUAUAAAUUAUUAUCUUACUUAAAUUAAAUUUUUAUUAAUGUACUAACACUAUUAACUAUUAGCUAUUAAAUUAUAUAAUUUUAUUUUACAAAUUUGGUAAAGUUCCUAAGAAAUUCUUAGAAUCUCUAAUUUAAUUAAUUCCAAUAAUUCAAUUCCAAGAAAAGAUAAAAAUUUAAUAAAUCUAAACAAUAAUUUAAGGCUAAAUUGCAAAAAAUGCUCUACCACUUUAUCUCUCGCCUCAAUAAUCCCCGCACUAAAAAUUACACAAAUUACUCUCCUAUAUUUUGCCAUUAUUUCAAAAAAGCUAUAAAAUUUUUUAAAAAUAANGGCCCCGCUGUUUGCUGUUCGGCUUUAAGACUUUAAUACAAUUUCUCAAGAUAAAUGACAAAAACUGCACUCCCCGCAACAGGGAUAAUAGUGCAACGCGAAAAAGCAAUGCCAGAAAAAAUGGUGCAACUGCCCUUCUAACAUGCAACGUAGGGUAAAAGACUACAACUGUGAUUGUAAUAGUGCAAUGUGGUCGACAGAAUAGUUCAAUGGUUUUAGGAAGCGGAGGCGUCGGAGAAGAGACCGAACAGCAAACACUAGGUGCGGAGUAGGAGGAGGCUCCACCACCUCUUUAUUGCCGCCGCCGCCGUGGCGCUUCACCUCCGCGCACCAGGGAUAAUAGUGCAAGGCGAAGGUUCUACGGCAGGAGAAAUAGUGGAACGAACCUUCUAACAUGCAACCGUAGCCUCGUUCUAGUGCAACCUCUCCAUAACCAAUCAAAAUUUUACUUAUUUUAUUUCAUAAUGUAAUCUUAAGCUAAUAGUAAAAAUGAAAGGACAUGGGGGCCGUCGAUAAUACCGGGGCGGAGUGGGAGGAGGCUCCACGAUGUCUUUAUCGCCGCCGCCGCCGUGUCGACUUCACCUCCGCGCGCCAGGGAUAAUAGUGCAACGCGAAGGUUCUAUGGUAGGAGAAAUGGUGCAACGGCCCUUCUAACAAUGCAUCCGUAGCAUCGUUCUAGUGCAAUCUCUCCAUAACCAUUCAAAAUUUUACUUAUUUUAUUUCAUAAUGUAAUCAUAAGCUAAUAGUGCAAAUGAAAGGGCAUGGGGGUCGUCGAAAAUACCGGGGCGGAGUGGGAGAAGGCUCCACCACCUCUUUAUCGCCGCCGCCACCAUGUCGACUUCACCUCCACGCGCCAGGGAUAAUAGUGCAAGGCGAAGGUUUUACGGCAGGAGAAAUGGUGCAACGACCCUUCUAACAGUGCAUCCGUAGCAUCGUUCCAGUGCAACCUCCCCAUAACCAUUCAAAAUUUUACUUAUUUUAUUUCAUAAUAUAAUCAUAAGCUAAUAGUGCAAAUGAAAGGGCAUGGGGGCCGUCGAAAAUACCAGGGCGGAGUGGGAGGAGGCUCCACCACCACUUCAUCCCCGCCGCCGCCAUGUCGCUUCACCUCCGCGGGCCAGGGAUAAUAGUGCAACGCGAAGGUUCUACGGCAGGAUAAUGGUGCAACAACCAGUCUAACAGUGCAUCUGUCACGCCCCGAGACCGGCACCAAUUUGGCCCGACCCGAGCACGUCAAACAGACGCCGAACGGACAGAGUUUCCCCUGUCCGCCCAAGGCUCAUCACAUGUACAAAAUUCAAACAAGAAUUGCACUAGCGGAAACAUACACAAACGGCUUACACGAGGGUAAGCAAAAGCCAUUAGUGAAAGAAAAAGGAAAACUAAACAUUCACUUGUACUAUGAUUCAGUUUUGAUCAUAUACAUUGCAUUCAUCUUGUUCAUUUUCGAAUUCCUUACAUUUCCUUACAUCAUUUCAUCAUUUCUUUCUUACAUCACGUUUACCUCAAAACAAGCUUUACAUUCUUUCUUUACAUCACUAAUCAUCAAGUACAAAAGAUGAUAAAAGGGUGUCUACUAACAAAAUGUAACCCAACAUUGGUGGCCUUUGACUACGGUGCGAUACCUUUACCGCGGUCGCUCGCCGGCUCACUCGGUCCCGGCUCUGUGGAAAUAGUGGGGUGAGAACUACAACAAAGUUCCCAGUGGGUUCGGCCUCAACAUCACCGACUUUCCCACUAGGACUAACUCAGGCAUAAUAGAAAGGAUAAGCUGAAAUAUAGUAACCAAUCUACAACAUGAUGCUAAUAUGCCUGAACAAAAUCAAGGAAUAUGCUCAACAUUAAACAGAUGCAGAUUAUGCAAGUUCUUUCGUUCUUUACACUUUACACUUUACACUUUGUUCUUUGCUCUUUGUUCUUUACUCUUUAAUCUCAAGGCUAACCCGGGGGUUUCGCCACAUUAACUUGCUUCACAUUAAGUCCAUCAUCGCAGGAACUCACCCGCUAGGACCGUCCUUACGGGUUUACUCCAACACGGAUGCAUAACUCCGGAGCGCAUCGCCGAGGGGAAGCGACCGGCCUCGAGACGUCGAACUAAUAGCAAGCAUGAUCAUAUCCUUACUGCAAAUGAUUUUAAUAAGUUCAAUCUUGACUUUACACUAGCUUUAGUGUUCAUUAUACUCAUUUAUGUUGGCAAAUCAUGCAAUCACGAAUUCUUUCGUUUUUUUAUUUUGCUAACUCUAGCAAUUUAUUCUUUACAUCUUUCUGUUUUGGCCCUACUCCUAGCACUUCGUCGUUCUAUUAUUUCCCACACUCUACUUUUAACCUUAAAAACAUAGUCUUUUUAUCAUUUCCUUUACAUUGCGUUUUGGUUCGUUUGCACUCACACGUACUCUAGUGUUCUCUUUACUUUACAUUUUAAUGGCCACUCGAUUCAUACUGUCAUUUGCACUCUGUUCGAUUUUGCUCACUUUGGAAGUACUCCAUUCUUUCUCUAUGCAUACAGUCUAGUGUUUUGGACAUUAUUAGGUGUCGUAACCAUUCAUUAUGCAAGUUAGUGUCACAAUCAUGCAAUUCAUACAUUUCAUCCUUACUUACCAUAAAAUGCAUGCAACAGUAUAUAGAAAAUGAUGCUCAAAGAAUGGACACAUUAAGGAUGAGAGAAUUUCAAUCGAGUUUUGAAAAAGCUCCCCUGAUGAUAGGUCUUAUUUAGGUGCUCGGUGUUUCUUGGUGAUUUUUAUGAACAGUCAUAUUGUUUCUGUUACCAUAACAGGCAAAACACGAACUUUUUAGGUUCCCAUUUUGCCCUUACUUGCUUUGACUUUCGUUAAAGUUUAUAAAGUUCCCUUAGACGCCAACCAGAGCCGUCGGAAAUAACCCCCAAUCUAGAUUGUUGUAAGCUGUGCAAUUGUCAACUUAGAAAUCCCCAUGAGCACAAAAUGCUUUCAUUUGGGUCGGCCCUAGUCCAAUGUAAAUCAAAAGACUAGGGGAUCAAUUGAUCUCAUUGGGAAGCAAAGUAGCUUAUGUACACUCUAAUUAUUCCAUUAAACCCAAUUAUUAGGCCUUUCAAAACCUAGUUAGUUGGAUAUUCACCAUAGAGGUGGGUUGAAGCUCACCUUGAGCUCAACCAUGGUUUUGAUCUUUCUAAAGAAGCAAAAGAAAGCUUAAUACUCUUAAAAACUCACAUAAAAACAAUUCUAGGCUUACCCAAACCCUAGUUUGGAGAAUCAUCGAAAGGGGCAAAGCUUACCUCAAGCUUGCCUAACUUGACUAAGAGAGAAGAAGAUGAAGCUACCUUUUGAUAGAAUGAUGUUUCAACUUCUCUUUGAUCUGUUUUUCACUUCUCGUUCUCUCGUCCUUCCUUACCUUCUUUUCUUCUUUCUCUUCUCUACCUUUGAUAUUCUUGUGAGAGAGGGAGAGAAGAGAGUGUGAGAGGGUGAGAAUGAGAGAAAUGUCUCAUUUACCCCAAUACUAUACUCAAUGGGUUGCAAAAUUGCAGCUAAACCCCUCAACUUUCACUUUAAUACACUGCCCGAACUGGGCAGUUCGCGCAGGCAGGGACCGGUCUCUCCCUUUAGGGACCGGUUCCCGAACGUUGUCCCAGCACAGCCAGAGCUGCUGCGCGCAGUGCAACCGGUCUCUCUCUGUGGGACCGGUCUCUCGGGGACCGGUCUCUCAGGCAGGGACCGGUUCCCGAGAGCUACUUUCUCAGGACUUAGCCGAUUUUCCGGCUGUCUCAUUUCAUACGCAUUCGGGGACCGGUCUCUCCCACUAGGGACCGGUCCCCGAGAGCUGAAAAUCUGCAGUUUUGCAGAAUUUGAUUCUUUAGCUCUCGAAAACCUUCCACAACUCACUUUUGAUCAUUUUUAACACCUUCGGACUUUCCGAAGUGUGCCAUCCUCGCACUUUGGUCAAUUUGACUAAAGUUCGACAUUUAUUUUCCGAAUUUUCGGUAUAUUACAACAUCCGUAGCCUCGUUCCAGUGGAACAUCUCGAUAACCAGUCAAAAUUUUACAUUAGGAAGCUUUCAUGCACUCUUUUACCGCAUUUUGUAUUAUCGUCAAAGUCAAUGAAUAUUUUUAUACUAUAUUAAUAAAGAGAUCCCUUUCUUUACAUUGUUACGUCGUGGAUCUAAAUACAUCUGUAUAAUUUAUUAUUUUGUUGCACUGCGUUGAGCAUUAUUACACUAUUACAGCUAAUUUUGCACUAUUACUUCCGUCCAAUAUGCCAUUCUUUGGCUAUUUAACACGAUUAAAAAGUGCAACGCAUUGUAAACGAGCUCAACCAUGUUCAUUUAAGUGCAAUAAUAUCGUAGUAAUCGUUCAAUAGUUUAAAGUAAUGGUGGAACGACUCAAACCUUUUAUACAGUGCAACCUUUCCCGAGGAAACUUCGUUGUGUCCGCCGGUGUCCCUUCGCCUCACUUACCGGCCACCGCCAUCUUCGCUCACCCACUCGAGUAUAACGUUCACAUCAAUGUACUUACACUGUCGCAAUAUUUAAUGCGACUGGCGUGUGAAACGCUAUUCGCCAUUGCCGGUGUUUGCUGUUUGUUUCUCGCUAUUGUCUGUUUGUAGUGCUUACGUUUUAUGUUUUGUAUGGAUUCUUACGCUGUUUUCUGAAUAGGUUGGCCCAUACUAGCAUCCCACUAACUUUCAAACUGCUGUCGCUCCCCAUUACCCUAUUCUAAACCUUCACUGCGAAGCAAACUGCCUUGCAACCCCCAUAUUUCCUAGCAACCGCAUUGCUCUUUGUGACCACCAUCUUCUGCUUCGAAUCCCAUCGGUCAAGAAACGACCUAUCUAAAUCUACGUAGCUUGUAAUGGCGUCGAAGUCGUCGCAUUCUACUGAUUCAUUGGCUUCCGGCGGCCGCAAGGCACCUUCGCGGCCGGUUGCCGGCGGCCCCGCCGAUAGAUUCAUUGUGAAUUCGCGGUGUUUCGUCGGAGCAUACAGGAAGACUUAUGCAUCUGUCGUGAAGCCGCAUCAUCUCCCCGUUAUCCAACGGACGGUAUUCGGUAAUAUCUUACACUUCCCCGACAUCACCUCAGAUAGGCCCAUGCUGGAGUUAAUCCUCCGACAUUGGAAGGAGGGUGUAGAAUUCGAAAUAGGCCCUCAAGUUAUACGCUUCACAGCCAAGGAGGUGGCAGUUCUUCUUGGAUUACCCCUGUCGAGCCAGGCUCUAGACCUAACCCUCAAUUUAGGGUCGGAUAUUCAUAAUCAGUUUCUUGAGAGAAAGAAGGUCGACCGCAAGAACCUGGAGGUGAUGUUAAAGGAGAUGUCAAAUAAGCAGGGUGAAGAGGACAUUACCGACUUCGUCAAAUUACUUAUUGUUUAUUUUUUUUGUUGUAUUCUUUUCACCAAUACCAAUAAUCUCUGCCCCGAAAGACUGGUGGGGCUUGUAGAUGAUCUCCCCACACUGUCACGGUACAAUUGGCUGGAAGCAGUACACCGGCUUAUAAUUGACAGCCUAUGCUCCGCCGCGGCCAAAUUGCAAGCUAAUUCGAAGCGGGUAGGAUACGUUCUUGGAUGCACCCCGCUUCUCCUAGUAAGUGUAUAUUGUUCAAGUAAUCGUGCAAGAUAAUUAUUAUGUGUUUUCAAUCGUUCAUGCGUGUACAGAUUUGUAGUGUAAUCGUGCGAAAAUAAUCUAUUGUAUGCUUAAAUCUAGUAACUGUGUAAUGUAAUAUACCGAAAAUUCGGAAAAUAAAUAUCGAACUUUAGUCAAAUUGACCAAAGUGCGAGGACGGUACACUUCGGAAAGUCCGGAGGUAUUAAAACGAUCAAAAGUGUGUUGUGGAAGGUUUUCGAGAGCUAAAGAAUCAAAUCCUGCAAAACUGCAGAUUUUCAGCUCUCGGGGACCGGUCCCUGGUGGGAGAGACCGGUCCCCGAACGCGUAUGAAAUGAGACAGCCGAAAAAUCGGCUAAGUCCUGAGAAAGUAGCUCUCGGGAACCGGUCCUUGUCCGAGAGACAGGUCCCCGAGAGACCGGUCCCCCAAAGAGAGACCGGUUGCCCUGCGCGCAGCAACUCUGGCUGCGCGGAGAGAGCCUUCGGGAACCGGUCCCUGAAGGAGAGACCGGUCCCCGAGCCCGAAAUCUGCCCAGUCCAGGCAGUUGAAUAAGAUGAAAGUUGAGGGGUUUAUUUGCAUUUUUGCAACCUAUGGGUUAUGUAGAGGGCUGAGAGAGCCUUUUCUCUCAUUCUCUCCCUCACACACACUCCCUUCUCUCCCUCUCUCUCUCUAGAAGACAAAGGAGAAGAGAACAAAGAAAGAAAAGAAGGAAAAGAAGACAAAGAAGGUGAAGAAGAAGCUUUUGGAGCAAAGAGGCUUCAUCUCCUUCUUCUCUAGUGCAAGAAAAUGAAGCUUACAAGGUAAGCUUUGAACCCUAAUGUAGUAAAACCCUAGAAAUGGGUUUGAAUGAACCUAGAAAUGGUUUCUAAUGGAAUAUCUAGUAGUUUGAAGCUUUCUUUUUGCUUCUUUAGAGAUCAAAACCAUGGUUGAGCUCAAGGUGAGCUUCAACCCACCUCUAAUGGUGAAAUCUAAUCUAGGAUUUUGGAAAGCCUAAGAAUGGUUCUAAUGGACUAUUUAGAGUAUAUUGAAGCUACUUUUGCUUCCCAAUGAGAUCAAACCCUAGGUUUUGAUAUACAUGGGAGCUAGGGCACCCAAAUUGGGGCUUUUGCUCAUGAGGGUUUCUAAGUGCAAUUGGCCCUCUAGAAAUCUAAUUGGGGGUAUUUCCGACGCGUUGGUGCGUUCGAAUUAACGUUACGAAAAGUCUAUAGAAAGAUAUGGGCAAAAUAGCCUAAGUUGGCUUCGUUUUGCCGCAGGUGAAGAACGAGGAGCCUAUAAAUCCCAAGAAAAUCGUCGGAGCACCUAAAUAGACCUACGAGGUGGGUGGUGCUUCUCAAACUCAUUGAACUUCUCUCUAUGCCUAAUGUGUCAUUCAUUGAGCAUGUGUAUAUAUAUUGUUGCAUGCAUUUUAGGUAAAGUAAUGAUGAAAAUGUGAUGUUGCAUGAUUGUGAGUACAACUUGCAUAAUAUGAUGAAUAAGAACUAUGUAAAUGUCAAAAACCCUAUGUGUAUGCAUGAGAGAAAAGUGAGCACCCAAGGUGAGCAAAAGAACAGAGUGACACAAUGACAUAGAUCGAGUGGCAUUUGAUAAAGUUAAAGUGAAAUGACACUAGAGAUAGUGUGAGGUAAAGAACCAAUGUAAUGUAAAGAAUGACGAAAAUGACAAUAUGUAUAAAGUUAAAGUAAAGUGGGGCAAUAAGAACAAGAAAUGUAAAGAACAAGAAUGUUAAAGAUGGCAAAAGUAAAAGAAAAGUAAAGAACAAUGAUUGCUAGAGUUAGCAACAUAAAGUGAUGAAAGAACACUAGAGCUAGUGUAAAGUCAAGAUUGAACUUAUAAAUCCUUUGAGUUAAGGAUAUGAUCAUACUUGCUAUGAGUUCCGUGCUCGAGGGCGGUCGCUCCCCCUCGGGCGAUGCGCUCCGGAGUUAUGCAUCACGGGUUGGAGUAAACCCGAAGGACGGUCCUAGCGGGUGAGUUCCUGCGAUGAUGGACUUAAUGUGAAGCAAGUUAAUGUGGCGAAACCCCCGGGUUAGCCUUGAGAUUAAAGAAUAAAGAACAAAGAGCAAAGAACAAAGAACAAAGUGUAAAGAUAAAGAACGAAAGAAUUUGCAUAAUCUGCAUAUGUUAAUGUUGAGCAUAUUCCUUGCUUUUGUUCAGGCAUAUUAGCAUCAUGUUGUAGAUUGGUUACUAUAUUUCAGCUUAUCCUUUCUAUUAUGCCUGAGUUAGUCCUAGUGGGAAAGUCGGUGAUGUUGAGGCCGAACCCACUGGGAACUUUGUUGUAGUUCUCACCCCACUAUUUCCACAGAGCCGGGACCGAGUGAGCCGGCGAGCGACCGAGGUAAAGGUAUCGCGCCUUAGACAGAGGCCACCAGAAUUGAGUUGGGUUUGCAUUUUGAUAGUGGCUACCCUAUGUUCAUCUUCUGUACGUGAUGAUUAGUAAUGUAAAGAAAAGAAUGUAAUGUGUAUUUUGAGGUAAAUGUGAUGUAAGAAAGAAAUGAUGAAAUGAUGUAAUGAAACGCAAAGAAUCCUAAAUGUAAGAAAUGGAUGCAAUGUAUAUGAUCUAAAAUGAAUCAUAUUACUUGUGUAGAAGUUUAGUUUUCCUAUCUUUCACUAAUGGCUAUUGCUUACCCUCGUGUAAGCCGUUUAUGUAUGUUUCCGCUAGUGCAUUUCUCGUUGAAUUUGUACGUGUGAUGAGCCUUGGGCGGAUAGGGGAAACUCUGUCCGUUCGGCGUCUGUUUGACGUGCUCGGGUCGGGCCAAAUUGGUAUCGGUCCCGGGGCGUGACAGUGUAAACUCUAGUGUAAUAUUGUCUUUGUAUUCAGGUGUGGAUAUACGAGCACACUGGAUAUAGAUGUCCCCUGCCUUCCCAUCGUGCAAUAUUUUCUCGUGUCCAGAGGUGGGAUACGAUUAGAUGGUCUCGUCGUUCGCGGGGAUCAUCGAGAGUGAAGGAAGAUUUUAACUUCACUACAUGCUGCCGCAGGCUUGACCUCUCCCCGGAGGAACUACGCCUGGUGGGUGUCGUGGCUCAAGUUCCACGGCGCCACCGCCGCCCCAGGAAUGAGGAACCUCCGGGGGGUUAUAAAGAGGUGAUGGCGGCAAUUAGCCGUCUGGAGUCCGUGGUGUUCAGUCUUGCCACCUCCGUUGCCGGCAUACUGAGCAAUCCGGCACUCCUACCAGCACCAAAAUCCACCCUGGCACCUAUUGGAAGUAUCAAAAGCAAGAAGAGGAGACAUGAAGGAGUGCAAAUACCAAGCCCUCCACCGUCUAAAUCAUCUAAGCGAUCGACACAGGGAGCUAAAAAAGGAAAGAUAGGAACGUCCAUAUUGGCGAUGCCCGCACCGAUCUCGGCCAUUAAGGCGAAGCCCGAAAUCGGUAAAGAACGGUCGAGAUCUUCUUCGAAAUCUAGAAAGGAUGGGGCACGCCAAAAACUAGAGAGUCCGCCAAAGGCUCCCAAGGACUCUCGUAAAAAUCGCACGCUGGGGAGGGGCAAACGAUUUCGAAGCCGUACAAUCUCCGACCUCGCUGGGGAUGAAAGAAUAAAGCCGACGACCCAAUUGCCGACGUAUGCGACGUCCUUAUUAUUUUACAUUCUCAACAAACGAUUGAUUCUAAUAUGGCAUCUCCAUAAUAGUGUAACUCUACAAGACUUGGAUUAAUAAAAUCAUGUUUUAGUUCUAUAAUUGUGUAACCUUUAUUAUAAUCGUGCAUCAUAUUUUAGAGUAGUGUAACAUAGAACACAUUAUUUAUAUGCAGGUCCCCCCACCGAGACGGAGCGUCAAGUCACAAUCGCCGCGCCCGCUCAAUAUAUAUGAAGAAAAUAUCGAAGAAAGCGACAGUCGAACAGCGGGACUCUUCGCCAGCGAGUCAGUUUUGCAUAGAGAUGAAGUAUGUAAUAGUGUAAGUUGUAAUUAAAUAGUGUAAUUCCUAACGAAUUUGUUUAUGUGAUGUCAAAUAUUUUUUGAAAAUGUCAGCUGAUGGACAUCGUCAUCGAAAUAUGUGAAGACAUCCAACCGUUAUCUUCACUACUAGAGGUGCCGGCGGCAGAGGAAAAGGGGGAGGAGGAGGCCGCGGAGAAAGCGGCCGCCGAGAAAAUUGUGGAGUCGGCUGUUGGGGCGGUGGAGGUGGAGGUUGCACCAGUGACAGCGCCGGCGGCGGAGGAUGCAUGCUCUGAGGAAAAGUUGGAGGCGGCGACAGCUCCGGCGGAGGAUGAAGAAAAGGAGGAGGUGGAGGCUGCACCAGUGACAGCGCCAGCGGCGGAGGAUGCAGGCUCUGCGGAAAAGGUGGAGGCGGCGACAGCACUGGCGGAGGAUGAAGAAAAGGAGGAGGUGGAGGCUGCACCAAUGACAGCGCCGGCGACGGAGGAUGCAGGCUCUGAGGAAAAGGUGGAGGCGACGACAGCUCCGGCGGAGGAUGAAGAAAAAGAGGAGGCGACGGCGGCGGCGGAGCAUGUGGUUAAGGAGGCGAAGGCGGCGGCUGAUGAUGUGGUAAAGGAGGCGAAGGCGGCGGCGGAGGAUGUGUUCCCGGCGCCUACCCACACUGCGAAGUCUUCCAUGCCGGAACCCAGCACUAUACCGGUAUGUGAAUAUUGCACUAUUAUCGAUCUUUAAUGCGAUUUAGCUUAUAAUAGUGUAAUAAGGUCCAGUAAUGGUGUAAUUCAUUGAGUGUAACAGCUUAUAAUAGUGUAAUAAGGUCCAGCAAUGGUGUAAUGCAUUGAGUGUUUAACUCUUUAUUUGAUUUCUAUACAGCCCCCAAUAAUUAUCGACAUCCUGGAGUUGAAAGAAACGUAAAAAAAACAAAAGGCCCAAAAACUUAAAUUGAAGGUACCAUUAUCUUCAGCUAAUCGGGAUUUAAAAUACGACGGCAAGGGAGAGUUACCAAAGGAGGAUCAAGAGCGAAUUGAAAAAUUCCUGACAAGUACCAAUACCGAACCAGUAAGAGUGCCUUCGAAGGGUAUUGACAUCGGGAGGAUUGACUUCAUUGACCUAACAAGUCAUAUGGCCUUUGUCAGCUCUGAUAUUAUCGACGCCUACCAGCAUUUACUGGAGUAGGCAGAAGGCCACAAGUGCAUAUACACCACGUCCUUCCUUUGUCAGACAAUAGGAACAUCAAUGAACCCCGCCGAGAUGUUUUUGCAAGACAUCAACGAGGAGGUGAUUACUGGGGCAAAGUACUGGUUCAUCCCACUCUUCCACUCCGACCACUGGCAUUUGCCAGCGGUCGAUCUCCAAGCCGGAAAGUACAUCCACCUAUCGUCCAUUAAAAAUCCUAAAUACAACGCUGGGUUUGAGACAGCGGUAAGUAUUUUCUUUUUAUAUAUAUAUAAAANUAUAUAUAUAUAUAUAUAUAUAUAUAUAUAUAUAUAUAUAUAUAUAUAUCGUCCAGUAAAAACCAGGCUUUCUAAUUAGUCCAAUGUUUUCUUAUGUAGUGUAAAUACAUAGGUAAUUUUUUGCAAAAUAAAUUUUUCGAUUUGUUUCUUCGCCGCGGUACCCGUCCAGUCGACUGGGAGAUGAUCAACAGGGAUGACAUCCCGAUGCAAGAUCAAUCAAAUGAUUGCGCAAUCUUCCUUUUAACAUACGAAGAAUACUUGCAGAAGGGGUGGAACUUGAACUUCUCCCAGAAAGAUAUAACGAAGAAACGCGAGGAGAUAACAACAGAAUUUUUGCGGCAUUUUUACUCACAAUAAUUCUAGCCUUAUUCAUUCGAUUAACAAAUCUUUAAUUUGUAUAGUCAAUUUAUUUUUAUUGACUCCAUCCGUGUAACAGUGCAAUGUAAUGUACAUAAUGGUGCAUUUUAUUGUAAAAGUGGUGUAAAAAAAUUCAUCUUAUAUUAUAACGGUGCAAUGUAAUAGACAUAAUAGUGCAAUUUUUUGAAGAAGUGGUGUAAAAGAAUUCAUGAUGAUUGUAACGUUGCAAUGUAAUAGACAUAAUAGUGAAAAGUUGUUAAACGAAUCCACUUGUAUUCUAACGGUGCAAUGUAAUUGUCACGCCCCGAGCUCCGCCGAUUUGGUCGGAUUCGAGCACAUGACAGACGCCGAACUGACAGUACCUCCCCUGUCCGCCCAAGGCUCCAACAACAAGUAUAAUACAAGCAAAUCAACAAGGAGAAUUGCGAGAUAUAUUAGGUUUGCACGAGGGCAAACAACAACCACAGUGAAAGCAUCGAACUAACUAAACAUCCAACAUACAUGUCAUUUGAUCUCAUUUGAAUCAAACACAAGUAGUCAAACACAUUUACAUUCAUUACAUUAUUCUUGCAUUACCCAAAAUACAAUUUACAUUACAUCACUUUUACUUUACAAUUUCAACAUACAAAAGUUGAAUACAUCAAGAGUAGGGUAUGCCUAUAUAACUCCGGGGUCGCUAUCUACGGCGCGACUCCCUUGCCUCGAUCCUCCGCCGCCCCGCUCGCAUAUGGAUCUGCAGGGUUAGUGGUAAUGAGAACUAGAACGAAGUUCCCAGUGGGUUCGGCCGCCGACCACGCCGAUUCGCCCACUAGGUCUAAUUCAGGCAUAUGUAUUUCAAUAAAGAAGAAUAACAAACCAACUAAUGCACUUCUAAUACAAUGCCUGCAAAAAAACGAUUCACAGAUAGAUAUUCAUAUUCAAAUACAUGAUUAUUAUGCAUGCAUGUUCUUUUCACUUUCCUUUGGCCUUUACCAAAUCAACCUGGGGUGCUCCUGGUUUACCCCAACUCACAGUCCGCACAUCCAUCUAACGGGGGAGGCACAAGGCACAACCACCCGAAGGAUCUUCGCUGGGCACGUCCACCCGUGGUGCAUUUCUUCUCCGGAGUACACCGCCCGUGGAGGAGCGACCUCGCACAAGCCGGAACCAAUACAUGUGAGUAUGAUCCCAUCCUCAAAUUUGAGGAGGUAUGGCCAACCUGUCACUGUCUCAAGGCCGAUGAAUGGUUACAACCUAUUCAUGCACAUACCGUCACUUGCCAAUGUCAUGGUGGUCCUAAUGCCACAAUACACAUAAUGUCACUCUGGUAAAACCUUGUUUAACUAUUCACUCAUCGAUGUCAAUCGAGUCACUAAUGUCCAUGUCGCCUUUGUUUACUACGGUCACAGUCAUUUCUUACAUUCACAUGCAUAUAGGGUCUUUCACUAUUCUUGUUCACAUGUUUCUAUAUCAUUACAAUAAUCUCACGCAGAUAAUUGUCACAACCAACAUAUACUGUUCAUUACCCUACAUGCAAGAAUGCCAUAAUCUCAACAUGCUCAAAGAAAGGAUAUAGACAUAGAAAGAGAUCCGGUAUUUCCGGAUAGCACCCCCCACCUUUAUGUGUCACAAGGAUGCCACGAUUCUGAUUCCACGAUUUUUAGGCUUGUUCGCCGCGAGCUACGGCGAUCUGUACUAUUUCAACUUGUUUUCUCAAUAUCUUCGCGCACGCUCGUCGUAUCGCCGAACCGAGCGCACCGACGCGUUCGUAGACCUACCAAUUUGGUUAAAAUGAGAUCAAAUCCAAGUUUGAACCUCAAAAUUACAAAAUCCUAAAUAUAGGUCCCUCGACAAAGUCAUCUUCCCCAACAUAGGUCCUUACACAUGAGAAACUUGGGGAAAAUACUCUAACCCAUCUCCUAGAAGCACACUAGAAGGAAAAAUCCAAACUCUAGCUCAAAACCCAUGAGAACUCACCUUUGGAGUCCAAAGCUUCCUUCAAAAGCUUUGAUCAACCUUGCUCUACACCUUGGAGAGCUUCUUCUCCAAGCUUGCUCCUUCAAAUCCCCUCUUGGUCCAAGCCCUAAAGAGAGAGAGAGAGAGAAGAGAAGGAUUUUAGAGAGAGAAAGGGAAGGUUUUGAGAGUGAGAGUGAGAGUGAGAACAAAUGGUUCUCACUCAUGCCCUAGCUCAAAUAACCCUUCACAUGCCAUAUUUGCAUCUAAACCCCUCAACUUUUCAUUUUUACAAACAACCCUCACUGGGCAUUUUCGGGCUCGGGGACCGAUCUCUCCCCUUCAGGGACCGGUUCCCGAGAGCUACCCUGCACUCAGCGCAGAAGGGGACCGGUCUUCCCCUGAUGAAACUGGUCUCCGGGGACCGGUAUCCCGCCGAAGGACCAGUUCCCGAGAGCUCAGUUUCCAGGACUUAGCCGAUUUUUCCCUCUGCUUGGCUGAUCAACGUUCGGGAACCGGUCUCUCAUCCAAGGGACCGGUCCCCGAGAGUAAAAAUUCUGGAAAUUUUCCAGAAUUGCAGUUUCACUCUCUCGGGUCCCUUUAUACUUCAUAUAUAGGCUCCAAUACACUUUUAGCCUAUAGUAACUCAUUCCUUUCCGUGUUCCACUCAUUUCGACGGAACUCGGCACGAUUUACGGAAAAGUGAUAUGUUACAGUAAUAGACAUAAUAGUGCAAUUGAAUGUUUAAGUGCGGUAGAGAAUCCAUGUUGGAUUGUAACGGUGCAAUGUAAUAGACAUAAUAGUGCAAUUCAUUGUAGAAAUUGGUGAUUUGUUUACGGCUAUUACACUAUUUUAUUUCCAUUCCCAAACAUCGAAAGUUGCUUUACCUUCCUGAGGCGUAAUUCUCUUACAAUCCGGUAAUUAUAUGAGGCCCAUGCGCUAUACGCAACAGCGCCGUUUUAUGAAAGAGCAUUAAAUGCAAGCCAUUAAAGAGCCAUUAAUGCAGCAAGCGCGGGAAACGCAGUUUUAGGGCGACGAUAUUCUAUUCGCCAGAGCCAGUGUUUGCUGUUAGUUUUUUGAUUUUUUUAUUUAUAUGAUUUGGAAGUGCAGCAGUACUUGUCUCAAGGACUGAAGGGAAUAUAAAAUCUAAUGAUGUCACUGUCGAUAUAUCUUGUUGAGGUACAGUUGAAUAUGGCACAGUUACCGAAAUAACAUAUAGAAAUUGAAUUUGAAAUAUCAUUGCAAUAGAUAGCAUAAUAGUGUAACAGAAGUCAAAAUUAGUGCAAUACAACCGCAUAUGCAUGGUCGACUUGUCCAAAUGGUGCAAGGCUUGCGUCGUUUGGAAAAAAUUCUGGCGGAUUAGAAAUAAAUUUUGGCGGGAACAGAAGUAUUAUUUUCCGCCCCAUGCACAACUUAACAACUCAUGCACGUAAACUGGAUUAUAUUAUAUAUUGAUGAAAGAGUGUUUUUGAAUAACUUUUAGCUAAUUUUCUGUAUCCAACUCUUACAAGUGAUGGAUAACGCUGAAAUUCCAGUGCACUACAAUUUUAAUGAACGUUUUAAGGAGGAAGGAGGCAUUGUCAAUUAUGUAGGAGGGUCCAGCCGGCUCAAUUUCAUCAGGCAAGGCGAUAAUUUUAAUUCCCUGCAAGCAAUGUUCUGCAAGUACAUGAAUACUUCACAGGAAUCCUGCAAGAUCGAAAUUAAACUUAGCUAUAGUGGGAAUCUCAGCAAACUCAUUGACAUUGUUGACGACGGCGAUCUCGGAAACAUACGGAGACUCUAUAAAACCAACGCGUAUCUGAUGGAGCUUUAUGCUGUGAGUAACUUAGUCGAGAGAAAGGUUGCUACUUGUGAUCCCGAUGAUAUAAACGAAUUGCUUACAGACGAACAGCUGGAGCUGUUGAUUAACAGCCGUUCUGGGGAUGCAUUUACUCCUUAGCAGACACAUUUUGAAAAAGUUGGCUCGUAAGUUACACUAUUAUUUUUUUUGCACCAUUACCGAGCCUUAUUGCACUUGUAACCUCUUUAUUUUCAGCGGUUGCACUACUCUCAAUGCACUUUUGCACCAUUAUAUUUUACCUCAUUCAAUUGUAAGCAAUAUAUAUUAUACGAUUGCACUAUUACAUAAUUUUUUCAUUAUAUAUUAUUUUUAUGUUGCACCGGUUCGUAAUAUCUUGCAUCAUUACUUCGACCUCUUGCACCGUAUGAACUUUACACAUAAGGGUUCUUGUACUAUUUAAUAUUUACAAUGCACUCCUUGCAUGCUUUCACUUAUGGUGCAGAUCUUCUUAUUCUAUUCUCAUUGACGAUGCGGAAGCGGCAGACAGUGACGACGGUUUUAUUAUUGCUGAUUUGAAAGACGAGUUAGAUUCCGACGAAAGAAACGGUAUCGUCUCGACUUCUCCCGACGCACCUCAUUGGACAUACAGCGCCAUGGAUAUCCUCCCGUUGCGGCAAAGCGAUGUAAUAGGACUUACUGCUGAGCAAUUUGGCCACGACGAGCUUGAAGAAGCCCUCAUUGUAAACAGCUCUACGAUGGAGUCAGUUGUUGAUGUCGCAGAUGCGGACGAUGUCCAUGAGGGCCAGCUCUACAAGAUGCAAGGCGACUUCUAACGAGCUCUCAAAGCAUACGCAAUGAAAAGAGGUUUUGAGUACGCACCGACGAAAUGCAACGACCAUAAGAUAACCGCACGAUGCCACGUCUUAUAUUGUCCUUGGAGAAUAAAGGCGCGUCAAGUACCAGGAAUUGCUCAAUAGUGCGUGAAGAAAUUUGAUUCGCAACACACUUGUAGCAGGGCAAUAGGGAGAUUGGGCCAUAGGAAUUGCGAUGCGGCUUUUAUAACAGCAUUUGUUAGGGAGCAGGUGGUGGCAAACAAGAAAUACACGCCGAAGAUGGUUCAGACCGAGAUUCUUUGGCAGCACGGCGUAAAAAUUUCAUACCGGAAAGCCUACCGGGCCAGGAAUUGGUCCUUCAAGAGGUGCGCGGCGAUUUCGAGGGCUCGUUCGCUCUACUUCCCUCGUACAUGCAAGAGUUGAGGAGUGGAGAUGCGGAAACAUGUCUCCAAUUACUUUACCAGGACGAGGGUCGUUUUCAUCAUUUUUUCUGAGCUUCGGCGCAGCAAUUCGAGCAUUUAGGAAGCACUGCAGGUCGCUGUUGGUCUGGAUGGUACGUUAUUGCACUAUUACGCCACUAUCACAUCAUUAUUUUACUAUGUUGCACUAUUAUAUAAUAAAUUCAUGAAUGUAACACAAUUAUUUGCACGAUUACACAAUUAUAUACACGGUUUUUUAUUCUUACAGGAACCUUCCUAACUGGUAAGUUUAGAGGUUGUCUGCUGACGGCGUCAUGUAUUGAUGGGAAUAACUGCAUAUUGCCAUUGGUGUGGGCAGUUGUUGAAGGUGAAAAUUGCUAUUCCUAGCAUUGAUUUCUGGAACAGUUACGGGAUGGCGUCGUUAGUGAUCGCGACUCCAGUAGAGCAAACAGUGUACUUACUAUCGUUUCCGACCGCCAAAAGGGAUUGAUUGAUGCUGUAUCCGAUGUUUUUCCGGAUGCAGCUUAUGGUUAUUGCAUUUACCAUCUGUCUACCAAUCUCCCGCACGCGCCAAAGAAUACACCUGCGUAGAGAAGAUUUUGGGCGGCGGUGCGCGCAUACAUUGUCGCGGAGUUCAACAAAUACAUGGAGAAGAUUAAGGAGUUGAACCCCGAAUAGUACAAGUAUGUGGUCAAGCUUCCUCGGCAUAGGUGGGCUACCCAUUGCUUCCUGGGAAGGCGUUAUUCAAUGCUCACUUCCAACUGUGCCGAGACGAUAAAUAGUGUAAUUCGACAUUUAAAGGGCCUUCCAAUUACCUACCUCGUCGAGGAAACACGAAAGAAAACAGCUUGUUAUUUUUACCAGAGAAAACAUAAUGGGGAGAAUAUUACCAGUGUAGUAACACCCUAUGCAGAAAAGAUUUUAGGUAUUAUCGUUUAUUUUUCCCCAUUUAAUCAGUAUAUUACACUACUUAUCAAUCGGUUACAUGUAGUCAUUACACUAUUUGUCCCACCCUUUGGACUGGCUUGUUGUUUUUCAGGUAAUUGCAGCCGACUGUACGGAUGUUGUGGAUCUUUCCAAAAAGACAUGUUCCUACAAGCGAUGGGACAUUGACGGAAUUCUAUAUAAUCACGCCAUGGCAGCAAUUUCUUUUAGGCUACGGGAUCGGUAUGAUUUUGUCGAGGAAUGGUUCAAGACCUCGACUUAUCGCGCAACCUACAACGAUUGCGUCCCCUCCACCAGAGGCAAAGAGCAAUGGCCUGCAAUACCAAGUAACGUUGUUCCACCACGGCCGCAAAACGUCUGCAUACAACCGGGCAGAAGAAAGGUUUCGCGGCGAGAGUCUAUUGCUAACGACUUAAUAAAGAAGCGGUGCCGGAAUUGCCAGAGAUGGGGGCACAACAAAAGGUCAUGCAAGAACCCUCCUGUGACUAGAGCAAACCAGCCGCGCGCGACGACAUCCGCGGGCGCACCGCAGGAAACAUCGAAAAAUCCAUACGUCUUAUUGUAAUAGUUCAAGGCUAAUGCUAAUAGUGUACAUAUAGAUAAUUUGAUUAAGUAAAUUUUUGUAAUAGUAUAAAAUAGAAGAUAAUAGUUCAACAUAUUUAAAAAAUAGUGUAACGAGGAUCUCAAAAUUUUGACUGUUAAGUGAGGUUGCACUGGAACGAGACUACGGAUGCACUGUUAUAGCGGUCAUUGCACCAUUUAUACUGCAGUAGAACCUUCCCGUUGCACUAAUAUCCCUGCGCACAGAGGCGAAUUCGACACUGCGGCGGCGACGGCUAGAGGUAGCGCAGCGGCGGAUAAAGAGGUCGUGGAGCCUCCUCCUACUCUGCCCCGCUAUUCGACGACCCCCAUGUCCUUUCAUUUGCACAAUAGCUUAAGAUUACAUUAAGAAAUAAAAUAAGUAGGUUAUGGAGAGGUUGCACUGGAACGAGUUUACGGAUGCACUGUUAGAAGGGCGGUUGCACGAUUUCUCCUGUCAUAGCUCCUUUCUGUUGCAUUAUUAUCCCAAUUGCGUGCGUGCACUUAAUGUCAUUUAGCUUCAGAAAAUAUCUUAAAGUCUUAAAGCCGAACAGCAAACAGCAGGUACGGCGAAUAGCGGGGGGGAUGUCGUCCGUUUUCCAAGUAAUGAGCGAGGUUGCGUAAAGCGGAAGUGGCGCAUUUAAUGAGCGUCAGACAGUAUGGCAUGGUCCGAGUUCCGAGUAAUGAGCGAGGGAGGAGAGGUUGCGUAAAGCGGACGCGGCGCAUUUAAUGAGCGCCAGCCCGCGCGGCUUUUGUAUACGAGGGGUGAAAUGAAAUUUAUAGUUAACGAAGUCUUUAAGUGGUGUAACUAAGAUCAAAAGAGUUCAAGAUUUUCCAGUAAAGUGUGUAACAGUACGAUAUGUAGCACAAUUUUUUCACAGAAUUGGUGAUAACAUGAACAUAAUAGUGCAAAAAUGUCCGAAAUUUAUAUUAUACUAUGAUGUAAAUAGUGCAACAUUGUUUGUUAAAUAUUGUAACCGGUAAAUAGUGUAACAAAUUCGUAAGGAGUCGAUUAACAUGUGAACAAGAAUUACAUUAUCUUUGAAGCCGAGUACACGAUUUUAUAGUACUUUGCAAAAUACAAAUAAGAUUUGCAUACAAUGUAACCUUCUAUUACAUCAACUAUAACAAACUUUUCAUAAUAAUUAAUUAAGAAAAGUAUGUAAUCAUCAAAGUUUCUCUGCAAUUCCACACGCACAUAGCCGACGCUAACAGGUAUAGGCCAGGGAAGACUGCCAAAGGAGACUGCGAUGAGGAGGAGACUGCCGAAGGAGACUGCGAGGAUGAGGAGGCUCGUUCAGAAGGGUAGAUCCAGCAACGAGGCACUAAGAUUGAUUUGCACUAUCUGGAGUGCUUUAUAUGCCUCGAGCCUUUUGGAGCUCCGCUCUACCAUGAAACAGACAAUUCAAUCAGCAAAACAUAAGAAUCCAUCAAUAACAAUAAAGAUAUGCAAGAAUUUAAGAACCUGUAUGAGAGGAGGGCCAAUGGGCUCGUGGCAAAUAAAGCACUCCAGAUAGUGCGAAUCAAUCUUAACGCCUCAUUGCUGGAUGGUACCCUUCCGAGCGAGCCGCCUAUUCCUCGAACGCUGCUUCAACUCUCUACCGUUAAUAGUGCAACGUAGGGUAAAAUAGUAGAACUAAGUUCAUAAGGGUGCAACGAUGUCAUCAUAAUAGUGCUAUGGAUUCAGCGAACAGCAAACACACGGUCUGGCGAAUAGCGUGGAUGAUAUACGCUCCCUGCGCAGGGCGCAUUUAAUGCUGCUAAAAGCACAUAGCGUAACAUGUACGUUAUAGCGUCCCUUCUGUGAGGCGAAGAGACACCGGCGGGUAUAUCGAAGCUGCCUCGGCAAAAGUAAAAGCACUAUUCAAACGUUUUUUUAUUUUUAUUUUGUUUAAAUAUGGCUUCUUCAGUUUCAUUCCGCGUAAAGGCGUUACACUGUUAUGACGAAUGUUACUCUAAUAUCGCGCCAGUAUUGCACUUUUAGAAGCUAUAUUACAUUAUGUUACUUGGCGUUCACUAUUAUUAGGGUCUAUCGUUGCACUAUUAUUAUACGAUUGAAUGAAGGAAUUGAUGUUUUUUAAGUGAUGUUACAGUAAUACGGCCCUUGAGGUGAGCAUUAGCCACUUUCUGUUCAUGAGAAAAACUAAUAUUUCAUGAGCAUUAAUAGUCGGUGACCUAAAUGGUUACGCAACCUACAAUACAAUAUAUAAAAGAGACUCUUUAUGGACUUGGGCAACCGGCAACGAGAAAACGGCGAUGAUGGAGGUACACAAGACGAGGGGAGAGAGCCGCAGGAGAGGUCGACAACAAGGAGGCUCGGUCGUAAGUGUACCAUCCAGCAAGGAGGCAUUAAGAUUGAUUCGCACUAUCUGAAGUACUGUGCUUUAUUUGCGACGAGGCACCACCUCUAUACCAGGUUCUUAAAUUCUUCCAGAUCUUUAUUCUUAUUGAUCGGUUCUAAUUUUUUUCUGACUAUACUGUCUCUUUACGAACAAUAUAGUGCCGAAACGUCAAUGCUAAAGUCCCUAGUGCAAAUAAAGCACUCGACAUACCCCUUCGAGCGAGCCUUCUCCUCUUCACCAUUUCAUCUUCCGUUAGAGGAACAGUAGCGUCUGCUCUGUGCGCGUGGAUUUGCCGGCUAGCUUUAAUGAUGAUACUAUACUUUUGUAAAAUGAAAGCCUACUUUUGUUCAAUAUUCAUGUUGAUGCGAAUGUUACAGUUGAUGUUGUGAACAUCGUAUUGUAUGCAAAACGUGUAUUAUAUGUUGCAUUUUCGUCAAAGACAAUGUAUAAUUUGCUUGUAUAUUAAUAAAAAGAUCCCUUUCUUUACAUCUUUACAUUCUUACACCAACGAUUUUUCUUGCAAUGGUUAGAGACUCAUUGCACCAUUUAGUCAAUUUAUUACACUAAUUGGUGAACUACCACACAAUUAAGUUUACAACGUUAAACGCAAUUUAUUACACCAUUUAGGAAGUAUGAUUUUUAAAGAGAUGUCUGACUAUUAUCUUCUUUAAUAAAUCAUGCGUUUUUAAACCAUUGCACUGGCUAUUAUCGGCGUUUAAACCAUUUUAAAGAGAUGUCUGACUAUUAUCGGCAUUUAAAGGUGCACUAUUAUUAUAUCCACCUCUCGAACGCACCCUUACAAGCUUAGUACGAGUCUUUUUCAAACCAUUGCACUGAUAUUACUACCGUAUUGCACUCUUACAAGUUUCGUUGCACUCAUUUUUAAAUCCGUUGCACUGUUAUUAAGACCGUAUUGCACUCUUACAAGCUUCGUUGCACUCUGUUGUAAAAUAUUGUUCUGUUAUUCACACCGCCUUGCACUUAUUAUAUAGUUAAAAGAACGCGUGAUCUUUUAUGAGAAAACUUUACACAAUCGUUAGCCGUUAUGUCGCGCCUCUCGAACUCCGGACCUCGCCGGCGACCGUCCAAACCCACCGCCGAGCUUCUCAGCACACCGACUCUUAUAUGGCACAUCGCCGACCGUCCUACCCCGCAGCCGAUCGUCCUGCGCCGCGGACGCUUCGCCUGCAUUUGGAGGGGACACCAUUCAUUUGCACUUUUAAGUUCAGAUUAUAUUAAGAAAUAGAGAAAGUAAAAUUUUGAAUGGUUAUGUAGAGGUUGCACUAGAACGAUGCUAUGGAUGCACUGUUAGAAGGGCCGUUGCACCAUUUCUCCUGCCAUAGAACCUUCGCGUUGCACUAUUAUCCCUGGCGCGCGGAGGUGAAGUCGACACGGCGGCGGCGGCGAUAAAGACGUCGUGGAGCCUCCUCCCACUCCGCCCCGAUAUUAUCGACGGCCCCCAUGUCCUUUCAUUUGCACUAUUAGCUUAAGAUUACAUUAUGAAAUAAAAUAAGUAAAAUUUUGACUGGUUAUGGAGAGGUUGCACUGGAACGAGGCUACGGUUGCAUGUUAGAAGGUUCGUUCCACCAUUUCUCCUGCCGUAGAACCUUCGCCUUGCACUAUUAUCCUUGGCGGGCGGAGGUGAAGCGCCACGGCGGCGGCGGCAAUAAAGAGGCGGUGGAGCCUCCUCCUACUCCGCACCCAGUGUUUGCUGUUCAGUCUCUUCUCCGACGCCUCUGCUUCCUGAAACCAUUGAACUAUUCUGUCAACCACAUUGCACCAUUACAAUCACAGUUGUAGUCUUUUACCCUACGUUGCACUGUUAGAAGGGCAGUUGCACCAUUUUUCCUGGCGUUGCUUCUUCAUGUUGCACUAUUAUCCCUGUUGCGGGGAGUGCAGUUUUUGUCAUUUAUCUUGAGAAAUUGUAUUAAAGUCUUAAAGCCGAACAGCAAACAGCGGGGCCGGCGAAUAGAGGGGCGGAUGUGGUUCAGGUUCCGAGAAAUGAGAGAGGUUGCGUAAGGCGGAAGCGGCGUAUUUAAUGCCCGCCAGACCGUAGGGUAGGGUAGUAUACGUAUGUCAAAAAAUACGCGGGCGGCUUUUGUAUACGAUGGGCAUUUUGGUCUGGCGGACGAAAAAGCGGACCGAAUCUGCAAAAACGAAAAAGGUGGCUUGGUUUUGCAAAAGCCCAAAAUAAGUUUUAUGCAAAAUGGCCUUGGUUAUUUAACCAGAUGUAAUAAUUUUAAUUAUCUUUGGUCAUUUUAAUUAAUUCAUUAAUAAUUUUACCAUAUUCAAUAAUUUUAAUUAUCUUUAGUCAUUUUAAUUUAACUAAGUAUAAAAAUUUGUAAUGUACCGAACUUUGGAUAAACUAAUAAUGUGCAGAUUAAAUCAUGCUAGACGUGAUUGAAAUGAAUUUUUAGAAGUUUAGACUGAGUUUGGAUUGAAUUCAAAUCAAUUCGGAUCGAAUUGGAGUUUCGAAAGAGAAUAAAACUGAGUUCUAGACCUUUCGGACGCCCGGAAUAGGGUUUCGAGCGCUCAAAAUGGUUUUUACGGCCCGAUGCAGUGCCCGGAAUAAGUGGAUUCAAAAGAGCAAAGUUUGUGAGAGGCCCACUUUCGGGCGCCUGGAUUGUCCUGUCGGCACCCAGAUCUUUUCGGAUAUCAUCUGAGGGCGUCUAGAACCCCUUCGGACUCCCAAUGCAAGAGCUGGAUUGCAAUGGACAAAAUAUUCCAGCGUCCAAAAUGCCUUGCAGGAACCCGAAACAUCUUUCGGGCGGUCCCUUGCGUGCGUUUGAAUGGUUUUCGAAUGCUCAACCGGGAGCGGUAUUACGUGAUGGAAUAAACAAUAUGUAAGGAAGUGAAUCCUCGAAAUCCGAGAGUUGAACUUCGACCAGAAUCGACUAUUUGUCGAGUAGGUACCCUUCGGAAAGGCUAAAGAUGUCCAAAACACAAAAGUGCUUUGGAGUCGAGUUCACGAGAGCAAGAAAUGUGAAAAUCUGCACCUGACAUAUUUUGCUCUCGGGGACCGGUCCCUGGCAGGGAAAAACCGGUCCCCGAACUGAGGGAUGCAGCAGCGCGCGAUGCAACCGGUCCCUGGGCCUGAGGGACUGGUUCCCGAACUCGUAAACUUGGGGAGGUCCCAAGGGACCGGUCCCAGGCUGAAAGAUAUGGAUCCCGAGGAUCUAAAAGGUAAGUAACACCUAGAGGGGGGUGAAUAGGUGUAAAAACGGCAAACUCGAAAAUCUCGAUGCAAAUAAAACAAAGUAGCGGAAAAUAAAACAGCACACCGAGAAUUUAACGUGAAAAAACUCCAAAUCGGAGGGAAAAACCCACGGGACCGAUCACGCGAAGAAAAUCCACUAAGAAAACUUGAGUACAAGUGAUUUUGACAAAAAUACAUGACUCAAUUUACCGAUUUCUUGUUGAUGGUGAUCUUCGCCGGUCCUCGAUCGAUAGGAAUCCACCAAUCGACCUUGCUGCAACUCCUCGCAGCGUCAACGCCUCAACUCCUCGAAGCGUCCACCGAAUCCUCGGCUUCACGCGAAAUCCACGCGCCGAACCUCCUUCCGGAGCUUGUAGAAUCGAAGAUUUGUGAUGAUUUAACCUUUGAAUACCAUAAGCUAUGAGGGUUCACCUUUAAUCAAAAAUCUACUUGAUUCUCGUAUGAGUUAUCGAGUAAAAACGAAGAAUCAAGCCGAUUGUUGAUUGUUAGAAACUCGUUAUGUGAAUCGAAGCAUUGAAACGGAAAAAAAAAGUUUCUAGGGUUUGAAAUCAGUAAAUAUUCAAAGCCUUAGAUUUUAGAUGACCCCCAUAACUUAUUUAUAUGUUUAGAAGACUUAGAAAUAGACUAGGAUUGCAAAAAGUCCUUUUUAAAAACCUGUGUCGUCCUCAGAGACCGGUCUUCUCGAGGAGACCGGUCUGUGAGAGACCGGUCUCUCAAGUGAGGAACCGGUCCCUCACUGCGUGACCAAAAUCACAACGUUCGGGAACCGGUCUCUCAAGCUUGAGACCGGUCCCUCGCUGCGCGACAGAAAUACCAAGGUUCGGGAACCGGUCUCUCAUCUCAGGGGACCGGUUGCAUCAAAGCUCACGCAGUGAGGACCUUAGGGGAACCGGUCUCUUGACCUCAGGGACCGGUCUCCAAGUCCUCAAACCCCGUCAAGUCCUCGGGUCGGGUCUCCACACACUCGGCGUACUAUCGAUCUCGCGAUCCAAUACGUGGCGUUCCACGCACUCGGGUCUAAUCUCGGACUACCGUCCUGACCAAAACUCCGCCCUACCUAUAGGUAUCAGGCCGCUGUCUCUCACAGCUGACUGCGCCUGCCCAAUGGGCCCAGGCUCCAUAGUCUACAAAUGGUCCAGGCACGGGUCGUCCCCAAGCACUACCCGCCAACGUCGUCCUAUACGACAUGCUCUACAGAGCUAUCAACUCUAGCGACUCUUAGGCACCUAGUGCGAACCACCAGCCCUGAUGAGCGAUCCAUGGCUCGCUUCAUACUUAGCCCUGCUGAAGUGCUACUGCCAAUUCACUCGACCGGCUGAAUCGAAGCCGUACCUCACGAGUAACUAUACUCGAGCACUCUACGCCUCUACGGCGUCUCAUACAAAUCCAGCAUCAGGCAGCUUAGCCUAUGCACACUGGCCACACGAGCAAUAACUCGUCCACCUCAAUUCGAGGUACUACUAGGCCCACAGGCCAAGCUCGGCGCUAAUCGACCAAUUUCGCAGCAGUGGUUCACCCCCGCUUUUCGAUCUAUCGAAUCCACACCCGAACUACUCUUAGAAUAUUCGGGUGUCCCCGAACAUCAAGGCUCAACUCUCACAAUUUCUAAUCUAUUGCAUCUAGAGUUCACUCACAAUCUUGAUUUCCAUUACGAGCCUCGUUUCCUGUUCAAAAUCAUCACUAGCCAUUUGCUAGUACCACUUGGCUUUCUACCUGCUCUAGCCGGCGCUACACUCUCAUCCUGCUAGCAUGCUCGGGUACCUACCGACCCGACCGCUUGGUCCCUACUAAGCAAUGUAAUAAUAGUAGCAACUGACCAAUGAUGAAUGCAUGCUAUGCUUUAACUUGAGAUCAUGCAAAAAUAUGCUUGCUCAAUAGCUCAUACCAGCCAUGACGUCGUCAGCACGGCAGGCCCCGCACCUCGGGUCGCUUAUCCAUGGCCACCCGGCGCUCGUCGCGAACCCUUUGGUUGCAACGUCCUCAACGGCUGCUCUCCUGACCGUGCCGUAGGUGGCAUACCCGCGGGCUGUCCCAGAGAAGAAUAGGCCGUCGCUAGUGUCAGGGCCCGGCUAUCACCUUGCGGACACUCGUCCCGGACAUGGCCCGGCAGCCCACACUUGAAGCACUUGCCCUCACGCUGUUCACACUGUUGUGGGAAAUGAGAGCUCCCACAAAUCACACAUCUCGCCGAGGACCGAAUGUGGUACGUCCCCGGAGCUCUAGAUCGAGAGCGCAUCCUCACCGAGGUCUGUUGGGAACUUGACUGACUAUCAUGUCCACUUACUAGCCAUCCCUUUCCCUUUUCCUUGUAAUGCUCCUCGCGCUUCUCCCGCAGGAAUGCAUUGCCUUGUUCUAUCCAUAAGGCCCGAUCUAGGACUUCAGCAAAAGCCUGCAACUUAAGUACCUGCACUGCAAGGUACAAGUCCGGCCGAAGCCCCCGCACGAAGCAGUCAGCCUUAUCCUUGUCAUCCCGCACCACGUUCGGGACACAAUGCACGAUACGGAAAAAUUCCCACUCGUACUGCUUGACUGUGCGACUUCCCUGCCGCAGCUUAAGAAACUUCUCUUGAAGCUUUCUCUUCUCGCUAUUGGGGAAAUAUGCUGAGAACAUCGUUCCCCGAAACUCUUCCCACACUAUAGGAGGGAGACUAGGCAGUCUAUCUCGCUUGACGCCUUUCCACCACACCUUCGCCGAUUGCUUCAGGUAGUGCACGGCUAGGUUUACUUUAUCUCGCUCCAACGUGUAUAGAUCCUCGAAGAGUGUUUCCAUGGACUCGAUCCACAUCUCAGCAACCCACGGAUCUGCAUUUUCUCCAUCGAAGGUAAGCGGAUCAAAUUUCUUGAAAGUCAUGAGGGCCGCUAAAGCACGCUCCCUUUCCGCCGCAACCUCUGGGCUAACAAGGGUCGGGUCACCCUCCCCCAACUGAAACGUCUCUGCUGCAAUUCCCGGCUGUCCUCGACCAGCCGCGACUGGUGCCGCCACCAGUCGAUCCAUAGUUUCUUGGAGUCGUUCCAUUCGCUCCUCUUGGCGCAUAGUAGCCUCCUGCUGCCGUUGCACCACAUCAGCUUGUUGCCGCAUCACUCCAAUGAGUGUGGCCAAUUGAUCGCGAAGCUCCGAGUCUCCGCUCGCAUCGGUUUGCUCAGGGGCGCCACUUGUCCCCUCCCGCGCCGAUCCGGACGAAGAUCGCCUACGCGGUGCCAUCAUUUUCUGAAACAGGACAGCUCGAUUAGCUCUCGACCAACUCGGGUCGAACACGAGACCACUAAUACCAGCACAAAAGCGAAUCAGGCGAAAGUCAAAUAAGGACGUCUAUUCUCGUCACUUGGCUUUAUGUUGUGCAUGCACAACAUAAACACACUCGGUCGAGAAUAAACCAUACCUUGAGUCUACCUCUAAUAUCUGUCUUAGAGGUUAUGACACAACCCAAUCCAUUACCUUUCGCCACAAAUCACAAGUCCUCGUCUCUCACGAGCCUUAUUCUCCUAUGGUUCCACUAUCCUAGGGUCUCCUAGGUCAUCUAAACCAUUUUCCCAUUUUCUACUUUAUUCUCUGAUACCACUUUAUCUGUCACGCCCCGUGACCAACCGCCAAUUUGGACCGCGUCGCGGCGCUGCUAACAGACCGCCAAACGGACCGGGAUUUUCCCUGUACGCGGACAGAGUCUCCCCUGUACGUUCUAGGCGUCACAAUCCAAACAAUACAACGAGUGUUCCAACUAGGAACAGAUAACAAUCCAGAUUGCAAAGGAAGUAUCAAAUACAUAAAACUAACGGCUAUUACAAGCAUUCAUUCACAUUCACUUAGUACACCUCAGUUCAGUUUACAUUUUUACUUCCAAUUACAAUCACAUUAUUACGUCAUUUAAUUUACAAGUUUGAUACGUCUUGGUUCUUGCCUUCUAGUCCCCUAAGCUAGACUGCCUCAGGGUACUGCUACCUCGGUCUCUGUGGUAGGGUGCUAUCUACUGAGCUACGCCCUCACCUCGCGCCACCGCGCUGCACAUGUACAACCUGAAAACACCCCAAAACCACGUGGGGUGAGAACCAACUCCAUGGUUCCCAGUGGGUACGGCCACCCAAGGGAAAAGCUCGACCGAUAGGUCCGAGGAGGCACUGCAACAUGUUAGUUCAACAAUAUACCACAGAUAUAUAUAUAUUCAAUUGAAAUACAUGCCAUGCCUCACAAUAUGCGACAUGAAAGCCAUGCAACUUUAUGCAACAUCUAGUAGAUCAUUUGAUUCUACACUUUACUUAGCUACUCUUGGCUCAUAACUUUACUCUAAGGUCUCCAUUACCUCAGGAUGUCAACUCAGUCCACUGGCUUCUAAGGUCUCUAUUACCUUAGCUCAAGCCUCUAUCUCUAGCUCAUAAGGGUUCUUCUACCCUAUCACAGCUAGCCACACGACUCGGCUCCGAGUCAAUCAUCCGCGGAUAGCCCGCCCACUGGCUGCUCAUCAGCCUACCGCCCUCUCUGUCUCAGCCCCCUAGCGGCGAAGUCAUCGCACACGCUAAGCUCGGCUCAAGUCGCACGACUUGACCAUCUGGUGGCGAUCGCGUUGCACUUACCCAGCGUGAGCUCGAGUCCUGACACAUCGUCUGGCGACGAACGAAUCGCACCACACCCAACAACGGUACAUGUCAGACUCAGUCACCUAGAGGCAUCCACAUCGUACUUACCCAGCAUGGAUUCAGUCUGCUCUGGCGGUCUGAUCCUCAAAUGGCUUAACCAUCCUGGCGGCGAAAUCGUCGCACAAACACUAUGGCAAUGGUUCAAGCCCCGGGCGGUGAUCUCCAUGUGAUCGCCCCCAAUCCUCCCUCGGUACCAAGCUCGGCGGCGAAGUCGUCGCACAACGCCCUAGCUUCUACCAGGGUCAUCACAAGUCAUGGGAUUCCAGAAUCCACUUUCCACAGGUCGAGGGUCCAUAGCCAACCCUAUACUUUCGACCUAUCUCAUCCUAGUGGCUAUACCACUAUACUCAUCAACCUAGGUUCCAAUACUCUAGGUUCUAUGUCCACGUCACUUAACCUAGAUACACUUACUAGGUUCUUGUCAUCUUUGCCUAGAUGUCCACUUCUAGGUUUACUAGUUCGACCUAGGUUUACUAACACUAGGUUCGAUGCCACACACCUAGAUUGUUCGACUCUAGGUUCACUUGUUUAACCUAUGUUCUUUAACACUAGGUUAGAUGCCACUCGAUCUACCUGACAACCUAGUUGUCCAAUCAACUCUACUCACACUAGAGUUAUUAACUCAUGCUUUCUACUUGGCAUUUACUCUAUGCAUCUGUUCCUCAUGCAUUCUAUUUAGCAUUUCCAUCUAUGCAUUACUAUUAGUAUGCAUUCUUUACAUUAGCUAGCAUCAUUUACAUGUCAUGCUUUCAUGCUUGCUACUUACCAUGCAUUCUUUACUUAGCCUUUACUUUAUGCAUUAUUAUUCAUCAUGCAUUUCUUGUCCUUGUCUACAUGCACAUGCAUCAACAUGGAGAUACAUUGCUAAGACAUAAAGGGCGACCUAGUCGUUUCGGUAAGUACAACCCACCUUAGCUAGCUUUUUCGAUUGCUCGUCGACACUUGCAAUCGGCCUCCCGCGGCACUCGGCACCCGUUCGGGCCCGAUCUCACAGUUGCUCCCCUCGAGCACGCCGCUUCGCCGUUUCAAGUGCUAGCGAUCUUCCCCUUGCCGCUACGGUGCUCGGGACCCGGUUUCACGAUUUAUGGACGUGGCCUCGACCUCCGAGGUGGAAAUGAAGCUUCGAGCGCCCGUUUCUUCAAUAUCUUCGCAAUGGCUUGUCGGAUUGCCGAACCGACUUCGCCAACGUGUUUCUUUACCUACCAAUUAGGUUUACGAAAGGUCAAAUGAGAUCAAACUCAUCUAUUUACAAAAACCCCAUUUUGAUGCCCUAGAAUGCCAUCACUAGCAAAUCCACCAAAUCGAUCUAGGAUUUGGAUAUAAUCCAUCAAAAUAGCCAGCUAGGGUACCAAACAAACCAUUUCUAGGGUUUAAAAACCCAUCUACAAAGAUCUACCAUGAGAGGGCUUGGAAGCUUACCUCUCAAAGAGCUCCAUGGAGAGAAGAAGAUGAAGAUGAAGAUGAGGAAGAGGAUCUCCUCCUUGGUCCUCUUCUUCUUUUCCUUUCCUUUCUCUUUUCUUCUUCUCUUCCCUUUUCACUUUUCUUUCUUUUCUUCUUCUCCUCCCUUGCACGAUCGGAGAGAGGGAGAGAGGCUGAGGGAGAGAGAGAGAGAGAGGAAAAGGUCUCUCUAAUACCCUCUCUCAUUUUAUAACAAAAUGCUAAGAAGCCCCCAACUUUUCAUCUUUUACCCAGCCCUCACUGGGUGUUCUACGCGCUGAGGGAUCGGUCUCCCCGACCAGGGCCGGUCCCCGAGAGCUCUCCCCGAUUCCACGCGUUCGGGAACCGGUCCCUCCCUGAGAGACCGGUCCUCGAGAGACCGGUCUGCCCACCAGAGACCGGUCCACGAGAGCUCAUCUCGCGGGACUUAGCCAAUUUUCGGCUCUUCUUACUGGUGCCGUAGGCCGGGACCGGUCCCUCUUCUGCCAGGGACCGGUUGCAUCAGCAAUCCCGCAGCCUUCAGCUGAUGGGACCAGUCUCUCACCUCCAGAGAUCGGUCCCCGAGAGCAAUCUCAGCCCAAAAAUGCAGAUUGCAUUAUUUGCUCUCGCGGACUCCAUUCCAAUGUAUUUCUCGGUUUUUGUGCAUCCUUAGCUUUUCCAAAGCUUAUCCAUUCGAUCCUUAGUCGAUUCUAGACGAGGUGCAACCCUCGGAUUUCGAGAGUUCACAUUGUUACAUUCUCCCGUCCUUAAAAGAGUUUCGUCCUCGAAACUCACUCAUUCUUACCCUCUUUUAUUCCUCGAUCCACUCCUCGAGUACUCAAGGGUUCCAAUGCACUUUUGUACUUCGGAGUGGCCUUUAUUCUCAUCGAACUCAUCUAAAGGCCCACGACGAAGAAUGUGAGACCACGUUUACUCACAUUUUCCUCUUGCAACAUCAAAAGUGCAUUAUCACUUUACAAACUUCACUGGCGGUGUGGGUCAGUAUUCAAGACCCCACACACUAACUUCACUAGCCACUCGGCUAGAGAAGGACCUAUUCCCUCGCGGUUCUAGCGAACAUCACCACCAUUCGAGAUCAGGGCUACCCUUUCAUCCCAGUGGUGUGGAUCCAGCAAGAUCGCAUCACUUCGAUGAAUGAUCCACCACCACAUCUCUAUAUGCACGGGUAGACUUUCUCGAAUUGCUCAAGUACCCACUAGGUGGCACUUUGCCACUUUGGCUAUUUGGGAGCCCGAUACCACCUUAUUAUCCUAUCUGUACCAUCUCGUUCUCAGCGAUCGCAAGACGGCAUCCUCUCGCGCAUCCCAGAUUCUCAAUCCUCUUGAGAGCAUCAUUCUCAACGCCAACUCUUCGCGUGGUUAUCCAUUAUUCAAGUGUCUCUUAGAGACCACUUUACUUUCCCUUUAUCUCUUGACAUUUUAGGCCACGUUCAUCUCCACACGAACUCUUCGUUUGCGGAGACUCGGAGCUUCGCGAUCAGCUGGUCACACUCGUAGGGGUGAUGAGGCAACAAGCUGAUAUGGUGCAGUGGCAGCAGGAGGCUGCUACAUGCCAGGAGGAGCAAAUGAAAAGACUCCAGGAAGCGGUGGAUCAGCUGGUGGCAGCACCAGCUGCGGCUGGUCGAGGACAGCCAGGAGUCGCGACGGAGCUGUUUCCGUCGGGGUCGGGUGAUCCGACUUCUAUUAGUCCAGAGGUAGCGGCGGAGAGGGACCAAGCUUUGGCUGCCCUCAUGGCUUUCAAGAAGUUUGAUCCGCCUACCUUCGAUGGAGAAGAUACGGAUCCGUAGGUCCUUGAGAUGUGGAUCGAUUCCAUGGAAACCCUCUUCGAGAAUUUGUACACAUUGGAGCGAGACAAGGUAAACCUAGCCGCGCACUAUCUCAAACAGUCGGCGAAGGUGUGGUGGAAAGGCGUCAAGCGAGAUCGACAGCCUAGUCUCCCUCCUAUGUCUUGGGUAGAGUUUCAGGGGUUGGUAUUCUCUACUUAUUUCCCCGAUAGUGAAAAGCGAAAGCUCAAGGAAAGGUUCCUUAAGCUGCGACAAGGAGGCCGCACGAUCAGGCAAUACGAGUGGGAAUUUUUUCGUAUCGUGCAUUGUAUCCCGAACGUGGUGCGGGAUGACAAGGACUAAACCGACUGCUUCGUGCGUGGACUUCGGCCAGAUCUUUACCAGGCGGUGCUAAUGCUCAAGUUGCAGACCUUUGCUGAAGUCCUGGAUCGAGCCUUGUGGAUAGAGCAAGGCAAUGAAUUCCUGCGGGAGAAGCGCGAGUCGUAUUACAAGGAAAAGGGGAAAUGACGACCAGUGAGUGGACAUGAUGAUCAGUCAAGUUCCCAGCAGACCUCUGCGAAGUCGCGCUCUCGAUCUCGAGCUCCGGGGACGUAUCACAUUCGGUCCUCGGCGAGAUGUGUGAUUUGUGGGGGCCCUCAUUUCCCACAACAGUGUGAGCAGCGAGAGGGCAAGUGCUUCAAGUGUGGGCUAUCGGGCCAUAUACGGGACGAGUGUCCGCAAGGUGAUAGCCGAGCCUUGACACUGGCGACGGCUUAUUCCCCUCCGGGACUGCAGGCAGGUGUGCCACCUGCGGCAUGGUCAGGGGAGCAGCCGUUGAGGACGUUGCAACCAGAGGGAUCGCGGCGAACGCCAAGUGGCCAUGGAUAGGCGACCCAAGUUGCUGUGCCUGCCGUGGCUGACGACGUCGUGGCAGGUAUGAGUUAAUUAAGCAAUCGUAUGUUUUUGCAUAAUCUCAAGCUGUUGCAUUGCAUGCAUUCAUCAUUGGUCUGUUACUACUAUUGUCACAUUGCAUAGUAGGGACCGAGAGGUCGGGUAGAUAGGCACCCGAGCAUGCUAGCAGGAUGAGGGUAUAGCGCCUGCUAGAGCAGGUAGAGAGCGAAUGGUACUAGCAAAUGGCUAGUAGUGAUUUUGGAUAGGAAGCGAGGCUCGCAAUGGAAAUCGAAUGGUGAGAGAACUCUCGAUGCAAUGGAUUAGAAAUUGCGAGAGUUGAGCCUUGAUGUUUGGGGACACCCGAAUAUUCCAAGAGUAUUUUGGAUGCGGAUUCGGUAGAUCGAAUAGUGAAGAUGAACCACUGUUGCGAAAUGGGUCAGUUAGCGCCGAGUUUGGCCUGUGGGCCUAGUAGUACCUCGAGUUGAGGUGGGUGAGUUGUGCUCCUGUGGCCGGUGUGCAUAGGCUAAGUUGCCUGGUGCUUGGCGUAGUUGGGACGCUGCAGAGGCGUAUAGAGCGCUCGAGUAUAGACACUCGUAGAGUGCGGUUUCAAUUCAGCCAGUCGAGUGAAUUGGCAGUAGCACUUUAGCAGGGCUAAGUGUGAAGCGGGCCAUGGAUCACUCGUGAGGGCUGGUGGCUCGCACUAGGUGCCUAAGAGCCUAUAGAGUGCGUAGCUCUGUAGAGCAUGUCAUGUAGGACGACGUUGGCGGGUAGUGCUUGGGGACGACCCGUGCCUGGACCUUUUGUGGACUGUGGAGCCUGAGCCCAUUGGGCAGGUGCAGUCAGCUGUGAGAGAUAGCGGCCCGAUACCUAUAGGUAGUGCGGAGAGUUUUGGUCAUGACGGUAGUCCGAGCUUAGACCCGAGCACGUGGAAUGCCACGUGUUAGAUCGUGAGAUCAGUAGUACACCGAGUGUGUAGCAACCCGACCCGAGGAUUUGCCGGGGUUUGGGGACUUGGAUGCUCCUGGUUGGAGUAUGUGCGAAUUCUCCAAUGAGAAUGUCGCUCGAUAAUGAUUGGGUCUACGCUUGCGAGCGAGAGACGCUAGGCGUCGUUGAGGCGAGUUAGGCGACUAGCCUACGUAGGAUUGGUUGUCUUGGUCCACCUGAGGAAAAUGAUGGUUGGUGUAGCCGGGAACUCUAUUUAUGAGUCGGGCUUAGAUCCGCGAAUGAAGAGUUCGUGUGGUGUUGGACGUGGCUGUGGGGUCGAGGACAAGAAAGAGUAAUGUGGUCUCUAGGAGACACUUGGAUAAUGGAUAGCCAUGUGAGGAUUGGAAUUGGGAGUGAGAUGGUACAGAUAAGAUGAUAAAGUGGUAUCAGGCUCCCAAAUAGCCAAGGUAGUGAAGCGCCACCUGGUGAGUACUUUGAGUAAGUCGAGAGGGUCUACCCGUGCACGUAGCGUGGUGGUGUUGGAUCGUUCGUCUAGUUGAUGCGAUCUUGCUAGGUCCACACCACAGGAAACGAAGGGUAGUCCUGAUCUCAAGGGAUGGUGGUGUUUGGUGAAACCGCGAAGGAAUAGGUCCUUUUUUAGCCGAGUGGCUGGUGGUGUUGGGGUGUGGAGUCAUGAAUAUUGACUCACACUACUACCGAGGUUUGUAAAGUUGUAAUGCACUUUCGAUGUUACAAGUGGAAAGCGUGAGUACCUGGUCUAACAUCGUUCGUAGUGGGCCUUUGGAUGAUUACGAUGAGAAAAAGGCCACUCUGAAGUGCGAAAGUGCAUUGGAACCCUUGAGUACCCGAGAAGUGUAUCGAGGAAUAAGAAGGGGUUAGAAAUGAGUGAGUUUCGAGGACGAAACUCUUUUUAAGGAGGGGAGAAUGUAACAAUGUGAAUUCUCGAAAUCCGAGAGUUGCACUUCGUCCAGAAUCAACUAAUGGUCGAGUUGGUAAGCUUUGGAAAAGCUAAGGAUGCACGAAACCCAAAAGUGCAUUGAAAUGGAGUCCGCGAGAGUGAGAAUGCAAAAUCUGCAUCUUUGGCAGAUUUGCUCUCGGGGACCGGUCUCUGGCUGGAGAGACCGGUCCCAUCAGCUAAAGGCUGCGGGGUUGCUGAGGCAACCGGUCCCUGGCACCAGGGGGACCGGUCCCCGCAGGUGACACCAACGAGAAUGGCCAAAAAUUGGCCAAGUCCCGCGAGACGAGCUCUCGGGGGCCGGUCUCUGGUGGCUGGACCGGUCUCCGGGGGACCGGUCUCUCAGGGAGAGAUCGGUUCCCGAAUGCGUGGAAUUGAGGGGAGCUCUCGGGGAUCGGUCCCAGGUCAGGGAGACCGGUCCCUCCGCGCGCAGAAUGCCCAGUGAGGGCUGUGUAAGAGAUGAAAAGCUGAGGGACUUAAUAGCAUUUUGUUACAAUAUGAGAGGGGUUAUUAGAGAGGUGUUUUCUCUCUCUCUCUCUCUCUCUCUCUCACUCCCUCACACUCUUCCUCACUGUCUCUCUCUCUUGCUCCGAUCGUGAGGAGGAAAAGGAAAAGAGGAGAGGAAGGAAAGGAAAUAAAGAAAAAGAGAAGAAGAAAAGAAGGAGAAGAUGGAGGAGAAGAAGAGGAUCAUCAUCACCAUCAUCCUCUUCAUCUUCUUCUCUACAUUGAAGCAAGCCUAGAGAGGUAAGCUUGGUACCCUUUCAUGGUAGAUCCUUAAAGAUAGGGUUUUGAUCUCUAGAAAUGGUUAGAAUGGAACCCUAGCAUGCUAUUAAGAUGGUUUUUCCCCAUUUCAUAGAUCGAUUUGGUGGAUUUGGUAAUAAUGGCAUUCUAGGGCAUCCAAAGAGGGUUUUUGUAAAUAGAUGAGUUUGAUCUCAUUUGACCCUUCGUAAACCUAAUUGGUAGGUAACGAAACACGUUGGCGAAGUCGGUUCGGCAAUCCAACAAGCCGUUGUGAAGAUAUUGAAGAAACGGAUGUGUACAGCUUCGUUUCCGCCUGGAAGGCCAAGGCGACGUCCAUAAAUCGUGAAAUCGGGUCCCGAGCACCGUAGCAGCAAGGCAAAGACCUUUAACUCUUGAAACGGCGAAGCGGCGUGCUCUUGGGGAGCAACUGUGAAAUCGGGCCCAAACGGGUGCCCAGUGCCGCGGGAGGCCGAUUGCAAGUGUCGACAAGCAAUCGGAAAGCUAGCUAAAGGUGGGUUGUGCUUACCGAAGUGACUAGGUCGCCCUUUAUGUCUAAGCAAUGUAAUCUCAUGUUGAUGCAUGUAGACAAGACUAAACUGUGCAUGUUAAUGGUAAUGCUAAGUAGAAAGCAUAAUGAACAAUAUGAUAAUGCUAGAUAGUGCGUGAAUGCACAAGUAGUUGAACAUAUAUAUAUAUGCAUGUAAACUAAAUGAUAACUCUAGAAAUGUAGAGUUGAUUGGUAAUGAGACUCAAUUGGGUAACUAGGAUGUCAACUAGAUCGAGUGGCACCUAACCUAGUGUUAAAGAACAUAGGUUGAACAAGUGAACCUAGAGUCGAACAAGUCUAGGUGUGGCAUCGAACCUAGUGUUAGCAAACAUAGGUCGAUCUAGUUAACCUAGAAGUGGACAUCUAGGUAAAGAUGACGAGAACCUAGAGAUUGUGUCUAGGUUAUAUGACAUGAACAUAUAACCUAGAGUGUUAGAACCUAGGUUGUUGAGCAUAGUGGUAACAGCCACUAGGAGGAGCUAGGUCGACAGUAUAGGGUUGGCUAUGGACCCUCGACCUGUGGAAAGUGGAUUCCGGAAUACCAGGACUUGUGAUGACCUAGAUAUCAAAUCUAGGUCGUGUGCGACGACUUCGCCGCCAAGGUUGAUACCGAGGGAGGAUUGGGGGCGACCACAUGGAGAUCACCGCCCGGGGCUUGAACCAUUGUCGUGGCGUUUGUGCGACGAUUUCGCCGCCGGAUGGUUAAGCCAAUUGAGGAUCAGACCGCCAGGAUUGACUGAAACCAUUGCUGGGUAAGAACGAUGCGUGCGCCGCCAGGUGGCUGAGUCAUGACUUGUACCGUUGUUAGGUGAGGUGCGAUACGUUCGCCGCCAGAUGGUUAUUUCAUGACUCGAGUCCUCGCUGGGUAAGAACGCCAUGUUCGCCGCAAGAAUGGCUAUGUCAAGUGACUCGAGCCGAGUUCAGUGUGUGCGACUACUUCGCCGCUAAGAGGCUGAGUUUAGAGGGCAGCAGGUUGAUGAGCAGCCGGUGCGUGGACUAUCCGCGAAUGAUUGACUCGAAGCCGAGUCAGAUGGUUAGCUUCGAUAAGGUAGUGGAAACCCUUAUGAGCUAGAGAUAGAGGCUUGAGCUAAGGUAAUAGGGACCUUAGAAGCCAGUGGACUUGAGAGUGAACCUAAGGUAGUAGAAGCCUUAGAGUUGAUGAUAUGAGCUAAGAAUAACCAAGUAAAAUGUAGAAUCAAUUGAUCUACUAGUUGUUGCAUAAAGUUGCAUGAUUUUCAUAACGCAUAUCGUGAGGCAUGGCAUGUAUUUCAAUUUGAAUAUAUAUCUGUUGUAUAUUGUUGAACUAACAUGUUGCAGUGCCUCCUCGGAUCUAUCGGUCGAGCUUUUUUCUUGGGUGGCCGUACCCACUGGGAACCAUGGAGUUGGUUCUCACCCCACGUUGUUUCGGGGUGUUUUCAGGUUGUACGUGUGCGGCGCGGCGGCGCGAGGUGAGGGCGUAGCUUCGUAGAUAGCGCCCUACCCCGGAGACCAGAGCUAGCAGUAUCCCGAGUCAGCAGGGCCUAGGGGUUAGAAUGGAAUGACGACAACCAACUUGUAUUAAACAUAAUAACGUGAUUGUAUUUGGAAGUUAAGCAAAUGUAAAAGAAAAAUAUUAUUUGAAAUGAAUGCUUGUAAUAGCAGUUAGUUUUAUGUUAUUGGUACUUUCUUAUGCAAUCUGGAUUGAUAUCCGUUCCUGGUUGGAACAUUCGUUGAUUGUUUGGAUUGUGACGCCUUGGACGUACAGGGAAAACUCUGUCCGUUCGGCGGUCUGUCGGCGGCGCCGCGACCCGGUCCAAAUAGGCAGGUGGUCGCGGGUCAUGACAGUAUAAGCUUCGGAGAGUCCGGAGGUAAUUAAAAUGCAUAGAGUGCAUUAAGGAAGAGUCCGCGAGAGCAUUAGUGCAAAAUCCUCACUGGAGCAGAAUUGCUCUCGGGGACCGAUCCCUCGCAGGGAGGGACCGGUCCCAUCAGGCUGGGCUGGCGGAGAUCCUUGAUGCAACCGGUCUUUGGCAGGUAAGGACCGAUCCCCGAACGUUAACCCAGCGAGAGAAGCCGAAAUUUGGCUAAGUCCCGAAAAUCUAACUCUCGUGAACCGGUCUCUCGGACAAGGACCGGUCACCCGGGGUGGUCUCUCAGGCAAGGACCAGUUCCUGAAUGCGAAAUCCCCUCUGCCCGAAUAGGAGGCUCUCGGGGACUGGUCUCCCCGAGCUGGGACCGGUCCCUCACUGCGAAAAUGCCCAGUGAGGGCUGCUGCAGAGGAUGGAAAAGUUGAGGGGGCUAUGUGCAAAAUGGCUUAUAUGAGAGGUGGGGGACCCCUCUCUCCCUCUCAUUUGCUUUCUCUCCCUCUCACACUCUUUCCCUCUCUCUCUAGAAAGAAUAAAAGGAAAAGAAGAAGAAGAGGAAGAAGAAGAAGGAGAAGAAGUAGAGGAAGAAGAAGGAGAAGGCUAAGAAGAAGUAGAAGAUCAUCUUCUUCUCUCUCUCCCUCAAGCUUGAAGCUUUGUUUAGAGGUAAGCUCUAAACCCUUUAAUGGUAUUUCUAGGGUUUGGGAUUUUUGUUGCUUAGAGAUGGUUCGAAUGGAACCCAUCGAGGUAAAGGAGAUGGCUCAAGCUUGAAAUUGAAGCUCACACUACGGAUUUCCUCACCGUUGCCAACCUAGGACACGGAUUUGGGAUUUUUAGAAAUCUAGGGUUUUGAUCUAUUUUAUUAGGUCGUAAACCUAAUUGCUAAGUCUUCGAACGCGCAGGCGAAGACGGUUUGUCGAUCCGACGAGCGAGUGCGAAGAUAUCGCCGAAACUGAUACUUGAGGGUUCGCUUUGCCUUGAGGUGUUGAAGCGACGUACGAGGACCGCGACGUCGAGUUGUCUAGCCACGCGGCACUACCAAAAGGUGGGGGAGUGCCAUCCUGAAGCAGUCGAGCUGCUUUCUAUGUCUGAGUUAUUGUGUUGAUCAAUUACAUAUUAAACAUGUGGCAUAUAGGGAACUAAGUUAUUUAUAUCUAUAUUUGCAUGCUAGUGUUAAUGUGGCCUAGUGAUAUAGCUCUAGAACCUAGUAUGCAUGAGCCGGAUAUGAGGUGGUGAACCCUAUAUGUGUUGGAUGUACAUGUAGCUAUGAAAACCUAGUACAUUGUGGACUAGAGUAUCGAGAACUUGUCAGAGAACGAGUGGCAUCUAGUUAACAAUGAACACAAACUAUUGGCAUCUUGUUGAUAUUGAACAUAAGAACCCUAGUGUAGUCAAAACACUAUGAGCUUGGGUAUUGGGAUGCUUGAUUCUAUGAUGACACCAACCUUAGUUGGUAGGACCAGUUCGUGAGUUCAGAUUAUACUCACAUAGCCUGUCUGCACUUGUAGGGGUCGCUCCCCAUAGCCUGUGCACUCCGGAGUAUUUGUCACUCGAGGGGCAGUCGCCAUGCGCUGCCUGGACAGUCAGUGUAUCUGUCCGCAGGCGGUCUCGGGGAAUAGUUCAGCGAGGCUUUUCCCUAUGAGACUUAUAAACGUGAGAUUGUGUUGCCGGAUUGAUCGAAUGAUUGGGUAAAGUAAUGAACAACCCUUAUUGUUGAGCAUAGUAGUAUGGUAGCUACGAAUUCGGUAUGAAUGACAUGCAUGCAUGAUUCAAGAUUGAGGCAUAGUCAGAUGCUCAUACCUAUACUUGCUUAUUCCUCGUUAAUGUUUUCAAUCCCAUAUAUCUAUCUAUCUGCAUAUCUAUCUGUGCCUGCUUAGACCUAGUGGGAAGAUCGGCAGAGUCGGCGGCCGAACGCACUGGGAACUAUUCGUAGUUCGCAUCCCACUUUGUUGCAGGUCUGAGUUCGAGUGUCCCCGGCGAGCGCGAGGACCGUGGCAAGGGCAUAGCGCCCUAGUGGUAUAUGUACAUAGCUAGCUCUACUUCCUUUUGCAUUAGCCCUACCCUGUACUUAUGUUUGAGAGUAGAUGUUGUAUAGGGUGAGGUUUGAGAGUGAUUGUACAUAUGAUCUGGAUGAAUGUAAAAGAUGAAAUAAUUGUAUAAAGUUAAAUGAGUUUAGUAGUUAAGUACAUCUCUCUUUUAUCACUUGUAUGCUUUACUUGUGUUGCUUGCUCUUGGUUGAUAAGCACUGUUUGUGCUUCGUCGUCGUUGUUUGAUCAUGUAUGUAGUCAAGUGUAUUUUCUAGAAACUUGUAUACAUGAUCUCGUUAUUUGAGCCUUGGGCGGAUAGAGGAGUUGUUGUCCGUUCGGCGGUCCGUUCGUCGCGCCCGAACCAGACCAAACUGGUAGCGGGCUCGGGGCGGGGACGUGACACAACGAUUGAUUGCAAGAGCAGAGUGAUUACAUUUCGUGAGUCGGGACAGAAGGAGUUCAUUUAUCGGGCUUGUCAGAGCUCGUGCUUCGUUGCGACAGUAUCGGCGACGAGAGCAAGAAAGCUGGUCAACAGCGGUUGCGCAGCAUUCUUGGCAACCGUUGUAGAAGUGGACCAAGUGGCUCCGACCUUGGAGGAGUUAUCGGUGGUGCGGGAGUUCUCGGUGUGUUUCCCGCGGAGUUACCGGGGAUACCGCCGGACAGGGAGAUCGAGUUUGUCAUAGACUUGGUUUCCGGUACCGCACCGAUCUCGAAGGCUCCAUACCGAAUGGCAUCGGCGGAAGUGAAAGAGUUGAGGAGUCAACUGCAAGACCUUCUCGACAAGCAGUUUAUCCGGCCAAGUGUAUCACCGUGGCGAGCCCCGGUGUUGUUUGUACGGAAGAAGGACGGAUCGUUUCGACUCUGCGUGGAUUACCGAGAAUUGAACAGAGUCACGAUCAAGAACAAGUACCCACUACCCCGAAUCGAUGAUUUGUUCAACCAGUUGCAGGGGUCGUGUGUGUACUCAAAAAUAGAUUUGCAGUCCGGCUAUUACCAGUUGAAGAUCAAGCCGGAGGAUGUGCAGAAAACUGCGUUCCGUACGCUGUACGGACACUAUGAAUUCACAGUCAUGCCAUUUGGACUCACGAAUGCUCUAGCGGCGUUCAUGGACUUGAUGAACCGUGUCUUCAAGAAGUAUCUGGACUGAUUUGUCGUAGUCUUCAUAGACGACAUAUUGGUCUAUUCUCGCAGUGACGAGGAACAUGCCGAGCAUUUGAGAAUAGUGCUUCAAGUUCUUCGGGAGAAGAAGCUAUAUGCUAAGUUAAAAAAGUGUGACUUCUGGCUCUGAGAGGUCGCAUUUCUAGGGCAUGUAAUUUCCGCGGGUGGAGUUUCUGUAGACCCGAGGAAAGUUGAGGCAAUCAAGGAUUGGCCGCGCCCGACGAAUGUCACGGAGGUUCGAAGCUUCGUGGGCUUAGUGGGCUACUAUAGACGGUUCGUGGAGGGCUUUUCGAAGUUAGUAAUUUCACUUACCCAUCUGACUCAAAAAGGCACCAAGUUCGUCUGGAGCGAGGAAUGCGACCGGAGUUUCAAAGAAUUGAAGCAAAGAUUAACUUCGACUCCGGUGCUCGUUCUACCAAUACAAGGCAAAGACUUCGUGGUCUAUAGCGAUGCUUCCUAUCUAGGAUUGGGGCGUGUCCUGAUGCAGAGCGGGAAGGUGAUCGCUUAUGCGUCCCGUCAGCUGAAGAGCUAUGAGAAGAAUUACCCCAUUCAUGAUUUGGAGCUAGCGGCGGUAAUCUUCGCCUUGAAGCUGUGGCGGCACUACUUGUAUGGUGCCCACUGCGAGAUCUACAUCGACCACAAGAUCAUGAAAUAUCUGUUCACACAGAAAGAGCUCAACAUGCGACAACGACGGUGGUUGGAACUGCUAAAAGAUUAUAAUGUGGAUAUCCUUUACCACUCAGGAAAAGCGAAUGUGGUCGCGGAUGCGCUGAGCAGGAAAUCAGCGGAGAACCUCGCUAUGUGGGUUACGAAUCAAACGCCCCUAUGGCUGGACAUGGAGAGAAUGGAUCUUGAGGUGGUUGCUCCCGAGAUUCCGGCCCAGUUGAUGGCGCUCGUUGCCCAACCGACCUUGUUGGAGAGGAUCAAAGAUCUGCAACCUGCAGACCUAGAACUUCAAAGGGUGCGGCGAAACAUCGAGGAGGGUCAAGGCGGCAAUUUCAGUAUGGACGUCGGUGGUACACUUCAGUUUCGAAACCGGUGGUGUGUGCCCAAAAAUGGAGAGCUUCGCGAGCUAAUUCUACAAGAAGCGCAUCGGUCUCCAUAUGCUGAUCACCUGGAGGGUUGAAAGUGCACUAUUGGUGGCUGGGAAUGAAAAGUGAUAUUGGACGCUUCGUUGCUAAGUGCUUAGUAUGCCAACAAGUGAAGGCAGAGCGCCGAUUUCCAGCGGAAAAGCUUCAAAGCCUUCCAAUCCCCGUUUGGAAAUGGGAAGAUAUAUCGAUAGACUUCGUGGUCGGCUUGCCUCGCUCAACUGGCGGCCACGAUGCAAUUUAGGUAAUUGUGGAUCGUUUGACGAAGUCGGUUCACUUUUUGCUGAUCCACACCACAUGGGUAGGUGACAAACUGGCGCAGGUAUACCUUGAUGAGAUAGUGAGGUUACACGGGGUGUCGAAAUCGAUCGUGUCGGAUCGUGAUCCCCGGUUACCUCGCACUUUUGGAAAAGCCUGUAGGAAGCCCUUGGCACACGGCUCGAUUUUAGCAAAGCAUUCCAUCUUCAGACAGAUGGGCAAACAGAGAGAACCAUUCAAACUCUGGAGGAUAUGUUGCGAGCGUGUGUCAUAGACUACAAGGGAAGUUGGUGUGAUCAUCUGCCGAUGGCCCAGUUCGCCUACAACAAUAGUUAUCAUGCUAGUGUAGAGAUGGCACCGUUCGAGACUCUCUAUGGGCGGAACUGUCGAUAUCCUAUACACUGGGGCGAUGUGGGUGAGCGUGCGGAGUUCGGCCCUGAUGUUUUGCUAGAAGCGGAGGAGAAAGUCCGCCUUGCUCGCAAGAGGUUGCUCACGACGUAGUCGAGACAGAAAAGCUAUGCUGAUAGGCAUCGUCGAGACUUGGAGUUCACAAUAGGCGACCACGUAUUCUUGAAGGUCUCACCCAUGGGGGGUGUAAAACGAUUCGGAGUUCGGGGAAAGUUAAGUCCCCGAUACAUCGGACCUUACGAGGUAUUGGAGCGAAUUGGGACCGUGGCUUAUCGGCUUGCGUUGCCGCCAAAGCUCGCAGAUGUGCAUAACGUGUUCCACGUCUCCUAUCUUCGCAAAUACAUUCAUGAUCUCGAGCAUGCUCUAUUGUACGAGCCACCGGAGCUCCAAGAGGAUUUGAGCUAUGAAGAGUUUCCGGUGGGGGUUAUUGCUCAAGAAGUGCGAAAGCUACGAAAUCACGAGAUUCCUUAUGUGAAGAUUCGGUGGAGCAAUCAUGAUGAUCGCGAGACCACCUGGGAACUCGAGGAUCUGAUGAGAAAGCACCAUCCUCACUUAUUUGAGGAAUAAGGUAUGAAUUUGAGUUAAAGUUGAGAAUUGAAUUAGUUUCGAGGACGAAACUCCUUUUAAGGAGGGGAGGAUGUAAGGAAGUGAAUCCUCGAAAUCCGAGAGUUGAACUUCGACCAGAAUCGACUAUUUGUCGAGUAGGUACCCUUCAGAAAGGCUAAAGAUGUCCAAAACACAAAAGUGCUUUGGAGUCGAGUCCACGAGAGCAAGAAAUGUGAAAAUCUGCACCUGACAGAUUUUGCUCUCGGGGACUGGUCCCUGGCAGGGAGAGACCGGUCCCCGAACUGAGGGAUGCAGCAACGCGCGAUGCAACCGGUCCCUGGGCCUGAGGGACUGGUUCCCAAACGCGUAAACUUAGAGAGGUCCCAAGGGACCGGUCCCAGGCAGGGAAAGACCGGUCCCUCCUCGCGAAAUCUGCCCAGGCAGAGUAAGUUGAGAGGGUUAAAGUAGAGGGGCUUUUAUGCAAAAAUGCUAUUAGUUAGAGGGGUAUAGAGGGGCUGAGCCCUCUCCUCUCUCUCACCCUCACCCUCACUCUCUCACUCAGCUCUCUCUCUCUCUAGAAAGAAAAUAGAAGCAGAAGAAAGAAAAGAGAAGGAGAAGAGAGAAAAGAGAAAAAGAAGGAGGAGAAGAAGAAGAAGGAGGAGAUCAAGCUAGAGAAGGCUUGGAGCAUCUUACUCUUCCUCUCCUCUCCCUUAGAGCUAACCUAGAGGUAAGCUCUUGAGCCCUAAUAGUAUAACUUAGGAUUUUUGGGUUUUUGGCUUUGGAAAGGAGGUCAAAUGGACCUCUAGCACCAUUAGUGGUGGAUUAGAGCUAGAGGCUGGGGUUCCUUAGUGCAAAUGGCAAGCUGUGAACCCUAGGGCACCCGAAUUGGGAUUUUUGAUAAAGUAUGAGAUUGAUCUUAUUUGAGGGCAUAUAAACCUAAUUGCUAGGUGUCUAAACCCGGGGGCGAAGUCGGAAUUUCGAUUCGUCGAGCGGGGAAAAAGCUAUCGGCAAAAUAAGGCCGAUUGAGCAUCAUUUUGGACCAAGGAGGCCGAGACCUCGUCGUAACGUUCGGCGAGAGGCAUAUCUAGAACCUCUGCAACAAGAAAAGGUGGGGGAUGUCAUCCCGAAGCAGCCGAACUCUCUAUUAUGUCUUAGAAUAACAUGAUUUACAUCUCUUGCAUGUUGCAUUGUAGGAUUGUAUUGUAGUACCUUUUCCUUAUACUUCUAAAUGUUAACCUAGUGUACAUGGAAUACUUGGUGAAAAUGGAUAGGUAAGGAUUGGGUCGAAACAUGGAUCCUAUAGUGCUAAAGAAAAGAGAUAAACUCGAUGGUUAUUUAGUGACAUAGAGAGUGACAUCUAAAUGUUUAAAGAACAUAGAGAGUGGCAUUAUGUAGUGUAUUUGACACUAGAGGUUCAUAAACUUAGGGAUAGGUGGAUUCCCUAGAAAAUGACUCGUGAACAAUGAACUUAGUAAAGCUAAGUAACUAUGCAUGAAAGUCGAAAUAGGUGAGUUCUGAGAGAAAUGUUGGCCCUAGUUCGUAGGGUAUCCUCACGUGGAGAGGAUAGAUCAAGCUCAUGGUCUAUUAUUUGGGGUGGUAAAGCCAUCCAUAUCCUCACAUGGAGAGGAUUGGUCGUCAAGUACUCCGGAGUGUCGGGCGAUUAGGACAGAGUUGAUGUCCGCAGACAGUCCCGGGUUUGGGGCACAUGGAGCUCCCUACCCUAUGGGAUGGAUAUGUGAGAUGUAGGCAGACCCAAGGGUCUUGCCACAGACUAUUGGUAGAGUAGUAGCUUUCCCUUUUGCAUUAGCACACCUAUGUAUUUGAGAGAGAUUCAUGUAGGUGAGGACUUUGGAGAGCUAUGUACUUGAUGAAAAUAUGUAUUCAUUUUGAGGAAAAGAAUGUAAUUGUACACAAUUACAAAUGUGAUGUAAUAGCUAGUAGGUUCUCUCUUUAUUUCACUCGUGUAUCUUGUGGAUUACUUGCUCUUUGUUGUUGGCACUGUUUGUUCCCCGUUGAUUGUGUACUUAUAGAAUUUAAUAUCCUGGGUAAAUUCUUGUACUCGAUCUAUUGUUGAGCCUUGGGCGGACAAGGGAGGUGCUGUCCGUUCGGCGUCCAUUCGCCGCGCCCGAACCGUACCAAAUUGGUAGGAGUCUCGGGGUGGGGGUGUGACACAAUAGGAUGCCUGAUCACCUUUUUGGGCACCCAAAUUAUGGACCAGGCAGAUUGAGUGGGUGCUCGAAUCUAGAACAGGGCAUAGUUACGUGCAAUCCGAGCACCUAAAAGUUUAGGCGGGCGCCUGAGCCUAGUGUAUGGAGAGUGGUUUAGUUCUUUAUAAAUAAAAAAUGUUGGGAGGUUUAUAUGUUAUUGUAGUGUAAUGCCCCAUUUUUCUUUUUUUUUUUUAAUUUGAAAUUUAUUUUGUUAUUUGAUAGAGAAGGACUAUUUAGUUUAACUUAAAAAGUUUAGGGGUCUAGAUGCAAUUGUGCAACCCUAAUUAAUUAAGAGCAGUGCUAGAGGGUAGGGUUGUAAGAUGUACACCCCUUUUGGGUUGUACCAGUAGCAUUUUCCAUUAAUUAAAGGGUUAAUUACAUACAGCUCCCUGCAAACAUAACAAAUAGCAAAUAAAUCCCUACAAAGUUCAACUUUCAACUCUUAUUCCUACAAAAGUCUAGUGAUAAUCAUAUUUGUCCCUCUAGUUUUUUACUGUUAGAGAAUUGUUUAUUUUUUAACAGCAGAUAAGUGAAAUGUCAAUUUUGCCAUCACAAAUAUGCCCUUUCAAAAGCCCCAACUGUUAUAAUCGUUCAGAUAUGUCCCCUUAAAAAAUUUUCAAUGGUAAUCUUUGUCACGCCCCGCCCCGAAACCACUACCAAUUUGGCACGAUUCGGCCGCGACGACGGACCGCCGAACGGACAGCACCUCCCCUGUCCGCCUAAGGCUCAACAACAGGAAUGUGUACAAGAAUUUACCCAGGACUUUAAAUUCUAAACAUACACAUUCAACGAGGGCACAAACAGUGCCAACAACAAGAAGAGCAAGUAAUCCACAGGAUAUACGAGUGAAAUAAAGAGAGUACUUUACUAACUAUUACAAUAGUUGCAUUCUUUAUAUUUACAUCAUUUUCCAAAAUGAAUACAUUUGAUCCUCAAAAUACAUAGCUCUCCAACCUCACCUACAUGAAUCUCUCUCUAUACAUAGGUGUGCUAAUGCAAAAGGAAAGCUACUAUACUACCACGGCCUCACUGAUCGGGCGCGAUGCCCUUGCCGCGGUCCUCCCUCGACAAUCCUGAACCUACCACUGGAAAUAGAGUGGGGUGAGACUAUCUUCCAUAGUUCCUAGUGGGCUCGGCCGCCGACUCUGCCGAUCUCCCCACUAGGUCCAAGUGGGCACAAAUAACAACAGAUAGAUAGAUAGAUAUGUAUCUGAAAGCUGUAAAUGCGAUAGUAGGAAAAACUAUGCUACUAUGCCCAUAAUCAUAAGUAUGAAUGCAUGCAUCAUAUAAUAAAGGUUUGCUAUCGUGCUAACAAAUUCGAUCCAUGUUCGAAUAGCUAUGUUCAAUGACAUUUAUUAACCUUUAACCUUUCAUUUACCCAAUCUGUGGCGAGGCCCUAGGGCUCGCCCAUAACUCAUCUUUCAAUCCCAAAGUGGGGAGGGAGCUCCAAGUGCACCCAAGCCCGGGACCGUCUGCGGACCUCCAUGUGGUCCGGACCUCCAAGUGGUCCUAGUCGCGCGACACUCCGGAGUACUCGACGACAAUCCCCUCCAUGUGGGGAUCGGAUGGCUAUGCCACCCUAACGCAGACUGUGAGCUAGAUCUAUCCUCUCCAUGUGAGGAUACACUGUAACUAGGGUCAACACCCAAUCCAAUCCUCUCCAAGUGAGGAGGCUCUAUAACUAGAGUCAAUAACCCAAUCGAAUCCUCUCCAAGUGAGGACGCCCUACACUAGGGUCAACGACUAUUGCGGAAUCAUCGGUUCCCGACAUUAAUGCAAUGCUAUUUAGUUUUCUAAAUUUAUUGUUCAUAAGGCAUUUUCUAAGGAAUCCACCUAUCCCUAGGUCCAUCGACCUCUAGUGUUAUUUACACUACAUUAAUGCCACUCGUCAUCAUUUAUCAUUCGGAUGCCAAUCGUGUUCUUUAACACUAUCCACUACUUCCUAUAUCAUCAAUACCCCCAUCGGGUUCAUCUCUUUUCUUUCGCACCAUAGGAUUCACGUCUCGACCCAAUCCUCACCUAUCUAAAUUACCAAGCGUUCCAAGUACACUAGGUUAUCAAUUAGAAAGCAUAAGAAAUGGAGCUACUAUGCAAUCCUACAAUGCAACACGAAGAGAUGAGAUUAUAUGCAAUCUAAGACAUAGAAAGGAGUUCGAAAGUUUCAGAUGACACCCCCCACUUUUUAUCAACAUAGAGGCUCUAGAAACACUCCUCGGCGAGCUUUACGAAAAGGCUUUAGCCCUCUUUGGUCCAAGGUAACGCCGAAACGACCGUAAUUCGCCGAUUGCUCUAAGCCCGCUCGACGAAUCGCGAAAUCGACUUCGCCCCCGCGUUUGGGCACCUAUCGAUUAGGUUUACAAGGCCUCAAAUGAGAUCAAUCUCAUACUUUACAAAAUGCCCCCAUUUGGAGUCCUAGGUUGCACAUAUAGUAACCCACUAAUAAAACCCUAGAUUUCCUUGGGAUUGAUCUAUUUAGAAGCUUGCUUAGGGUCCAUGUCACCCAUUCCAAGGCAUAAAACCCAAAAACCCUAAGUUCUAGAAGCUAGGGUUCAAGAGCCUACCUCUUGUGCUACACCAAAGAGAAGAGAAGAGGGAAAUGAAGGUGCUCAAAGCCUUCCUUUUGAUCUCCUUCUUCUUCUCUUUCCUUAUCUUCUUCUUCUUUUCCUUCCUCUCCUUCUUGUUCUUCUUCUCCUUCUUUCCUUUCUAGAGAGAGAGAGGGAGCAAGAGAGAAAUGAGAGUGAGGGAGAGUGGAAUAAGAGAGUGUGAGGGAGAGAGAGGGCUCAGCCCACUCUAAUAAAGGCCAUUUUGCAUUUAGACCCCUCAACUUUUCAUCCCCUGCACAGCCUUUACUAGGUAGUUUUCGCGCGGAGGGACCGGUCUCCCCGACUUGGGACCGGUCCCCGAGAGCUUCCCUCGGGCGCACGCGUUCGGGAACCGGUCUCUCCCCGGGAGACCGGUCCUCAUCUGGGAGACCGGUCCCCGAGAGCUUGAUUCUCAGGACUUAGCCAAUUUCUUGGCAUUUCUCGCUAGGACAACGUUCGGGAACCGGUCCCUCCCUGCCAGGGACCGGUUGCAUCAAGCAACCCCGCAACACCCGGCCAAGGGAACCGGUCUCUCACCUCCAGAGACCGGUCCCCGAGAGCAACAUCAGCCCCAUGAUGCAAUUUGCAUCAUUCGUUCUCGUGGACUCAACUCCAAAGCACUUUUUGCGUUUUGGACAUUCUUAACUCCCACAAAGGGGUAUUCUCUCGACAGUCAGUCGAUCCUGGAUGAAGUACAAUCCUCGGAUUUCGAGAAUUCACUUCCUUACAAUCUUCUUCCUUAUCUUCUUCCUAUUUAAAACCUAACCCAAGUCAUCAUUGUUGCAACCUCUUUUCUCAUUCUUUUCUCCUAAACCUUUUCUUUUGAGCAAAAUAAAAAAAAAAUUAUAGCGAAAAUUGAAUAGGGAAGCAACACGUGUUCGACAUGGGCGAAGCAACACACGUUGUGGAUGAAUGGGGACAGAGAAAUUCUAGUUACGGAUUCAAACUAGCAUGAAUGAGAGAGAAAAAGAGGAAAAGAAAGAUGAAGAGCAGGAAGAAGAAGAGUUCCUAUUGCUAGGGUUUUGAUUGAGAGAAUAACAUAUAAUAUAAGAGGGGUAAACAUAUCAAUUUACGUCAUUGACUAACCAGGGUUAAGUAUUUUACCUAUGGUUAACUAAAUUUUUCUAGCGGAUCCUAACAAUAGACGCAUAUUUGAAAACAUUAAGACUUUUGUAGGGAUAACAUAAAAAAGUUGAACUUUGUAGGGAUAUAUUUGUUAUUCGCUAUGUUUACAGAGAGUUGUAUGCAAUUAACCCUUAACUAAAACUCCCGAUCUCUCUUUUUCUUCUCUUGUACGCUCACCCCGACCAGCUACUUUUUCUCUCGCGUGCCUCUCCUUCACUCUUUCUCGUACAAUCCUCAUCCCUCAUUUUCGACGUCGUCGCCUUCGUUGCACUCCUUGAUCUUCGUCACCGUUGUUUCUUUCAUUACAGGUGCCAUUUUGUUCAUCAAAGGCGUCUAAUUCAUCAUAGUAUUCAUCAUCAAAAAGGUUUUCUACUUGUUCUCUUUAUCUCUUUUUAUCUAUUUUUGAAAGUAUCCUUCUUUUGAUAGAUUUGAGACCUAAAUUAUUUUUUAUAAUGAAAUUUAUGUUAAAUAUUGAUCUUGAAUCAAUAAAAUUUUGAAAUUAUCUUGAAUCUUUGUACACCUAUUAGAUUCUAAUGUACAGAUUUUUUAUAGGCUAAAUUACAAAAGACCCCCUUGUCAAUACCCGCUUUUUCACUUUUCCCCCCGUCAUUUAAAAACCUACACUUUGCCCCCUUGAAAAAUGAGAAAUGUUUACAGAGGAGUACACCGUGACAAAAUGACCAAAAUGCCCUCACCAUCUUCGUCUUCUCCCCCAACCUCGCUCAGCCGUCGCCCCUCCUCUCCCAUUCUUCGCGCCCCGCUCAACCGCAGCUCCGACUCCAUUUUCCUCCACAUGCUCCCCCGCUCUUCCUGCACUCUCGUUGCCUCCCCAUUUCGGUGACGAUAGGGAGGAGAUCGGAGUGGGCAUGGUUGGAAAGGCGUGCGAGGGCGAGCAGCGGAGAAGGGCGAAGGGGAUGUGGGCGUGGGCGAGGGCGAGGGCGAGAGCGAGGCAGUGGAGGAGGGCGAGGCGGUAGUGAGGCGGAGGAAGGCGAAGCAACAGGGAAGAGGGUGGAGGGGUAUUUUUGGCAUAAAAAAUUAUUUUUUAACGGAACCCUAAUGGAUCACUAACAGUAGAGGGUGAAGUGCACAUUUUUCAUUUGACAAGGGGGCAAAGUGUAGGUUUUUAAAUGACAGGAAAGGAAAGUGAAAAAUCAGGUUUUGACAGGGGGGUUUUAUGUAAUUUAGCCAUUUUUAUAUUCUAUAUGUUAUUUGAAACGUCUACCAAGUGUUCGACUUAAUGCCUAAUAGAAUAUAGAUGUAGAUUUUGCUUCCAAAUUUUUCUUAUUUGGAUUACAAGUAGUAAAUAUAUAUGCUCCUAUUUAAAAAUUAUCCUUUCGAGCAUUUAAGGCUUCAUUUUAAAAUUUUCUUUAAAAACUUACCCGUAUUUAUGUUGCACUAUCUUUUAAAUAAUAUAGCUCAUAAAAUUCUUCUUUUUAGUUGAUAGAUGUUAUUUUUCAACUUAUCAUGUUUGAAAUCAUUUUCUAUAUGGGAUUGGCCCAUAGCAACUUAGAUUUGUGCUAGUAUGCUAUUUGAGCCUAUCGAAAUUAUGUUGUUGGGAGUUACAUUUAAACACCAUAUUUCUUAUAAAUUAAUUUGUCCUAUGUUAGAUGUAUUGGACAUCUUUUUAGAAACUCAAUCGGAACCUAGUAAGCUUUGGCUAUUUUUGUGUUUCGUGCUUGUAAUAAUAUUUUGUUUUUGUAUUAGGUUCCAUUGAUUAAUUUGACACCCAACAUUUAACCAAAUGAUACUCAGGUUAAUUGGAGAUAAUUGACAUAACGCCUGUUACUUUAAUUUUGGUAAAAUUGUAGUAAUAUGUUACGAAAACAAGAAUUCUCUUUUUUAUAGAAUCUUUUUUAAAAGGGGUUAAGCGUGCUUAUAUAAAUUACGAAUCAUUAAAAGAUUUCUAAAAGGUUUUGCUCUAAUUGCUAUGCAAUUUUAGAAAUAUAUACUUUCGAUAUUGUGUUUAUUUGGUAAAAAUUUAAUAUUUGAUAAAUGUAAUAACUGAAAUUUUGGAGUUUUGAAAGAUAUUUAAAUUCAAAUUUUAAAUUUGAAUUAUAUAUAUAUAUAUAUAUAUAUAUAUAUAUAUAUAUAGAGAGAGAGAGAGAGAGAGAGAGAGAGAGAGAGAGAGAGAGAGAGAGUCCGGCUACUAUACUCUUAUGAGUACGAUUGCCAUCGUACUCAUAAGUCGUUUUCAAUGAUAGAGCUUCCAAAUCGAUAAUCCAUACCGUUAAACGUUAUAUAGAGCAUUUGAAAUUUCUAGGAAUCAAAUUUCAUAAUUUUUCGACAUUAUUUACCUUACGAUGAAAAAGUCACAAAAUUGAUAAUUUUUAACGACCGACAUGGGAUACUUGCUAGUUUAAUGGUGUAAAAGAAUCGGAAUAGGUUGAAUUUUUGAUAAAAAAUUCUAUUCACUAUCUAGAUAAAAAUCAAUAACUCCGAUCUUAAAUUAAAGAAUCCGAUCAUCUAGUUUUAAGACGUCGUUCGAUUUUGGCAGUUCAUUUUAUGCGAGUUUGAUAGACUUUAUUAUUGUUUCGAAAAAUUACGAAAUUUAUUUUCUAUAAGUUACAAAUACUCUAGAUCAUAUUUAACGAAGUGGAUCGUUGAUUUGGAAGCUCCAUCUUUGAAAACAAUAUAUCAAUACAAAGGGCUCUAUACUCAUAAGAAUAUAGUAGCCCUACUAGUCAGAAUGAGAGAGAUGUGUUUCUCGCUAAUCAGCAGUCGUUUCUGACGAAAUGAAAAUGUACGUUUAAUGGUCUGGCAGUGGCGAAAGUCAUUGCAUAGUCUAUUUUCGGAUUCGGUGAGCCGAUCGCACGAGAAAGCGUGAAGUUCAAGAAGAUGUCAAAACUCAAAAAGAGUUUCUUUGUACCAAUAUUUCAUGUAUUGAUUUACGUGAAAUCGCUUGUGGAGAGGCUUCUGCCCAUUUUACAAUUGUUGUGAAGGAUUGGGAUAAAAUAUUGAAGUUGUAGGGAUCUUUACACAAUUUACCAACUUGCUACAUAAAGGCAAGUUGGGUUUUGGAACCCUAAACUCCACGUCCUCUCCCUCACAAACCCUAGCCGCCAUAGGGCACCCUCCCCAAUCGCGCUGCCAGCAACCCCUGCCGGCGACGACCUCCCACGGACGUCGAAAAUAGGCCAGCAACCCUCCCCAAUCUCUCUCUUUCCCCUGAAUAUCCAUCUCUCUGUCCAAGUCAAAUCAAUCAAGAUCCCUCUUUCUUGGUUGCCAUCUCGGGGACCACACCACCAACCUCCCUACGACUCUAGAGAUGCACCUCGGCCAACGCGGGUGCCAUCAUGCACCAUCAAUCGAGCCUAGCCUCUCUGAACCUGAGUUCUUGAAGAUCGGGCUGCAAAUGCUAUGCGACUAUCACUGUCGCAUCCUGUCAUCAAGGUCGACGUCUGUGGCCCCCAGGUGAACCUUCGCUACCCCCCCUGACUUCCCCUGGCUAGCCCCCACUCAUCGGAACCCUAGUUCUAGCCCGAGUCCUUCAAAGUCGGCCACAAGUUAUUGACCGUUGUUGACGUUGCCUCCCAACGACGACAAUAGAUCCUGCCAGCCCUCUUACAUUCGGCUGUGACCUUUCCUGACUGGCAUGCACGCUCCCGAGUUGCCAAACUGAGUGGGUUCUUUCUGCUCUAGAUCUAGCCUGAUCUAGGGUUUGGUUGGUCGAGCUUCAGUAUUUCGGCCUCCCCCAUCGUCUGUAACUCACCGGGAAGGAAGCACGGUCCUCUAAAAGCAUCAUGGACAUCUGUGCUCAACUUCAUUUCGGUCGGAGAGGCCCGACUGGUGGCUUUGGCAUUGUCGCUCCCUGUGACCUUGGAAAACCAUAGUUCAAGUAGCCCUGACGUGUUCUCGACCUCCUUUCGAACUCCGAACAAUGAGCAUGGACUUCUGCACAUCGAGACCUAUCAACCUACACAGCUGAUCGAGUUAAAAUUCGGUAACAAGUCAAAAACCCUAACUUUCUAUAAUAUAUUGCAAUUAGAAAUAGAGUUAGGGACUUUUAUAAAAUUGGGGCCUUGUUGGCUGCCUCGGGCAGUGUGAGAUCACUAUUUAUGAUCUUUUGACUGGUUGACCAAGGUUCGAUGGCCCUCGUGAAGUUGAUUUAGGAUUUUGAUGUGUUUUCCUGAGAAUUGUCGGUAGAAUGCUUCUUUUGGGGUUUUGCAUUUCUAGCAACACGAAUCCCUGUGUUGGUUGUCGAGCUUUAUUGGCUAGUUACUCUAGCUAUCUCGAACAUCCGGAGACAGCGAGUGAGUGGUGGAGGGUUCCGGAGCCGAAAUUGGUAUUUUUGGGAACCCGGUAUGGUGUUAUUAUCACUAAAUUCAUUUAAUGACAUUAGAACAUGUGUUCGCUUCCCGAGCACUCAAAUCGGUGCAUUUCGAGUCAACGGGUGCUUCACGGUGUGAAUCGGUACCUCCUUCGGUAUUUCAGGGGUUUCAGAAGUGUUCCGAUGGAUUUUCAAGAAAUUUCGGUGGUUUCGGGAAUCGAUUAAAGGAUUCGAUUUUUCCAUAGUAGUUAGGAUUUGUGAUAGUGAUUUUGAGUUGUCUAGGAUUAGAUCUUAACUCUUGGACCCUUUGUAGUUCGGUUGACAAUAUGGCGCAUCUCGAGUGUUAGAUAUCUCGUCGGAUACAGGUGGGUACUUCGAUCCGUAGCCAAUAUUGUGGUUGUUGUGCUUGCUCGGUGACAUUCUCUCCCCUCUUCUUCCCUCGUUUACACACUUAUUAUAUGUUGAGCAUGACUACUUUCUAUUUUCUCUACUUCUACUUUUAUAUGCUAUCAUGAUUUGGUAGUAGAGUGGUGCUUACUGGCGUCAUUACUUGACCUUUAUCUGUGGACUUGGUUGGUCGGUGUCAGUGGUAUUUAUGACAUAUAGGUGGCAUAUUCUAGAUAGAUGGUUACUAUUCACUUUGAUUUCGGCUAUUUGCCAUUCUAUUGGCUAUUGAGCAUAUUGCAUCGAUCGUCACGGCUCAUGAAAUAUGUUACGUACAUCAGUGGUUUGGCCACCACAACGAUGUUCUUUUUCGAAAGUGUGGUCGUAUAUCUGAUCCAUGAGCUCUAUUCGAGGUGCUUACCUAAGGUUAUAUGCCAGUGGGUAAGCAUAUUAUGGCUUUGCCUAAGGUCUUUAGACCGAUAUGGCGAGUGAUUGGAUACUUUUACACUGUUUGUAUAGUUGAUGUAUUUAUUAUUAUUUACAGUAGCGAUAGAUGCUUUAUUAUUAUUCAUUCCUGUUGAUUAUUAAUUGUUACUGUACUUGUAUACAUACCUCAUUUGACUUUACUAUCUUCUGUUUACUAGUGAGCACACUUGCCCUUGUCGGCUUGCGAUACCCACUGGAAAACCUCAAGUUGGUUUCUCACCCCUUCUCCUAUUUUUAGGUCAUCUUCGCGGCGAGGAUCGUGAUGGUGUGUGAGGUGUGGUUAGCUACUGUGUUCUAGAGGUUUCGUGCAUUCAUCGAUUAACUCUGGUUACUCCGAUCUUACCUUUUACGUUUGUUUGCUAAUAAAGUAUAUUGAGUUGUGGUUCAGUUUGGUGAUUGAUUGAAUGAAAUGAAUGAUUAAUUUGAGAAUAAAUAAAUGGUGGAAUUAAUCUUAUUUAUAUAUGGUGAUGGUUUAGUUGGUUUUAUGACUUUGUGUUUUCAUGACAAAAACGAUUUUCUACCCUUUUUGGUAGUCGGAUUUCAAAAGAACGAGUUUCCGUAUAAAAAAUAGUUUGCAAAAUGGUUUUCUGAUCUAUCUCUAUCUUAGGUUUUUAAAAUAAAGUUUUAGGGUAGGAAACACUUCUAAAUAAUAGAGUUGUUUGAUGUAUUGUGCAUCUACACAUCCUUCGCCUAAGAAGUGCUAAGAGUAUGCAUCAUCUUUAAGGAUGGUUAGCUAAUCGAAUACAUGAGAAUCUGUAUUAUGUUUGCUGAAUUGGUGUGAGUGAUGCUAUGGGUUAUGGAGCUUAUGACAUGUAAUACGCCGUGCAAAUAUAAAGAAGACUCUAGCUGCGUGGACAGAGGAGUCCAUGUGUUUGUGGGGGCUUUGUCCGUCUCGUGGGCAAAGUUAAUGAAAAAAGAAAUUACUAGUUUUCGCUUACUCUAUUUUCAAACUAAUCUUUUUUUUCAAAAAGGCUUUACAAAAUGGGUCCUCGGGCGUGACAGAUUAAGAUGACAUCAGUGCCAGUUACAACCACAAAUUUACUCAGUUUUUUAACUAAACCGCAGGUUAAUUGACCCAUAGGUAGAUCUAAGGCAUAUAGGAAUGCGAGUGCGGGAUUUGUUGGGCUUGAGUCCAGGUAAGUUGAGUUGAGUCAGUUUACGUUUGACUUGACAGUAACUCUAUGUUGUUAUAGAUAAGGCUCGUGGGAGACCUCCCCGCAGGGGCCGUGGUUGUCACGCCCCGAGCUGUAGCGAAAGCUCGCCGGGCACGUGCCCAGACCCGCCGUGCACACCUAACCACAAUGUACACAAGGCAUCUACAACAAUCAUGAAGAGCAAAAGUAUAAUCCAGCCUAAACAUGGUAAUCAGAGCGGAAACAUAGUAACAGCUUGCUACAAAAUUCUGUAACUAAAAUCUUGAGAUUACAAUAACCCAAUCAAGAGUACAACAUAAAUCGCGUAAUCUCAAAUAGGGUACAAUAGAAUCCACUGAGCUAUGUCAAAUACAUAAUCUGUGGGCUCAUCUAUCACACAUCGCGAGGUUCUAGCUAGUUGUUGCCUCCCUUGCCGCGAUCCCUAGCCUUUCCCGCUGCGGAAGGCUCUAAAAAACAUCAACCAAAAAGAGGGCGUGAGAACUAUUAAUCAAUAGUUCCCAGUGGGCAAGUCACCGACCUCAGCGAAAUACACCACUAGGCUGAAUGAGGCAUAGAUAUGAAAUAUGAAGUAUGAAAAGUAAAUGCAACAGGUAUUAAAAUAAUCUCAACUAUAUCAUGCCUCUAUAUGAAAUGUCAUUUAGCAUGUAUGUAAAUUCUACACUAUUAAAUGCACAAACACUUAUAUAAAAAUUCAUAUAUGCUUUUCUAUCACUAAGCUACAUGCCACAAGUUGAGUAAAUCUUUCAUUUAUUUUUCACUAGCUAAUGUCACCAUGUAACUACAGUUCCAUGCUAUUCAACAUAAGUGUAAGUUUGCUACAACUAAGGUUGUCAAUGCAAACAAUAAUCCAUAUGAAUGUACCACUACUAUGAAUAUAUCAACUAGUGUCACAAAAUAAAUGACCUACUAGUAUGUUCAUCUACUAUGUCAAGUUUACUUAACUUGGAAUAUCAUAGUUCAAUCCAUCUGGACCUACACAAGUGUAGUCCGGCUUGUGCCAUGCCUAAUGGCCCCAUAGUAGUCAACAUUCCCACUCUAGGAAUGAGCCUUCCCCACGGCAUCCCAUUUCAGCGCCCAAUCCCGGACGGGCGAGCUUGUGUCGCGUUGGCUAUCUCCGGAGUGCCGGCUUGUGGGGAGCGACCCUUACAAGCAUGUGCGAAUGAGCACAAUGGCAAGCAAGCGUGAUCAUCAUCUCAAGUACACGGUCGUCAUGUCUCAAACAUGGUAUAAAUACUAGCAACCCAAAGGUCUAGUUCUAUAUCAUAGUGUACAGUUUUAACCGUUUACUAAGUUAAAUGUCUCUUUAUGACAUUAUUGAUCCUACCAGUAUGCAACUUGUCUCAUGUACAGUAAUGUUCAUCUUUCGUUAUCUUAUAAAGAACGGUUGGAGGUCUCAUUUAUGAACCUAACGGGCUACACCCGUAAACCAACGUGUUCUAAGUCCACUAUAGUGUAAAAAGAUCGAUUUACAAUGUCAUCAUUGGUAUAACAUAAGGAUAUCCACGAAAUCAUAGUAUGUAUCAUGCUUAUGCUUUACUAUAUAAACCUCCACUACAUAGAGUAUAAGAUUAACAUGAAAAUGAUUAAUUUUUAUUUAUCUAUGCAACACAUACUACAACACGCUUUACUACAAAGAGUAUGUCAAAUAUCUUUAUUAGAUAAAGUGUGCCAAAUACCUUUACUAAAUAAAGUAUGCCAAAUACCUUGAUUACAUGUGGGUGUCAAAUAAUCAAUUCAUAUCCCUCAUCGUGUCUAAAACAUGGAAUUGCAUCCAUCAUCUCAUCGUGUCUAAAACACGGAAUUGCAUUUAUCAUCUCAUCGUGUCUAAAACACGGAAUUGUAUUUAUAGGUCUAAAGGCCAAGUGCCAAAUCAUUAUGCCCACAAAAGUUAUGCAUCUACUUUGAGUGCAUACGGUUUUACAUCAUGCCACUAUCAUACAAUAGAUCAUAAUUUUCAUUGUCUAAAACAAGCAUAAGUUUAGCUUUCAAGAUCUAGUUCCUCUAAUUUCCCUAGUCAUGAAACAUCCCAUAUGUCAUUAUCAUUCAUCUCUAACAUGCUUGUUCGAAUAUGCAUAAGAGGAAUUAACACAACAUUGGACAUAAUAUGCAUGUCAUUACCAUAACCCUCUACUACAUAGAGUAUGCAAUUAUGUUAUACAUAACAUGUGUCUUUCAAACAUUCUAAAAUUAUAUCAUGGCAUAAAUAACAUGAUUAUGCAACAAUUAGGUCCUAUAACAUCAUAGGAAUCGUCAUAGAGGGAUUUCACCCAUUUCGGUGAGGUCAAACCCACCGGAUCACCUCCGAACGCUUUCGUUCCUUCAAACGAAGUUGUCGACCGAACUUCUAACACCCUAAGAGAAAUUCUAAAGGGUUAAAAAUUUCAAAACGACAACUUCGAAAUUACACAUAUAAUAAAGUAAAAAAUAUCUUAGACCAAGAAGAUCUUAUCCAAAGUCCAAAUCGAAGCUAGAAAGCUUCAAAUCCAACAUAUAAGAGUGUUCUACACUCAUCAAUUCCAUCCCAAAAGCUCAUAAUCGAAAAACCCCAAAAUAAACCCUAGUUUUCCAAAAACUAGGUUUAAUCACAAAUCUCAUGCAAAUCUCACAAAUAGAGGUUAAGAGAAGUUUUCUAACCUCAAAACAAGCUUCAACUUGAGCCAUCAUGUGCUAGGGAUGAAGUUUGAACCAUCCACAAGCUCCUCUCAUCACCUCCAAGCUCCAAGAAGCAAGCAACAAUGGAGAAGAGGAAGAAAAAGAGAUCAAUCCUCAAAAACCUAAGAAAUUAGAGGAGAAAAUCUAGAGAGAAGGAGAGAAAAACCCACCUCUUGUCCCUCUCUCAAACCUCAACCAGCUGAGGAACAAAUCGGGUGAAGGAGUAUAUAAACAUGUUGUAACAAUACCCCCAAAAGUUCUCCAACAAGCAGAAUUUACAUUCUGCACGAAACUGCAGUUUUUACACUGCGUACCGAUACGCGGGAAAGAGUACCAGUACCGGAUCAACAAAAUUGUCAAACUCGACCCUCGGCCAAGCCUCCAGACUACGGCGUACCGGUACUCUGCCGAUGACGUACCGGUACUCCAGCCCCUAAAAUCUGCAAUUUGCAGAUUUUCGAUGUCGAAAGCCUAUUCUUGCGUCUAAUAAGCUCCAGAACAGGCAGGUACCAUACAGGUAACCCUCAAAACCUCCCGAAUAGAUUAAAAUACUAUUCUUACACUAGAACCUUGCAAUUUGCAAAAAUUCAAUGUGUUACAUUCUUUCCUCCUAAAAAGGAGUUUCGUCUGCGAAACCAAGAAUCAAGCACAAUCCAAAUCCAUCGAAAAGAGAUGGAAAAACGCUCGAUCAGCGUACACUUUAAUCCCCAAGUAGCCUUGCAUUCGACGGGUUGCUCCAAAGCACCUUCACACUAGGAAUUCCACAAUUCCGAUGCCCCACAAAGCAAGCUCAAUCAUCUAAAGUGGCGUCCGAAGCCUCGGCCUUCCCACAUGAAGUCCCACUUCAAGUCGAUAUUCAUCCACAAUCCUCUGCUAUUAAUUUUGCCUGGAAAUCAGUUGUUCCAAAGUAGGCUAAAUUCAACCCUCCACAUUCCAUAAACAUCAGGAGCUAAAUGUAGCUUUCCCGUCAUCAUUCCUAUGACGAUAAUUGCAAUUCCUUCUCAUGGCUUCCAACGGUGGCAUUCGCCUUAGAAGUUCAAAACAUAGAUUGAAGCCCACUUUCCAAUAUCCAAGUGAUGUAUAUUAAGUGGCCGCCGCCAUUAUCGCUGACAGGUGGCGCCAAACCAAUCAUGUUCCAAGCAUUCCGUGGAGAUUCUUUCAAUCCAACAAGUAGGUAGCACUAUUAAUGCUAGUCAUCAUCUUAAUGUCUCGGUGUAUCUACCCUUGAGUCUAAUUACCUCGUUUCCUCAAGUAAAUUGGUUGAGUAUAGUUCAACAUCGCUAAGCUCUCUACCGGUUUGCCAUCGAAGGUGAUAAUCACCGUCUUACUUUACCCUAGAUGGUAAGGAAGGAUUUAAUCUUUAUCCACGAGUAAAGUCGUCAGCCCCAGAUACCACAAACAUAAUCCUUUAACUAAGGAGAUGAACCCAAUGUCCUUUUGAUAAGGUUAAAUCACACACAAUCGUGACCGAAAAAUAUCUGCGCAACUUGUCCCCGAAGUAGUCAAGAUUUAACUCGGGGUGGGUAUCAACUGUGUCAUUGGUUCCCUGAACUUAUCCCAAGCAUAUUUAUACAUCCCUCAUGUUCCCAUAAUCCACAAGCUGAGAAAACUUAAAUCUCCAUCUGUAAUAUACGAAAAAUUUCGGGUUGCGAUGCUAACUUUGAUCUAGAAGAUUAAAGUGAAGUUUGAAUUGGAUGUGCAUCAUUCCAGAGUGUUUCUGGACAUGUGGAAAUGAUUUUUGGAAGUAAUUGAGUAUUCGGGCAAAAAUCGGGCGCGAAAUGAACUUGAAAGGGGAUUUUCGGAUUAUGACGCUAACUUUGACAUACGCGAUCAAAGUGAGGUAUGAAUAUUAAUUGUAGUACCUCCGAAUUAUUUUGGAAGUGCGAGGAUAGUUAAUGGCAAAUUUCGGAGAUGCUUGAAUGUAAAAAUGUCGGAUUUUUUAUUACAUUGCUAAUUUUGACCAAAUUGAUCAAAAUAAUGCCAAAAUAAAAUUAGUUUGCUUCCAAGCUUAAUUGGUAGCUUCGGCAUAGUGUUUAGCAUGUUUUGGAAGUGUUUGAGUGGACUCAGAGUGAACUAGACGCGCAAAAAGGGCUGCAAUUGCUGCUGCAGGGCUGCAGAUUAGUGCAGGGACUGAAUUGUAAACCUGCAGGGACUAAAUUGUAAACUGCUGGACUGCAAUGCAGUUUCAGCCUUUUGAGGGGUUAAGUUGCAGAUUUUUGAGCUUAUCUCAACUCCAGCCACUCCCUGCAGCUGCCCACGUAUCCAGCCUCUGUCCCUCUCCUUUUUUUCAUUUCUUUCUCCUUCUCCUUCUCUCUAACCCUAGGUGAAGCUUAAUAGAGAAGGUUGAUUUGGAGUUGGAUCUUUUUGGUGUGUUGAGCCUUGGGCGAACAGAGAAGGUUCUGUUCGUUCGGCGUAAGUGUAUGGGCCCGAAUCGGCCAAAUUGGUGGGCUAGGGGCGUGACAGAUUAAAUGGUAUCAGAGCAAUGCAAGUGAAAGUAUAGGAUGGACCUAGGGACCUUAGGAUGGAAAACCAUAAGGAUCUAGGUUCGUGAGAGACGAGAAUCUUAGUGUGUGGCGAAAGAUUAAACCGAUUGGGUCGUGUGUUGUAUACCUCUAAAAAGGAUCUUAGAGGUGGAUUCAAGGUGAAGUGUAUUCUCAACAGGGAGUGUUCAUGUUGGGUGCCCACAACAUGUAACCGAGUGAUGAGAAUAGGCUCCCUUGUAUGACUUUCGCUUAAUUUGAGUCGGGUUGACGAUAGUUGUUUCGUGUUUAACCAUGAAGGUCAAGAAUUGGUCGCGUUGUUACACGUUUAGUGGUCUUGAGUAGUUGAUCUCUAAUGAGAUCAAUGUGGUUCGGCAUGAGUGGAAUCUUUGAACUGAUCGAGCUUGAAGGAAUGUUGAAGCUUUGGGGUCGGUUAGUCAUGCCCAUGGUAGGGUUGUGGCGAUGAAUAGUUGUAGUGCAAUGUCAGCGGGAGGCUGUAUUGUAUUUGGUGAAUUGAGUCAGGGGACACCAGAAGGCCGUGGAGUAGUUGAUAACCGCGCCAUUUGUGGUUUGUUGUGGGUAGCUGGAAGUGAUGAUAGAGGUCGUUUUGUUGGAAAUUGGGUAAAUCGACUUCUGGCUUUGCAGUAUAGAAAGCAGAUGAGGGCAAUUGUGGAUAACCCUUGUGGCCUUCAGAAAAGUUUAGUCUAUCUGUGGUGGAUAAAAGAAUAUUCACGGGCCGAGAAUCUGUGGAAUGGUUUCAGGGAAAUUUUCCCUGGAAGGAUUGGUGUAUAUUCUGAUGAAGUAUGAGGUUAAACCUUGUGGUUGAAGUUAGGUGAUAUCUCGUGCGGAAGGAGUGCGAAUUGGUUAGUGAGAAUGAAGGAUAAGCGACUAUUGUUUGGUUCGGGUAGUCAAUUGAGUGUUAAGUGACACCCGGAAGAGAGUUGCAGUCGUCAUUUUGGAAUUCGGAAAGGUCUGUUGACUAACCUUUUUUUUUUUUGUUCGAGAGGAGUAGUUGUAGUAACUUUCACCAGCAAGGCCGCGUGCAUUGUUGGAUAAGUAAAGUGGUAGGAGAUUGAUCCCGGUGAAAAGAUGGUGUGUGUGGGGAUAAUGUGAACUCCGAACAGUACAUAUAAAAGUGUUAUAGAGACUUGGAUUUGACCCUAGCCUGCAGGGAUAAAGGGAAUGUAUCAUCUAUUAUUGAAUAGAUGGUUGGACAAUGCUAGUGAGUAGUUGUAAUGAGCCAAUGUUGGGGCUCAGGAUAAAGAGGGAAAUGGUGAACCUGCUCUUUAAAGCGUUUGGGUGAUAGUGAGAAUUAAAUUAGAACGUUAGAAGACGCUCUAGAACUCGAGAGUUCGGAUGAUAUUCCGAUAGAUCGAGUAGUUGCGAUAGCGUCCUUAUUGUAGGAUGGUUUAAUGAUCGCCUGGUUUUGGCAAGUUAGUCUAGUUGUACUUCAACUAGGAUGAGGAAAUUCGUGUUUGUGUGUUGUGGGCGUAGGCUGAGUUGCCUAGCGCGUGAUACCUAGUGAGAGGCGUGAUAGUGUAGGACGCUUGAGUAUAGCUGUCCAUAGAAUGUGGAUUAUGAUUCAGCGAGAAGGGUCUGUUGGCAGUAGCACUUGAGCGUUGCUCAGUGUGAAGCGUGCCAUGGAUCACUCGUGGGACUGGUGGCUCGCAUUAGGUGCCUAGGAGCCGAUAAUAGUGUGAAUUGCUCGAUAGAGCGUGUCGUGUGUGAUGACCGUUGAGGAUAUAGGGUAAAUGGCAUUGUAUAGCUAUGUAGUGAGCAUUUGAAUGUGUACCAAUAUAAAGAACAUGUGGACUAUAAAGUAUGAACAUAGAAACCCUAUGAAUGUAUGAAUUUAUUGUGGACCAUGUCUGGACUUUAGAGCCUGAGGCCAUUUGAGCAGGCGCAGUCAGCUGUGUGUGACAGCGGUCCAAUACCUAUGGGUGGGGCAGAGAUUCUGGUCGGGGCGGUAGUCCGAUCGUAGAUCAGUAACACGUAUUGGAUCGUGUGAUUAGUGGUAUAUCGAGAGGGUGAAUUGACCAAACCCUAAGAUUCGUAAUGGUUUGGGAUUUGGAUUGCUCCACAUUGGAGUAGGUGUGUGAGGUCUCAAGUGGAGACUUCACCAUGUGAUGAUUGGGUCUACGUUUUCGAGUGAGAGAUGCUGUGUGUCACGCCCCAAGCCUGAUCCUUUUGGCCGGUUUGAGCACGUCGAACAGACGCCGAACGGACAGAGCCUCUCCUGUCCGCCCAAGGCUCAACAACAGGUAUCAACAGAGUGUAAAAUUUGCAUAAGCGGAAACAUACAAAAUGGCUUGCACGAGGACAAGCAAUAGCCAAAGUGAAAGCGCUAAACAAAACAUCACAAGUAAUAUGAUUAAAUUUAAAUCACAUACGUGCAAUCAACUUCGAAGUUUUAUUACAAUCUUUGCAUCAUUUCUUUUUUACGUCUCAAUUCUCCAAAAUAUAACUUUUGACAUUUAAAGUAAAUAUCUUUUACAUCAUACUCAUAAACAUCUAGAAUCAUCAAAUAAAAAGAUGAUAGUAAGGGAAUGCAACUACAAAAUAUGAAACCAUCUCGGGUGGUCUCUAUCUAGGGCGCGAUGCCCUUACCGUGGUCGUCCGCCGGCUCUCUCGGUCCCGGCUCUGUGGAAAUAGUGGGGUGAGAACUACAACAAAGUUUUCAGUGGGUUCGGCAAUCAGCCAUGCCGACUUUCCCACUAGGUCUAAAUCAGGCAUAAUAGAAGAACAGAUAGAUAGUAACCAACUAAACAAAUGCAGCUAAUAUGCUUGAACAAUAAGUAAUGCGAUGCUCGAUAGAAUACUCAUGAUGAAUGUAAGAUCAUAGUUUGAUUACCCAAUCUCUUGGCUAGCCCGUAGGUUUCGCCCUCAAUAGACUCACCAACUCAAAUCCCAAGUAUCGGGGAGACUACUACGCCCGACAGGACCGUCCUCUGAGGAGACUACUACGACCCAGUGAUGACAACUCCGAAGCACAUCGCCCGAGGGGGAGCUACCACCCUCGAGUAAGGACUUACAGGUGAGUAUGAUCUAAUCCUUAACUAUAAGGAUGUCAAGUUUAAUCCAUUUCUUAACUAUAAGGAAACAAUACACAUAUGACCCUUAACUCUAAGGUUGUUAUGUCAUAAUGUCACUACAUUUGUAUACUUGCAUUCGUUAACCUUUACUAGUGUCAUAUACACUACUUAUUCUUUGUACUCAUACAAUGAUGCCACACUUGUUUUCUAUGUGUUCAACUCUAGUGUUCUUGGCUCUUCAAUGUCACUCACUACCUUUGUUGUGGAGGAAUUUAAGCGGGAGAUGUUCGCCAACUAUUUCCCCGAUACGUUGAAGCGAAAGCUCAAGGAGAAGUUCCGCAAGUUGGAGCAAGGGGACCGCUCAGUGGCGGAGUAUGAACAAGAGUUCUCCCACAUCAUUGACUGUGUCCUGGACGUAGUGAAGGAUGACCGGGACCGGGCCGAUUGGUUCUCGCGAGGACUUCGGCCGGGGAUUUAUAAGGCCAUACAGAUACUCAAGCUCACGACCUUUGUGGAGGUCUUCGACCAAGCACUCUGGGCGGAACACGGAGACGCCCACAUUCGGGAGAAGCGUUAGAUGCUGGCCGAGUCCAAGGACAAAGGUAAGAAACGCCAAGGCGUCAGCGGUUCGGGGGGACAAGCACAUUCCAAGAAGCCCCCGAAGUAUCCGCGAACUCAGCAAAAGGGCCGUGGACCGCGACGGUGCAUCAUAUGCGGCGGAGACCACCUGGUAUCACGUUGUGAGCAACGUGAAGGCAAGUGCUACAAAUGCGGGCAACCGGGGCACUUCAUACGAGAUUGCCCGGGAUGAGGAGCCUCACCUGCCCCAUCGAUUGCAUCGGCACCGGCGAUCCCGGCUCAUUAUGGAGGAGUUCCACCCAAGGUGGCGUCGGCGGGACGCGCGAUGAUGUCGCGUCAACCCGAGGUGACGCGAUCGGCCCCGAGCGGACGGGUGUUUGCCGCUCAGGUUCAAGUCGAGGAGCCUGCGGAGGUGAAGGAGCAUCGCCUUGUGGCAGGUAUGGUUUUAAUUAACAGGGUUCGCUCCAGGGCAUUAUUUGAUACAGGAGCCACGCAUUCAUUCAUAAGUAGAUCAUUCGCAUGCAUGCAUAGCAUACUCAUAGAGGCGAGUGACAAGUGGGCGAGUUGAGGGCCCUGGGUCGACGUUUAACACUUACUCGGAGUGUGCAUCGUGUCCAGUACAAGUAGGUGACUGGAUAAUGCCUAUACGGAUGCUAGAACUCGGGAAACUGGAGGCCUAUGAUGUUAUUCUAGGCAUGGACUGGCUCUCGAAAUAUCAUGCAACGAUCGACUGCAAGAGCAGAGUAAUUACGUUUCGUGAGCCAGGAUAAAAAGAGUUCACAUAUCGGGCUUGCCAGAGCUCGUGCUUCGUCGCGAUGGUGUCGGCGACGAGAGCAAGAAAGUUGGUCAACAGCGGUUGCGCGGCGUUUUUAGCGACUGUUGUGGAAGUGGAACGAGUAGCUCCAACAUUGGAGGAGUUAUCGGUGGUGCGGGAGUUCCCGGAUGUAUUUUUCGCGGAGUUGCUGGGGAUACCACUGGAUCGAGAGAUCGAGUUCGUCAUAGACUUGGUUCCCGGUACCGCACCGAUCUCGAAGGCUCCGUACCGAAUGGCGUUGGCGGAACUGAAAGAGUUAAGGAGUCAAUUGCAAGACCUUCUCGACAAGUAGUUUAUCCGGCGAAGUGUAUCCCUGUGGGGAGCCCCGAUGUUGUUUGUACGGAAGAAGGACAGAUCAUUCCAACUCUGUGUGGACUAUCGAGAAUUGAACAGAGUCACGAUUAAGAAUAAGUACCCACUACCCCCAAUCGAUGGCUUGUUCGAUCAGUUGCAGGGGUCGUGUGUAUACUCGAAGAUACACUUACAAUCCGGCUAUCUCCAGUUGAAGAUCAAGCCGGAGGAUGUGCAGAAAACCGCGUUUCGCACGCGGUACGGGCACUAUAAAUUCACGGUCAUGCCAUUUGGACUCACGAAUGCUCCAGCGGCAUUUAUGGACUUGAUGAACCGUGUCUUCAGGAAGCUUUUGGAUCGAUUUGUCGUGGUCUUCAUAGACGACAUAUUGGUCUUUUCUCCUAGUGACGAGGAACAUGCCGAGCAUUUGAGGAUAGUGCUUCAAACCCUUCGAGAGGAGAAGCUGUAUGCUAAGUUAAAUAAGUGUGACUUCUGGCUCCGAGAAGUUGCAUUUCUAGGACAUGUGAUUUCCGCGGGUGGAGUUUCUAUAGAUCCGAGGAAGGUUGAGGCAAUCAAGGAUUGGCCGCGCCCGACUAACGUCACGGAGGUUCGAAGCUUCGUGGGCUUGGCGGGCUAUUAUAGGCGGUUUGCGGAAGGCUUUUCGAAGAUAGUGAUUCCACUUACCCGCCUAACUCAAAAGGGCACCAAGUUCGUGUGGAGCGAAGAGUGCGACCGGAGUUUCAAAGAGUUGAAGCAAAGAUUAACUUCGACUCCAGUGCUCGCUCUACAGGUGCAGGGCGAAGACUUCGUGGUCUAUAGCGAUGCUUCCUAUCUAGGAUUGGAGUGUGUCCUGAUGCAGGGCGGGAAGGUAAUCGCUUAUGCGUCCCGUAAGCUAAAGAGCUAUGAGAAGAACUACCCCAUUCAUGAUUUGGAGCUAGCGGUAAUUUUCGCCUUGAAGCUGUGGUAGGACUACUUGUACGGUGUCCAUUGUGAGAUCUAUACCGACCACAAGAGUUUGAAAUAUCUAUUCACACAGAAAGAGCUCAACAUGAGACAUCGGCGGUGGUUAGAAUUGUUAAAGGACUAUGAUGUUGAUAUCUUUUACCACCCCGGGAAAGCUAAUGUGGUCGCUAAUGCAUUGAGCAGAAAGUCGGCGGAGAACCUCUCAAUAUGGGUUACAAAUCAAUCACCCUUGUGGUUAGACAUGGAGCGGAUGAACCUUGAGGUGGCUGCCCCCAAGGUUCCGGCCCAACUGAUGGCGCUCGUUGUCCAACCGACCUUGUUGGAGAGGAUUAAAGAUCUGUAAGUUGCGUACCCGGAACUCCAAAAGGUUCGGCGAAACAUCAAGGAACGUCGAGGUGGCGAUUUCAGUAUAGACGCCGAUGGUGCACUCCGGUUUCGAAACCAGUGGUGUGUGCCCAGAAAUGGAGAACUUUGCGAGCUAAUUCUACAAGAAGCACAUCGGUCUCCAUAUGCUGAUCAUCCGGGCGGCACCAAGAUGUAUCAAGGAUUAAAGAUGCACUAUUGGUGGCCGAGAAUGAAGAGUGAUAUUGGACGCUUCGUGGUGAAAUGCUUGACAUGCCAACUAGUGAAGGCAGAGCGUCGGUUUACAGCGGAAAAGCUGCAAAGCCUACCAAUCCCCAUUUCGAAAUAGGAGGAUAUAUCGAUAGACUUCGUGGUCGGCUUGCCUCGCUCAACGGGCGGCCACGAUGCAAUUUGGGUAAUUGUGGACCGAUUGACGAAGUCGGCUCAUUUCUGCCGAUCCACACCACGUGGUCGAGUGACAAGUUAGCGCAGGUAUACCUUGACGAGAUAGUGAGACUGUAUGGGGUGCCGAAAUUGAUCGUGUCGGAUCGUGACCCCCGGUUCACUUCACACUUCUGGAAGAGCCUGUAGGAAGCCCUUGGCACACGGCUCGACUUUAGUACCGCAUUUCACCCUCAGACCGAUGGGCAAACAGAAAGAACCAUUCAAAUUCUGGAGUAUAUGUUGCGAGCGUGUAUCAUCGACUAUAAGGAAAGUUGGUGUGAUCACCUACCUAUGGCCGAGUUCACCUACAACAAUAGUUAUCACGCUAGUAUAAAGAUGACACCGUUCGAGGCUCUUUAUCGGCGGACGUGUCGGUCUCCUAUACACUGGAGCGAUGUAGGUGAGCGCGCAGAGUUCGGCCCCGAUGUGUUGCGAUAAGCGGAGGAGAAAGUCCGCCUUGCUCGCAAGAGAUUGCUCACGGCGCAGUCGAGACAGCAAAGCUAUGCAGAUAGGCGCCGUCGGGAUAUAGAGUUCGCGGUGGGCGACCGCGUAUUCUUGAAAGUUUCACCGAUGCGGGAUGUGAAGCGGCUUGAAGUGCGGGGAAAACUAAGUCCCCGGUACAUUGGACCUUAUGAAAUAUUGGAGCGAGUUGGCACGGUGGCUUAUCGGCUCGCUUUGCCGCCGAAGCUCGCGGAUGUACACAAUGUAUUCCAUGUCUCCAAUCUCCACAAGUAUAUUCACGACCCCAAGCACGCGAUGCGGUAUGAGCCACCGGAACUUCAAGAGGACUUGAGCUAUGAAGAGUUCCCGGUGGGUAUUAACGCCCGAGAAGUGCGAAAACUAAGAAAUCGCGAAAUUCUCUAUGUGAAGAUUCGGUGAAGCAAUCAUGAUGAUCACGAGGCUACCUGGAAACUGGAGGAUCUGAUGAGAAGGCACCAUCCUCAUCUAUUUAAGGAGUAAGGUAUGGAUCUAAGUUAAAAUUGAGAAUUGAGGUAGUUUCGAGGACGAAACUCCUUUUAAGGAGAGGAGGAUGUGAGGAAGUGAAUUCUCGAAAUCCGAGGAUUGUACUUCGUUUAGAAUAGACUAUUUGUCGAGAAGGUAUCCUUCGGAAAAGCUAAAGUUGUCCAAAACACAAAAAGUGCAUUGGAAAUGUGUCCGCGAGAGCAAAUGUGCAAAAAUCUGGACUUAGCAAAUUUUGCUCUCGGAGACCGGUCCCUGGAAUGGGGGACCGGUCCCCAUAGCUGAUGGUUGCGGGGGAGGUUGAUGCAACCGGUCCUUGGCUGAGGGGACCGGUCCCCGUAUGCGACACCAGCGAGAGAAGGGCAAAAAUGGCUAAGUCCUGGAAAUUCAGCUCUCGGGAACCGGUCUCUCAGGAAGGACCGGUCUCCCGCGGACCGGUCUCUCGGGUGGGGACCGGUUCCCGUAAGCGAAAGGUCCCCAGGCCCCGGGGAGGGCUCUUGGGGACCAGUCUCCCCAACGAGGGACCGGUCCCUCUGGGCGCAGAAUACCCAGUGAGGGCUGUGCAUAAAGAUGAAAGUUGAGGUGUUUAAUUGGAUUUUGUUACAUUAGAGGGGUAUGUAGGCCCCCUCUCUCUCUCUCUCAGCCUCUUAUUUCCCUACCUCUCUCUCUCUCACACUCUCUUGCUCCCUCUCUCUCUCUAGAAAAGAAAGAACAAAAGAGAAGGAGAAGAAGAAAGAAAAGAAGAAGAAAGACGAGAAGAAGAAGAAGAAGGAGGAAACUAAGCUCAAGGAGGCUUGGAACAUCUUCCUUUCCCUCUCCUCACCAUUGGAGUAGCUCAAGAGGUAAGCUCUUGAACCCUAGCUUAAGAAACUUAGGGUUUUUGGGCAUUGAGCUUUUGAAAUGGGUCGAUUGGACCUCUAGCAUGCUUCUAAAUAGAUCAAUGCUAGAAUUUAGGGUUUUGAUUGGAUGGUUUGCUAUAGGUGCAAACCUAGGGCACCCAAAUAGGGUUUUUGGUAAAGUGUGAGAUUGAUCUCAUUUGAGACCUUGUUAACCUAAUUGCUAGGUGUCUAAACGCGGGGGCAAAGUCGGAAUUACGAUUCAUCGAGCGGGAGAAAAGCUAUCGGCAAAAUAAGGCCGAUUGAGCAUUGUUUUGGACCAAGGAGUCCAAGACUUCGUGGUAACGAUCGCCGAAGAGCGUUUCUAGAACCUCUACAACAAAAAAAGGUGGGGGGUGUCAUCCCGAAGCAAUUGAACUCCUUUUUAUGUCUUAGAAUAGCACAUAAUUUUCAUUUCUGCAUGUUGCAUUGUAGGAUUGCAUUGUAGUACCUUUCCUUACGCUUUCUAAAUGAAAACCUAGUGUACAUGGAAUGCUUGGUAAAUUAGAUAGGUGAGGAUUGGGUCAGAACAUUGGAUCCUAUAGUGCUAAAGAAAAGAGAUGGACUCGGUGGUUAUGUAGCGACAUAGAGAGUGGCAUCUAAAUGUUUAAAGAACAUAGAGAGUGGCAUUAAUGUAGUGUAUUUGACACUAGAAGUUUAUGAACCUAGGGAGAGGUGGAUCCCUCAUAAAAUGCCUUGUGGACAAAGAACUUAGUAAAGCUAAGUACCCUCACAUGGAGAGGAUGUAAAUGAGUUUCGUUUGAGAUGUUGGCCCUAGUUCGUAGGGUAUCCUCACUUGGAGAGGAUAGAUCUAGCUCAAGGUUUGUUAUUUGGGGUGGUAUAGCCAUCCAUAUCAUCACAUGGAGAGGAUUGUCGUCGAGUACUUCGGAGUGUCGGGCGAUUAGGACCACAUGGCGGUCCGCAGACAGUCCCGGGUUUGGGGGCACAUGGAGCUCCCCUACCCAAUCGGGAUGGAAAAGUGAGUUGAGGGCGGACCCAAGGGUCUCACCAUAGAUUGGGUAAAUGAAAAACAAGUACCAUCAUUGAACAUUAUUAUUCGAACAUGGAUCGAACUUGUUAGCAUGGUAGUAAACCUUACUAUAUUAUACAUGCAUUCAUUAUACAUGAUUAUGGGCAUAGUAGCAUAGAUUUCCUUUAUGCCUUUACAGCUUUGAGAUAUCUAUCUAUAUAUCUAUCUUGUUGUUACUUGUGUCCACUUGGACCUAGUAGGGAGAUCGACAGAGUCGGUGGCCGAGCCCACUGGGAACUAUGGAAGAUAGUUCUCACCCCACUUUAUUUCCAGUGGUAGUUACAGGGUUGCCGAGAGAGGACCACGGCAAGGGCAUUGCGCCCGAUCAGUGAGACCGUGGUAGUAUAGUAGCUUUCCUUUUUGCAUUAGCACACCUAUAUAUUGAGAGAGAUUCAUGUUGGUGAGGACUUGGAGAGCUAUGUAUUUUGAAUGAUCAAAUGUAAAUGUAAAAGAAAGCAACUAUUGUGGUAGCUAAUAAAAUACUCUCUUUAUUUCACUUGUUCUACUUGUGGAUUACUUGCUCUUGUUGUUGUUGGCACUGUUUGUGCCCGUUGAAUGUGUAUGUUUAGAAUUUGAAUUUUCUGGGUAAAUUCUUGUACCCAUUCCUAUUGUUGAGCCUUGGGCGGACAGGGGAGGUGCUGUCAGUUCGGCGGUCCGUCCGGCGCGCCCGAACCGUGCCAAAUAGGUAGUGGUUUCGGGGCGGGGCGUGACACUCUCCCCGCAGGGACCGAUCCCCGAGAGCGCAACUCUCAACUUUUGCCUACGGGGACCGGUCUCUCCAUGCAGGGACCGAUCCCCGAGAGCACAGCUUUCAGGACUUAGUCGAUUUUUCUCUCUUCUCGCUGGCUGCGCGUACGGGGACCGGUCUCUCCUUCAGGGACCGAUCCCCGAGAGUCCAAAAUCUGGGACUUGGCCAGAUUUUUCAAUUUUACUCUCUCGGGUCCCUUUACACUAUACCAAGGUUCCAAAAUACUUAGAACCCAUUGUAACUUGUUCCACUCCGCGUUCCGUUCAUUUCGACGGAACUCGGCACGUUCUAUGGGGAUGUGAUAUGUUACAUUUCUAUUAUUUCUCUUUCCUACACAAUCAAUUUAUUUGUUGAUUUUAUGGUUGAUAUUGUGCGAUAGUCUAGAUGUCUAUAUGAUCAUGCGACUUGUAUGCUAUUGGAGGGAUGAUGGUUUACUUCAUGAUCUAUGUUUAUGCAUUAAUACUUCAUAUUUUUCACUGUUAGAGGAUUUAUGUUUAUAUUGUGAGAUAUGUGACAGAUGUCGUAAGAUAAUACGGCGCUAUUGGACGGUGAGAUGUAUGUAAUUGUGCCAAUGGCAACCGGGUAGUAUAUAGUGAUCUUUUUUUAUUAUUGCAUUGACUAUAGCCUACAUGAGCCAUAUUGAGUUUGACAGAGAUACUAUGAUACUUUUUGAGGUUGCACCCUUAGAGUGCCCCUCCGUAGGCUGGCAGUUGUCAUAGAUAUGCUAGGCUGCCUGCAUGUUGGCAGUCCAUGGGUCAUUGUGGCCCCGCCUAUUUGGCCGAGUUCGGGCGCGUCGACAGACCGCCGAACGGACAGAGUUUUUCCUGUACGUCCUAGGCGUCACAAUCAAUACAAUGAACAUUACAAGGGUUCCAACCAGGAACAGAUAUCAAUCAUGAUUGCAUAAGAAAAGUAUCACAACAUAACACAUCCUAUGUUAUUACAUGUGUGAGAUAUGGAUCCCGAGGAUCUAAAAGGUAAGUAACACCUAGAGGGGGGUGAAUAGGUGUAAAUCCGGCAAACUCGAAAAAUCUCGAUGCAAACAAAACAAAAUAGCGAAAAUUAAAACAGCACACCGAGAAUUUAACGUGGGAAAACUCCAAUUCGGAGUGAAAAACCCACGGGACCGAUCACGCAAAGAAAAUCCACUAAGAAAACUUGAGUACAAGUGAUUUCGACAAAAACACACGACUCAAUUUACCGAUUUCUCGUUGACGGUGAUCUUUGCCGGUCCUCAAUCGAUAGGAAUCCACCAAUCGACCUUGCUGCAACUCCUUGCAGCGUCAACGCCUCAACUCCUCGAAGCGUCCACCGAAUCCUCGGCUUCACACGAGAUCCACGUGCCGAAUCUCCUUCCGGAGCUUGUAGAAUCGAAGAUUUGUGGUGAUUUAACUUUUGAAAACCAUAAGCUAUGGGAGUUCACCUUUUAUCAAACAUCUACUUGAUUCUCGUAAGAAUUAUUGAGUAACAACGAAGAAUCAAGCCGAUGAUGAUUGCUAGAAACUCAUCAUAUAAAUCUAAGCAUUGAAACGGAGAGAAAUAAGUUUCUAGGGUUUAGAAUUGGUAAAAUAUUCAAAGCCUUGAUUUUAGAUGACCCACAUAGCUUAUUUAUAUAUUUAGAAGACUUAGAAGUAGACUAGGAUUGCAAAAAGUCGUUUUUAAAAAACUGUGUCGUCCUCAGAGACCGGUUCUCUCGAGGAGACCGGUCUGUGAGAGACCGGUCUCUCAAGUGAGGAACCGGUCCCUCUCUGCGUGACCAAAAACCCAACGUUCGGGAACCGGUCUCUCAAAUUUGAGACCGGUCCCUCGCUGCGCGAUAGAAGCACCAUGGUUCGGGAACCGGUCUCUCAUCACAGGGGACCGGUUGCAUCACGGUUUACGCAGUGAGGACCUUAGGGGAACCGGUCUCUCCAUCUCAAGGACCGGUCCCAGAACACAUGAAAGUUCAGAAAAGUUGUUUUAAAGCAACCUAAGCCUUCUGAACUUAUUCUAAUUAUGUAUCUUCACCACAAAUGAUCUUUUCUUCAUACCUUAGGUGUCGAGCUUUCCGAAUGAGUCUUCGUCCUCCAAUUUGAAUCUCUUCUCAAAAACUUCUGCGAUCAACUCUUCAAGACUCCAAACAACUUUACGAAAUUCGCCAACCUACAAAAUCCUUAACAACAUGCAUUCACAAUAAUACAUUUACUUUACAUCCAACUCCCAAAUGCAAUUAAGUUAUUACAUCAUUUGCUUAUUACAAAUUGAUACAUUGUAUUCUUUUUAUUUUCCAAACCCCUAGGCUAUGUCGACGAGGUAUUGCUAUCUCUGGUCUCUGGGUAGGGCGCUAUCUAUGGAGCUACGCCCUUUCCUCGCACCGCCGUGCCGCUCACGUGCGAACCUGAAACACCCCAAAACAACGUGGGGUGAGAACCAACUCCAUGGUUCCCAGUGGGUACGGCCACCCAAGGGAAGAGCUCGACCGAUAGGUCCAAGGAGGCACUGCAAUCAUGUUAGUCCAAAAAUAUCUACAGAUAUAUAUAUCGUAAUGUAAUUAUGAAACUAACAUAUAACAUGCCUCGCGAUAUGCAAUAUGAAUAUAUGCAACUAUGCAACUGUAUAAACCACUAGUAGAUAUGUUGAUUCUACAUUUACUUUGCUAACUUUAGCUCUUACCUUUAUCACUAGCUUAUAAGAUUCUAUUAACCUAAUCAAGCUAACCACCCGACUCGGCCUCGAGUCAAUCAUCCGCGGAUAGUCCGCGCACUGGCUGCAUCUAAGCCUGGCUGCCGUCACGCCUACCGCACCUUCUGAUUAACAUUGGCAGCGAAUUUAUCGCAUCGACCAAACAUAACUCAAGUCGAUGACUUAGCCAUCUGGCCGAUGCCGACACUAAUCGCACCUCACCGACUGUGUUCAAGACGUGACUAUCAUCGGGCAGCGACACAUCGCUCUUACCAACAAGGUAAUCAAUCUAGGCGCAUCAUCGUAAGCUAUAGGCGAGGAGGAACCACAAUACCCAAAUUCCAGUUUUCUCAUGGACACGCCGGGCCGGGAGGGACCAACAUACCUGUUGAAUCAGCUGCCAGGCGAGGAGAACCCACAAUCUGCCAGCUUAUGAUUCGCUUGUCAUCUCUGUUUACACAUAAUUUUCACCUGCUCCAGUGCGGCCACAUCACUACGCGAUUCCGGAAUUCCACCUUCAUAUAGGCUUAACGGGUUGGCUUUAAACCCUAUAGUACUUGACCUUAUCUAGGGUCCAAUGCUCCUUCUUCACCCAUAGGUCCUCAUUUGAAUCUAGGUUCAAUGUUGGUCUAUCACAUACUAGACGUUUUACUUACUCUAGCGUUCAUCCAUAACCUAUUGUCCUUAACCUAUGGUUAGUGCACUCAUGAUUUCUAGGUUUCAACAAAACUAGGUCUUUGUCAUUCAUGUCCAACCUAUGUUUUAUACACUUGGCUAGCAUGCCACUUGACCUAUGUUCAAUUAACACUGGGUUAAGAUACCACUCGAUCUAGUUCAAUGACUCUAGAUUCAUUCACACCUGAUGUUCUUUAACAUCUAGGUUAGGCCACCGAUCCUACUGAAGUCCUAUUGUCAUCUCGAUUCUACAUGUACACGAUCUUUCCAACAUGUCAUAUUAUACACAUAUGUAUCUACAUAUGCAUUACUUAUUUAGCAUGGGGUUUCUUAUCUUAUUAACAUGCCAUUACAUUUAGCUUUCUAACUAUGUCAUCAACAUGCAUUUCAUUCUUAUGCAGUCUAUUUACAUGCAUCUUCUAGUUACAUCAUAUAUUUAAUCAUUUAUAUGACCAUCUACCUUAGCAUUUACAUUCAUAUCAUAGCAUUACUAAGCAUUACAUUAUUAUCAUGCGAGAUACCUAGCUUAUGUAACUUGCUCACUAGAUUUCUACUAGCAUUCAAUCAUUAACAUGAUUUGCUUUUAACACUUAUCAUGCAUCAACAACGAUUCUUAAUAUAUUCUUAGACAUAAGGUGACCUAGGUCGCUUUGUAAGCACAACCCACCUUAACAGUUACUCUCAUUGCUUGUAGUCACUUGCAAUCGGCCGCCCGCUGACACCCGCGACCGGUUUGGCUCGACUCUCGCGCGACCACCCACGAUCUCGAUUUGCGAUCCGAAAAUUAAAGCUCUUCGGCUUAUCAAGAUCAACACAAACUAUAAGUCAAAAUUCAUAAUUCUAGCUUUCAUAGUCAAAACACCUAAAGCACUAAAGUCAAACACCUAAAGCACUAACUACCUAAAGCAUCUAAUAAACAUCUUAACUAACUAAACAUCAAGAAUAAUGCGUCAUUCAUCAUCAGACCAUCCGAUCCAUUCUCCCCUUUUGUGCAGAAUAGCGCCCAAAACGACAAAAAGAGAAGCCCGCGUCAAACACUCAGUCAGAAUAUCUCCUGGAGUAUUAACAUCUGCGGACAAUCCCAUUGUCAAAAUCUAUCAACAAGCGUUCAUCUGCCCACAUCCUUACGAAUCGCAGCUCUGCUUCUGCCAGGACAAUUCUGAGCUCCUCAGAAUAGACGUUGCUGCUCGCGAUCACCGAUGUAACGCGAAAUAUCUUUCUCAGAAAUGUCCAUGAGAAGGAAGUGAAGAAGUGAACCAGAAGUUAGCAGAGUGGCAGCUGCAGGAGGGGAAAGAAGCACCUGUUGAGAGGCGUACGAAGCUGCACGAGGACUUUACAAACGUCCUUUCCAUUGAUCCGACCAAACUGUGCUCGAUAUGAUGUACACUGAACAUCCACCUCACGAAGUCGCCAAAAUCCUCAUAAUUAUCAAAGGAAUGUAAACGACUCAUUUUGCGAAGAUCUUGAUAUCUUUUGCAUUCUUCGCCGGUUCAGAAAUCGAUAUUCUAUGAUAUUUUUGGCCACCUACCAAUAUCCGCCUACCAGAGAUACAUGUACAGAAUCAGAUCCCAUUCAGGAUUUUCGUUUUGCGAGAGCUGAUUUGUUAGCAAAACCACAAAUGUUCAAAACCUGUACUUCCAUUUGAAAUCUUUGACAUAACCGUAAUGCCGUUAUUUGAUUCUAGUACCCGAUGCACAAUAUGUCACGACAACGGUUCAUCGCGAAAGGAGUGCGAACACCGCCUGCCAGGUACUCACUCUGUCAGGGUUCUUUGCUUCCAUCUCUAGCACCGAAGCUAUCUGUGCCAGGAGGACAGUAAUCAACACCACGUACGAAGUCUUAAACACCUACUUGACCGCCGUUCGGAGUCACUGAGUUGACCUGCUUCAGUGGUAAAUUCUCGUGAUCAACUCCAAGCAAAACAUCGUUUGCUCCGCGAAAAUCACAAAUCUUGAUGAAGAUUUCCCUGUUCAAAUAACUCCUGAAAACCUGCGCACUACAACUAAUGGAUACUGGCCACCCACAUGCUCGAUCUCAUAAUGCAGUUGUUUCACGAUACAUUGUACCGCGAUUAGAUAGAAAUCCCUGGAUUAGACCGGAAUGCCGACGCUGGUGCCAUCAGAGCCGUUUCUUGAAUUCAACACCCGGACCUUACGACCGACCGGGACCUCAGUCGCACUUCUUUGCCUUUAUCGCGGCCUUUCCUUUUCUUUGCCUCUCGCAGUAUCUUAUCCUUAGCUAAUCCUCAGGCAACAAAAGUUCCCAAUCCGGCUUUCCUCCUCAGAAUCGUCGCCCAGGAGCAUAUUCGUUCUCUUCUCCCCGAUUGACUACUCAAUCGGCUUUUAGCUUUGGCGCUAGCGCGCUUAACUUCACGACCACCGACCAGCAUAAGAACCACCAAGAACAAGUAGCCACUCGAGUACAUUUUCGAAGAAACCCUGUCAAACACAAUAUUUAUAUAUUUGAACAUUAAACAAUCGAUUUGUAUUCCAAAACUUUAGCAAAAUUGUAUGUAAUAUACAUAGAUAAUCCUUAUGGCACUUACCAUGGAAAAUAUGGACAAUCAAGCAUCAAAAAUCGAAAAUCCCACUUUCGAAAAUUUGAAAAAAUCUAGGUUUUGGAUGAAAGAAAACAUAGAAAAAUAAUCAAAACAAUUGUAUCAAGAAAUAUAAAUAAGCCAUGAAAAUGUUGGAACAACGAAACAAAUAUGAGAUCAGGGCAAAAAUACAGAGAUUUAUAAAAUAAUGAGAUCAAAUCCCCAAAAACUGACGAAUAAAGCAUAAAUUCGGAUUAUAGGUAACACGAAACAAAAAAUCCGAGAAAUAUGACCAAAAUCAAGUGUAAAUUGAUGCAAGAAUGGCAGCCAAAGCACCCUAGUGGUGUAGAAUCUUGGGAGAGGAAGUUGACACGAAAUUGCUAAAGUAAAAAACAAACCGCAAAGACCCUUAUACUCGGUACUGGGCGGGAGGACGGUCUCUCUUCGUGAGACCGGCUCUCGAGCCUGAAAACUUUUUAAAUUUAAACGCAGCCGAAAAAAUCCAAAAAUGUAAGGGUAUUUCAUAAUACUUACUUCUCACAAAUAACUUUUUCAUCCCAAAAAAAAAAAAAAAACUUUAAAUAAAAUUUCAUAAAUGAAUUUUGAAAAAUCAAUUUCAGGGAUAUUCAAAAUUUCAAAAUUUUUAAACGAAAAUCAAUAAGAAUUCUUGAUACAUAUAAAAUAAAAUCCCACACAUCAUGCACGAUCUUGAAAUAAAUUGUAUCAUUUUAUCAUCAUACUUUGUUAAAGAAAAUGAAAUAAAUAUUUCUCAAAAUUGUGAAAUUAACAUAACAUGAUUAAAUUGAGUUAUGCACAUCGUUUGAGACAGGAGUAGCUCUUUGAGCAUCUUUUAUUAACAUUCCACCUUAUAUCACCUACAAAAUGUAUAGCUCUUUGAGCAUAUUAUUUAUUAUUUUUUUUUUUUCAUUUACUCUUUUGAAGGGUACGUUCCUUUUGUCUUACUUAAAGGCUUCAAUCAACAUGUGGUAGCUGCACACACUUACCGGACGACCGAGGUGGUAGCUCUUUCCUCCAUGUGGUGGUAGUUUUCACACUCCCAGCAGGGAUGUAACUCUUUCCACAUCUUGAAUUCAGAAAUAUUCAUAGCUAGAAUCGGAAAGACUCCCCCUAAAUUAGUGCAACCCUCAAGUUAAAAAUAUUAUAGUUAUUUCAAAAACAGAGACAGAUUUAUUCAUCUCAAAACUAAUAAUCAAACAAACAAUUGCAAUAUUCAAAGUUCGAAGCAUGAGGUGCUGAAUUUGAUUUAAUAUGUUAAAUAGAAUUUCAAGGAUUUGAUCGUUCAAGAAUAUGUCAAUAGAGAAUAACCCUGACAUUGAUCAAUCAAAACUUAAAUAUGAAAUACUUAAAUUCACAGAUCAACUCAUUUCCCAAAACGGCAACAUCAAGCAAGAAAAUCAAACAAAUCAUAAACACCGAAAAGCAUGCAAGAAAAGAAACAAAAUAUGCAACAUGCACAUGAUCUGUGGCUCAAUAGAAUAUAUCUAGAUUGAUGGGUUCAUACCAAUUGCCUUUCUCAAAUGCAGAAAACGUUUUUGAUCCAAAGGUUUGGUUAAAAUAUCUGCAAGUUGAUUUUCAGUUGAAAUGUAUUCAAGUUGUAAAACGUUUGAUUCUACCAGUUCUCUUAAAAAAUGAUAUCUUAGUUCAAUAUGUUUUGUUCGAGAAUGUAAAACAGGAUUUUUAGAAAUAUUAAUUGCACUCGUGUUGUCACACAGAAUAGUCAGAGUGGUAGAAGGAAUCCGAUAGUCGCUUAGUAAGCUUUUCAUCCAAAUUAAUUGAGUAGAGCAACUUCCAGCUGCAAUGUAUUCAGCUUCUGCAGUGGAAAGAGCAAUGCAAUUUUGCUUCUUACUGUGCCAAGCGACCAAACAAUGUCCAAUGUAGAAACAAGCUCCACUAGUACUUUUCCGAUCAUCUGCGGAGCCUGCCCAGUCAGCAUCCGAGUAGCCGAUUAGGUCAAGAGACGUUCCCAUAGGAUACCAUAGUCCAUACUCGGUUGUUCCUUUAACAUACCGAAUAAUCCUUUUAACUGCUUUCAGAUGUACUUCCUUAGGAUUAGCCUGAUAACGAGCACAUAUUCCAACACUAAACGCAAUGUCAGGUCUGCUUGCAGUCAGAUACAAAAGGCUACCAAUCAUGCUUCUGUAUUGUUUCUCAUCCACACUCUGACCUUCUAAAUUCAAUCCCAAUCCUUUGUUGCUUGUACCCAUCGGAGUGUCAAAAUCCUUUGCACUUUCUAAUCCGAAUUUCUUAACUAGUUCCUUCGCAUACUUUGUCUGUGACAAAUGAAUUCCAUCUUUUGAUUGUUUGACUUGAAGCCCGAGGAAAUAAUUAAGCUCCCCCAUCAUUGACAUCUCAAACUCACUGGUCAUUAACUUUGCAAAAUCAGCGGCAUCCUUAUCUUUAGUAGCCCCAAAAACUAUGUCAUCCACAUAUAUUUGUGCUACAAUGAAAUUAUCCUUCAGGUGUUUCACAAAAAGAGUUCUAUCUGCUUCCCCUCGGUUAUAGCCCUUUUCCAAAAGAUAUUUUGUCAAGCGUUCGUACCACGCUNNNNNNNNNNNNNNNNNNNNNNNNNNNNNNNNNNNNNNNNNNNNNNNNNNNNNNNNNNNNNNNNNNNNNNNNNNNNNNNNNNNNNNNNNNNNNNNNNNNNAAAAGAGAGAGAUAAAUGCAAACAAUCAUUCAAAAAUGAUUACCGCUUAAAUUCUAUAACUUCCCGCUUGUUCUUCACACUCGAUCACAUCUCCCCUUGUUCUUACAUCUCGAUCAUGGACUCCCCUUUGUUCUUUCGAACUCAUCCAUCUCUGCUAGUUUAUUGCCUGUUCAUCCAUGCAUCUUCAUCGUAACGCUGCUCCCUUUGUCAAAAUUGCCAAAAGAAAUCAAAUCGAGUAGAAAACAUAUCAGAAAAUGUAAGGAGUCAAGGUCAUAGUUAAGGCAAAAAAAAAAAAACAAGCAGAACUGGAAACUAAAACAUCCAUCCUAUAUCGCAAUGUAAGAAAGAGGAGACUAAGUCUCGAUGAACGCCGAGUCUCGAGUUUGAAAAAUUGCUUUAAGGAAAUUCCAUCAAAUUAAUUAAUUCAAAAUAAAUUAAGGCUUCUACUCAAAUGCAUUUAAUGACAAUGUAAGAUAUUAUAAGAAUUUCAAAUCAUCAAAAACAUAAAAUUUCAUUAUCGAAAAAUAAUUUAUAUGUUAAAACCAUUCAGAUGAUAAAGUUUGAUAGAAAAAUUAUGAUUUUUAGAAAUUCACAAAAAUUGACCCAAUUGUCAUAACACGUUCAAUAUAGAGAUUAAUCUAAUAUGGAUACCGGGUGGCUUUAGAGCAUCUUUUAUCCACAACUAAACAGACCUUAUGAAUCCGAAAAUUCUAAAUAUAUAUAUUUUCAACUUUUUAUCGGCUUUCAAUUAAUUAUGUGGUAGCUAUAAACACUUCGCCGUACGUACGGAGCCGGGUGUAGCAUCUUCCUACAUGUGGUGGGUCAUUUUCACACUCCUUUUGGGAUGUAAGUCUCCACAAUCUUUUAACCAAGGAGUUCUUUUUUCCUUUUUUUUAAAGAAAAAAAAAAUUUAUAAACUCCCCUUAAUUAGGCUAAUCUGACAAUGAAAUAAUUGUGACGAAUUUUAGUCAAUUAGAGAAUAUAACCAUUCAUCAUAUCCAACACUUUGGCACACCAGAUAAUUAAUCCAAAAAAAAAAUCAAUUGAUAUUCAAAAUGUGAAAUGAAUGUAUGCAUUAAGAAGUUCAUAUAUUAAUUAUGUCAAAAUAAUAAAUAGUGGAGUAAAGACAAAUUAAUAUCGAUUUGAAUCUUAAUAUGAUUGUGAAGAUUUAAACACUUUACCAUCCUUUAAAACUUUUCUCCAAAACGAUUCUCAAUCAUCUCCUUUUCAAGAGAUUUGAUUCCAAACACUUCCUCAAAUAGUUAAAAAAAACUUUUACAACACCCACGAAAAUCAAUCAUACGUAUAUGCAAUGAUAAAAGCUUGCCAACAAACACCUAUCAAAGCACUACUAAGAAAUCCAAAUAGCUAAGACAAGAACAGGAAAGAUAUCACCUUUCGCGGAUCAAACUUGUCGGAUCAUUGUUUCUCGCUUGUCGACGUUAGGUGCCAGUUUGUUUAGACUUUCGAUCAAGUUGGUGAUUUCUUCGGUUGAGGCUUUGUUGAACUUGUCGUUUAGCGUGAAUAUGGUUUGCUUUAGAAUUCGAUUGGGUUUGGCGUUGCACAUUAGAAUACGAUUCCCUUCGAAGGUGAUUACUUGCAAAUGAUCUUAACUUUGAUGUCCGUUGGGGAGUCGAGUUGUUAGAGGGCCACUUGACGAUUAGAUAUUGCCGAUUGCUUCUUCUUUGUCUUUGUUUGGGUCAUUCUUUUGAUGUGUCUUUGAUGCACAUGUAUACACACCUUCUCUUCAAAAGUUGUUGAGACUUUAGAAAUUAAUUUUGAAUCCUUCUCAACAUAUGGUUCUUUCAUUACCGAGUCGAAUUAUCCGUUUGACCCAAACCGAGCUAUGGGUUCCAAGCUUCUUUGAUCCUGAAGAAAAUGUGUUAAGAUCGAUUGAGUUUGAGAACUUGGUUGGUCAGACUUGAUGACUGUGCGAUUCAUCGAAUUGUUGCUCCGAAAAAUCCAAUCUGCUCGAUUGAUAGAUUUGAUGUUGAUUUCCGUCAAUUAAGCUUCUCUGGAGGCGUCCGAAAUUAUUCUCAAUUAAUCCAUUUCCUCCCAAGAACCUUAUUCAAAAAUCUUUACGUUGGUUGUUUCCUCCUCAAGUCCACAAACGACGUCUCACUAUCUUUGUUGAGUUUUAGCCAUCUCUUUGAUUCAAUGAGAAGUUGAUUUGUAACCUUCGCUAUGUCGCGUCGUCGUUGUCCACUUCAUUUCGCCAUUGUUGCUUCGAUGAACUCAUGAAGAAGAGAAAUAUUGGAGUUAUAGGCAAAAGAGGAUAACACAACAUUUCGAACGAGGGAGUAUUAGCAAAGUAUGAGCAAUUUGAUCAUUCUUUUUCAUUGUCACUUGACGAUGAUUCCCUUGAGUUGACUCAUCCCAAGGUCUUUGGCUUGCAUUAGCCUUUUGUCUAUGACGUCUUUCUUGAAUGGACAUGCGUCGCAAUGUGGCGUAUCUUUGCACUUGAAGCAUUGGAUCUCGCCUUCAAAGACAUCCUUUUCUUUCGAAGCCUUUGCAGAUUCUUCUCCUUAGCUAUGUAGACACGAUGAAGAUUUGCACUGAGCCUUGUCCGAUCUAUUCUUCUUCUCGGAAAAUUCCGUACAAACUCUUCGUGUAGAAGUGCCAAUUUUGUCUCAAGAGUCGCAAUGGAGUUCUCGUCCUCGGAUCCGAGUUCCCUUUCUCUUUGUCGAUUUCACUGGCAAGCUGUGCUUUUAGGAAGACUUGAAGAAGAUAUGAUUAUAGGAAAAGUCAUCUAUAAUUUCAAGCGCCUACAAUUCUUCGAUCUUUCAUCUCGUCCGAUGCUUAAUCCGUUUCGAUUGGCGGCACUUUAGGCGCCCGAAACGUCCGGAAAUGCGAAGGGAUUGUUUCUAACAACCUUGAAUCGGGAUUUUCUCUCCAGGUAGCAUGCUGUUUCAAAACAUCUUUGUAGAGCCUGUAUAAGUACGGUAAAGGUUCAUUUCGUCCAUAAAAGUUGAAUCAAACUUGCUGUUAGCAUGGCAUUUUGGACUCUUACUAAGCUCGUUCCUUCAUGUUAACUUGUGAGUAUAAAUUUCCUUUGGCCGUUUCCGCAGCCGAAAACGGUAAACUCGUUUGAGACAAGCAUUAAAUAAGCGGUUAUGCCCUUGCCGUUAACGAAGAUGUCUGUUCUCUUUGUCCACUUGGUUCCGUGGUUUUGGUUUUCAAGCAUUAUCGACUUAUUCUAUCAGAUGUUUCACCGCAAAUUCAAUAGAUUGCGAACUCGUCUCGAUAGCAUUAGAAAGCGUCUCAUGCGAACUUCAAUAGGCAUAAUUUCGUCGCGUGACCGAGCGGAGGUCGAUUGAUUUACCUUCGCCAUUAGAUAGCAAUUUAUCUAAUCAUGCUCUGAAUACCCAAUUGAAAGUUUUUGAGUAAGCCCAAGGAUUACUAGAUGUAUCUUAUACUAGAGGGGGGGUGAAUAGGUGAAGGCCAAAAAACCGACAAUUUCGCUGCAAUAAAAAUAAAUGCGGAAAAUAAAAGCACAGCCGAGUAUUUACGUGGAAACUCCACUCGAGUAAAAACCCACGGACAACACGUGAUCAAUCCACAUAAGAAUGAAAAUGAUUACAUAGGUGUUACGAAUCCACGGCUCUCAAACUCCUUCCUAAAUCUCUCCGGCAUCUCGCGCACACUCAACGGGUUGUCCCACGCCACGUCCGAUCCAAGAACGACGCCCGAAUGCCACGAAACCUCCCAUUCGAAUCACGGAAGCUGACUGCACGUGGAAUCCGAAACGCCACAUCGAAUCCAGCGAGCUCAGAUCCGGAAUCCACGACCGUCUUCAUUCCCGCGAUCACGACAGCCGUUCAUGGAAGAGGCAUCAAUGGUUCUGGUGAUCCUUCGCUUGAAGUAUCGUAGAAAACAGGACAUAGAACUCCAAGUGAAAGCGGAGAUCAAUCGGAAUAUUAAUAUAAGAUUUAUAUCUCGAUUUGAUCUAAAGAGCUUUAUGUAGAAAUAAAGUUAAGAUUGAAAUACGAGCUCUCGGGUUCGUCAAACAUGUAUUCUUAUGAUGCUAUUGAUGUGUUAGAGAAGCCCAAUAGCUUAUUUAUAGACUUUAGAAAUCUAAUUAAGUCCAAUUAGAAGUUCUUUCAAAAACAGACUUGUACCGGAACAAGAAUGUUGUCGAGGUACAAGCCAUGACGGAUAGAUGUUUCUGCGAAGCUCCUGUACCCUGGAUAGUUUCAGCUUGUUGCCGGACGGGCUUGUACCGGUACAGCAUGAAGCUUGUACCGGAACAACCAUCAAACUUUCUGCGCAACGUUGAUGGCUGUACCCUGGACAGAAAACCCUUGUACCGGAACAACCAUCAAACUUUCUGCGCAACGUUGAUGGCUGUACCCUGGACAGAAAACCCUUGUACCGGUACAGCAAUGCAAUUUUCGCUGAAAAUGCAUUGUUUUGGGUUUUACAAACUCUUAGAAACUUUCUAAUCAAUUACAACUUGAAAAUAUGAUUCUAAGAUCUAUAAAUAAGUAUGAAUCACCAUAAACAAGAUUUAAAACUUACCUACGCAUCGUGAUUCAAGUUUUGCGUGUUUUGCGUCCUUUCCGAUUCUUCGAAGUCUUGGAUUCUUCGAUUUUCAAUACUCCGCUCCGAACUUCUUCAAGACUCCGACUCGACCCACGAAACUUGCCAACACAUAGGACCUAACACUGUCGAAGACCUCCGCAAAGGUCGUUAGCUUCAAUAUUUGCACCCUUUCAUAAAUCCGGGGUUGGAGUCCUCGCAAGUCUCAACUUGCGGAACUUGUCCUGUAGCUUCCGCUUCACCGUGUCGGGGAAGUAGUUCGCGAACACCACUCUCUUGAACUAUUCCCACAUCAUAGGUGGGAGGUCGGUAGGUCGAUCCCGCCUAACUCGCUUCCACCACACCUUCGCCGCUUUCUCAAAACAGUGUGUGGCAAGGUACACUUUGUCCUUCUCCGAGGUAUUCAAGUCCUCGAAGAGCGUCUCCAUUGAGUCGAUCCACGACUCCACAAUCGCCGGCUCCACCAAACCGCUUUCAAAGGUAGGUGGAUCGAACUUCUUGAACUGUAUAAGCGCCGCCAGUGUGCGCUCCCGCUCCGCAUCGACUGCCGCACCGUCGGGGUUUGAGGUUCCCGAACCGGCCGGUACUAUUGUAACUGGCGCAGCCGCCGUUGCCGCCGCUUCCUCGACUGCCCUCGGCACUACGGCAGGGGGCACUAGUGGCUCCGCGCCCACUUGGGCCGCCACCGACUGUUGACGCUCCAUAACAUCCCGGAGCCGUUGAAUCUGCUCCCCUUGACGUUGAACAGACUCCGCUUGUUGCCGCACUACUCCAAUAAGAGCGGCCAUUUGCUCCCUAAGCCCACCGUCGCCACUUGCUCCGGAUUGCUCGGGCAUCACGUUUGGCUCCUCAGGUAUCGACCCUUUUUGUGAUCGACGACGAGGUGCCAUUGCUUCCUGAAAAGAAGCAACUCGCAUUAGUCACUUGACCAACACUACUUGACCAUACCCAAUUAGGCGAAAGCAACAUGCACAUUCAUCCUUGCCUCAAGCGUCAUGUCGUCGGCCGCCCGACAUAACACUAAAAGUAGAGGAUAAAUGAAAAUUAAACUUAGCCUCUAAUCACAUUAGAGACGUCCCUACUUAACCCAAUCACAUGCUUUCGCUAAUUUUAAUUCCACGUCACUCACGUUUCCUAGAUCCUUAAGGCCUUCCAAUCCUAUAGGUCUCUAGGUCCAUUCCUAUUCUUUCACUCUUGGCUCUGAUACCACGAUAUCUGUCACGCCCCGGAACCGAUACUAAUUUGGCCCAACCCGAGCACGUCAAACAGACGCCGAACGGACAGGGUUUUCCCUAUCCGUCCAAGGCUCAUCACAUGUACAAAUUCAAACAAGAAAUGCACUAGCGGAAACAUACACAAACGGCUUACACGAGGGUAAGCAAUAGCCAUUAGUGAAAGAAAGGAAAACUAAACAUUUACAAGUACUAUGAAUCAUUUUUUAUCAUAUACAUUGCAUUCAUCUUGUUCACUUUCGAAUUCCUUACAUUUCAUUUCAUCAUUUCUUUCUUACAUCACAUUUACCUCAAAAUACACAUUAUAUUCUUUUCUCAACAUCACUAGUCAUCAAAUACAAAAGAUGAAUAUAGGGUGCUCUACUAACAAAAUGUAAACCCAACUCAACUCUGGUGGCCUCUGUCUAAGGCGCGAUACCUUUACCUCGGUCGCUCGCCGGCUCGCUCGGUCCCGGCUAUGUGGAAAUAGUGGGGUGAGAACUACAACAAAGUUCCCAGUGGGUUCGGCCCCAACAUCACCGACUUUCCCAUUAGGACUAACUCAGGCAUAAUAGAAAGGAUAAGCUGAAAUAUAGUAACCAAUCUACAACAUGAUGCUAAUAUGCCUCAACAAUAAGCAAGGAAUAUGCUCAACAUUAACAUAUGCAGAUUAUGCAAGUUCUUUCGUUCUUUAUCUUUACACUUUGUUCUUUGUUCUUUGCUCUUUGUUCUUUAUUCGUUAUUCUUUAAUCUCACGGCAAACCUGGGGGUUUCGCCUCAUUGACUUGCUUCACAUUAAGUCCAUCAUCGCAGGAACUCACCCGCUAGGACCGUCCUUCGGGUUUACUCCAACCCGUGAUGCAUAACUCCGGAGGGCAUCGCCCGAGGGGGAGCGACCGCCCUCGAGCACGGAACUUAUAGCAAGUAUGAUCAUAUCCUUAACUCAAAGGAUUUAUAUGUUCAAUCUUAACUUUACACUAGCUCUAGUGUUCAUUACAUCACUUUAUGUUGCUAACUCUAGCAAUCAUUGUUCUUUACCAUUCAUUACUCUUGCUAUCUCUAGCAAUUAUAUUCUUCACAUUCUUUACUUUUGGCUACCUCUAGCACUUCUUGUUCUUUACUCCCCACAUUACUUUAACUUUAAAUAUUGUCAUUUUCAUCAUUCUUUACAUUACAUUGGUUCUUUACCUCACACUCUCUCUAGUGUCAUUUCACUUUAACUUUAUCGAAUGCCACUCGAUCUAUGUCAUUGUGUCACUCUGUUCUUUUGCUCACUUUGAGUGCUCACUUUUUCUCUUAUGCAUACACAUAGGGUUUUUGACGCUCACAUAGUUCUCAUUCAUCAUAUUAUGCAAGUAGUAUUCACAAUCAUGCAUCAUCACAUUUUCAUCAUUACUUUACCCUAAAAUGCAUGCAACAAUAUAUAUACACAUGCUCAAAUGAAUGACACAUUAGGCAUAGAGAGAAGUUCAAUGAGUUUGAGAAGCACCACCCACCUUGUAGGUCUCUUUAGGUGCUCCGACGAUUUUCUUGAAAUUUUUAGACACUCGGUUCACUACCUGCGGCAUAACAAAGCCAAAUUAGGCUUAUUGGGCUAUAACUUUACAUACACUUUUCGUAAUGUUAUUCCGAGCGCACCAACGCGUCGGAAGUACCCCCAAUUAGGUUUCUAGAGGGUCAAUUGCACUUAGAAAUCCCCAUGAGCAAAAGCCCCAAUUUGGUGUCCUAGCUCCCAUACAUAUACAAAACCUAGGGUUUGAUCUCAUUGGGGUGUUUGUUCGAAGCCCCUAACCAUCUUGGAAUUUUUAUUAGAGAGCUAGGAGACUUGUGGACAACUCCAUUCGCGCAAACGAAGGAGUUGCGAGGGGUAUCCGAUGGGUUUGACCUCACCGAAAUGGGUGAACUCCCCCUAGGUUAUUUCUUAUGGUUUAAAAUGAAAAAUCAUGCAUAUUCAUGCUAAAUAGAGUAUAAAUGAAUUUUUGAAUGCUUCAGACAUAUGUGUUACUUGUCAUGAUUAUAGCCUCUAUGUAGUAGAGAGAGAAUUGUAUAGUAAACUUGCAUGUGAAAUGACAGCCGUUACAUAUUGCUAGAAAUCAUGUUUAGUGAAAUGACAAGUUAUAUAUGCUUAUGGACAUAGAACUUAUGCUUGACAUAACGAACACUAAUGACAUAUAGUGACACAUGACUUAGUAAAUGGUUAAGCCUUCACUUGAUGACGUAGAGAUAGACUGUUUGGUCAUUAGUACUUAUAUCAUGUUUUAGACAUGAUGACCAUUAACUUGAGAUGGAUGAUCAUGCUUGCUUGCCAUUGUGCUCAUUCACACGUGCUUGUGAGGGUCGCUCCCCACAAGCCGGCACUCCGGAGUUGGCUUACGCAACAUAUGCUCGCUCGUGCGGGAUUGGGUGCCUACUGAGUCGGCGUAGAACAGACUCAUUCCUAGCGGGGGAAUGUUGGACUACCACGGGCCAUUAGGCGGCACAAGCCGGACUACACUUGUGUAGGUCCCAAAUUGGAAUUAAAAAAUGACAUUUAAACUGUUAGGUCCUAUGUGUUGGCAAGUUUCGUGGGUUGAGUCGGAGUCUUGAAGAAGUUCGGAGCGGAGUAUUGAAGAUCGAAGAAUCCAAGACUUCGAAGAAUCGGAAAGGACGCAAAAAACGCAAAACUUGAAUCACGAUGCGUAGGUAAGUUUUAAAUCUUGUUUAUGGUGAUUCAUACUUAUUUAUAGAUCUUAGAAUCAUAUUUUCAAGUUGUAAUUGAUUAGAAAGUUUCUAAGAGUUUGUAAAACCCGAAACAAUACAUUUUCAGCGAAAAUUGCAUUGCUGUACCGGUACAAGGGUUUUCUGUCCAGGGUACAGCCAUCAACGUUGCGCAGAAAGUUUGAUGGUUGUUCCGGUACAAGCUUCAUGCUGUACCGGUACAAGCCCUGUUCCGGAACAAGCUGAAGCUAUCCAGGGUACAGGAGCUUCGCAGAAAAAUCUUCCGUCAUGGUGUACCCUGGACAGCUUUCCUUGUUCCGGUACAAGGUGCUGAUUUUGGAAAGAAACUUUCUAAUCCUACUCUGUUUUGAUUCUAAAGUCUAUAAAUAAGCUAUAGGGGUUCUCUAACUGAUUAAGCAUCACGAAAAUACAUAUUUGAGAAACCCUAGAGGCUCGGAUUUCAUCAAAAACCUAUUUUCUACAAAAAGCCUCUUUUAGAUCAAAUCGAGAUAUUGAAAUUUGAUAUUAAUAUGUCGAUUUGAUCUCCGCUUCGCUUGGAGUUCUAUUCCCUGGUUUUCUACGAUACUCCAAAGCGAAGGAUCACCAUAUUCAUGAUAUUCUUCAUGGUGGCGUCGUGGAUUCGGCGUAUUUGACGGCGGUUCGUGGAUUCGGAUCGUGGGCUCGUGGAUUCGAGUGGCGUCGUGGAUUCGGCGUGAUUGAAGCUUCGUGGAUUCGAAGUGGAGGCGUUCGUGGAUUCGGACGUGAGGGCGUGGACAACCCGGAGGGUAGCGCGAAGAUUCAUAGGAGGUUAAGAGAGGUUGAGUCCGUGGAGUCGGUAAUCACCUUGUAAUCUUUUCUCUUAGUGAAUUAUUUUUUCGCGUGUUGGUCCCGUGGGUUUUUCUCCAAGUUGGAGUUUUCCCACGUAAAUCUCGGUGUGCUUUUUAUUUUCCGCAUUUAUUUUUAUUGCAUCGAGAUUUGUGGUUUUUGGCCGUUCACCUAUUCACCCCCCUCUAGGUGAUAGAUACAAUCUAGAUAGAUCCUUGGGCUCCUCAAAACUUUCAAUUGGUAUCAGAGCGGGAUCUAGAUAAAUUGUUAUCUAAUGGCCGAAGGUGGUAACAUUAAUCGACCUCCGCUCUUCGACGGCACGAAUUAUGCCUAUUGGAAAGUUCGCAUGAGAGCUUUUCUAAUUGCUAUCGAUGAGCGGGUUUGGCAAUCAAUUGAAUUUGGGUGGAAACAUCCGAUAGAAAAGGUCGAUAAUGUUGAAAAGCCAAAACCACGGAACAAAUGGACGAAAGAAGAAAACGAGUCAUCUUCGUUUAACGGCAAGGGCAUAAACUCUUUAUUUAAUGCAUUGUCUCAAACGGAGUUUACUCGUGUUUCGGCAUGCGAAACGGCAAAAGAAAUUUGGGAUACUCUACAAGUUACGCAUGAAGGAACAAGCUUAGUAAAGGUCCAAAAAUUGCAAAUGCUAACUAGCAAGUUUGAUUCAAUUUCUAUGGACGAAAAUGAGACCUUUACCGAGUACUAUACACGUCUACAAGAUGUUGUGAACACAUGUGCUAACUUGGGAGAGAAAAUCCCGGAUUCAAAGGUUGUUAGGAAAAUCCUUCGCACUCUUCCGGAACGUUUUCGGGCUAAAGUAGCCGCGAUCGAAACGGUCAAACAUCCGGACGAGAUGAAAGUAGAAGAAUUAGUAGGAGCUUUGCAAACGUAUGAGAUGACUUUUCCUACUAAUCAAUCUUCUUCCAAGUCUUUCUCUAAAAGCACAGGGGUUGCAUUGAAAUCUACAAAGGAGAAGGACGAAGACUCGAGUUCCGACGACGAGUUAUCAAUUGCGGAUUUUGAACAUCAAUUAGCGCUCCUCACGAAGAAGUUUCGUCGAAAUUUCCGGAACAAGAAUAGAUUGGACAAGGCUUCAUCGUCUAAGCGACAAUCUUUGUCUAAAUCAUCUUCAUCUUCAAAGUCUAAGGAUAAAAACCGUGCAAAGUCUUCAAAGGAAAAGGAUGAAUUUGAAGGAGAGAUCCAAUGCUACAAAUGUAAAGGUUUUGGCCACAUUGCGACGGAUUGUCCUUCGAAGAAGACGUAUAGACAAAAGGCUAUGCAAGCAAAGACGUGGGAUGAUUCAACAUCAAGUGAAUCAUCGUCAAGUGACGAAGAAAAGAAUGAUCAAAUUGCCUUAUUUGCUAAUACUCCUUCGUCGAAUGUUGUGUGUUUAUCCUCUUUUGCUACUAACUCCAAUAUUUCUCUUUCUUCACAUGAUUCAUCGAGCAACAAUGGCGAAAGUGAGGAGGAAUCAAACGACGACGACAUAGCGGAAGCGUACAAUCAACUUCUCAUUGAAUCAAAGAAGAUGGCUAAACUCAACAAGAAGUUGAGACGUCGUUUGUUGGAACUUGAGGAGGAAAACAACAACGUAAAGAAUUUGAAUAAGGUUCUUGAGGAGGAAAGGGAUUCAAGUUUGAAGAUUAAUUCGGACCUCCAAGAGAAGCUUAGUGAUGCGGAAUCAACGAUCAAAUCUUCUAACGACAAGAUUGAAUUUUUGGAGCAUCAAUUUCAUGAAUCGCACAAGUCCAAUCAAGUCUUGACCAACCAAGUUCGUCAACUCCAAUCCGAUCUUCAACAAUUUUCUUCGGGAUCAAAGAAGUUGGACAAAAUGCUUGGAUUGGGUCAAACGAGCAAAUUGGGCCUUCGAUAUGAACGAACAUAUGUUGAGAAGGAUCAAACGGCGACAUCUAAACUCUCAACAACUUAGAAAGAGAAAGUGUGUCAUAAAUGUGGCAUCAAAGGACACAUCAAAAGGAAUUGCCCAAACAAAAAUGGCAAGUCACAAUUGGCAAAUUCAAAACAUCCAUCGGCGUCAUCUACUAUUCGACAUCCCCCACAGAAUCAAAAGCAAAAUAAUUUAAGUCAAGUACCUCAAAAGAAUCGGAUCUUACCUAAGCCACAAGCGAACCGGUCUUCUAAUGCACAACGCCAAGUUCAUGCAAAACAGGUGCACAAGCCUCAACCGAAGAAAACACCAACGGUUGAUCAAAAGUCUAAGCAAACGACACCUAACGUCGAUAAGUCGAGAAAACUAACGAUCCGACAAGUUUGGAUCCGGAAAGGUGAUAUCUUUCCUUGCUCCUCGUCUUAGUCAUUUUUUAUUUUUAGUGUAAUGCUUUGAUUGGUGCUUGUUGUUUAUUUUUAUUCAUUGCAUUACAUGGUUGAAUGAUUUUUGGUGCAUUGAAUUUUUGUUUAUUUAAAAAUUAUUUUGAGGAAGAGGUGUUUGGGAAUUUCAAAAUCUUUGAGAAAGGAGAUGAUUGAGAAUUAUUUUUUUGGAGAGAAAGUUUUUUUUAAGAUUGUUUAAACGGGUCUUAUCUUCAUAAUCAUAUUAAGUUAAAUUCAUAUUAAUUAUCGUCUUUACUCCAGUAUUUAUUAUUUUGACGAUAAUUUAUUAUAUGAUUUCUUAUUGCAUAAAUUCAUCAAAAUUUUGAAAUCCAAAAUUUGAUUUUGUGGUGAUUAAUUCAUCUUAGUUGUGAGUGUUGGAUAUGAUGAAUGGAUAUUCUCUAAUUGACUAAAAUUCAUCAAAAUUAUUUUCAACUGUGAGAUUGUCUAAUUUAGGGGGAGUUUGAAAUUGUUUAAAAAUAAAAAAGGAGGAGAAAAAGAAACUCCUAUAUGUAAAAGAUGUGGAAAGAGUUACAUCCUAAAAGGAGUGUGAAAACUACCACCACAUGUAGGAAAGAGCUACCACCCCGGUCGUCCGGCAAGUGUGUGAAGUUACCACAUGAAGAUUAAAUUGGAUAAGCCGAAAAAGGUUGGAAAAAUAUAAAUAUUUUAGAAUUUUCGGAGUAAUAAGGUGCUAGUUUGAAAAAGAUGCUCAAAGAGCCACCCCUGGUGCCAUAUUAGUUAAAUCUCUAUUUUGAAUGUAUUGCAACAAAUUGGUGUCAAUUUUGUUGAAUUUCUAAAAAUCAUUUUUCAUCAACUUACAUCUUGAUGUUUUUGAAUCAUUAAAUUAUUUUUGAUUUUGAAAUUUUGAUGUUUUGAUGUGUUUUGAAAUUUUAUAAUAACUUAUUUUCAUUACAAUGAUUUUUGGAGUAAAAGCCUUAACUAUAUGAAUUUAAUUUAAAUGUGAUGGAUUUUUAAAGUAUAUUUUCGAAAAAAAAAAAUUUCACAUUUUGGUCCUUGUACCGGAACAAGAACCCGUGCACCGGCACAAGGUCUGCGGCCGAGCGGAAUAUAACCGGAUAUAACGCUUCGAUCUUUCUCAAAACUCAAUCGUUUUCCAAAAUUUUUGGUUCUGUGAGCUCCAGAGACUCUCUUUCAUUUGUUCUACACAUUUUCCCUGUGGAUUUGUAAGUUUUUAGCAUCAAAUUUGUGAGUUUUAUCCCGAUUUUGCUAUUUUCAUUAUUUUUGCGGGAUUAGGGUUUGAUCUCUGUUCUAAUCUGUUUUUGAUGCAAUUUUUUGCUAUAGAUCAGUGACUUAGGUUAUUAUCUUGCUUGUAGAACACUUGAACAACAUCAAAACAAGUUAUUUUUCGCUGAUCUAAAAUUUAUGUUCUAAUGUGCAUGUAAUUUCGGGAUUUUUCAAAAAGUUCGAUUUUUGUUGAAAUAUUUUGCAUGAUCUGGUUAGAAAUAGCUUUUGUAUGCAUUCUAAUGUAUUUAAAAAUUUUUUCGCUAUUUUUACAGAUUUUUUUCCAGAAAUUAUGUUCAUAUAUGCAAUUUUUGAUAUAGGAAAAUGGCAUUUUUGCUCGUACUGGUGCUUUUGGUGCUCAUGGCUGGGAGACGAAGCCGUGGUAGUGGUAGAGGUCGUCAUGGGGUUUCUAAAAGGACACGCACAACUGAAGAAGCAUCCGGGUCUGAUCCGGAUUAUCAGGAGAGCUCCCCUGAAGAAUCUGAAGAACCUAUUGCGCAACUUGACAAAGGCAAAGGUUUAGCUGGCGAAUCAUCUCACGGAGGUGGUUCUCGUACUCGUGAGGGACGUUCAAAACAAGCUGCAGAAGUUCCUCCAGCAAGGCGAAGGUUGUUUGCAUCAAAGUCGUGCAUAGCUGAACGCUUUGUGAACUUCCAUGAUCUGAUUCGAGAGGUUCCUGAUUUUGGACGAUUAUUACAGCGCGCGCCUAUUGAGCCUGUUGGACGGGUCCCUGCAAAGGCUUUUUUCUGUGUAGAACUUAUUAGGGAGUUUUAUAUGAAUGGAAAGGUGCUUGCUGAAGAUGAUGAAACAGGCACUUUUAUCUUCGAGACUGUUGUGCGUCAGAGGAGAUUUCCAGUUACUCCCUAUGAUAUUGGAGAGAUCUUGGGGAUGCAUGUUGUCACUUCAGGUAUUCUCUAUACUUCAGGAGGAUUUCAAGCAUCAACUCACCUGGAUAUCGUUCUUGGAGCUAUAUGUAAAGCCGGUGUUUACAUGACUCAUGGUUACAUUGAAUCCAAGGACUUAUUACCUGAGUAUCACUUGCUAUCCUUGGUUAUGAGCUACAAUGUUCAACCAACUAUCGGUACAAAGAGGAUCCGCUGGGAUAGAUUAGUGUUGCUAUAUCUACUUGGUCAUCCCGAGCAGGCUCGUGGGUUGAACAUCAAUAUUCCAUUUCUGAUCUGGCAAAGGAUGAUUCACGUAAUUCAGGGUGCCACUCGACGAGAUCUACUACCAUUCCCUGUUCUGAUUACGAGAAUUCUUCAAGCAAAUGGAGUGGAUACAUCUUGUGACAAAUAUGAUGUUGGCCUUGGGCCUAUUGACUCAGUGACUUGGGCUAAGUUUGUUAGCACUCUCAAGUCAUUUCAUCAGACCAAAGGGGCAUCUCCUGAAGCAUCUAGUCCAGCACCUCCACCGAGAGCAGCUUCUAGCUCUGCUCCUCCGCCUACAUCUCGAGGAAGUUAUGAUACUUCAUCUAGUUCGGAGGAAGCGACGACAUUGGAAUCAGUUAAGAAAGAUUUGCGAAAGUUAAAGAAGAAGGUGACAACAUUGGAAGGAAAGUUGAGUCCGGCAUAAAAAAGUUUGAGUUAAGUAUCAAAAGGUUGAUGGAUAAGAUGGGGUGUAGACAUGAUGAUAUUUGGGAACCUACUCCAUCUUCUACUUAGUAUCAGCGGUCAUCUUCACGACAUCCUCUCAUUCCACCGUCUGGUGAUGCUCCUGAGGCUGGAGGUUCUGGAGCUGGUGCUGGAGAUGAUGAUGAUGAUGAGGACACGGAGUGAUUUCUUCGUCGAGCUUAGUCUUUUUCUUUCACUGCAUUUGAUGUUUAGGACGAUGUUUUAGAUUUCCUUGCUUAUCUUUCUGUAGUAUGUUUUUACUUUUGUUUUAGGCCUGUAACUAUGAGUAGACUACUCUCAUAUUUUUCUAGUAUGUUUUCUCUCUUUAUUUGCUUUCUUUUGGCAAUUUUUGACAAAAAUGGGGAGAGCGUAGAUGAAGGGGGAGAGCAUGGAUGAACAGGCAUUGAACUGAAGCAGAGGAUGAUGAGUUCAAGAACAAAGGGGGAGAUGUGAACAAAGGGGGAGAAGGUAUAAGAAUUUAGUGCUAAUCAUUUUUGAAUGAAGUGUUUUGCAGGAAAUCAAGACUUCAAGACUCCUAGUUGCGUCUAAGUCAUAGAGUCUGUUUUAGGAAUUUUGAUGUAAUUUUGAGUUUUCAAAUUGUAUUUGGAUUACACGCGAGGGGUUCGAUGUUUUGGUGAUGACAUUGAACUUCGUUUUUUCUUUAGAUUGUAAUUUGUGAGUUUAUGUGUGUUUUGUUACGAAAUUGCCAAAGGGGGAGAUUGUUAGGUCCUAUGUGUUGGCAAGUUUCGUGGGUCGAGUCGGAGUCUUGAAGAAGUUCGGAGCGGAGUAUUGAAGUUCGUUUUUUCUUUAGAUUGUAAUUUGUGAGUUUAUGUGUGUUUUGUUACGAAAUUGCCAAAGGGGGAGAGUGUUAGGUCCUAUGUGUUGGCAAGUUUCGUGGGUCGAGUCGGAGUCUUGAAGAAGUUCGGAGCGGAGUAUUGAAGAUCGAAGAAUCCAAGACUUCGAAGAAUCGGAAAGGACGCAAAACACGUAAAACAUGAAUCACGAUGCUUAGGUAAGCUUUAAAUCUUGUUUAUGGUGAUUCAUACUUAAUUAUAGAUCUUAGAAUCAUGUUUUCAAGUUGUAAUUGAUUAGAAAGUUUCUAAGAGUUUGUAAAAUCCAAAACAAUGCAUUUUCAGCGAAAAUUGCAUUGCUGUACCGGUACAAGGCUUUUCUGUCCAGGGUACAGCCAUCAACGUUGCGCAGAAAGUUUGAUGGUUGUUCCGGUACAAGCUUCAUGCUGUACCGGUACAAGCCCUGUUCCGGAACAAGCUAAAGCUAUCCAGGGUACAGGAGCUUCGCAGAAAAAUCUUCCGUCAUGGUGUACCCUGGACAACAUUCCUUGUUCCGGUACAAGGUGCUGUUUUUGGAAAGAAACUUUCUAAUUCGACUCCAAUUGAUUCUAAAGUCUAUAAAUAAGCUAUUGGGCUUCUCUAACACAUCAAGCAUCAUAAGAAUACAUGUUUGAGAAACCCUAGAGGCUCGGAUUUCAUUCUAAACCUAUUUUCUACAAAUUAGCCUCUUUAGAUCAAAUCGAGAUAUCGUUUCGCAUUCUCUAUAUGUCGAUUUGAUCUCCGCUUCGCUUGGAGUUCUAUUCCCUGGUUUUCUACGAUACUCCAAAGCGAAGGAUCACCAUAUUCAUGAUAUUCUUCAUGGUGGCGUCGUGGAUUCGGCGUAUUUGACGGCGGUUCGUGGAUUCGGAUCGUGGGCUCGUGGAUUCGAGUGGCGUCGUGGAUUCGGCGUGAUUGAAGCUUCGUGGAUUCGAAGUGGAGGCGUUCGUGGACUCGAACGUGAGGGCAUGGACAACCCGUAGGGUAGCGCGAAGAUUCAUAGGAGGUUAAGAGAGGUUGAGUCCGUGGAGUCGGUAAUCACCUUGUAAUCUUUUCUCUUAGUGAAUUAUUUUUUCGCGUGUUGGUCCCGUGGGUUUUUCUCCAAGUUGGAGUUUUUCCACGUAAAUCUCGGUGUGUUUUUUAUUUUUCGCAUUUAUUUUUAUUGCAUCAAGAUUUGUGGUUUUUGGCCGUUCACCUAUUCACCCCCCUCUAGGUGAUAGAUACAAUCUAGAUAGAUUCUUGAGCUCCUCAAAACUUUCAUAAACAAGUAAUGUAAUGUGACAAUCACUACUAGAUAGUGUACAGUAGUUGGACUCUUUGGACAUACACAUUCAUGAUAGAAUAACCGUAUUACUUGUUGAACAUCAUACUAAUUAGAGUCAUAGUAACUUAGUAAAUUAAUACUUGCUUAAUAUACAUGUUGUUUAUUUCAGUUUUAUUAUACUACUCAUUGCCUCCAUAACCUAGUGGUGUAUUUCGCUGAUGUCGGCGGCUUACCCACUGUAAACUAUUAACUAACAGUUCUCAUUCCCAUUGUGUUGUUAUUUUUGUUUACAGAGCCAUCCACGCCGGGAGAGGCUAGGGAUCACGGCAAGGGGGUCGUAUCUAGCAAGUCGUAGCUUGGAUCAUCUUAUUAGGUGGUCAUCUCUCCUUUUAUUUUAGUCGAAGAGAGAGAUAUCUUGUACUCGAUGUAUAGAGACCACCACUUUUAUACUUAGUUUUUAUUCAUGUGGACCUUGUGAUGUAUUUACCUUACGGAUUAUUACUUUGUUAUCCAGUUUUACUUUCUUACUUGCUAUUAGAGAUUAGUUGUAUUCAUUGUAAAGAAGUGAAUUCUCGAAAUCCGAGAGUUGUACUUCAUCCAGGAUCGACUAAUUGUCGAGUGAGUAUCUUCGGGUAAGCUAAUGUUAUCCAAAACACAAAAAGUGCAUUAGAGUUGAGUCCGCGAGAGCAUAUAGUGCAAGACCUGCACUGGGCUGAAGUUGCUCUCGGGGACCGGUCCCUGGCAGAGAGAGACCGGUCCCCGAGGCUGGUGGUUGCUGGGGAUCUUUGAUGCAACAGGUUCCUGGCUGAGGGGACCGGUCCCCGUGUGCGACGCCAGCGAGAGAAGGCCAAAAUAGGCUAAGUCCUAAAAAUCGAGCUCUCGGGGACCGGUCUCUCAGGCGAGGACCGGUCUCCCAAGGAUCGGUCUCCCGAGGAGAGACCGGUUCCCGUACGCGAAAGGUCCCCAGGCCGCGAGGAGGGCUCUCCGGGACUGGUCUCCCCGACGAGGGAUCGGUCCUUCUGGGCGAAAACUGCCCAGUGAAGGCAGGUUGAGAGAUGAAAAGUUGAGGAGCUAAAUUGGAUUUUGUUACAAUAGAGGGGUAUGUAGGCCCCCUCUUUCUCCCUCAGCCUCUCAUUCUAUCUCUUUCUCACACUCUCUCUUGCUCCCUCUCUCUCUCUCUAGAAAAGAAAGAACAAAAGAGAAGGAGAAGAAGGAAGAGAAGAAGAAUGAGGAGAAGAAGAAGAAGAAGAAGGAGGAGAUCAAGCUAGAGAAGGCUUCGAGUAUCUUCCUCUCUUUCUCUCCCCUCCAUUGGUGUAGCUCAAGAGAUAAGCUACAAACCCUAGCUUGUAGAACUUAGGGUUUUUGGGUUUUGAGCUUUGGAAAUGGGGUCAAAUGGACCCCUAGCACCAUUGUUGGUAGAUCAAAGCUAGAGUUAGGGUUUCAUGGUGCAAAUGGCAAGAUGGAACCCUAAGAAUCCAAAAUAGGGUUUUUGAUAAAGUAUGAGAUUGAUCUCAUUUGAGCCCUUGUAAACCUAAUUGGUAGAUCACAAAACGCGGGGGCGAAGUCGAUUUCACGAUUCGACUAGUGGAUUGGGAGCUAUCGAUAAAAUACGGCCGAUUUAGCAUUGUCUCGGACCAAGGAAGGCUAAAACCUUUUCGUAAAGUUCGCCGAGGAACAUUUCUAAAGCCUCUACAUCGAUAAAAGGUGGGGGGUGCCAUCCGAAACUUUCAAACUCCUUUCUAUGUCUUAGAUUGCAUUUAAUCUCAUCUCUUACAUGUUGUAUUGUAGGAUUGCAUAGUAGUACCAUUCCUUAUGCUUUCUAAUUGAUAACCUAGUGUACUUGGAACGCUUGGUAACUUAGAUAGGUGAGGAUUGGGUCGGAACAUGGAUCCUAUGAUGCAAAAGAAGAGAGAGAACCCGAUGGGGGUGUUGAUGACAUAGAAAGUCGUGUUUAAUGUUAAAGAACAAACGAGUGGCAUCCAAAUGUUAAAGAAUAACGAGUGGCAUUAAUGUAGUGUAAAUGACACUAGAGGUUUGAGAACCUAGGGAUAGGUGGAUCCCUUAGAAAAUGCCUUGUGGAUAAAGAACUUAGUAAACCUAAGUACCCUCACAUGGAGAGAUUGUCGAUGAGUUAUUGAGAUAUUGACCCUAGUCAUAGGGCAUCCUCACUUGGAGAGGAUUCGAUUGGGUUGUUGACCCUAGUCGUAGAUCAUCCUCACUUGGAGAGGAUUUGAUGGGGUUGUUGACCCUAGUUGUAGGGUAUCCACACUUGGAGAGCAUAGAUCUAACUCACAGUCUUCUUUUGAGGUGGUAUAGCCAUCCAUAUCCCCAUAUAGAGGGGAUUGUCGUCGAGUACUCCGGAGUGUCGGGCAAUUAGGACUACUUGGAGGUCCGGGCCACAUGGAGGUCCGCAGACGGUCCCGGGCUUGGGUGCACUUGGAGCUCCCUCCCCACUUUGGGAUUGAAAGGUGAGUUAUUGGCGAACCCAAGGGUUUCGCUACAGAUUGGGUAAAAGAACAGUGAACAAUGUCAUGGAACAUUAUUAUUCGAACAUGGAUCGAAUUCGUUAGCAUGAUAGUAAACCUUUACUAUAUGAUGCAUGCAUUCAUUAUACAUAAUCAUGGGCAUAGUAGCAUAGAUUUCUUUUAUGCCUCUACUGCUUUGAGAUAUCUAUCUAUUUAUCUACCUGUUGUUGCUUGUGUCCACUUGGAUCUAGUGGGGAGAUCGGCAGAGUCGGCGGCCGAGCCCAUUGGUAACUAUGGAAGAUAGUUCUCACCCCACUCUAUUUCCAGUGGUAGGUACAGGGUUGUCGAGAGAGGACCGCGGCAAGGGUAUCGCGCCCGACCAGUGAGACCGUGGUAAUAUAGUAGCUUUCCUUUUUGCAUUAGCACACCUAUGUAUUGAGAGAGAUUCAUUGUAGGUGAGGAUUUGGAGAACUAUGUAUUUUGGAUGAAAGAUGUAUUCAUUUAAAGAAAAUGAUGUAAAUGAAAAUGAUGAACUAUUGUAAUAGUUAGCAAAGUACUCUCUUUAGUUCACAUGUUAUUCCUGUGGAUUACUUGCUCUUAGUUGUUGGCAUUACUUGUGCCCCGUUGAAUGUGUAUAUUUAGAAUUUAAAUUUCCUGGGUAAAUUCUUGUACACAUUCCUGUUGUUGAGCCUUGGGCGGACAGGGGAGGUGCUGUCCGUUCGGCGGUCUGCUCGCCGCACCCGAACCGUGCCAAAUUGGUAGGGGUUUCGGGGCGGGGCGUGACAGUCGUAUGGUAUCAGAGCAAUGAGAGCAAGUAAAGAGAGAAAGUCUAGGAUGACCUAGGAGACCCUAGGUUGGUAAGCCCUAAGGUUAUAGGUGCGUGAGCGGAACGUGAACCUAUAGCGAUGGUGGAAGUUGAUUCGAUUGGGUCGAAGUUGGUAAUGUGUCUCUAGUUGUGAUUAAAGACGGAUUCAAGUGGUAUGAGUUCUUGUCUUGAGGUGGUUGUGUUGGCGGCCUUGAACAUGAUACUAAGAGUUUAGAACGAGUACACUUGUGUGCUUCCGCCCGAUUUCGUUGUUGAGUCGUUGUGUGUCGUAAUUGCGACGAGGCGAACGGGUUAAGAUAAUUAACCAAAUACUUGUGUUUCAGGAGCCAAUGGCACAUGGAAGAAGCUCGAGCACGAGGUCUACUCCGGCAUCGCUUCCCGAGGUGCCCGAGCAGGUUGAACCGAGUGAGAUGGAUCAGUUGCGGGCGCAAGUGACCGCGUUGACCAAUGUGGUGCAGCGCCAGGAGACCCGAUUCGAGCGGCUCCAGGAUCUUUUGGAGCAGCAGGUUGCAGCGGCGGCUUUGACGGUAAACGAGGGCGGUGGUCCGCCCGCACCCUCGACUCAUGUACCAGGAGCGGCAGAGGGUGAGGGCAUAGCGGCGGUUCCAGUGACGGCACACCCACCACCAGCGAUCUACCACAGGCGGCGUCGGGAUCGGUUACACCCGAUGUGACGACCGAAGAUAUGGAAUGGGAGCGCGCAUUGGCAGUUCUUAUCAAGUUCAACAAGUUCCAUCCGCCAACCUUCGAGGACGAGAAGGUGGAACCGGAGAUGGUCGAGUCUUGGAUCGACUCGAUGGAAACCCUCUUCGAUGAUUUGUGUACCUUGGAGAGGGACAAGGUGUAUCUCGCCACCCAUUACUUGGAAAAGGCGGCGAAGGUUUGGUGGAAGCACGUCAAACGGGAUCGGCUUCCCGGCCUUCCGCCAAUGCUGUGGGAGGAAUUCAAGCGGGAGAUGUUCGCCAACUAUUUCCCCGAUACAUUGAAGCGGAAGCUCAAGGAGAAGUUUCGCAAGUUGGAGCAAGGGGACCACUCAGUGGCGGAGUAUGAGCAAGAAUUCUCCCAUAUUAUAGAUUGUGUCCCGGAUGUUGUAAAGGAUGAUCGGGACCGGGCCGAGUAGUUCUUGCGAGGACUUCGGCCGGGAAUUUACAAGGCCGUGCAAAUACUCAAGCUCACGACCUUUGCAGAGGUCUUCGACCGAGCACUUUGGGCGGAGCACGGAGACGCCUAUGUCCAGGAGAAGCGUGAGCUUUUGGCCGAGUCCAAGGAUAAGGGCAAGAAACGCCAAGGCGGCGGUAGUUCGGGAGGACAAACACGUUACAAGAAACCCCCGAAGUAUCCGCGCAUUCAACAGAAGAGCGGUAGAGCGCGGCGAUGCAUUGUAUGCGGCGGAGACCACCCGGUCUCACGCUGUGAGCAAGGCCGAGGCAGAUGCUACAAAUGCGGGCAGCCGGGGCACUUCAUUCGAGAUUGCCCGGGAGGAGGAGCUUUACCUGCCCCAUCCAUUGCAUCGGCGCCGGCGCUUCCGGCACGUUAUGGAGGACUCCACCGGUGGCUGCAUCGACGGGACGCGCGGUGAUGCCGCGUCAACCUGAAGUGGCGCGAUCGACCCCGAGCGGACGGGUAUUCACCGCUCAGGUCCAAGCUGAGGAGCCUGCGGAGGCGGAGGAGCAUCGCCUUGUGGCAGGUAUGGUUUUAAUUAACGGAGUACGCUCCAAGGCUUUAUUUGAUAUAAAAGCCACGCAUUCAUUCAUUAGUAGAUCAUUCGCACGCAUGCAUGACAUUCUCAUAGAGGCGAGUGACAUAUGGCGAGUUGAGGGCCCUAGGUCGACUUUUAAUGUCGGAUCGUUGGCGUUAACCAUUAAUCCCAAAAGCUCGAGCUGUUAGAAAUACGCAACCAAUUCAGUUAAAGCGUACAGAACAGCACCCACGGGUCUCGAUUGUGACCCGGCCCACCUGGCCUCACGCCACUUCGAACAUGACUCGGCCGAACCCAGCCUCACGCCAUUUCGAACAUGACUCGGCCCACAUGGCCUCCCGCCACACGGCAGGAUGCUGGCCCAUUUAAGCCAACAAUCCCCCCUCCAGCACCUGCACACAUUUGCAGCAUGCAGGAAUCGAACCCGUGACCUCUGGCUCUGAUACCACUUGUCGGAUCGUUGGCGCUAACCAUUAAUCCCAAAAGCUCGAGCUGUUAGAAAUACGCAACCAAUUCACUUAAAGCGUACAGAAACAGCACCCACGGGUCUCGAUUGUGACUCGGCCCACCUGGCCUCACGCCACUUCGAACAUGACUCGGUCGAACCCAGCCUCACGCCAUUUCGAACAUGACUCGGCCCACAUGGCCUCCCGCCACACGGCAGGAUGCUGGCCCAUUUAAGCCAACAUUUAAUACCUAUACGGAGUGUGCAUUGUGUCCGGUACAAGUAGGCGACUGGAUAAUGCCUAUUCGGACGCUAGAACUCAAGAAGCUCGAGGCUUAUGACAUUAUUUUGGGCAUGGACUGGCUCUCAAAAUAUCAUGCAACGAUCGACUGCAAGAGCAGAGUAAUUACAUUUCGUGAGCCAGGACAAGAGUUCACAUAUCGGGCUUGUCAAAGCUUGUGCUUCGUCGCAACGGUGUCGGCGACAAGAGCAAGGAAGUUUGUUAACAGCGGUUGCACGGCAUUCUUAGCGACUGUGUGGAAGUGGAACGAGUAGCUCCAACGUAAGAGGAGUUAUCGGUGGUGCGAGAGUUCAGGAUGUAUUUCCCGCGGAAUUACCGGGGAUACCACCGGAUCGAGAGAUCAAGUUCGUCAUAGAUUUGGUUCCCGGUACCGCACCGAUCUCGAAGGCUCCGUACCGAAUGGCGCCGGCAGAACUGAAAGAGUUGAGGAGUCAAUUGCAAGACCUCCUCGACAAGCAAUUUAUCCGGCCAAGUGUAUCACCGUGGGGAGCCCCUGUAAGGACGUGAAUCCUCGAAAUCCGAGGAUUUGACUUCGAUUGGAAUCGACUAUGUGUCGAGUGCGUAAGCUUCGGGAAGUCCGAAGGUGACUAUAAUGCCUAAAACGUAUUAAGGAAAAGGUCCGCGGGAGCACCAGUGCGAAAUCUGCACUGGAGCAAAAAUGCUCUCGGGGACCGGUCCCUAGCAGGCAGGGACCGGUUUUCGAACGUUGGCCCAACGAGAAUUGGUCGAAAUUUGGCUAUGUCCCGAGAACCCAGCUCUCGGGAACCGGUCUCUCGGACAAGGACCGGUCUCCCGGGGACCAGUCUCCCGAACAAGGAUCGGUUCCCGAACGCGAAAACUCCUCUGCUCGAGAUGGCAGCUCUCGGGGACCGGUCUCCCCGAGCUGGGACCGGUCCCUCACUGCGAAAAUGCCCAGAGAGGGCUGGUUUCAAAAAUGAAAAGUUGAGGGGGCUAUCUGCAAAAUAGUCUUGAAUAGAGUCUGGGGGCCCUCUCUCUCCCUCUCAUUUGCUCUUUCUCCUUCUCACACUCUUUCUUUUUCUCUCUCUAGAAAGAAAAGAAGGAGAAAAAGAAGGAGAAGAAGAAAGAGAAGAAAGAAAGGAAGGGAAAGAAGAAGAAGUGGAAGGAGAAGUCCAAAAAGAAGAAGAAGAAGGUCUUCUUCCCUCUCUCCUUCAAGCUAGGGCAAGCUUGGAGCUUGGCUUAGAGGUAAGCUCCAAACCCAUCCAUGGUGGAUUUCUCAAGAUUGAGUUUUAUCGUUUAGAAUUGAUUCGAAUGGAACCUAGAGAAGAUAAGUAGAUGGUUCGAGCUCGAAUUUGAAGCUCGCACCAUGGAUUUCCCCCUCGUUGCCAUUCUAGGGCACGGAUUUGGGAUUUUGGUAAAUCUAGGAUUUGAUCUAUUUUAAUAGGUCGCAAACCUAAUUGCUAGGUCACGGAACGCGUCGGCGAAGACGGUUUGUCGAUCCGACAAGCGAGUGCAGAGAAAUCGCCGAAUCGAGUACUCGAGGGCUCGCUUCGCCCCGAGGAGUUGAAGCGACGAGCAAGGACCGCAGCAUCGGGUUUUCUACCAUCGCGGAUCGCCAAGAGGUGGGUGGUGUCCAUCCCGAAGCAAUCGGGCUCCCUUUUAUGUCUUAGUAUUUUGAGAUCUUGCAUCCUGUGUUCACAUGCAUUGUAGGAUAAUUAUGCAUUUGCCUUUCCUUAUGUUUCCUAGCUGAUAUCAGAUUAUGCAUUAGUUGCUAGAUAUAGGGGAUGAUGAGGAUUGGGUCGAGACUUGUAAUCCUAUAGUGCAGCAGUAAAAGAACGAUGCAAUAGUUGAAAUAAAGAACGAGUGGCAUCUAGUUGUUAGUAAACAAAAGAACGAGUGGCAUGUGUGAGUUGUGAACCCAUUGACUAUGGCAAUAAUAACCCUAGAGGAUAGGGCACCCUUGAGGUGGGAGAAUUGGAUCAUACUCAUUGUCUGCUCCCGACUUGUGAUGGUCGCUCCACACAAGUAGUGCGCUCCGGAGUCGGUCACGAGGGAUAGCCUAUGUGGGGUCCCGUGGGAUAGGGAUAGCCUAUUUGGGGUCCCGAGGGAUAGCCUAUGUGGGGUCCCGCAGACGGUCUCGGAUUCGUAGUAUCGAGACGGCUAUGUGAGUAGUAGGCGGAUCCUUGAAUGAGCCACGAGAUCAGUGAUCAGUAAAUAGCUUUACUUCUUUGACAUACGAAGAGCUAGUUGAUUACCUAUUUCAUUGUGCAUGCAUCCAUUAUAUACAUGAUUCGAGCACGGUAGCAUAGCUUACUCUUCUGUUAUUAUAGUUUUCCAUAUCUAUCUAUCUAUCUAUCUGUUCAUCUACUUGUGCCCACUUGGACCUAGUGGGGAGACCGGCGGAGUCGGCAGCCGAACCCACUGGGAACUAUGGAAGAUAGUUCUCACCCCACUCUUUUCAGGUUCGAGUUCGGGUGUCCCGGGCGAGCGUAAGGAUCGCGGUAAGGGCCUAGCGCCCUAGUUGCAUUAGCCACCUACCCUUUCACAUUAGCUUUACCUAUAUUUAUGUUCGAGAGUAGAUGAUGUAUAGGGUGAGGUUGAGUGCUUGUAUUUAUAUUUUGGAAGAAUGUAAAAGAUGUAAUUAAAUGUAUUAAGUCAAAUGAAUGCAAUAGAUAGCAUCUUCUCUCUUUAUGUACUUGUAUAUUUCAUACUUGUAUCUUGCUCUCGUCUUGUUAGCACUCGUGGUGCUCCUUAUGAUCGUGUAUUUAUGAAUUGAUUUCUGGGUAAAUUCUUAUACAUGAUCUGUUGGUUAGCCUAGGGCGGACAGGGGAGGUCCUGUCCGUUCGACGUCUGUUCGACGCACCCGAGGCCGGACCAAAUUGGUAGCGGUCUCGGGGCGUGAUAGCCCCGGUGUUGUUUGUACGGAAGAAGGAUGGAUCGUUUCGACUCUGUGUGGACUAUCGAGAAUUGAACAGAGUCAUAAUAAAAAACAAGUACCUACUACCCCGAAUCGAUGACCUGUUCGAUCAGUUGCAAGGGUCGUGUGUGUACUCGAAGAUAGAUUUGCAAUCUGGCUAUCACCAGUUGAAAAUCAAGCCGGAGGAUGUGCAGAAAACUGCGUUUCGUAUGCGGUACGGGCAAUACGAAUUCACGGUCAUGCCAUUUGGACUCACGAAUGCUCCAGCAGCAUUUAUGGAUUUAAUGAACCGUGUCUUCAGGAAGUUUUUGGAUCGAUUUGUCGUGGUCUUCAUAGGCGACAUAUUGGUCUAUUCUCGUAGUGACGAGGAACAUGCCGAGCAUUUGAGAAUAGUGAUUCAAGUCCUUCGGGAGGAGAAGCUAUAUGCUAAGCUGAAGAAGUGUGACUUCUGGCUCUGCGAGGUCGCCUUCUUAGGGCAUGUGAUUUCCGCGGGUGGGGUUUCUGUAGACCCGAGAAAAGUUGAGGCAAUCAAGGAUUGGCUGCGCCCGACGAAUGUCACAGAGGUUCGAAGCUUCGUGGGCUUAGGGGGCUACUAUAGACGGUUCGUGGAGGGCUUUUCGAAGAUAGUAACUCCACUUACCUGUCUGACCCAGAAAGGCACCAAGUUCAUUUGGAGCGAGGAGUGCGACUGGAGUUUCAAAGAGUUGAAGCAAAGAUUGACUUCCACUCCGGUGCUCGCUCUACCGGUGCAGGGCGAAGACUUCGUGGUCUACAGCGAUGCCUCCUAUCUUGGAUUGGGGUGUGUAUUGAUGCAAAACGGGAAGGUAAUUGCCUACGCGUCCCGUCAGCUGAAGAGCUAUGAAAAGAACUACCCCAUCCAUGAUUUGAAGUUAGCGACGGUGAUUUUCGCCUUGAAGCUGUGGAGGCACUACUUAUAUGGUGCCUAUUGUGAGAUCUAUACCAACCACAAAAGUUUGAAAUAUCUGUUCACACAGAAAGAGCUCAACAUAAGACAGCGGCGGUGGUUAGAACUGUUAAAGGAUUAUGAUGUGGAUAUCCUCUACCACCCCGGGAAAGCCAAUGUGGUCGCUGAUGCAUUGAGCAGAAAGUCGGCGGAGAACCUCUCGAUGUGGGUUACAAAUCAAUCACCCUUGUGGUUAGACAUGGAGCGGAUGAACCUUGCGGUGGUCGCUUCCGAGGUUCCAGCCCAGUUGAUGGCGCUCGUUAGUCAACCGACCUUGUUGGAGAGGAUCAAAGAUCUGCAACCCGCAGACCCAGAACUCCAAAAGGUGCGGCAAAACAUCGAGGAUGGUCGAGGUGGCGAUUUCAGUAUAGACGUCGAUGGCGCACUUCGGUUUCGAAACCGAUGGUGUGUGCCGAAAGAUGGAGAGCUUCGCGAGCUAAUUCUACAAGAAGCGCAUCGGUCUCUAUAUGCCGAUCACCUGGGCGGCACCAAGAUAUAUCAAGGACUAAAAAUGCACUACUGGUGGCCGAAAAUGAAGAGUGAUAUUGGACGCUUUGUGGCGAAGUGCUUAACAUGCUAACAAGUGAAAGCAAAGCGUCGAUUUCCAGCGGAAAAGCUUCAAAGCCUACCAAUCCCAGUUUGGAAGUGGGAGGAUAUAUCGAUGGACUUCGUGGUCGGCUUGCCUCGCUCAACGGGCGGCCACGAUGCAAUUUGGGUAAUUGUGGACCGAUUGACGAAGUCGGCUCACUUCUUGCCGAUCCACACCACGUGGUCAGGUGACAAGUUAGCGCAGGUAUACCUCGACGAGAUAGUGAGACUGCAUGGUGUGCCGAAAUCGAUCAUGUCGAAUCGUGACCCCCGGUUCACUUCACACUUCUGGAAGAGCCUGCAGGAAGCCCUUGGCACACGGCUCGACUUUAGCACCGCAUUCCAUCCUCAGACCGAUAGGCAAACGGAGAGAACCAUUCAAACUCUGGAGGACAUGUUCCGAGCGUGUGUCAUCGACUAUAAGGGAAGUUGGUGUGAUCACCUACCUAUGGCCGAGUUCGCCUACAACAACAGUUAUCAUGCUAGUGUGGAGAUGGCACCGUUCGAGGCUCUCUAUGGGCGGACGUGUCGGUCUCCUAUACACUGGAGCGAUGUGGGUGAGCGUGCAGAGUUCGGCCCUGCUGUGUUGCGAGAAGCGGAUGAGAAAGUCUGCCUUGCUCGCAAAAGAUUGCUCACGGCGCAGUCCAGACAGCAAAGCUACGCAGACAGGCGCCGUCGAGAUAUCGAGUUCGCUGUGGGCGACCGUGUAUUCUUAAAAGUUUCACCGAUGCGGGGUGUGAAGCGGUUUGGAGUGCAGGAAAAAUUGAGUCCCCGAUACAUUGGACCCUAUGAAAUAUUGGAGCGAGUUGGCACGAUGGCUUAUCGACUCGCUUUGCCGCCGAAGCUCGCGGAUGUACACAAUGUGUUCUAUGUCUCCAAUCUCCGCAAAUAUAUUCACAACCCCGAGCACGCAAUGCUAUAUGAGCCACCGGAGCUUCAAGAAGACUUGAGCUGUGAAGAGUUUCCGGUAGAGAUGAUCUCCCGAGAGGUGCGAAGGUUGAGAAAUCGAGAAAUUCUCUAUGUGAAGGUAAGGUGGAGCAAUCACGAUGAUUGCGAGGCCACCUAGGAACUCGAGGAUUUGAUCAGAAAGCACCAUCCUCAUCUAUUUGAGGAGUAAGGUAUGGGUUUAAAUUAAAAUUAGAAAUUAGUUCGUUUCGAGGACGAAACUUCUUUUAAGGAGGGGAGGAUGUAAGGAAGUGAAUUCUUGAAAUCCGAGAAUUGUACUUCAUCCAGGAUCGACUAAUCGUCGAGUGAGUAUCCUUUGGGAAAGCUAAAGUUAUCCAAAACACAAAAAGUGCAUUGGAGUUGAGUCCGCGAGAGCAUAUAGUGCAAGACCUGCACUAAGCUGAAGUUGCUCUCGGGGACCGGUCCCAGGCAGGGAGAGACCGGUCCCCGAGGCUAGUGGUUGCUGGGGAUCUUUGAUGCAACCGGUCCCUGGCUGAGGGGACCGGUCCCCGUGUGCGACGCCAGCGAGAGAAGGCCAAAAUCGGCUAAGUCCUGAAAAUUGAGCUCUCGGGGACCGGUCUCUCAGGCCAGGACCGGUCUCCCGAGGACCGGUCUCCCGGGGAGAGGCCGGUUCCCCUACGCGAAAGGUCCCCAGGCCGCCGGGAGGGCUCUCGGGGACCGGUCUCCCCGACGAGGGACCGGUCCCUCUGGGCGAAAACUGCCCAGUGAAGGCAGGUUGAGAGAUGAAAAGUUGAGGGGCUAAAUUGGAUUUUGUUACAAUAAAGGGGUAUAUAGGCCCCCUCUUUCUCCCUCAGCCUCUCAUUCUCUCUCUUUCUCACACUCUCUCUUGCUCCCUCUCUCUCUAUAGAAAAGAAAGAACAAAAGAGAAGGAGAAGAAGGAAGAGAAGAAGAAGAAAGAGAAGAAGAAGAAGAAGAAGAAGGAGGAGGAGAUCAAGCUAGAGAAGGCUUGGAGCAUCUUCCUCUCUUUCUCUCCUCUCCAUUGGUGUAUUUCAAGAGGUAAGCUACAAACCCUAGCUUGUAGAACUUAGAAUUUUUGGAUUUUGAGCUUUGAAAUUUGGGUCAAAUGGACCCCUAGCACCAUUGUUGGUGGAUCAAAGCUAGAGUUAGAGUUUCAUGGUCCAAAUGGCAAGAUGGAACGCUAGGGCUCCAAAAUAGAAUUUUUGGUAAAGUAUGAGAUUGAUCUCAUUUGAGGCCUUGUAAACCUAAUUGGUAGGUCACAAAACGCGGGGGCGAAGUCGAUUUCACGAUUCGACUAGUGGAUUGGGAGCUAUCUGCAAAAUACGGCUGAUUUAGCAUUGUCUUGGACCAAGGAAGGCUAAAGCCUUUUCGUAAAGUUCGUCCAGGAACAUUUCUAAAGCCUCUACAUCGAUAAAAGGUGGGGGGUGCCAUCCGAAACUUUCGAACUCCUUUCUAUGUCUUAGAUUGCAUUUAAUCUCAUCUCUUACAUGUUGCAUUAUAGGAUUGCAUAGUAGUACCAUUCCUUAUGCUUUCUAAUUGAUAACCUAGUGUACUUGAAACGCUUGGUAACUUAGAUAGGUGAGGAUUGGGUCGAAACAUGGAUCCUAUGAUGCGAAAGAAGAGAGAGAACCCGAUGGGGGUGUUAAUGACAUAGAAAGUCGUGUUUAAUGUUAAAGAACAAACGAAUGGCAUCCAAAUGUUAAAGAAUAACGAGUGGCAUUACUGUAGUGUAAAUGACACUAGAGGUUUGAGAACCUAGAGAUAGGUGGAUCCCUUAAAAAAUGCCUUGUGGAUAAAGAACUUAGUAAACCUAAGUACCCUCACAUGGAGAGGUUGUCGAUGAGUUAUUGAGAUAUUGACCCUAGUCGUAGGGCAUCCUCACUUGGAGAGGAUUCGAUUGGGUUGUUGACCCUAGUCGUAGAGCAUCCUCACUUGGAGAGAAUUUGAUGGGGUUGUUGACCCUAGUUGUAGGGUAUCCUCACUUGGAGAGGAUAGAUCUAGCUCACAGUCUGCUUUUGGAGUGGUAUAACCAUCCAUAUCCCCAUAUGGAGGGGAUUGUCGUCGAGUACUCCGGAGUGUCGGGCAAUUAGGACCACUUGGAGAUCCGGACCACAUGAAGGUCCGCAAACGAUCCCGGGGUUAGGUGCACUUGGAGCUCCCUCCCCACUUUGGGAUUAAAAGGUGAGUUAUUGGCGAACCCAAGGGCUUCGCUACAGAUUGGGUAAAAGAACAGUGAACAAUAUCAUUGAACAUUAUUAUUCGAACAUGGAUCGAAUUCGUUAGCAUGAUAGUAAACCUUUACUAUAUGAUGCAUGCAUUCAUUAUACAUAAUCAUGGGCAUAGUAGCAUAGAUUUCCUUUAUGCCUCUACUGCUUUGAGAUAUCUAUCUAUCUAUCUACCUGUUGUUGCUUGUGCCACUUGGACCUAGUGGGGAGAUCGGCAAAGUCGGCAGCCGAGCCCACUGAAAACUAUGGAAGAUAGUUCUCACCCCACUCUAUUUUCAGUGGUAGGUACAGGGUUGCCGAGAGAGGACCGCGGCAAUGGCAUCGCGCCCGACCAGUGAGACUGUGGUAGUAUAGUAGCUUUCCAUUUUGCAUUAGCACACCUAUGUAUUGAGAGAGAUUCAUUGUAGGUGAGGAUUUGGAGAGCUAUAUAUUUUGGAUGAAAGAUGUAUUCAUUUAAAAAAAAUGAUGUAAAUGAAAAGGAUGAACUAUUGUAAUAGUUAGCAAAGUACUCUCUUUAUUUCACAUGUUAUUCCUGUGGAUUACUUGCUCUUAGUUGUUGGCACUACUUGUACCCCGUUGAAUGUGUAUAUUUAGAAUUUAAAUUUCCUGGGAAAAUUCUUGUACACAUUCCUGUUGUUGAGCCUUGGGCGGAUAGGGGAGGUGCUUCCGUUCGGCGGUCCGCUCGCCGCGCCCGAACCGUGCCAAAUUGGUAGGGGUUUCGGGGCAGGGCGUGACAUUCAUGCUCUGAUAUUACUUUAGAUUUCGUUAUACUCUUGUUUAUUUAUCAUAUUAUUGUAGAUGCCUUAUAUGUUGUAGGCAUAUGGUGGGUCUAGAAACGCAUCGGGCAGGCUUCCGCUGGGUCCCAGGGUGUGACACAUCGCAAUGUGAAAGCAUGCUCCACCGGCAAUUUUGCCGAGAACGCUCCGAAACCAUAUUUUCGAUCACAUGAUGUCUUCGAAACCUGGACAACAAGUCUAGAGGGUCACAACCAGUGACCACAAGCUGCUUGAGGCAGCCCUCACUGCCAUAAAAGCAUUUAAACCCCUAAACAUUCCACGAUCCACAAAAUUGCAAACAUAAGGCAAGUGCUAAGGGCCAUUAUCGUAAUCCGUGCUCCAUCGGGAUGAAGCGAGAGUACCAAUGGAUAGGUCUCGACGUGCCAGACGUCGUGCUCACUAUCUGGAGUGUGAACAACGGUCGAGGAGCACGCCGGAGCUUCACGAAGUGUUGUGGCAAAUCCGAGGUGAGCACAGUGAUCGACGAGGGAAAGGGAUCGCAGCGCUCCUUUUCCGGAGGUUCAAGGAGGCUUCGAAUGGACGAAAAAAAGCACAAAAGGGCAAAAGAACAUUAGGUCCAAGGUGCAAGGAGCACCCUGGCUCCGGCCGUCGCCGGCGGCUAUGCAGUGCGCGCGCCGGCCGGGGUCGGGUGCGGAGGGGUAGUGGAGCCUCGAGCUCCCCUAUGCCGGUGGCAGGAAGUGGCGGCGACGAUGGUGCUUCAGGAAGUGCAGCCCGUACGGCUAGGGCUUCGACUCGAGUGGCUCAGCGGCAGCUGAGGAAGCCACGAGAUGGUAGCGGCGAGCCGCCUGAAGCCGGAGGGAGGCGGCGCUGAUGGCGAGGGACGGUGACGGUCGCAGCUUGUAGAGAGACAGCUCCUCUCUGUUCGAGCUUGCGCAAGAAGGAGCCCAGCGGUCGCGGUGGCCUCGACGGCACUCGGGGUUGCUGGGAGAAGGGUCGCCGAAGGUGGGGCGACGCAUGGAGGGCCUGAGGGAGUGGCACAGCCCUCUAUGCAAGUCGGGUCACAGAGAUGAAGAGAGAAAGGGAGGGGAAAAUUGAGGAAGUGGGAAAGAGAGGGAGUUUGGAUGGUCGGAAAAAGCGUUAUCAGCGGCUGGCGACGGCGCGCGACGUGCACAGGGAGGAGGGGAAGCGGCUGUGAGUAGGAGAGGUUGAGGGGCUAGGGUUUGUAGGAAGUAGAGAAGAGAAACUAGGAUUUUCUCUUUUGAUCACUUUGAAAAAAUUACAAAAAAACCCACAAAAAUCUAAAAAUUUUACCCCAGUCCCUCACAGAAUACGUAAAUUGCACAGAGGCACCCUCACGUGCGAAAUCGCAUGAUUUGGCACAUAAAAUGUUGGAGGAUUUUUCAUAAUUCAAAUUUUCCUAUUUGACCCCUUCUCAGUUAUUGUGCAAUUGCAGUAAAUUCGUCCAUCAGAUUUACAAACAGAUUAUGCCAGCACGUUCAGUACUUCCGGACCUUCGAGAUCACAUUUUUGUUUUAUGGGAUUUGGUUGCGGAUUCGCAAAGAUUUGAUCCCCUUUUUUUCUCUCACAUAUAUAGCAAUAUAUAUAUAGAAUUUCGAUUUGAAAUUCGAAUUCAAAUUGAAAUUUUGAAUUCCUUAAAUUAUAAAUAUCCCACAUAUUACAUUAUCCCCCCCUUACAAGAAGUUUCAUCCCCGAUGAUCUAUUUCCACUUCCACAUAAGCCUAUGGUCCUCUAUCGCUCAAGUACACUGGAUGGAUGUGUUAUUUAAGCGUGAUCCCCUUACCUUGGUCAACAAAUGAUGUAAUUGUCUCUGAAAAGUAAACCACAAAAGGGCAUGAGAGCUACUACAAAGCAGUUCCCAGUGGAUAUGGUCGAUGACAACCACGACCUUCCCACUAGGUCUACUAUAGAGGUCAAAAUAGUGAAAGAAUAGUGAAAGCAUAGUAAAAUAUGCUAUAAAUGCAUAACUGAAUAUAAUCUAAGCAGAUAUAUCUACUGAGACUGAACUAUCAUGCCUUAGUACAUAUAGUGAAAAGGAAGGAAAGAAGGUGACUAGUGCAUGCAUCAAUGCUAAUAGUAAUAAACAAAUAUUGUAAUAGUACCCAAUCGCAACAACCAACUCAUAGGUCUGCUCAAGCGCCUGCCUAGUGCGCAGACACACUCCCAGGUGUGACGGCACCUAGGCUAUUGUCCCUACUAUAUUGGCCAGCAUUCGUAGCGGCACUCAAGGGGAGCGACCUCUACCUAUUAUCAUAGCGUGUAUCACUGUCGAUCUCAAUAUGGCCUUGCAGGCUACAGUCUAUGUGAUGAUAAAAAAGAUCAUAAGCACCCAAUCUAAUGCCCUCAAUAUAAUCAUAGAGUAAUCUCUAAGUCAGAUGUCACAAUAGAAUAUUCAUAUUCUCUCUCUAUGUUCAAAACAUCUACACACUACCGCCGUGCCACCCACGGCCUCUGUCACAUAAUUUAUGGCAUGUACAAUAAAAAUAGGUAAAAAAAAAUACAAUGACUCACCAUCAUGCAUAAGAUGUCAAAUGGCCUCCCAAGACCUAAGCUAGAAUAUCCAAUAUGAGAUAUUGAUAACAAUUCACCAUAUCACGACUAUUAGACUCAUGAUUCACACAAUAUGGCCUAAAUUAGUAUCACUAUAUGAAUAAGCUGAAAUCCAUACUUUCUACUCACUUUUAUGUGAAUAUACCCUUUAGCAAUCUAUAUGACCAUAUACAUAUUCAUAUGCAUGUAAAUAGACAUCGAAGAAUAUUCGUCAUUUUCGACGACUCGGAACCCACCUCGGAUUGCUAAUACAAUAGCGGCAAGUAAUUAGCCUCCAAUGCACCACUCCUCGGCUCACGUUCCACAGGGAUCCACUGGGAAGCCUAAAAUUAGCGAGGGUACUACAAACGCAAAGAGAGAAGUAAAGUCCAUUAAUUAAGCGAUUCGGUUACAGAAGGCUGGAUUUUGUCAAGGACAAGUCAACUUAUCUAAAAAUCCAGUGGAAGUAGCUCAGAAUAAUAAAGAUGGAGGAACGCGACCAAGAUCCAGUGAUACUCCACUGAAAGAAACAAACGACGAAAUAAAUGAAAUAUUUACAAUUUUCCAAAAUCAACUAAUAACCUCUAUUUAUCUCAUUUACUCUAAUUCACCUCAAUUGUAUUCCAAUUAACUUCCAUUUUCCAUUGUAAUACAGUGUAUAUUGAACUCCCCUACAUCCCCCUCUCACCACCGACCACCAAUUUCAACAUUAGAGGCGCAUAAUUCCAAAAUCGAGUCCUUUUCUGCUUCCUCCCCCCUCCCCGCCGGCCUACGACUACCCUGCAGCCAGCAGCUGCUGGUGCUGCUGCUAUCAGCAGCAUUUGCUACUACUGGUGAUACAACCAGCAGCUGCUGCAGGUGCAACAGCUGCUGUACGUAGGUGCAGCACCUCCAGCUGGCUGCCGGCAGCUGCUACUCUGCAGCAAGCCGUCGAGGGAGGAAUAGAAAAAGAAAAGGGGGAGAAAGAAAAGAGAAAAAUAAGGAGAAGAAGAAGAAGUAAAAGAAACUAUAAAGACCUGGCAAUGAAGCGCCGAUGAAAAUUUGAUGCAUGCGCGAGAUCGAUCGGAUCGUCGUGUAGGUCAAAAUCCUCAAAUCCCCUCUCUUCACUUCUCUUUUUCCUCUUCUCUCUCUCUCUCUCUCUCUCUCUCUCUCUCUCUCUCUCUCUCUCUCUCUCUGGUACCAGGUUAGGGAGAGGGAGCAGACAAGGAUGAAGAGAGGAACCACCAUGGGACUUAGUGGAAUUCCAAAUUAAAAGAGUAUUUAGAUUUUACUCCUCGCUUGAUGGAAAUUUGUGUUUAAGACUUUAUUUUUGGCCUUCGUUUUACACUAAAACUUCUCCCGUUCGCUCAAGCCCUACAAGUGUCAGCUGACUAGCCACCCAAACUGUGACCUCGUCUAUUUGUCAAGUUCUAGUAUUCUACACCUAAGGUCAUUAAAGUUAAAACUCAACGGCAUCAAUAAUCUGUCCAAUAUCAUUUUCAGGGUUACGGUUAAAUAAUAUUAUUAAGGAACUAAACUAGGCUUAUUUUGCAUAAUGAAUCUGAGUCCUUUAAUUUGGUUCUAAGCAUAUUUUUAAAGAAAACUGCAGUAAUAUGUGUUAAAUCAACAAAUGAAUCGUAAAUCAUUAAAAUUAACACUGAAAUUUUAUUACAAUUCAGAUCUUCAUGUGUUUUUCUCAAAAAAAGAAGGAAAAAAAAAGAAAACUAGUUAAAUCUAAAAGAUUGAACUGAUAAAAUUUAGUAACUUAACUAAACCGUCAUUUCCUAAUUAUAGAAACUAUAGUUGGGUUCAGAACAAGCAAGUUUUACGGUGACUUGAUUUUUCGAAUAGGAUUUCAUUUCAAUAUCAAACUCUAGGUUUAAUCGGGAGUUACCUUCUGCCACUUGGCCUAGCUUGGUAAUAUGGUUGCUAAACGCAUCAUUUUUAUAGUAUAAAAUAUUCAAAAUAUUUUAAAGUAUUUUUUUCUUUUAUACUAUAAAAUUACAGUUGCAACAGUUAUCGAAGAAGCACGUGUCCGUAUGCUUCUCUGGAGACGAGUACAGCUAUAAUUUUAUAAUUUAAAAGAAACAAAGAUUGAAACUUUUUUGAACUUUUUGAAUAUACUAUAGUAUAAAAAUAAUAUUUUUAGUCAUUACGUUGCCAAACUAUUUCUUAACAAUGAAAUAUUUUGCCAUUCUUAAUUCUAGAUGUAUCCCACAAAGACCUAAUCAUCCUUCUGUUUGUAGUUGCAUUUAUCAGGCAUGGGUACUGCGACAGCCCGUGGGCUCCUCAUAGUGGGGCUCCUCAUAGUGGACUGUGGAUGGACUGUUGAUGCUGAGAAAAAAAUCAUCAUUCUUCUAGAGAUAAUUAAUAGCUCACAGAGCGAGAGAGAGCGAGAGGGUGGAUAUCUAUAACUUUAUAUUAUUCCUCAAUAACUAUUAACUGCACACAUGUCGCGAGGAGGCCGCGGCGCGGGCGAGGCGCGGGGCGCAGGCGGCCGCGGGCGUUGGCACGGGCAGAGCCGCGAGCGGGGAGCGGGCGCGGCGCGGGGCGGGCGCUGGUGCGGGGGCUGGCGUGGGCAUGGCUGUGAGCGCGCAACUCGGGCGCCGCCGCGGGCGAGGGGCGGGCGCGUGGCAGCGGGGGCCGGCGCUCGCGGGCGCGGGCUCGGGGCGCCAGGCAGCGGGGGCAGGCUCCGGCCAGCUGGUGCUAGCGGGAGGGGGGCGUGGGCAGGGCGCGGGCUCGGGCUCGGGGCGUAGUGUGGAGGCGGAGCCGGGCGCCAGCGCCCGGGCCACGGUACGGCGCGGCGCGGCUACGGACUCUCCGCGCGGAGCCGAAAAAGAUCGGGGCUCAUGGUGGUGGUGUUUCAACGGGCGUUCCACGAGUCGAAGUGGCCUCGUGGACCACCAUGAGAGGAAGGUCCACGGACCUCGUGGACCACUAAUUGCAGAGGGUGGACCUCCUCUCAUCCUCCUCUCUCUCUCUCAUAAUAGUAGUGAAAUUUUUAUAUAUAAUUUUAUUUAUAAAUAUAUAUUUAUUUAUUAUAUAUAUAAUUUUAUUUAUAAAUAUAUAUUUAUUUAUUAUAUAUAGUAUUUUAUUUGUAUAUAGAUAUAUUAUUAUAUAAUAAUUUAUUAUAUAAUUUACUAUUUAUUUUUAUAAAAUGUAAAAUAUAUAAAGAAAUAUUAAAUAAUUUAGACUACUGGUAUUAGAUAUAAAUAUUAAUUUUAUAAUAUUGCGCAUUCACAUAUAAAUUGUACAUUAAAAAAUAAAAAAAAUUGAUGCAGCUUAAGUUAAUUUUAUAUUUGACGAAAAUUAAUUGCAAUAUUCACAAACAAUGAUUUCUCUUCUCAUUCACUAACUGCUAGGGGACUACGAUACCUACUAAAAUUAUUUCACUAACUAAUGGGGGACUGCUAUGCCUACUAAAAUUUUUUGAUGUACUUAUUACACCAUUUAAAUUUUGAAAUUAAUUUUUAUAACUAAUUUUCCAAAUUAAAUUUUAAAAUAAUUAUCCGCAGCAUCGCGCGGGUCUCUUAACUAGUUAGUACUCAAAAGCUGAUGAGUGCUUGUUACGUGUUGCAUGACCUCUCCCUUUCUCCAAACUCUGCUACUAAAGCUAGAGCAUGCACUAUAACAGAAUUAGAUUAUAGGAAUACAUAUUUGAGACACUUUUAUGUAAGUGUUCCAUUUAUGUCAAAACAUUAAAAAAAAUUUACUAAAGCCUAAAUAUAAAGCCUAAUCCAACAAAAAAAUAAAAAGUUUCUCUAUUCAACUCACCCCAUUCAGUCCAUUCAGCCCGAUUACAAACAAAAAAGAAAAAAAAAAAAUGAUCACCAUCUCCCCUUCUCCUCUCACUCAAUCCACUGAAAUUCUAGAUGAGCCCUUCACUCUCCUCCUCCUCUGCCACCGGAGCCAACGAGAUAGAGUUCUGGCAGUUGCUAAAUGUUUAAAUAAGUAUUGGUAAAUUAGCAGCAUUUUUUUUAGGUUAUACCGACAUUUUUAAACUGUCACUAUAUACCUAGCGACCCCACAUAUAGCAACACUUUUUAAAACUGGUAAUUUUGCCAGCAAUACUUUUUUUUACCGGUACCGAUAUUUAAAAGUGUCGCUAUACACCGUUUUUAUUAUAGUGAUGAUGUCACGGAUUUAAGUUAAAUCGCUUGUUUGGCCUGUACGGCGCUCAUCUUCCUUCGCGAAAUGAGCAAGUCUAUCUCUCUACUUACUAAGUUAGGACCUGCUCGUCCUAAACUAAGAACAAAAGAGAGAUAAAGAAAGCUCUUCUAUUUCUUUGAAGUAGAAAAUUACAAACGAGAAUUAUAUAUAAAUAAAUAAUUAUAUAUAAUAUAUAUUUUUAUAUUAUAAUUUAUAUAAUUUAUUCUAUUUCUUCUAUUUCUUCUAUUUCUAUUUCUCUGAAGUAGAAAGCUCUUCUAUUUUAUAUUUAUAUAAUUUAUUUAAUUUAUAUUUUUAUAUAUAAAUAAAGAAUUAUAUAUAAUAUAUAUUUUUAUUAUUUAAUUUUUAGCAAAAUAAAAAAUAUAAAUACGAGCUUAAUUAUAUAAAGACUAAUUUAUAUGUAAGGUUUCAACUAUUAGAUUAAAAUCUAAUAAAUAAGAUUUUAUAAAUUUAUUUUUUAUAUAUAUUCAAUCAAAUCCUUUUUAACUUAUUAUUCGUUGGCCAGCUCGUAAGCCAGCUCGUGUUCGGCUCGUUUAUUAAUGAACCGAACACGAGCUGAAUUUUUCGGCUCAAUAUUUUAACGAGCUAGCUCGUGUUCGGCUCAUUUACACUCCUAAUUUAAAGGCCACUCGCCACCCAUGAAGCAAAUAGAAAGAUGCCUAGUGGUAUAAAAAUACAAGCCAAAAAGAAAGGCUACGAGCUCCCAAGAGUUCUAAUAAAUAUAUUUUCUAGAAACAUAAAAACUCUAAGAGACUUCUCGAUUUCCGCGCCAUCAAUCUCGAGAUCCGCAGAGAUACUUUUAGAAGAUUAAGAUAAAACUUCCGACAAAUAUCCGCUUUGGAGUUUAAGUAAUUGUAAAGAAAAAUUUUGAAGAAAAUUUCUAAGUCCUGACAACGAGCUCUCUUUGAGGCCAUUACAACUGCAAUAAGCGAUUGAUUAGAUCAUCUCACUGUAAAAAGGCUCUUAUCCAUAUAGUUUGUUUUCCUUUCAAUGUAGAAUUAAAGCAUGAAUGUUUCUAAUUAGAUGAUCAUUAAAAUGGAUGACAACUUCUUGAGGACCUUGUAGAACUCGAAUAAUAGCAGUAAAAUGUAGAGCAUUACAGCUCUGAACAACGAUUAUGCCAAUAUGGCUAAAAUACAGCAUAAAGACUAGAGAGCGCUUUUCAAGAAAGAAAGUACUACUUUCUGGUUCUUUGUAUUAAAAAAAUCAAUGGGCUUCUUUCCUAUCAUAAAAAAAUAGAUUAGAACAAAAAAAAACACAAUCAAUGGAAUGGAUCAUUUCUCGACAAUUGAUAUUUUGCCUCGCCAGUUACUUUUUGCAAACUAUAUAUAUGCGUUGGCGGCUAAUGUUUGUAUUGAAUUUUAUUGGAUUUUUGUGAUUUAAAACUUAUUAAAACCACUUGAGGAGUCUAAUAAUUAUUAAUGGGCCUCUUGGGAGCCCAAUUAAAAUUUUCAUGUGUAAUGUUUAGUCCCACAUUGAAAACCAAAAGGGUGUUUGUGGUUUUUAUAUAUUCCCUUGUUCUCACACUAAUUGCUUGGAAGAAAAUUAGAGUAAUGCACUCGUUUAAAUACACGCACGGCACGAGCCGGGCCGGGCCGGGAGCGCGGCGGCACGCGUGGUUCAUACACCGGUUUGUUUUUAUUUUAUUUUAUUUUUUUCGAUUUUAUCUUUAUUUUAAUUCUUAUAUUUAUCUUUAUCCUAAUCCUGAUCUUUAUCCGUAUAAUCUUAGCCUUAUCUUGUUCUACACGGAUUUGAUGCGUUGAAACAAGAUUCUCGCUUAGGUUAUAAAUAUGGGGCGAGAUUGCACGAGUUAAGUAAUAACCCGAGCAUACCUAAAGCCCCUCGUCUUUUUCUGCUUUCUGGAUUUUCGUCGAGUUUUCUUUUGCUAAAUCUGAAGCUGGUUGGGUUCAUCUUGCACCACCUUGGAAGCGUGCCGACGGGGUGGAACGUGGUCAUUGUAUCGCUAGAAAUAAUUGCUAGGAAGCCUCGUACGUAGAGGAGCAAUUUCGCUUCUAGGACAGUACUCUGCACGCCUCGAUCCACAGACCUUAUUUAAACUUUUUCUUUACAGUAUUUGUUGUUUAAUUUUGUUUCGGGAUUUUUCUAAACCUGAAAUUAAAUUUUCGAAUUGGUUUUUAAAGAAUAUUGUAAUAAAAGAUCAAAAAGAUUUUCCAACAAUCUAGAAGCGAAAAUUGUUAUUAAUCUUUCUGUUUCUUUUAUUAUAGUAAUUAAAAAAUUUCUUUAUAUCUCUUUCUGUUAUUUUUCUAAAAUUCAAAACUGUUUUUUGACAUAACAGUAGAAUUAAUUCAAUCCACAUAUUUUACUUUAUUAUGGAGGAUUCGGCAAAACCAUUUACUUUUGAUGGUCAUAAUUUUAAGAGGUGGCAGAACCAAAUGAGGUUCUGGCUCACCAUACUUGGGCUGGUUUCUACUAACUCGGAUUCUGCCGAGACUGCUAAUAAAUCUGCACCUGUAGGUGCAACCCAGAAUGUGGUCAAUCGACCGCUUACUCGAAGCCAAACCCAGACUGGAUCCACUCCUCCCACUACUGAAACUGCAACUACAUCCACAACUACAACCGUACAUCCCGUUGACCAUAUCAUGAUCAAUUAUCAUUGUUUAAACCGGAUUCUUAGUACCUUAUCUGACAAAUUAUAUGAGAUCUACUGUGGUGCUAACACAGUUAGGAAACUUUGGAUAUCUUUAGAAAAUAAGUAUGGUCAAGUUGAUCCUACCCAGAAGAGAUACCAGGCGUCUGAUCUAAUUAAAUUUAAAUUGGUAGAUAAUAAGUCCAUGUCUGACCAGCUUCAUGAUUUUGAGCAUAUAGUUCAGCAGCUUAGAUCUAGUAGUGUAGAUCUUGAUGAAAGUUUUUUAGUUGCUACCCUUAUAGAUAAGUUGUCACCCUCUUAGUCGAACCAUGCAAACGAUCUUAAACACAAUCAGAGAGAGCUAUCCCUGAAUUAUGUCCUAACAUCCAUUAGGAUAGAAGAGUCGAACCGAGCUAAGGAUAAGAAGCCCAGUGAACCUUCAACCCAAGCCAACCUAAUAGAGAAUCCUGAAAAUAAGGGUAGAAUCUUCCAGUCUUAUCAAAACUUUAAGAAAAAGCCUUUCCACCGUAGGAAGUUCAACUCAAAGUUUAAGAAACCUAAACCUGAGGAAAGUGGAGGCAAUUAUGGUUGCUUUGUAUGUGGGAAGACGAAUCAUUUUGUGAAGAAUUGCUACUUCCGCAAGAAUCGACCUUUUGUACCAAAGAAGAAGAAGGAAGCUCCACCUGAGCGCCAGAUAAAUAUGUUGACUGCAGGGUCUGACCCUUCUGACUCCACUAUCAGGUUAGGAUCUAGUUUACCCAAUGUUAACCUUGUCUAUAGUUCUACUGAGUGGUGGAUAGAUAUUGGAGCUAAUGUUCAUGCUUGUUCUAAUCGUUCGUGGUUUUCUACCUAUCAUGACUCGUGGGGAGGAUUGGUGAAUAUGGGGAAUGCAGCCUUUUCUCACGUACUAGGCACAGGUCGUGUGGACUUAAAGCUGACCUCUAGGAAGACCUUAAUCUUGCACGGAGCCCACCAUGUUCCCGACUUUAGGAAGAAUUUGAUUAGUGAUUCUCUUUUAGUUCAGCAGGGCUUUAAAUUAGUUUUUGAAUGUAAUAGGAUAGUUAUAACAAAAUGAGUGAAUUUUAUCGGAAAAGGACUUUUGAGUGAUGGUUUAUUUAAAUUAUCUAUAUCUUCUCCUUUUAUUAAUGAAAGUGCUCUUGUGAUGAAUGUUAUUUCUUCUAAUAUUUGGCAUGGAAGAUUGGGACAUGUGAAUUUUAAUACUAUCAAAAGAUUGAUGCAUCUCGAUUUGAAUCCUAAAUCUAAUUUACCUGAUCAUAGAUGUGAAAUAUGUGUGCAAGCUAAGGAGCCUAGGAGACCUUUUAAAUCUGUAGAUAGAGAUUGCGAUCUUUUAGAAUUGGUGCACAGUGAUAUUUGUGAUGGAAGUAGACCUAAUAGAGGUGGAAAUAAAUAUUUUGUGACAUUUAUAGAUGAUCAUUCAAAAUAUUGUUAUGUUUAUUUGAUCAAAUCGAAAGAUGAGGUUUUAAACAGAUUCAAGAUUUAUAAGGCUGAAGUUGAAAAUCAAUUAGAUAAUAAAAUUAAGAUUUUGAGGUCUGAUCGAGGUGGUGAAUAUACUUCAAAUGAGAUGACUGCUUUCUGUCAAGAGUUUGGAAUUGUGCAUCAAGUAACUGCUCCUUAUACACCUCAAUCUAAUGGAGUUGCUGAACGUAAAAAUAGAACUUUGAUGGAUAUGGUGAAUUCGAUGAUUAUUAGUUUAGGCACACUCGAGAACUUAUGGGGGGAAGCUUUGAUUUCUGCAUGUGUGAUUUUGAAUAGAAUUCCCCAUAAGAAUUCUAAUGUGUCUCCUUAUGAGCUUUGGAAAGGUAGGAAGCCUAAUUUGAAUUAUUUUAAAGUGUGGGGGUGCCUAGCUAAAGUGAAAAUACCUGAGAAUAAGAAGAGAAAGAUUGGACCUAAGACCGUGGAUACAGUUUUUGUGGGUUAUGCACAUGAUAGUAAUGCAAAUAGAUUUUUGGUGGUGAUUUCUGAAAUUAGUGAGAUUUCUAACAACACUAUUAUUGAUGCUAGAGAUGCAGUAUACUUCGAGGAUGUUUUUCCUUUUAGAACUAGAGUUGAUAGACCUAUUCCAGCUGAGCCUAUAGGUAGGUCUAGUAGAUCUAGAAUUAGUGAACUUAUAGAAGAGACUGAACCUAGGAGAAGUAAGCGUCCUAGAGUAGCGAAAAAUUUUGGAGAUGAUUUUUGUGUCCUACUAGUAGAAGAUACUCCAUCUACUUAUGACCAAGCUAUGACGUCUGUAGAUGCAUCAUUUUGGAAAGAGGCUAUUAAUCUGGAGAUGCAGUCUAUUCUACAGAAUCCUACUUGGGAGUUGACUGAUUUACCUUUAGGAUGUAAGCCUGUAGGUUGUAGAUGGAUUUUUAAGAAGAAGUUGAGACCCGAUGGAUCUGUAGAUAAGUAUAAGGCUAGAUUAGUGGCACAAGGAUUUGCACAGAAGCCUGGGGUAGAUUAUUUUGAUGUUUAUGCUNUGGCACAAGGAUUUGCACAGAAGCCUGGGGUAGAUUAUUUUGAUGUUUAUGCUCCUGUAGCUAGGAUUACCUCUAUUAGAGUGUUGAUUGUCUUGGCCUCUAUCCAUGGUUUGAUUGUUCAUCAAAUGGAUGUUAAGACAACUUUUCUGAACGGUGAUUUAGAUAAAGAGAUUUAUAUAAAGCAACCUGAAGGUUUUAUAGUUUCUGGACAUGAAAACAAAGUGUGCAAGUUGAAUCGUUCUUUAUAUGGACUUAAGCAAGCUCCUAAGCAGUGGCAUUUGAAAUUUGACUCUUUGGUUGUAUCAAAUGGUUUUCAUGUGAACAUGUCUGAUGAAUGCGUGUAUUCGAAGGAAUAUGAUGGACAGAUAGUGAUCUUAUGCUUAUAUGUUGAUGAUAUUUUAAUUUUUCGUGCUAAUAUGAAUGUGAUAUAUGAGGUGAAGAAAUUAUUAAAUAAAAAUUUUGAUAUGAAAGAUCUUGGGUAAGCAGAUGUUAUUCUCAACAUGAAGAUCAUCAGAAAAUUAAAAGAAAUUAUUAUGAGUCAAUCCCACUACAGUGAACAGUUAUUGAAAAAGUUUGGAUACUUUGAUGUUAAACCUGUAGUGACACCUUAUGAUUCUAGUGUGCAUCUUAAAAAGAAUAGAGGAGAUCGAAUAGGUCAAAAUAGAUAUUCACAGAUUAUUAGAUUUUUAGGAUAUUUGCUGGAUUACAUUAGACCUAAUUUGGCUUAUACUGUGAACCGAUUGAGAAGAUAUACCUAUAAUCCAAAUAGAAAGCAUUGGAAUGCCAUAGAAAAAGUUUUGAGAUAUCUGAAGGGGAUUGUAUUUUAUGGAUUACAUUAUACUGAUUUUCCUACAAUAUUGGAAGGAUAUAGUGAUGCUAAUUGGAUUAGUGAUACAGCUGAUAUAAAGUCGACUACCGGAUUUGUUUUUCUUCUAGGAGGAGCAGCUAUUUCUUGGAAAUCAACUAAACAAUCUUUGAUUGCUAGAAGUACUAUGGAAUCUGAACUCAUAGCCUUGGAUACAACUGUAGCAAAAGCUAAGUGGAUUAGAGAGUUUCUUUAUGAUUUACCACUUAUGGAGCGACCUUUAGCACCUAUAUGUAUUCAUUGUGAUUGCAUAUCUGCUAUAGAUAAGUGUGCCUAAGAGAAUAUGGAGACGAAGAUGAAUAGAUUCAUGAAAGUGAGAUAUAAGUUCAUUCGGCAAAAUUUGAAGGAAAAUGUGAUUGGAUUGGAAUUUAUGAAAUUUACAAAGAAUUUGACUGAUCAGCUUACGAAGGGAUUAUUUAGGACAGUGAUCCUAGAAUCGUCGAGGGGAUGGGGCUUAGCCCACAAUAGAAGUUACCGGCGACGGCAACCCAACCUGUUCCAGAUUCAAUGGGUAGAAACAAGUCAAACAGAUAGCUGUGAGGAGCACUGUUUUUAUAUCCUCAUCCCUAUGGCGACAGUGCUCAUGUUUGCAAGUGGAUAGAAACGGCGUUGGUCUUGAAUGGCUCCGAGACCUAUAAGGCAGGGUAUGAUCUUACAGAUACCCUUUGAGGACCUACUAUAUGUAUAGAGUCAUGAGGCCACGACUAUAGGAAGAGAGCGGUUCCCUAAAACACACACAAAACGAUACUAGCGCAUGGCCAUAAAAGCGCUCACCUGCUUAGAUCCUAAACAGCUGUACCAUGUGUGCUGUUCGUGGAAAUCUGAUUCACCGGUCUUGGUUCAAGGCGUAGUCCACCAUCGUGCCCUCGGAUGUACAUUGACAAGCGUUAAGUGAAGGUUCAAAGCCGAAAGGUACCUUUACCGAAUACAUGGUAUAAAAGAUCCAUCAUUCUUUUGAUUUAUUUUGAAUUUCAGUUUAUUUAUUUUUUUUAUUUCAAGUUUUAAAUCAUGUGGGGAAAUAUUGAUUUUAUUGGGUUUUUGUGAUUUAAAACUUAUUAAAACCACUUGAGGAGCCCAAUAAUUGUUAAUGGGCCUCUUGGGGGCCCAACUAAAAUUUUCAUGUAUGAUGUUUAGUCCUGCAUUGAAAACCAAAAGGGUGUUUGUGGUUUUUAUAUAUUCCCUUAUUCUCAAGCUAGUUGCUUAGAAGAAAAUGAGAGUAAUGCUAUCGUUUAAAUGCACGCACGCACGGCACGAGUCGAGCCGGGCCGGGCAGGCGGCAACGCGCAUGGUUCAUACACCCGGUUUGUUUUUAUUUUAUUUUAUUUUUUCUAUUUUAUCUUUAUUUUAAUCCUUAUAUUUAUCUUUAUCCUAAUCCUGAUCUUUAUCCGUAUAAUUUUAGGCUUAUCUUGUUCUACACGGAUUUGACGCAUUGAAGAAAGAUUCUCGCCUAGGUUAUAAAUAUGGGGCGAGGUUGCACGAGUUAAGUAAUAACCCGAGCAUAUCUAAAGCCUCUUGUCUUUUUCUAGGCUUAUCUUGUUAUACACGGAUUUGACGCGUUGAAGCAAGAUUCUCGCAUAGAUUAUAAAUAUGGGGCGUGGUUGCACGAGUUAAGUAAUAACCCGAGCAUACCUAAAGCCUCUCGUCUUUUUCUGCUUUCUGGAUUUUCAUCGAGUUUUCUUUUGCUGGAUCUGAAGCUGGUUGGGUUCGUCUUGCACCACCUUGAAAGCGUGCCGAUGGUGUGGAACGCGGUCAUUGUAUCACUAGAAGUAAUUGCUAGGAAGACUCGCACGUGGAGGAGCAAUUUCGCUUCUAGGAUAGUGCUCUGCACGCCUCGAUCCACAGGUCUUAUCUAAACCUUUUCUUUACAGUAUUUGUUGUUUAAUUUUGUUUCGGAAUUUCUCUAAACCUGAAAUUAAAUUUUCGAAUUUGUUUUUAAAGAAUAUUGUAAUAAAAGAUCAGAAAGAUUUUCCAAUAGUUUGUUGAUAGAUGGUGACGAUCAUAUGGCUAAAAGAUAAAUUCUGCAGAACUCCCCAAUUUGUGGAAAGUUUGUAUAAUUGAACUACUGGAUUUAUUUCUUUGCUCCGUGAUUUUUUUGAAUAUUCAUUGAUCAAGUAAUAGCCUUACAGAUGAAAUUAUCGCCCCUAAGCAAAACCGUAAAGUGUAUAAAAACAUUUGUACGCAUUUAUCCGCUUCACUAUUUUUAAAACAUUACUUUUCCGAAGGCCAAUUAAUUAUCACCUUUUUAGGAGUUUCUAAUGGCAAUGAAGCUAAAUUUGUGUAAGCAAUGAGGAAAACUACGAUGCAGAUCUGGGAAGGCGGUAGCUGGAAAUGUGAUGAUUUAGGUGGAAUAGGUUUCCUCAUCACCAACCAAUAUGGCGUUUGUCUGUGUGUUUUGGAUUUUGCCGAAAAUAUUCAUAAUGCGCUGUCAACUGAGAUUGAAACAGUGCUGAAAGCAACGAAAUUCUUUAUGGAUACCUUCCUAGGUGAACAAAUGCAAAUAUUCUCGGACUCAGCAUCGUUGAUUAAAGUGAUUCACUUCAGGCCUGACCAAUCCAAAUAGCUUAUUUUGGACGUUAGAUCGAAGCUCAAAGUGCUUCAGUCCUUUGCUGACGAAUGUAACGCCUUUUUCUUUGGAUGGAAUUCUCGCUCCACCAAGAACGCUAUACAAGCUAAUCGUCUAGAUAAUUAGGGUCUACUUAGCAAAAAAAAUACACUAUAUGGUCUACUUUUGAGGACUUUCUCAACUCUAUAGCGUCUCAUUCUGUUUAAAUAAAAUUUCGCUCUCGGGCGAUUCCCCUUGAAAAAAUAAUUUCAGGGAAACUAUACAAGGACUUUCUUAUGGUAAUGAAGCUAAAUUUGCUUAUGCAACUCAGGAAAAAUAUACGAGGAGAAUUGUUACGCGUCUAGCAUAGGCAUGUGAAUGGGGCAGAUAGCGUGAGGAAUGCCCCACUUCCCUCGUUUCUUGUCGGAUCAGAAUGAAUUUAAGACUCGUUUAAUUUUUAUCCAAUUUUCACUCCCCACUUGCUGCUCCAUUCGGAGCGGUCACGACAGAAGCGAAUUUUUAAUUGAAUCUGCACCUCCAUUUUCUUGAUAAACCAGAACGGAUUCGAGACGAAUAUAUUUUUCUAUUUUUUUUUUAUUUUCAUUUAGCAUCUCAUUCAAGACGGAUCGGAUCAGAAGCUCCACCGACGCAGAUCCAUUUGCAUUCGUAGUCUAAGGGACUAUUUACCUCACGGUUACAAAACGGACAAAAAAAAAAGAAAAAGAAUAAAAAAAGGUAGAGCGCAUCGCCUACACUGUGAAAGCAUUCCAGAAAAAGAAAAGAGAAAAGAAGUACAGCUUACAUCACACGAAAAAUUAAUGACUAGAAACAACAGGAAACCUGAAAUCUCAACGACAUAAAACGCAAUCUCCGAACGAACAUAAUGCGCUUCAGGAGAAGCAGGACUAAUAACAUCAGAUUUCCAGAUAACACAUUCUACAAAGAUAGAUCCUAUGAACACUUGUUUCACAUUUACACAUGACUACCAGACAGUAAGAAAAUGUUGCACCAUUCGGUCACGAGGCUGCCUUACAAGUUGCCUUAUUAUGCCCAAAUGCUUUGCACUGACUGCAGCGUAUUGCUCGUUUAACUGUUAUCCGAGGAUCAGCCGGCUUUACUUUUGGUCUUCCAACCAUCCGACGGGCACGAAGAGGGCAUGCGACGGGACUGUUAGUGAUUAGUUCGCUGCUUUCGAGCCUGCCAACAUCAGGUAUUGGAUUGAUGGAUGACGAAUAGGUAAGACGGUAGCAUUCGGUUGUGAAAUACUUGGCGCAAUAGUCAUACACGCAUCCGUUCAUGCGUUCGAUUACAGCAAGAGCAUGCAUGCAUGGCAAGCCGGUGACGUGCCAUUUUCUGCACGUACAUUCCCACGUCCCAGUGUUCACAACACUGACCGAAUCGUCAUCAUCACGCACCUCGAAGACGUCGACCGUUGUGCAGCUGACAUUCAUGGUUCGUGCUUUGAUUAGGAGAUCUUUUACCUUCUGAUUUGCAGAUGGUGUAAGCAUAUCACCCCACGUGUUUGAAGACUCCCGCCGUGAGUACAUCAUCUCCAUCAGCCUGCACCUGAUCAUGUCGACCAUCUGUACAACUGACAGCUCAUAUCUCGCUGUGAUCCAGCUAUUGAAUGUUUCUGCAGCAUUUAAAGAGUACUGACCAUAUCGUAUCCCCUUAAAAAAUGCAUCAGACCAGCACUCAGGUUUCGUAUCCAAAAGCCAUUCGGCAAGUUCUUUUGACUCGGUCUUGAUGUUCUCAAGGCACUCAUCAAACUCAUCUACUUUGCAAGUAUAUAUGCACUGUUUGAGAAGAUCGACCAAGGUACCCUUUUUCUGUUCAGGCCACAAUUCAUCAAAUUGUGCCUUGAAAUCUUCAAUCAGAGAAUUUACACAGCACCCAUGGUGAGAGCCCUCGAACACCUGAGGUGUCUCCUCCCACAGUCCACUUUCUCUGUUUGAUAUGAACGUUAUAGGCCGAGGCAUGGUCAAGGAAGUUCUAAGUUGCAUCAAAAACCAGUGCCAGUUUUCUCUCGUCUCAGCAUCCACUACCGAUAAGGCAACAGGAAAAAUAUUACCUUCUCCAUCAACAGCAGUUGCAGUUAGCAGCUUCCACUGCUUGACUGCCUUCAAUGAAAUCCCAUCCAGGAAGAUUAGGGGUCGGCAACCAUGUUCAAAGCCGGUAAGGGAGGCAUGAAAUGCGACAAAGAGGCGACAUUUCGAAUCUUCAGAUGUAACUACUGUGGCUACACUUCCUGGGUUUGUCUCAAUUAUCCUAUCGCAAAACCAAGGCAAUUGAUUACAUGCCUCUUCAACUGAGUUAUGCAGUUCUUUUCUCGCAAUAAAUUUUCCACGCCAUGCCUGUGAAUAAUUCAAAUUGAGUCCAUAUUCUCGUUGGAGAUCAUUGGCAAUAUCCCUUGGACUAUAAUUGGGACUAUCACGCAAUCUCUCCUUUAUUACGCUUGCGACCCAUCGCUGGGAGGCUAGACGAUGACCAUCUUUGGCAACAUGUUCUUUCCCACAUGUGUGUCUAUCGACCAUUUUCUUAAUCAUGAAUUGCUUCCUAACCGGCGAUCUUGAUGCAUGGAUGCGCCAUGGACAAUCCUCAGAGGAACAUUCAGCAGUUAUGCGAGAUGCAUCAUUCUUUACAUAUCUAUAUGUGAAACUAUUUGCAAUGGCAUACUUAUGCAAGGCCUCGCGAAAAGCCUUCUGAUUUUCAAAUAUUUGCCCCACGCCAGUGAUUGCAUUGUACCAAUCUGCAGAUAGUCUUUGUCGUUUAGCAUCCCUCAAAGUUGCCACGGUGGCUGUGGUGGCAUCUGAAUCAGCUACCACACUCCUAAUUAUCCUGCAAAGGACACAUGCUCUUGUGAAUUUCAAGAUUCAAUAAGGGCAUUCACAUAUAAAUACCAGCAAAAUCAUAAAUUUAUAUAAUCUGUGAAAUUUGAGAUCUACAUAUGCCCCACAAAAAAGUGCUGUUCCUAGAUAAGAAUAACAUUACUCUAAGUUGAGGAGCGGAUACAAUUCGUGGGGAGGAGGGAAGUUGGUAUUUUAUUAGAAAAGAUUUUUGUUACAGUACUUUUUACGUACAAAAACACAAAUGUAAGAAAUUAAGUUUUCCAAAGAUUGAUAUUCAGAUUAAGAAUUUUCUAAGGAUAUAUGUUAGUAUGGGUAAAAACGGUCGAAUAUGGUCGGAUAUCGGACACAAUCAUAUCCACAUCCAUAUUCAAUACUAAUCAGAUAUAAAUAUUUUAACUUUUAAAACAGCUAUAGCCAGGAAGUGUUAGGUGUGUUAGACAAAAAAUACAUAUUUGUAGGUUUCCAACAGCUUUACACAGAAAAGCACUUUCGUAAUUCAACCUAAAACAAAAUUCUUUGAUCUAGACUUCAAAAUUUUACUAUAAAAGUUUUACACAUGUAGCAAUCUUGAUUGGCUAGAGUAUUAUUUUAAAACCCUAAGGUCAAGGGUUCAAAUCCACUUCUUCUCACCAUGUUUAACAUUCUUUUUCUCUAUGCUAAAUCUUACAGAUUUAGAACAGGCAAGGAUGCAGACACUUAAAUACAUAUCCAAAAAGUUGAAGGAAAACCAUAUCCAAAUAUGAAUAUGAAGAAUUAUCAUCAUUGUUACUGAAUUCGAAAUCAAAUAUAGAAUAAGCCAAUUCGACAUCCAAAUCUGGCAAUUCGGUCUUGGAUUCAAUCUGAUAAUAUCUAAACUAUUGUCACCCCUAUAUGCAUAGAUAAAAUAUUAGCACUGAUUCAGCGACGUAGAUCAUAGCGUGCGAUAUAGACAACUACCUGUUCUCAACCUUCUUCAUGAUAAAAAUAUCGGUCGUGUCUGAACCAGCAUGAAAAUCAACCAUUCUUCGUAGGUCUUUGUCAUUGGAAACUGUGAUUAGAGUUCGCUUGUUGUUAGGAAGGAAGUACUUGAUGGAAAGGUUAUCAACAUUGCAGUUAAACAUUGAAGAUAUCUCUGAUUUCAGAUCAUCAAGAGGCAUGUCACGUUCGAUAUCAAUAGCAUGUGCCUCUCCACCAGAAUAAGACAUGGAUCCAUCACUGUUUGUGAUAAACUCUCCACCCGCCUGGCAAAUAGCCAGAAUGCUCCGCUUUGCCAUUUGAUCCAAUUUCCUGUAGUAAGGGAGGUUGCAAUUAUCGUACGCAACAUAAUACAUAAAAAUGCAAGUACAUAACAUUAACAUACUUUAACAACAACUAAUGUCCAUAUCUUCGUUUAUCGCAAAAUAAUAAUUUAACUAUUGAGUUUUACCGAAGCAUCAGUUCAACAAGGAAAGCACUCUCAAGUAUAAGCUGGGACAACGAAGAACUGAAUAAUUAAAGCAGAAAUAAUUGCAAAACAUUACCAAAUCAGUCAACAUGAACUAAGCUGCAGGAUAGUUCUAAUUGAGCCAUCAAAACCACAGUUCAUGCAAGAACAAUUCUGACCAAGAUCAGCCAUUGAUUUGCCCGUCCAUUCGUGCAGAUCCAAAGUAGAGCAAUGGAAAAGAUGGGCCUUUUCCUCAUUUCAAUGCCUUUUCACCGUUGCAAUAUGAUUUCACAUAUACUAAAUCUAACUUUAGAUUGACCAUGUCUAUUACGUAGUCUCAGUCUAUAAUUGCAGGCAUUCCAAUUUCCAACCUGAACCAAACCAGUACAUCGCUCCGCCACAUCACCUCACUCUGUGUGCCCCCAAGAGAUAAUGGCAAAGUAAAACAAUACAAAAGAACUAAAAAUUAAAGAAAAAGAAUGUGUAACAUUAAAAAACCAAGACUAAACAAUUUGAAAUUAUCACUAAGCACUUGUCCCACAAGGAGAUUUUUCUUUGAAAAAAGUACUGGCCAACAGUUUCCAAUUAACCAGAGAAGCUACAGUUGACAAGAUCCUUAAGGGCCUAUUUGUUUGCUCAUAAUUGAUUUUUGAGGUUAAAAAUAGUUUUUAGUUGAACUAAAGUUCGGGUGAAAAUUAUUUUCCGAGUUGCUUGUUUGAUGAAAAGUAACUAACUUCACAACUGAAGUUCUCCCACAUUUAGUGUUUGCUUCAUUGAAAAUUCCUAUACUAGCACACAAAAGAGUGAAAAAAAAGUUACAGCAAUUAUUUUGUUGUCAUUUUUUCUAUCUACUUUUCUUCUGUAAUUGACAUUGCCGCUAGCCAGGUGAAAGUCAAUUAUAGCAUUCUAGGAAAGUUGAGUUAUAGCAGAACUUAAUUUACAACGAAAACAUCAAAAGUGUGCAUUUAUUGCCAAAAAUCACUCCAUCUCUCUUUUGGUGAAACAAACAGACCCUAAAGGGAAGAGGCAGUUAGUGGAAUUUCUGCCAAAAAGAUGAAAAACUGACAUUGUUUUAAGGUAAUGAGGAAAUUAUAUUCACAACAUGUUAAUUAAUGCGCCCCCCCACCCCCGAAAAAAAGAAAAAAAAAAUCUAAAGCUUGUGUCUGCUCCUCGAGCCUAUCAUCUGUCACAAGUUUCAAAUGAUGAUUUGAUCAUUUAAAAUGGUUCCACCAUCUUGAUUUCAAUACCAAAGGCACUAACAUGAUUAAACACUUCAAAACAUGAUACAUCUAUAAUUUUACAAAUUGAAUCUCAUCAAUCUUUGCUAGUGGUGCUUCUGGAUCUCAAUGUGGUAUAGAAAAAAUUUCUACCACCAAGGGAACCCUCAUUUUUUCACUGAUUAAAGUUACUAAUACCUCAGAAGUUUAAGAAAACUUAUUCAUUACUAAUACUUGCUUCCUUUGCCAAUCAUCAACCACAACAUAUUCAUCUCGUCGUGGUCUACUUUGUGCGCAAGCAGCUUCUCAACAGGAGAGCAUUCAAAAACAAGUGCAUAGGAAAGGUCGACAAUCCAAUAUGGAUCAGAAUGCCCUGGAACAGCACCAUGCAAGCUGCACAAUCUUCCAUGUUGCUGGGAUGAAUUGUAAUACCAGUCCGCAUUCCCAACCAUCAAACAACUACUAAUUUACAUUAUACAGUAGUUGUAGCAAAGCACAUAAACUUGGUAGUCUGAUUUUGUACCAUUCGGCACGCAUUCACCAUUUGGUGCAAUUUUUAAAUUAAAGAUCUUUACAAGGUUUGCAGGCUGGUUCAAAUUAUAUCCAAUAGAAAUUACUUCAAAUUAGUUAAAUAUCCAUAGUUAUCUUUUUUAAUCUCCUAAAGUAAACAAGAUAAACUCUCCUUUUUUAUAUAUAUAUAAAAUUCAAUCUGAUCAAAUUCAACAUAUUUAUUUCUGUCUAUCUCUUCCAGAGAAAUAUUGAUCUCAUAAUAUCUAUAGUCUAUAAUCGUUAUUCAAUUCAAUCCAAGAUAAACAUUAAUUAAAACUGAAAAUUACGCUCCAAUAAAAAUAAACAUUGAAAAACUAAGCUACACAAUCUAUAGUAAUCUCAUCUAUCGUCAUAUAUCAAAUACCAAAUCAAAUCAUUACCCCUAAAUUAAAGUAAACUAAUCUAAUUUAAGGUUUUAGUCAAUAUUCUUUUGAAUAACAAUAUCAAAUUAAUAUAAAAUGUAGAGUAAUCUAGAAAUCGUAAGAUAUCCAGAACAAAUUUAAAUUAUUAUAAUGCCAACCAGACAUUAUAAACUUUUCAUCAACACCACCUAAAAAAAUAGCCUGUUCACCGCAUGGCAAUGUGCCUAGUUAUGGGAAAUUUUGAGAUGCGUUGCGUGACAAUAUGCCUAGUUAUGGAGAAAUUUUGAGACCUAGAUAGCAAUAAAGAAAGAAGACUUUAAAAACUUAUUAAACACUUAUCAAAGCUAAACUAGGCAAACAAUAAAAUUUCCCAUUCGGUUGGUGAUGUUUAAUGAAAAAGAUACAAAUUUUCUUUAAUUGAGAGCUACAACUUAGGAAAAUUGAAUUUCAGAAAAGUGACUCACAAUUUCAUCAAAAUCCUUCAGUCAAAUGCAUGAAAGAAGCAUAUAAUCAACAGAUCCAAAAACUACACAAAUUUUAUUUCUUUCCCAAUAAUUUCACCAAGUAUUUUAUUUCACUCAAUAAAAUAAACCUGAAAAUUAAGGUAAACUAAUUGCUCACCAAAUUAGUCCUUAAUUUCAUAAAACUUCCAUACACACAAAUCUAAGAAUGUUACUUGAUAUAAAUUACAAAUAGACAUAUCUCAAUCUCCAACAAUAAGGUGGAAUAUUGUUUGAACAUAAACAAUAAAGAGGAACAUGUUAUUACAAACAAAACCUCCUAAAUUAUGUAGUAAAACCAGCAUACUUGAUAGUACUGCUCACAGUUAAGAUGAUUCUCUGGAUAGAUACAUCACAGAACUAGGGUCCAAUAAGUGCAAUAUGAAAAUAAUACAGAAAAUUAAAACAUGCAAGUAAAAAACAAGGGUUAAAAUUUAUCAAUACUCUUAUCAUUUUACCAAAAAAAGAUUGCAACUCUCAUGCCAAAUACUGUUUAUCAUGAGCCGUCAUAUAUUUUCUAACUUAAAGCAUAAAUCUGACAAAUUGAAAAAAUUCAUGUCUGAUCCAUAAUGUAAUCAUACUCAACAUCCUAUGUGACCCACAACGUAAACAUACUCAACACUCUAUGUGAUUUAAGAUCUGAUCGACAGAUUCUGAAAAUGUAUGUGAGCAGCAAGAACAUUUUGGAAGUUGUUAGAAUAGGAACAAUUAAAUUGUUUAUGGAAUCAUAGAAGUCAAGAAUUUUGCACAUUCCACGUGUCACUACAUGCCUGAAAAACAUCACAUUCACCUGUAAAUAGCAAUUAGAAAGGAUCCAAGAUCAGCAUCCCAGAGGAAAAACAUUCUUCAACAUUUCUACACAAACCCAAGGUGCAAGGGCUAAAAGGAUUGCCAACAUAUCUAAAAUAUGAGCAAAAUCAGGGCCAUACACAAUUAUUCACUAAUAAUUCAAAUCAAGUCUAUAUAGAUCACAAGCUUAUCUAAGCUACAUGUAAAGUUAGGGCUGCACAAAACUUAUCAUAAAAAGAAAAAAGUUCGUUCUCUAGAUGAUUUGAAUCAAUUCUAUGUCCCCAACCCUAAUCUCAGGUCUAAAUAUAAUCCAGAAGGUGAUGUGUAUGUUAGAUUCAAUGUCACCCUCAAAUAUAUUAACUGUAAAGUUCAAACUCUGUAUAAAUUGAGUUAUUUAAAUUCAAAUUUGAAAAAAAAUAAUUUGAAUAUAUGUUCAAAAAGGAGAAAAGAGAGAGUGAAGGCAAUUUCGCGAAUCGGGGAUCGUUUCUGAGGAAACGAAAACACUACUUUAAUGGUCUGGCAGUGUCGGAAGUCAUGGUGUGGUCUGUUUUCGAAUGCAGCGCAUUGAAUGCUCAGAAAAGCACGAAUAUUGAAAAGGGGUUUAAAUUGAAAAUUCAUUCUUAUGAUAAAAGUUUCAAUAUUUUAUGCGCCAAAUCGCACAGCAUAGCAAUGGGAGGUACAACUGCACAUAUUACACGCGCCGUGAAGGACUCUAGUUAAUAUACGAAGUUUUGUGGGGCUAACUUGCAAAUUGCCCAUAACCCUCAUAUAAACAUCUAGGGUUUCAUCAACCCUAGAUCACCACCCUCUCCUCCUUCUCAACCCUAGCCGCCUGGGCACCCCUCCCCACUAUUGCCGCCACCACCCUGACCCCCAUCCAUCACCCCCGACCGUCGGAGUCCGGCCAGCGAACACCCUCAAGUUUCUCCCCAACUCUUCCUCUAUCCCUCUUUGCCUAUUAAACCUGAAACCCCUCUCCUCUCGACCACGCGCCCCGGACCCACGCCGUUGGCCACCAGGAGGUCCGGCGACUCUUCCUCGGUCAGCCCACGCAGUCGUACGCCCCUAAGCCCGAGGAUCACCCUAAAUCCAAGUUUUGAAGGGCGAACCCUUUGUCCAGCACUACCGCCACUCCCCGCCAUCACCGUCGACAGUUGUGGACGAGCCGCCCUAACAUCCCUUGGCCGCCCCUUUUGCUGGUUCCAAAUCUCUGACCCAAGAUCACCUUGGGUUGGUCGCAACUCUCCAACCGCUACCUCCUGCUGCCAACUGCCAUUACCUCUGUAAGGAAAUGAAUCCUCGAUACGUGAAAUCCGAGCUUCGAUCGAAAUUGAUGGAAGGCGAGUUCGGGAGGCUUCGGAAAGGCCGAAUACGUCGAAAACGAUGUUUAGAGGGUUAUAGAGGACCUUGGAGAGCAAGAGGAAGAAAUUCUGCAAAGUUGCAGAGUUUUUGUGCUCUCGGAGUCCGAACCCUUGGCAGGGACAGAACCCCGUACGCGCAGAAAGUGGCAGAAAUAAUACUGCGCCCAAUUUUUGCUCUCGGGGUCCGAACCCUCUAGAGGGACUAGAGGGUCCGGACCCCGUACCCGAAAACUGCCCAGCUAGGGCUGUGCACUAAGUGCAUUGUUGAGGGGGUUUCUUGCAAUUUUGCAUUAGUGGAGGCUAUUUGAGGNUUUGCCUAUUAAACCUGAAACCCCUCUCCUCUCGACCACGCGCCCCGGACCCACGCCGUUGGCCACCAGGAGGUCCGGCGACUCUUCCUCGGUCAGCCCACGCAGUCGUACGCCCCUAAGCCCGAGGAUCACCCUAAAUCCAAGUUUUGAAGGGCGAACCCUUUGUCCAGCACUACCGCCACUCCCCGCCAUCACCGUCGACAGUUGUGGACGAGCCGCCCUAACAUCCCUUGGCCGCCCCUUUUGCUGGUUCCAAAUCUCUGACCCAAGAUCACCUUGGGUUGGUCGCAACUCUCCAACCGCCACCUCCUGCUGCCAACUGCCAUUGCCUCUGUAAGGAAAUGAAUCCUCGAUACGUGAAAUCGAUGGAAGGCGAGUUUGGGAGGCUUUGGAAAGGCCGAAUACAUCGAAAACGAUGUUUAGAGGGUUAUAGAGGACCUUGGAGAGCAAGAGGAAGAAAUUUUGCAAAGUUGCAGAGUUUUUGUGCUCUCGGAGUCCGAACCCUUGGCAGGGACAGAACCCCGUACGUGCAAAAAGUGGCAGAAAUAAUACUGCGCCCAAUUUUUGCUCUCGGGGUCCGGACCCUCUAGAGGGACUAGAGGGUCCGAACCCCGUACCCGAAAACUGCCCAGCUAGGGCUGUGCACUAAGUGCAUUGUUGAGGGGGUUUCUUGCAAUUUUGCAUUAGUGGAGGCUAUUUAAGGGUGGAAUGAGAUCUUUUCUCUCAUUUCUCUCAACCCUAAACCUAAAAUAUACUCUCUCUCUCUCUAAAGCUCUCUUUCUCUCACUCUUAAAGGUGGGAAGUAGGAGAGGGAUUUGGUGGAGAAGGAAGCUAAGGAGUGGAGCUUCAUCUUCUUUAUCUUCUUCCUUGAGUUUGGAGCAAGCUUUUGAGAUAAGCUUCUUGAGCUUUAAUGGUAGAUCUUUAAGAUUGAGUUUUUAUACCCUAAGAAUGGUGUUAAUGGAACCCUAGGAUGCUAACUAGAUGAAUGAUACUUGAAUCAUGAGAUGAAAUGGGGUAUUCUGCAAUAGUUGCAAUCUAGGGCUCCAAAAUGGGGUUUUGUGAGAUAAAGGGGUUUGAUCUAAAUUGGACCCAUGUAAACUUAACUGCUAGGUAUUCUGACUCGUAGGCGAAGUCGGUUCGGCGAUCCGUCGAGCCUACGCGAAGAUAUUGCCGAAAAGGACAUUUUCGGCUUCGUUUCCGCCUGGAGGGCCGAGGCGGCAUCCUAAAAUCGUGAAAUCGAGAUCCUAGGAUCGCGACAUCACCUAAAGGCGGGGGGUGUCAUCCCGAAGCAGCUGGGCUACCUUCUAUGUCUUAGUUACAUUAUUGACCUAGCAUCUCUUAUGUUGCAUGCAUUGUAGGAUUGUAGUUGUUGCAUUUUCCAUUUCCUUAUGCUUUCCUAGUUGAUGUCAUUGUGUGAGGUGAAUACAUGAUAUGGUGGACAUGUAAGGAAUUGGAUCUUGACAAGUUGGAAAUCCUAUGGUGCCGGAAUAAGAGAUGAACUUGAUAGUUAUGUAGCGACAUAACGAGUGACAUGUAUAUAAUGAAUGAUAACAUGACGAGUGGCAUAAAACUUGACAUAGUGAACUUAGGGAAUAGGUGGAUUUCCCUAGUUAUGACAUGUUGCAUGAAACCGUAGUGUAGUUAAAACACUUAAAUAUGAACAUUGGGAUAGGUGGAUUCCCGAGUGAUUGUUAGCCCUAGUUGGUAAGGUAUCCUCGAGUUGAGAGGAUUGGAUCAUACUCACAGUCUGUUUUGAGCUUGGAGUGGUCGCUCCAUACAAGCCGUGCACUCGGGAGUUUGUCACACGAGGGGCAGAGUUGAUGUCCCGCAGACGGUCUCGGGUUUGCGAGCGAGGUGCGUCUCCUUACCUUACGAGAUGGCAUAGUGAGUAAAGGGCAAACCUUCGGGUUAGCCAAGUGAUUGGGUAAACAAUGAAUCGCAUUAUUUCUUGAAUAUAGUAUCAUGAUAGCGGACUUCAUUACUAUAUUGUUCAUGCAUUCAUUUCAGUUGAUUGAGGCAUAGUAGUAUAUAUAUGUGCAGAAUUCAUUACUAUGCUAGCUGUUGUUUCGUAUCUGUCUAUCUAUCUGCUUAUGCCUGCUUAGACCUAGUGGGAAGAUCGGCGGAGUCAGCGGCCGAACCCACUGGAAACUAUAUUUAUAUAGUUCUCACCCCACUUUGUUGCAGGGCCGAGUACGAGCAUGCCGGGUGAGAACUGCGGCAAGGGCAUAGCGCCCUAGUAGUUAGUAGUUUUUCCUACCUGCAUUAGAGUACCCUCGUGUACGUAGGUGAUAUAUGUAUUGUGAGGAUUUUGGAUAGUUACUCAUGUAUAUAGAUGAUGAACUUGUAUACAUUUUGAGAGAUGUAAAUGUAAUCAAGUUAUGUAAAUGUUGAAUGGAAAGAUGUAAUAGCUAAAACUAUCUCUCUCUUUUGCUCUUGUGCAUGUAUAGUCGCUUGUUGUUAUACUUGCAUUGAUCAUGUAUGUGAAUGAGUUUUCCUGGGCACUUGUUGUACAUGAUCUUGUUGCUUUGGCCUUGGGCGGAUAGGGGAGGCGCUGUCCGUUCGGCGUCUGAUUGACGUCCCCGAACCGAACAAAUUGGCGGUUGCGGGGCGUGACAACCUCUGACCUUUCCCCGUCGGCCAUAGUCCCCUCUAGCCAUCGUGCGCCUCCCCUAGUCGCCAGAGCUCAGGAAAUGGAAGCCACUACCUUAGCUAGCCCGAGCUAGGAUUUUUCUUCGUCGGUUUCGUUGUUUUGGCCAUCUCCGUCGCUGGCAACUCUCCGAAAGGUGAGCACGGUCCUCCAGAGGUACUGUGGACAUCCGUGCUCACCUUUGUUGCAGUCCAAGAGGUCUCAGAUUGCGGGUUCUGCUGCAACGCUCCCAAAGACCUUGGAAAUUGGAGUUUAGGUAGCCCCGGCGCACUGAUUGGCCACCGUUCGGGCUCUGGAUAGAGAGCGCAGACUUCAGCACGUCGAGACCUAUCAACCUACACCACUGGCCGAGUUUCGAAGUAUGCGGUUUUCGAUAACAAAUCGUAAACCCUAGUUUUACAAAUAUUAAAUGCAAGUAGAAUGCAAAUUAGGGGCUUGUGUGUAAAUUUGCCAAGUGGACUGCCUCAGGCAACGUGAAACCACCGUGUGUGACCUUCGGACCGAUCGUCCUAGGUCUGAUGGCCUUCACGAAAUGUAAUUAGGGUUUCGGAGCGUUAAUCAGCAAAAUCACAGAUUGAACGCAGUUUAGGUUCGGGUUUCGCGUUUAAUCGACAUGAAUGCACUAUAUUCAUCGCUGAGCCUUGUUGGCUGGUUGCCUUCGCUAUCUCGUAUAUCUAGAGACAACAGGUGGACGGUGGAGAGUUCCAAAGCUGAAAUCGACAUUUCUUUUCCCGAACUAGAUAUGGCAUAAUUAUCGUUAAAUGCACUUGUUAGCAUAGUGUUCAUGUAUUUGCUGCCCAGUGUCACGGACAAAAUGUUUUCCGCUGACUUCUCUUUGACAGUGGCCCAACUUCGCUAGCGGAGCGGGUCGUUAAAGAGACCCGAACCCAACCCACUGUGGGAAGACGAAGGAUUUUGUAACUUCUUCCAUCAAUGAUGGAAGCUUAAGGGUUAUGAAACUACCAAGAGUUAAUAGGGUGACUCUUGGGCUUUUGGCUCAUUAUAAAGGUGAGUUAAUGUGUCUCAUAAUGAAAGAGUUAGUGUGUGUCUAGGUUCAUUGUAUCUAGGAGCCUAUAAGUAAUGGAGUUUGGUUAAGGCCAAAACACACAAGAGAGAGUGUGUAUGUGAGUUGUAAUUCUCAUUUUCUAAGUAGUGUAGUACUUAGCUUUUUGAGAGAACCUCUGCCUCUUUCUCUUUGUCAUUUCCCUUUGCAUACUUAGUCGUAGGACACGAAAGUCCGGACUAGCAAUAGGGACGAAGGCUUGCCCAUCUUCGAGCAGUAAGGCGGGCGCCGCAUGGACUUUGCGAACAGAACCGCUAAGGCCGUGACAGUUGGUAUCAGAGCCGGUUCGAGGAGGAACCAUGUCUUCGUCGGAAGCUGCCGUCGUUUACGUUGUACCUAAGCCCGGGGCGGCCAAGCGCGGCAAGAGCAAGGAGCCGCGGACUCUGGCGAGAGAGCCCGUCUUGCUUGACGACCGCGUAGGCGUGCUGGAGGACUCUGCUGCGAGAGCGGAGGAGCGCUACUCCGACCUAUCCCAACAUGUGGGGAUGUUGGAGCAAGGGUUUCAUUUGAUGGAGAAGGAUAUUGUUGCAGCUAUGGCAACAUUCCACCAUCGUCUGGAGCGGUUCAAGGUGAACCUUGCCCGUCACAACGAAGAGUGGGAUGUGCGAGAUGUGCUGCUUCAGGACAUCGGUGCCCAGGUCAAGGAGGUCGAGAACCUUAAGACGAGGGAGGCACUACCUGAGCGAACCGAUGGCGAUCGAGAUGAACCACCAAAGGCGAGCGAGGCCAAAGGUGGGGGAGAUUGCCGUGAUACAAGGGACGUAAAAAGGCGCAACGAGAGUUCAACCCUUACUGCCCUGCAGCUUUACAAGGAGGUGAAGCGCGGGAAGGCUAAGGACCUCGCAGAGGAGGGCCUGAGCAGCAGUGACACUGUCAAGUCUCAUGCGGCGUUGAAACGGAUAGCGUCCAAGCAAAGUGCAAGUCAUUCUGCCAAGGAGCCUGCGAGGACCAAAAGGCGUUCUGCAGCUUGGCGAAGUGCGUGUGCGUGUCACAGAGGACAUGCACACUGGGGACGUUUUGCAGCUUGGCAGAGUGCGCGUGCGUGUCGCGGAGGACAUGCACAUCCGGCGAACUCUUCUCACAACAGGCUCGCUGGUGCACUUGCUCAGAGGGGCAAGACACUAGGUGCUGGUGCAGGGACAGAUACGGACAUUGGGAGCAAGGCACGGGGCCGAUCGCGUGCGAAGGCACGGGGCCGAUCGCGCGCGAAGGCACGACGGACCACGCGGAAGGCUAUGCGGACCGGGAGCGACUCGGCGCGCGACGAGGGCGUCUGUGCGUUAGGUGGGGGAGAAUGUCACGGACAAAAUAUUUUCCGCUGACUUCUCUUUGACAGUGGCCCAACUUCGCUAGCGGAGCGGGUCGUUAAAGAGACCCGAACCCAACCCACUAUGGGAAGACGAAGGAUUUUGUAACUUCUUCCAUCAGUGAUGGAAGCUCAAGGGUUAUGAAACUACCAAGAGUUAAUAGGGUGACUCUUGGGCUUUUGGCUCAUUAUGAGGGUGAGUUAAUGUGUCUCAUAAUGAGAGAGUUAGUGUGUGUCUAGGUUCAUUGUAUCUAGGAGCCUAUAAGUAGUGGGGUUUGGUUAAGGCCAAACAGACAAGAGAGAGUGUGUAUGUGAGUUGUAAUUCUCAUUUUCUAAGUAGUGUAGUACUUAGCUUUUUGAGAGAACCUCUGCCUCUUUCUCUUUGUCAUUUUCCUUUGCAUACUUAGUCGUAGGACGCGAAGGUCCAGACUAGCAAUAGGGACGAACGCUUGCCCAUCUUCGAGCAGGAAGGCGGGCGCCGCACGGACUUUGCGAACAGAACCACUAAGGCCGUGACACCAGGCACCCAAAUCAAUGUGUUUUGGGGCAGUGAAUGGUUUACGGUGUGGAUUGGUACUUUUCAGGACACUUCAUAGGUUUUGAAAGUGUUCCGGUGAGUUUUCAAAAAACUCUGGCAGAUUUCGGGAAUCGGUAAAAGGAACCGAUUUUUCGAUGAUUUUCGAGAUGUGUGAUUAGUGACUUUGGGUCCUUAGAGCUUAGUUCUAUUUAGUCAGGGGUUUUUGACUCGCUGGAUCUUUCGUAGGCCGAGUCAACGGACAGGAGUACCUUGGGAGUUGAGUGUCUCGUCUUAUUCAAGUGGGUGCUCGAUCCGAAGUCAGUAUAGUAGUGCUAACUCAGUAGCAUUCCUUCCCUUCUCAUUUUACUUGAUUACGCACAUUGCAUGUCAAGCACUCAAUCACCACUUGACUUCACUUCUCUUGGCUCUACUUUUAUAUAUUCAUCGUGGGUUAGCGAAAGAGUGGUAUUUCAUUGGUUAUCAUUACAUGACUUGAUACAUGUUUGACCUGUUUGGUCGAUAUAAUGUGACAUCUAUGAGAUUGGGUGACCUGAUUAAUCGGUAUAUUCCUUGUGGUUCCUACGUCAACUACUUGCCGAUGAUUUGCUAUUCAUCAUAACACAUUGAUCGCCAUAGCUCAUGUGCAUUUCAGUAUACCAGUAGUUUGGCCACUACAAUAGUAUUCUUUUCCGAAAAAGUGGCCGCACUUCGGACCCGUGAGCCCUAUGCAGCGUACUACUAGGACCAUAUGCCAGAUUGAGCAGAUUGUUGCAUUGCCUGUAGUCUUUAAACCAACAUGUCGGUUGAUUGGAUACUUUUAGACUAUUCGUCCAGUCGACGCAUCGUACAUUGAUUACAGUAGCGGCUAGUUAUUUACAUAUCAUUAUUUCCCUCCUAUCUUUAUUUGUUAUUGUACUUGUUAUAGUUUCAUAUCUUGCUAUAUAUUAUAUCUCGUGCCGAUGAGUACAGCUUGCCUUCGUCGGCUUGUAGUAUCCACUGGAAAACCUCAGGUUAGUUUCUCACCCCCAGUUUUUAUAGGUGACAUAGGUGGUGAGAAUCAGGACAAUGCGUGAGAUAUCGGAUAGCUAGUGAGCUCUAGCAUUCCCGUGCUUUUUCAUUGAUCAACUAUAGUUUAUAAAUCUUUCUUACUCUUUAGUUAUUCGUUAAAUAAUAUAGACAUUAUGAUGGUUAAGUUAUGCUUAAAUGUUUGUUUUGGAUUAAAUGAAUUGUGAAUUUUGGAUUAAAUGAACUGUGAAUUUAUGGUUUAUGAAUUUGUACCUGAUUAAUCGGUAUAUUCCUUGUGGUUCCUACGUCAACUACUUGCCGAUGAUUUGCUAUUCAUCAUAACACAUUGAUCGCCAUAGCUCAUGUGCAUUUCAGUAUACCAGUAGUUUGGCCACUACAAUAGUAUUCUUUUCCGAAAAAGUGGCCGCACUUCGGACCCGUGAGCCCUAUGCAGCGUACUACUAGGACCAUAUGCCAGAUUGAGCAGAUUGUUGCAUUGCCUGUAGUCUUUAAACCAACAUGUCGGUUGAUUGGAUACUUUUAGACUAUUCGUCCAGUCGACGCAUCGUACAUUGAUUACAGUAGCGGCUAGUUAUUUACAUAUCAUUAUUUCCCUCCUAUCUUUAUUUGUUAUUGUACUUGUUAUAGUUUCAUAUCUUGCUAUAUAUUAUAUCUCGUGCCGGUGAGUACAGCUUGCCUUCGUCGGCUUGUAGUAUCCACUGGAAAACCUCAGGUUAGUUUCUCACCCCCAGUUUUUAUAGGUGACAUAGGUGGUGAGAAUCAGGACAAUGCGUGAGAUAUCGGAUAGCUAGUGAGCUCUAGCAUUCCCGUGCUUUUUCAUUGAUCAACUAUAGUUUAUAAAUCUUUCUUACUCUUUAGUUAUUCGUUAAAUAAUAUAGACAUUAUGAUGGUUAAGUUAUGCUUAAAUGUUUGUUUUGGAUUAAAUGAAUUGUGAAUUUUGGAUUAAAUGAACUGUGAAUUUAUGGUUUAUGAAUUUAUGGCAAAAAUGUUUUGUCUCUCGUGGUAGUAGGUUUUUAAAGGCUGAGUUUUUGUGUGGGAAAUAGUUUUCAAAUGGUUUUUCAUUUUAUCGUAAAUCCUAGAUUUUUAAAAUAAAGUUUCCGGAUGGAAAACACUUUCAAAUGAUAGAAUGAUUGUUGUGUUGUGCAUAUGCAUCAUCUUCGCCUAAGUAGAACUUAGCUGAAUGUACAAGGCAUGCAUCAUCUGCGCUAAGAACUGGUUGUUGUAUGAGCAUCCACAUAUUAUGCUUGUUUGGUUGUGUGGGUAAAAAUUGUGAGUUGUGAAAUGUAAUAGGUGGUACGCCGUGCAAAUAUAAUAAAGACUCUGUCCGCAUGGAUAGAAAAAUCCCCGUGUUUGUGGCGGGUCUAUCAGUCACGUGGGCAAGGUUGUUGUUUCAAAAAAAAAUUGGGCAUUUUUCAACUGACUCUAUUUUCAAACUUGAACCAUUUCUAAAAAGACUUUACAAAAAGGACCCUGGGGCAUGACAAUACAAUUAACUAAAUCACAAAUGUUAGGCUCAGCCUCAGCAAACAUACGAGGACUAAGAUUCCCGAAUUACCUUUCAUGAUUAAAACUUCAUUGUAAUUGACUACCUUUUCAAUUUUAAUAAGCUUUUAUUCUUGUAGACAUGUGAGUUGAUUUAUUUAUUUUUUUCGCCCAAUCAAGUCUAAAUAAUUAAAACAUAGGUGAAAGCCAUAGACAUACUGAGAAAUUGUUGCAAGACCGCCACUAAACUUUCAUUUUCGCCCACUUUUUUUUGCAUACAAGAAUUCAACUUGCAGCAUAGAGCACACAAUAUAAUAUCCAUUGUACUAACCAUCAUUUGUCUCAUUAUCUAUCAAAUUGCACCAAAAUUUGUAUUCACAAUCCAAAAAUGUUAUAUUCAGUGCUAUUUCGAAGCAAUGAAGUUAAAUCCUUAUGUUGUAACCCCAAAUACUCCUUCCAAGAAACCCACUAUAGUGAAACAACAAUUUCAUUACCAAUAUUCCAUAAUGGGUAAUAAGUUCCUGAGACAGCACCCCAAUGCAAAUUCAUCCAAAAUUGAUAACUUUAACAACUACAGAAAAUAAAAUGUUACAGUAUUUACUAAAGUGAACAAACCAAAAAACACUUAAUAGUUCAAGAAGAAAAGUAUCACACAAGAAAAUAAGCAAACAAUAUGACUUCUUAAGAACCAAAUUGAAACCAAGAAUUUAAAAAAGAGCAAAUAUGCAAAACUCAGACAAAAAAUAAUAUAUAUAAUAGGUGCACAAGAUUUUAAAACAAAAGCUUUCAAAAGGUCAAUUUAUAAUGUUGCAUUUGCGUUUUGGAUAAACUAGGAAAAACUCCGGCACUUUAACCUGUUUUUCAGAACCAGAACCAGCUUUCUGGUUCCAAUUUCAAGCAAAUUCAAACCAGUAAACUAGUUAUCAAGUUUUCCUAGCAUUGUUGUAGAUAGAGGUACGCAAAGAUUAGGUUUCACUUAAUUUUAAAUAUAAAGGCAACCCCAACAAAAUCACCAACCAAACAAAACAAAAUAUGUUGGUUGUAUAAUCCAAACAAAACAAACAGAGAAAAGGCAAAGAAGGAAAAAAAAAAAAAAAAACUAACACAAGAUAAGUGAGCACAAUAGAUCUGAAAUCUGCAUGAACCCUAUUGCUUUAUGUAGCUACAUUAGCACCUGAGAAGAUGAGAGAAGGGGAGGCGUUGAUGGCGUUGACCCGAGAAAACCCUAGGGCGUACGCAGCGACGGGGGAAGUGGGCGGGGACAGAGGGUUUGGCGGGGAAGCCGAGAGGUGGAGGUACAAGGGACGAAGGAGAUGAAUGAGAGAGAGAGAGCGAGAGAGAGAGAGAGAAGGAGGACCGAUUUCCAAGCCCUAGGUCGAAAGAGGGGGCAAGUGGCGAAAGUCUCCAAAUCCCCGAAGAGAGAGAGCGGCGUACGAGGGGGAGAGAGAGAGAGAGAGUGAGGGGCGUGGUUGAUAGCCUUGGGUAUGAUGUCAACGCGUCGAGUUUGACACGAAUUUUUAAAAAUUCGAACCGAAUUCGAAAACCAAAUUAAAAUUCGUAUUCGGACCCGAAUCCGGUGAAUCUUAAAAAUUAAUACUCAUAUCCCUAUCCAACCAAAAAUCCGAAUUCCGAUCCGGACCCGACGGGUUUUAAAAAUUCGUACUGCUGAAUAAAGAUCUAAAGAAUAAAAAUUAUUAAAUAUUUUAUAUAUUAUAUAAAUAAAUAAAAAUAAAGUAUGUAUAUAUAUAAUUUAUUCGAGUUCGGGUUCGGAUUCGGGUUCGUGUCAGGUAAAUACAAAAUCCAUACUCGUAUUCAUAUUCGUCGGGUUUUUAUUUUCUAUACCUAUAACCGAAUUCAUACAUGUUUAGCUCGGAUAAACCCGCCCCGUUUGGAUUCGGAUUCGGAUAAUAUUUCGGGUAUCCAUAUCCAUUGACAUCCCUACCUUUGGAGGGUGUUAUUGGGUAAAAUUAUUAUUUUAUAUAAUAAUAAUAAUAUGCAAUAUUACCUGCAUUCAAUAAUUUAAGAUAUACAUAUCUGACUCCUCCCGAUAAUAUUUUUAGUGUAAUGUUGCAAUAACGAACAGAUUACAUAUUAAAUAAACCAUACACAGUAAUUUUGGCAGAAUUACACGUAAUUCUGUUAGGAUAACCCGAACCAAACGUACUAUGUUGUAAGAAAAAAUCUUAUCAAUAUAUUUUUUUAACUACAAUUUAAAAAUAUUGAAAAAGUCUUUUCACCCUUGGGUUGGAGCUUAUAAAGCUUACCGGCCCUAAAGAUAGUAGACUUAGCAUUUCUCAUAAGGGCUUUAGGGCAUAUUUAUUUUACCGAAAUUGAACUUUAGGUUGAAGUGGACUUUAAAUAGAAAUGGAGUUCAGAUGAAAAUUACUUUUCCCCCGCUGUUUGUUUUUAUAACUAUGGAAAUAAAGUUUUUUCAAUUUUGCUAGUUAUUUGGCAUGAAGAGAGUGAUGUAAAAUUCUAAUUAUGUAUAAAUAAUAAAUAACUUGAUAAAUGAUAAAUUAUAAUAUAAUCAAUAAAAAUAAUAUUAUUAUAUUCCUAUAUAAUUAAAAAAAUUAAUCUAAAACAACUAAAUUAUUCUUUUAUAUAUAAAUUAUAAUAAUACAAUAAUAAAAUUAUAAAAUAAAAAAUUAAUAUUUAAUUAAUUAAUUUUCAUCAUAUUUUAAAUGUACAAACUAAAAUGAAAGAAAUACCAAAACUAAACUAAUUAAUUUUUAUCAUAUUUUAAAUACGNCGAGAGAGAGAGAGAGAAGGAGGACCGAUUUCCAAGCCCUAGGUCGAAAGAGGGGGCAAGUGGCGAAAGUCUCCAAAUCCCCGAAGAGAGAGAGCGGCGUACGAGAGAGAGAGAGAGAGAGAGAGAGAGAGAGUGAGGGGCGUGGUUGAUAGCCUUUGGGUAGGAUGUCAACGGGUCGAGUUUGACUCGGAUUUUUAAAAAUUCGAAUCCGAAUUUGAAACCAAAUUAAAAUUCGUAUUCGGACCGAAUCCGGUGGAUUUUAAAAGUUCAUACUCAUAUCCGUAUCCAACCAAAAAUCCGAAUCCCGACCCGGACCAAAGGGUUUUAAAAAUUCGUACCGUUAAAUAAAAAUCUAAAGAAUAAAAAUUAUUAAAUAUUUUAUAUAUUAUAUAAAUAAAUAAAAAUAAAGUAUAUAUAUAUAUAAUUUAUUCGGGUUCGGGUUCGGGUUCGGGUCAGGUAAAUACAAAAUCCAUAUUCGUAUCCAUAUCCGUCGGAUUUUUAUUUUCUAUACCUAUAACUGAAUUCAUACCUGUUUAGCUCGGAUAAACCCGCCCCGUUUCGAUUCAGAUUCGGAUAAUAUUUCGGGUAUCCAUAUCCAUUGACAUCCCUACCUUUGGAGGGUGUUAUUGGGUAAAAUUGUUAUUUUAUAUAAUAAUAUGCAAUAUUACCUGCAUUCAAUAAUUCAAGAUAUACAUACCUGCAUUCAAUAAUAUGCAAUAUUAUUGUAAUGCUGCAAAAACGAACAGAUUACAUAUCAAAUAAACCAUACACAGUAAUUUUGGCAGAAUUACACGUAAUUCUGUUAGGAUAAUCCGAACCAAACGUACUAUGUUGUAAGAUAAAAUCUUAUCAAUAUAUUUUUUUAACUACAAUUUAAAAAUAUUGAAAAAGUCUUUUCACCCUUGGGUUGGAGCUUAUAAAGCUUACCGGCUCUAAUGAUAGUAGAUUUAGCAUUUCUCAUACGGGCUUUAGGGCAUAUUUAUUUUACCGAAAUUGGACUUUAGGUUGAAGUGGACUUUUAAAUUGAAAUGGAGUUCAUAUAAAAAUUACUUUUCCCCCUCUGUUUGUUUUUAUAACUAUGGAAAUAAAGUUUUUUCAAUUUUGCUAUUUAUUUGGCAUGAAGAGAGUGAUGUAAAAUUCUAAUUAUGUAUAAAUAAUAAAUAACUUGAUAAAUGAUAAAUUAUAAUAUAAUCAAUAAAAAUAAUAUUAUUAUAUUCCUAUAUAAUUAAAAAAAUUAAUCUAAAACAACUAAAUUAUUCUUUUAUAUAUAAAUUAUAAUAAUACAAUAAUAAAAUUAUAAAAUAAAAAAUUAAUAUUUAAUUAAUUAAUUUUCAUCAUAUUUUAAAUGUACAAACUAAAAUGAAAGAAAUACCAAAACUAAACUAAUUAAUUUUUAUCAUAUUUUAAAUACGCAAACUAAAUAAAUAAGUAAUUAGUACCAUAAUUAAGUACAUUUAAAUAAAAUAGCAUUACCCAUUGUAUUAUUUUAUUAUUUUUUCCUGCACCUCUCUUCACUGUAAUUGACUUCGGUUGAGGGUGGGCCGAAGUCAAUUACACUGUUUCAAGUAACUUGAGUUUCGACCGUAUUUUUAUUAUGGCAAACCAAAUAGCAGAAAUGAUCGCUUACGAUCGAAUAUGACUUUACCUCUCGCCAAUUCCGCCCAAACAAAUAAACCCUAGGGUGAAAAUACGGAUGCUCUUAUAAUUCUAUCGUCUAUUUCAAGAGCAAUACUAUUGAAACCCAGAAUAGAUAUUAUUCUCCUGCUUGUCACGCCAAUUACGCUUUAAUCCUUAACUAUUAAAAAAGUAAUUUUUAAUAAAACUGCAAACAAAAGUUUAGUCCUUGGUGGAUGAGUGUAAAAUUUAGACCUUUUUUGAGGUGUACAGCUAGCAUUGCUCUUUUUAAAGUUUUGUAAAUUUUAUCGAUCUAGGAUGAUUAUUACUAGUGGUUAUUAAGAAUUGUUUUGCCUUUUAAAAAAAAGGUUUUUCUAAAAUAUAUUGAAGCCUUUUAUUUUAGAUCAAAAUAGACAAACAACAAAGUGGAAUAAAAAUAAGUAAAUAACAAAUAAUAUAAAGACGCUUUAAAAAAUAUAUAUUGAAGGGUAAGAGUUAUUGUAUAGAAUAGAAGUUCAAUUAGAUUGUCGGUGAAAACAUACAUAAUUUAUCUAAACUAUGGACCAAUUUGAAUUAGCUACCCAACCUUUCAAAAAUUUGAUUUCACUAUCCAAACUUUCGAUUUAUUUGAUAACAAUACUUUGACUUAAAAUUUAAGCUAAUUAUUUACUUUAAUAAAUUUAAUUAAUGCAUCGAACUUUGCUAAGUUAGCAAUGUGCGGAUUAAAGUCAUGCUGAAUAUAAUUAAACGGGUUUGGAGAAGCUUAGGCUGAGUUGGAUUGAAUUGAAAUCAAUUUGGAUAGAAAAUGUAGUUUCGAAAGAAAACUUUUCGGAUCCCUGGAACAAGUUUCAGGGCGCCCUAAACCAUUUAGGACUGUCCGAUCAAGCGCCGAAACAAGUGGAUGGUCUACUCGAGAGUUGAGCUCAUGCAGCGGUUAGUUUUCGAGUGUCCAAAUAGCCCCUGUGGGUGUUAGAAACCCUCUUCGAUGUCUCUUGAGGGUGUCCGAACCCUUUCCUAAUGCUCUAUCCAAUAGCUUGGGUGCACAAACAAUAAAGCAUUCAUGCAUCCAAAUAGUCCUAGGGUGCCCAAAACACGUUGCGGAUGAUUUGCAUGGUCAAUCCGAGAGCAGAGAUUGCGCGGCUCAUUAAAUAAGCGAGCAUCCGAUUUGCCCUGCAGGUGCUCAAAACUAGUUUUUGGCAGACUGGGCUGGUGCCCAGAGCAUCUUCUAGGUGCUAUUACAUGAAGCGCUAAAGGGCUUCAAGCUUGCAGGUGCCCGAAAGGUCGAGCGAGCACUCGAAGCCUAGCGCAAAUGCUAUGUCUUAUUUAUUUGCAGGUAAAAAAAAAAAUUGGGAGGUUUAAGUGCAAAUGUGACACUUCUAUAUAAACCUUUUUUACAGCUUGCUGCAAGCCGAAUUCUUCAACUGCUGAUCCAGUCAAAGAACCUCCUUCGAGAAGUGUGCGAGGAGAUGGAACGGCUAUGAAUAAUGACCCUCGAAGUUCACGUCUUUCGUUGGAUCAAGCGAUUCGGUUGAUGGGAUCAGACCAACCAAGUUUGACUCAAUACAAUAAAUUCAAUUCGGCUGGAUCAGUCGAGUGUACGAACUGCACAGGGAUUUCUGGUUUGGCUGAAGAGUCGAAUGAGGCUUAUAUUGCUAAAGUUCAAAAAAUGUUUACAAGACAGGAUAAAAGAAAAUUCUACUCUACAAACUACUCCUAGAAAAAACAGUAGAUGCGGGAGAAUGAAAAGGUUACAAGUAAACUACUCCUAGAAAGCAAGAAAAAUGUGUGGAAUUGAAAGUGGUCUUCUUGCUCGUAGGGGAAAAAGACCUCUCUUCCGGGCGCUAUCUAUUUAUUUAUAUUCCGCCUAUUGUUAUUUAGUUAUUUACAUGAUCAGUCGCUUCCCUGAUUUCGUGGGCCACUAUGGGCCGAUUCCAACCGCAUGAAACCGGCCGUCUGCGGUUUGAUGUGAUUCGUCCUGUGUUCCCGGUGCACCAGAUGUUACUUGUUCUUGGCUCUAAGGCUCCUGGCUGUGUUGUACACCGGUCCAUCACGUGGCGCGAUUUCCUUGGCGCCAAUAAUUGCUCCCUCGGCAGCUUCUGAACAGGCAGUUCAGUAGCUGGCGUAAUCAUUCUAAAGGUACGAAUUUCGAAAUCAUCAUUUCGAAUUGCCUUGUUAUAAUACACUGAACUUAUACAAAUUGCGAAGUUCGAGUGUAUAGAAGGAUAUUUGGAGCUAUCCUACAUCUUCUAAAAGGUUUAGAGAAGAUACUGGACAAGUUUGAGAGUGAUUGGAAGGCCAGAAGCAAGAAAGUGCAUUGUUCUGGCGAAAUUCAGCUUUUUCUGUAUGGUGUACCGGUACAGCCAUCAUCGUGUACCGGUACACAAUGGCAGAAACGUGGCAGCAAGGCUAUUUUGGUAAUUUCACAUUCUAUACUUAUCUACUUAGCUUCAGCUCGACCCCUGGAGCCUCUUAGAUGAUGCUAGAGAUUAGAGAAGCUGCCCUGCACCUCUCCCUCUUUCUCUCUCUAGGGUUUUUCUCUCUCUACAUAGAAAUCGGAGAUUAAGCUCGUUUUCGUCGCCUCGCUUGUUCUUCACUGUUUGCGAGUGUCGCAGAGCUUACGUGGACGUAUAAGGGAGCGUUUUGGAAGGCUUUUCGCAACUCUGAACUAGUAGUUUACUAGUUAAAUGCUUGAGAAGAUAAUCGACUCAAUUAUUCCGUAAUAGAGGUUCUAUUAGUCGAGUAGUUUGUUGAUUUUGGAUUUUUGUUGUUCCAGCUGAGUGAAAAGAGGUUUUGCUGCUAUAACAGGGUCGGAUAUUAUAGCUUAGCUCGGUUGGGACUAAGUUUAUGAUCUAAGAAGGUAAACUACUUUUCUUCAUUGUUUGGGCACGAAUUCGACGAUAAAAGGGCUGAUUUUGGGAUCGUUGUUCGCAGCAGGUUUUCAAAUUAAAUUGAGCUUAAUUGGUAACCUUGGGGACUGGUUUAGAAAGUGUUCUAACCUGAGGUAAGCAGAAAUUUCAGUUGGAAAACUAAUUUCGCAAGAAUUCAGCCAUAAUAGCUUGUAUACAAGCAUAUUGACGGCGUUUUGAUGUGGUCGCAGCGAGUACGAUCAACCCUUGGAUCGUCUUUAGCUGACUUGUGAGGGCUCUUGGAGGCUUAACUUGAGGUAUUAAGCUAGCCCAAAACCAGGAUUCAAGCUAUUACUUUGUACUAAGUGCGAAUUAUGUCGAAAUUGGACAUUUCAGUUGUAGUAUUGAUGCGAUUUUCGUGCUUUGUUUUUAGCAGGGUUGCGGACUAGUGGAGCUGAUUUCGGGACUCUUGUGGACUGAAUUUGAGUCUAGUAAUAGGUGGGUUUGAGCUAACUAGAGCAAGUGAAGCUCCCCUAUAUUCUAUAUGUUAUUAUAGAAGUGGUCUAGUUGUGUGCUUAUGUGAUUGAUAAAGGACUUGAAACUCGUCAUCAUAAUGAUUAACAUAUUUGAAAUGAAAUCUCUAUGAAGUAGAGAACACUCAUGCAUAAAGUAUUUAUGUUUAUAUUUAACUCAGUUGAAUAACUAAUGGACAAGUUAAUAUGUUCCUAGAAAGAAGAGAACAAUGACAUUCUGUUGACUUUAUUGAUUAGAAAAUAGAGAACAAUGACAUGCCUUGUGACUAUAAUGAUAGUGCCAUGAUAAUGCAAAGCUUCUAAUGCCAUAUGUAAAUUAGCAUUACUCUCAUAUGUUUACUGAUCUAGUGGACACUAGCUAUUGUCAAUAUUCGUUAUAUUGAAAAUUCCGAUCAAAGGAUCGAAAGUGAGAACAUUGCAAGAUAAAACAUGAUGAUUGAGAUAUAUUGGACUUUGGACUUUGCUUGUUUGCCAUUGUGCUCAUUCGCACACGGUUGUGAGGGUAGCUCCCUACAAGCCGGCACUCCGGAGUUGGCCUACGCGAUAGUUGCUCGCCCGUGCGGGAUUGAGUGCCGAAGUGGAUUGCCGUGGGAAAUGUAUACUACCACAGGGCCAUUAGGCGCGGCGCAAGCCGGACUACCUUGGGUAGGUCCUUAUGAAUGAAAUGUAAAUUCUAAAUGACAGUAAUGAAUGAUUACCAGUUAUAGUGUAUGGUAUUUACUUACACGUUCAUACUUAUGUUUAUGUUAUGUUCAGGCUUAUAGUAAUUGCUAUGUUUUAUUAUUCAGAUGAUUCAUUACUGUAGAAAGUAUAAUUACAUGUUGCUUACAUGUUCAUUAUUUGUUAGCAUUGGAAAUAUAUCAUGCAUUAAUUGCUUUUACGUUCAUUCAGUACAUCAUGAGCCUAGUGGUGUAAUUCGCCGAGGCUGGCGGCUUACCCACUAGGAACUAUUGUUAAUAGUUCUCACGCCUUUUUUUAUGGUUGUUUUUACAGAGCCAUCGACAGGAGAGGCUAGGGAUCGUGGCAAGGGAGUCGCGUCUAGCUAGGCACUGCUAGGGGCUUGCUAGUUGAUGACCUUGCUACUCGGGUUACGGCUGAGGGUGAUGUCCCUGCGUAUAGAGAAACUGCCAUUGUACAUGUUUUUGAGUGGCCUUUGAUGUAUAUGAGUUUUUAGAACCAGAAAUUGUAGUUUUCUUACUUCUCUUUGAUGUUGAGAUUUUGGGUUGUAUACUCUCUGUUCUUCUGUUGAUGAUAUUAUCGACUUGUACUUUGCUCUGAUAUCAGGAUAGGAUCUUCUAUGUUUUCUUCCUAUUGAUUUGCUUCUUUGUAGACGCCUUAUAUACUGCAGGUGUAUGGCGGGUCUGUGCACGUACCGGAUAUGCUUCCGCUGGUACCCGGGCGUGACAGAUUAUAGUGGUAUCAGAGCCUAGGGUUGAGUCUUAGUAGACUUAGCAAACCUUAGGCUGGUUGGACUAUAAGAAUAGGCUCGUGAGAGACGAAGUCUAGUCGAGGUUGUUGUUAGCGAAAGUAUUUUGAUUGGGUAAUUUAUAAACUCCGAAUGGGAGGAGUUUGAUCGGAAUGUGCAAUUACUAACUUUGCAGAGGGCCACGUUGGCGGCCGACAACGUGACAUCGGAAGUUAGUAUAUGUUACAUUUCAUUACUUUCGCUUGAUUAGCUGGUUUAUAUCAGAAGUGGGGGUUCAAUAGUAUAAGUUUUUAUUGACCUAUGUUUGUUUUUGUGUUGCAGCUUAAGAUACCCACGACUCGUUCCAGAACCGCUGGGGCGGCUGAGGCGGCUGUUGCGGAGGAGGUGGAGACCUCCGCUACCUCCGGGUCCAGUGAGGUCCGGGAGUUGCGGGAUCAGCUCGCAGUGUUGACUGAGCUAGUGACACAGCAAGCAUCGGCAACGCGACAACAGAUGGAUGCUGCGCGCCGACAAGAGGACAGGAUGAAGCGGUUAGAGGAUUUGUUACUGCAGCAGAAGACUGACAGAGAGAUCCCUGAUUCUAUGUCUACAGUACCAGAUAGGGAUACGACAGUGAGAGCAUAGUCACCGGUACCAGAUACCUCGCCAGUAGCUCCGAGGGUAGAGACCCGACAGGAGACAGUAGUACCACCACCAGUGCAUGUGGCUGCGACAGGGACAGUAUUACCUGAGAUGGUGGGGGCUGAGAAGCGAGAGCGGAUGAUGGAACAACUGAAUGAAUUCUGUCGUUGCACCCCUCGUAUUUUUGACGGGGAAAAAGCCGAUCAUUGGGUGGUCGAGAAAUAGCUGAUGCACAUGGAGAAACUAUUCUAUGAUACUUUUGUUGAGGAGCGAUACCGAGUUUGGUUUGCGACGCACCAUCUGGAUGGCGAGGCUUAUAGGUGGUGGGUAGAUAUCCGUGAGGACCCCCGUGUGGAUUUGUCAGCGAUCACCUGGAUGAGAUUCAAGGAAUUAUUGUUGACAACCUACUUCCCGCAGAGUGUAAAAAGGCAGAAGGAAAGGGACUUGAGAAACCUGAGGCAAGGGGACAGGACAGUAGCUGAGUAUGAGCGAGAGUUCUCCCGAUUACUGCAUUGUGUUCCUUUUGUGAUCAGAGAUGAUGAAAACAAGGCUCGUAUUUUUUAGGUAGGUUUGCGGUCUCCGAUUUUCAGAUUGGUCCAGGCGUCAAACCUUUCUACUUACAGGGAAGUGGUGAAUUGGGCCUUGAUUGUGGAAAAAGGGGCGGAAAUUAUAAAGGAAAGAGAUAUUGUGGAUCGAAGUAAAGGAAAAAGACCAACAGCUGAGAGCAGUGGUCAGCAAUCCUUCAGGAGACCGCCAAAGUAUCCGAGGGGCCAACUGGGCCAGUCGAGAGGUCGAGGUUCUUCAGCACCCCGUGGAACACCCGAGCGUCGUCGACAGCCACGUUGUGUCAUUUGUGGUGGGUCUCACUUUCCGCCACAGUGUCCACAACGUGGGGGCAAGUGUUUUAUUUGCGGCCAGGAGGGCCAUUUUCGCUCAGAGUGCCCGAGAGAUCCUUCACCUGCACCCUCAUCAGCAUCAGCACCUGCAUCUUGAGCUCCAAGCCAGGGGACUCCGACAGCACCUUCUCAGUACAGACGACCACCGGGACAGCGACAGUCUGAGAGUUCUCGGCAGGGUUCGAGCGUGCGUAUGUAUGCCGCCUAGACAGAGGAGGCUGCGGCAGUAGAGGAGGUCGUAGCAGGUAUCAUUAUGCUUUAUGAUAUUCGUGUUCGUGCAUUAUUUGAUACUGGUACUUUGCAUUCUUUUAUUGAUCGGCAGUUCGCCGAGUUGCAUAGCAUUCAAUUAGCACCUAUUUUACAUCCGGGACGAGUGAUCGUGCCCAACCAUACCUUAGAUGUUCAUGAGUUUUUCCCUCGCUGCCCUGUUCGGGUAGGCGAUUGGAUUAUGCCAGUAGACUUAUUGGCACUACAUAAACUAGGGGAGUUUGAUGUAGUAUUGGGUAUGGAUUGGUUGACACAGUAUUAUGCCACCAUUGAUUGCACGAACAGAAUGGUGAUUUUUAGGGAACCGGGCCAGCAAGAGUUUGUUUAUAAGGGGUGUCAGAGUUCAUUGUUCGCAAUGACUAUUAGCUCUUCGGGAGCACGACAGUUGAUUCGAAGAGGUUGUGUCGCUUUCUUAGCUAGUGUCUCUGUGGAAAGUAGAGAACCUCCCAAGAUUGAUGAUAUUCCAGUUGUGCGAGAAUUCGGGGAUGUGUUUCCAGCUGAGUUGCCGGGCAUGCCACCUGAUAGGGAAGUCGAGUUCAUUAUAGACCUUGUCCCCGGGAUUACCUCUAUCUCAAAAGCACCCUAUCGAAUGGCACCCGCUGAAUUGAAAGAGCUGAAGGCACAGUUACAAGAUUUACUGGAUAAGGGUUUCAUUCGACCGAGUGUUUCACCUUGGGGAGCACCGGUAUUAUUAUUAAAAAGAAAGAUGGAUAUCUUCGAUUGUGUGUCGAUUACCGAGAAAUUAACAAAGUCACAAUCAAGAAUAAAUAUCCAUUACCCUGAAUCGAUGAUUUAUUCGAUCAGCUGCAAGGAUCGAAAGUAUAUUCCAAGAUUGAUUUGCAAUCAGGUUAUCAUCAGCUUAAGAUCAAGCCUGAAGAUGUCUCCAAGACUGCUUUUAGGACACGGUAUGGGCAUUAUGAAUUUACAGUUAUGCCAUUUGGGCUGACAAAUGCCCCAGCAGCCUUUAUGGAUUUAAUGAACCGUGUCUUUAAGCCCUAUUUGGAUAGGUUUGUGGUUGUGUUCAUUGACGAUAUCUUGAUCUAUUCUUGAAGUGACGAGGAGCAUGAAAACCAUUUAAGAGUGGUGUUGCAAGUACUUCGAGAAAAGAAACUGUUUGCAAAAUUAAAAAAUGCGAAUUUUAGCUUCGAGAAGUAGCCUUUCUCGGCCAUGUAAUUUCAGAGGCUGGGAUAGCUGUGGACCCAAAGAAGAUUGAAGCGAUUAAAGAUUGGCCUAGGCUAACCAAUGUUACAGAGAUUCGGAGUUUCCUUGGUUUGGCGGGAUACUACCGAAGAUUUGUAGAAGGGUUUGCAAAGAUGUCUACUCCUCUUACUCGACUCACUCAUAAAGGAGCUAAAUUCCUGUGGAAUGAAGCCUGCGAAAGAAGCUUUCAACAGCUGAAGGAACGAUUGACCACCGCCCCGAUUUUAGCACUACCUAUUCCUAGAGUAGAUUAUGUGAUUUACAGCGAUGCGUUGCUGAAUGGAUUAGGGUGUGUUCUAAUGCAGUAUGGCAGAGUAAUUGCUUAUGCAUCUCGCCAGUUAAAGGAUUAUGAAAAGAACUACCCUACACAUGAUCUUGAGUUGGCUGCCGUAGUUUUUGCUUUAAAACUUUGGCGCCACUACCUCUACGGUGAGCGUUGCGAGGUGUAUACAGACCACAAAAGCUUAAAGUAUCUAUUUACGCAGAAGGAAUUAAACUUGAGACAACGUAGAUGGUUGGAGUUGCUCAAGGAUUAUGAUUUGACCAUCCUUUAUCAUCCAGGAAAAGCUAAUGUUGUAGCAGAUGCUUUAAAUCGAAAAUCGACAGAAAAUUUGGUGAUGUCAAUAACUGUGCAACCAUCUCUAGUAAAGAAAAUGAAACAGUUGGACUUGGAAGUUGUAGCUCCUGAUAUGCCUUGGCGACUUAUGUCAUUGGUGGUGCAACCUACCCUGAUCGAUCGAAUUAAAGAAAAGCAAGCCCAGGAUGAAUUUCUGCAAAGGAUUCGAGCAAAGAUCACUGUUGAUCAGGUUGGUGACUUUCGAGUAGAUGAUCAGGGACUGUUAAAAUUUGGUGAUAGACUUUGUGUGCAAGCAGACUCUGAUAUUAAAGAAGAAAUUUUAAAAGAAGCACAUCGGGCGCCGUAUACUUUGCUCUUCAUGCUCCUCUUCGCUCUUCGAAUAGACCAAUACGUCGUCUAUAAAUACCACGACGCAUCGAUCCAACAAUGGCCUAAAGACUCGAUUCAUCAAGUCCAUAAAUGCUGCCGGGGCAUUAGUAAGCCCAAACGGCAUUACCGUGAACUCAUAAUGGCCAUAUCGCGUACGGUACGCCGUCUUGUGCACAUCCUUCGGCCUGAUCUUUAAUUGAUGAUACCCCGAUUGGAGAUCAAUCUUCGAAUACACCUUGGACCCUUGCAACUGAUCGAAUAGAUCGUCAAUCCUUGGCAACGGGUACUUGUUCUUUAUCGUCACUUUGUUCAACUCGCGAUAAUCUACGCAGAGUCGAAGUGUGCCAUCCUUUUUCUUCACAAAUAGCACCGGAGCUCCCCACGGUGACACACUCGGCCUCACGAAGCCUUUAUCGAGCAAGUCUUGUAGUUGACCUUUUAGCUCCUUUAACUCCACCGGUGCCAUUCUAUACGGAGCCUUCGAAACUGGUUCCGCCCCGGGAAUCAAGUCAAUGACAAACUCAACUUCCCGGUCCGGUGGCAGUCCCGGUAACUCCGCCGGAAACACAUCCGGAAACUCGCACACUACUCGGAUAUUCCCCAACUCUGGGUACUCCUUUCGAGCAUCUACCAUGGUUGCCAAAUAGGCCUUACACCCUCCUUUGAUCAUUUUCUUCGCCCUUACAGACGAUAUAGUCGCCGCGAAGCGCCUACUUUUGCACGCUUGGUAGACUAACUCUUCUUGAUUAGGCUCACGAAAAGUGAUCACCUUGCUUUCACAAUCUAUCACCGCAUAGUACUUGGAGAGCCAAUUGGUCCCCAAGAUAACAUCGAAUCCCCACAUCUGAUCUAGCACUAGCAGAUCAAUCGGCAUAAUCCAAUCACCUAUUUGCACUGGACACGCCAAACACUCGUUGUGGACACUGAAUGAAUGCUCUGGAGCAUUCACCCACCAAUAAUCCUCGUUGUAUACCAUCUCUAUGCCAUGUGUUUUAGCAAAUAACGUGCUAAUGAACGAAUGAGAUGCGCCUGUAUCCAACACUGCUCUAGCUCUAGUGCCUUUAAUCACAAUUAUACCUGCCCCGACGUCGUCGGGUGCUGCAGGUUGCUGCUCCUCCACCUGAGCGGCAAAGACUCGACCGCUAGGCGCUCUCGAUCCCUCCGGCUGACGCGAUGAUGACGCGUGCCCAGCCGACUUCGCCGGUGGUAACCCCGCAAGCUGUCUCGGGGUAGACGGUGCUGAUGCCGCCGUCGGCACAGACGACGUCCACGACGGGCACUCCCGGAUAAGAUGCCCUGGUUGGCCGCACUUGAAACAUUUGCCGUGUCGCUGCGGGCAAGUCGACACCUUAUGCUCUCCGCCACAUAUAACACAUCGAGGUGGUCUCCAAUUCCUCGCCUGCUGUCGGGGAUACCGAGGGGGUUUCUUAGGAAUUGGCCGGCCCCCGGCACCGCCCGCCGUUCUUUUCUUGCCCUUGUCCUUCGACUCGGCAAUAGCCUCCCUUUCUUCACGUACAUGGGCGCUACUGUGCUCCGCCCACAAGGCUCUAUCGAAGACCUCCGCAAAGGUCGACAACUUCAGAAUUUGCACAUUUUCAUAAAUCCGGGGUUGGAGUCCUCGCAAGAACCAAUCCGCCCGGUCCCGAUCAUCUCGAACAACAUCGGGAACGCAGUCAAUAAUGUGGGAGAAUUCUUGCUCGUACUCCCCCACCGAUCGAUCACUUUGUCUUAACUUGCGGAACUUUUCUUGCAACUUCCGCUUCGUCGUGUCGGGGAAGUAGUUCGCAAACACCGCUCUCUUGAACUCUUCCCACAGCAUAAGCGGAAGGUCGAUAGGACGAUCCCGCUUCACUCGCUUCCACCACACCUUUGCCACUUUCUCAAGACAAUGGGUGGCGAGGUACACUUUAUCCUUCUCCGAGGUAUUGAGAUCCUCGAAGAGCGUCUCUAUUGAGUCGAUCCACGACUCCACAACCGCUGGCUCCACCAAACCGCCCUCGAAGGUAGGUGGGUCGAACUUCUUGAAUUGUAUAAGCGCCGCCAACGUGCGCUCUCGCUCCGCUUCUACCGCCGCGCUAUCGGGAUUUGAGGUUCCCGAUCCGGCCGGUACUACCGUAACUGGAACAGCCGCUGCUGCCGCCGCUCCCUCGUCCAUCACGCUCUGCAGCUACACAGGGGGCGCGACAUCCUGACGCCCGCCUAAGCCACCGUCGCCUGUUGUCGCUCCAAGGCCUCCUGGAGCCGUUGAAUCUGCUCCCCUUGGCGUUGAACAGACUCCCGCUUGUUGCCGCACUACUCCGAUAAGCACGGCCUUUGCUCCUAAGCUCUCCGUCGCCCUCGCGCUCGGAUCGCUCGGCUCCACGUUCGGCUCUCCGGCAUCGACGCUUGUCUGCGGUCGUCCCGAGUGGCCAUUGCUUUCUAAAAGAAGCAACCGCAUUAGUCACUUGACCAACAUUUACUUGACCACACCCAAUCUACGGAAACGCAACAUACACAUUCAUCUUCUUGCCUCAGCGUCAUGUCGUCGGGCCGCCGACACAAACUAGAAGUAAGGAAACUAAAAUUAACAUUACCUCUUAAUCAAUAGAGAGUCCCUACUUAACCCAAUCACAUGCUUUCGCUACUUUGAACCCACGUCAACUCACUUUCCUAAUCCUUAAGCCUUCCACAUCCUAAGGGUCCCUCUACGUCCAGUUCUAUUCUUUCACUCUUAGGCUUUGAUAGCACGCUAAUCUGUCGCCCCAAGCCCUCAUCAAUGUACUAAUUUCGCUUCAACAGAAAAAAGCUACUAGCGGAAAACAUACAGCAAGACGGCUUUCACGAGGGUAACAAUAGCCAUAAGGAAAGAGAAAAGGAAACUUAAACAUUCACUUAGUACUAUGGUUCAUUUUCUGAUCAAUAUACACUUGCAUGCAUCUGGUUCAUUUUUCGAAUUCCUUACAUUUCAUUUCAUCAUUUCUUUCUUACAUCACAUUUACCUCAAAAAUACAUAUUAAUUCUUUUCUUUACAAUCAUUACCAUCAUUGGUACAAAAGUAUGAUCAUAGGGUACUCUGCUAGGCAAAUGAAACCUAGACUUUGUGUGCUAUGUGGAUACUCAUUGAGUGCGUGAUUAGUUGUCCUGUCGCGCUUCCUGCGGCUCGCUCGUGUGCCGGCGGCUCUGUGAAAUAUGAGUCGAUUCCACACUCCACAACUGCUGCUCCAUGCCCUACACCAACGCCCUCGAGGUAGUGUCAGAAUCUUGGAAUGUAUAAGCCGCCGCCAAACGUGCGCUCUUUCGCUCCGCUUUACCGCCGCUGCUAUCGGGGAUUGCAGUGGUCCCGAUCGGCCGGUACUACCGUGAACUGGAACAGCGCGCCUGCGGCGCGCUCCAUCGUCCACCGCUCGGCACUACCACAGGGGGCAGCGACGAUGCUCGACGCGGCCCCGCUAGCACCGUCGGCCUGUUGUCGCUGCCAACGCCUCCUGGAGCCGUUGAAUCUGCUCCCUUGGCGUUGAACAGACUCCGCUGUUGCCCCGCACUACUCCCAGAUAAGCACGCCAUUUGCUCCCUAAAGCUCGUCCGUCACCCCUCGCUCGGAUCGCUGUCAGGCUCCACGUCGGCUCUCCUCCGCAUACGACCUUGUAUCGUCGGUAUCCACGAGGUGACCAUUGCUUCCUGAAAAGAAGUCAACUCGCAAUUAGUCAUUUGACCACAUUACUUGACCCACACCAAUUAGGCGAAAGCAACAUACACAUUCAUCCUGCCUCAAGCCGUCAUGUCUCGCCGGCGAACAACAUAGAAUAAGAGAUAAACUGAAAAUAAACUUAGCCUCUAUCCACAUUAGAGACGUCCCUACUUAACCCAAUACAUCGCUUUCGCUAAUCUUUGAUCCCACUGUCACUCAACUUCCUAGAUCCUUUAAGGCCUUCCAAUCUAAGGUCUCUAGCGUCCAUUCGCUUAUUCUUUCACUCUUGGCUCUUGAUACCACGCUAUCUGUCGCCAAGGCUCGAUCACAUGUACAAUUUCCUCACAGAGAAAGCACUAGCGGAAACAUACACAAACCGGGCUUACACAACGGGUAAGCAAUUAGCAUACAGUUGAGAAAGAAAAAGGCAAACUAAACAUUCACUUUCUAUGAUUCAUUUUUGAUCAUAUACACUAUGCAUCUGGUUCAUUUCGAAUUCCUUAUUCAUUAUUUUCAUCAUUUCUAUUUCUUAUCCAUUACCUACUCAUACUCUUUCAAUAAAUACAUUAUAUAUUAUCUUUCUUUUACAUUCUAUUUACCAUCAUGUACAUAAUAGAUGAUCAUAGGUGACUUUGCUAUUAAUUAAACUCUAUACUUUAGGUGCGUUGAUAGUCGAUUACCUGUUACCGCGGUCGCUUCGCCGCUCGCUCGGUCCCGGCUCUGGUGGUAAAUAAGUGGGUGAGAACACACAACAAAGUUCGCGGAGUGGUUCCGGCCUCAACAUCCCCCCUGACUUUCGCCACUAAGACUAACUCAGGCAUAAUAGAAAGAAUAAGCCACGCAUAUAGUAACCAAUCUAUACAUUAUUACUAAUCGCCUGAAAAUAAAGCACAGGAGGAUCUCAACAUUAAAUAGAUAGGCCGAUUAUGCAAAUUCUUUGUUCUUUUUACGUUACUCUUUGUUCUUUAUUCUUUAUUCUUUGUUCUUUAUUUUUUAUUCUUUAAUCUCAAGGCUAACCCGGGGGUUUCGCCACAUUAACUUGCUUCACAUUAAGUCCAUCAUCGCAGGAACUCACCCGCUAGGACCGUCCUUCGGGUUUACUCCAACCCGUGAUGCAUAACUCCGGAGCGCAUCGCCCGAGGGGGAGCGACCGCCCUCGAGCACGGAACUCAUAGCAAGUAUGAUCAUAUCCUUAACUCAAAGGAUUUAUAUGUUCAAUCUUGACUUUACACUAGCUCUAGUGUUCUUUAUGUCACUUUAUGUUGCCACCCUAGCAAUCGUUGUUCUUUACUUUUCUUUUACUUUUGCCAUCUUUAGCAUUCUUGAUCUUUACAUUUCUUGUUCUUAUUGCCCCACCUUACUUUAACUUUACACAUUGUCAUUUUCAUCAUUCUUUACAUCACUUUGGUUCUUUGGCUCACACUAACUCUAGUGUCACUUUACUUUACGUUUUCAAAUGCCACUCAAUCUAUGUCAUUGUGCCACUCGGUUCUUUCGGCUCACUUUAGCACUCACAUUUUCUCUCAUGCAUACAUAUAGGGUUCUAACAUUCAUAAGGUUCUCAACCAUCACAUUUGGCAAGUUGUAUUUACAAUCAUGCAACAUCACAUUUUCAUCAUCGCUUUACCCUAAAAUGCAUGCAACAAAUAUGUAACAUAUGCUCAAUUGAAUGACACAUUAGGCAUAGAGGGAAGUUCAACGAGUUUGAGAAGCACCACCCACCUCGUAGGCUUUCAAAGGUGCUCCGAUGAUUUUCUUGGGAUUUUUAGACUUCUCGUUCUUUACCUGCGGCAAAAUGAAGCCAAAUUAGGCUUAUUUGGCCAUAACUUUACAUUGGCUUUUCGUAAUAUUAAUCCGAGCGCACCAAUGCGUCGGAAAUACCCCCAAUUAGAUUUCUAGAGGGUCAAUUGCACUUAGAAAUCCCUAUGAGCAAAAACCCCAAUUUUGGUGCCCUAACUCCAUAGCAUCAUCAAACCUAGGGUUUGAUCUCAAAGAGAAGCAAAAGUAGCUUCAAUAUACUCUAAAGAGUUCAUCUAAACCAUUCCUAGCUCAUUCCAAACCCUAGUUUGGAUUUCACCAUGAAAGGGGUCGAGCUCUCCUUCAAGCUUUACCUCCAACACCAAACCCAUGGUCUUGAUCUCAAAGGAAGCAAAAGAAAAGCUUCACAUACUCUAAAAGCUCCUUAAAAAUCAUUUCUAGGUCAUUUGGCUCUCGCAUUAGGGUUUUAGCAUGAUUAGGGUUGAAGCUUACCUCAAAGCUUUCCCUAACUUGCACUAGAGAGGAAGAAGAUGAAGUGGCUUCACUUCAAUGGCUUCUCCUCCACCUUCUUUUCCCUCUUUUCCUUUGUCUUCUUCUUCUCCUCCUUCUUUGUAUUCUAGAGAGAGAAAGAGAGGAGAGAGUGUGAGAGGGAGUGGAAUGAGAGAAAAGCCCUCAUGUCCCUCAUACAUAACCAUUGGGCUGCAAAAAUGCUAAUAAACCCCUCAACUUUCAUCUUAUUCAACUGCCUGGACUGGGCAGAUUUCGGGCUCGGGGACCGGUCUCCCCGACUAGGGACCGGUCUCCGAGAGCUCUCCCAGCGCAGCCAGAGCUGCUGCGCGCAAUGCGACCGGUCUCUCUUUGAGGGGACCGGUCUCUCGGGGACCGGUCUCUCAGGCAGGGACCGGUUCCCGAGAGCUAAUUCCUCAGGACUUAGCCGAUUUUUCGGCUGUCUCACUUCAUACGCGUUCGGGGACCGGUCUCUCCUACCAGGGACCGGUCCCCGAGAGCUCAAAACUGCAGAAUGCAGAUUUGAUUCUAUAGCUCUCGAAAACCUCCCGUAACUCACUUUUAAUCAUUUUAACACCUUCGGACUUUCCGAAGUGUACCGUCCUCGCACUUUGGUCAAUUUGACUAAAGUUCGACAUUUUUAUUUUCCGAAUUUUCGGUAUAUUACAACCUGUUAGCAGGUUAAAGCUGAAUAUCGACUUCCUGCAGGAAAACUUCAGAGCUUACCCAUACCAGUGUGGAAAUGGGAGAAGAUUACUAUGGAUUUCAUUGUUGGAUUACCUCGCGCACAGGCAGGUCAUGAUGCGAUUUGGGUAAUUGUGGAUAGAUUGACCAAAUCUGCCCACUUUAUUCCAAUUCAUACAGUUUGGUCGGGGGAGAGACUCGCACAAGUGUACCUUGAGGAAAUUGUGCGAUUACAUAGAGUACCUGCCUCUAUUGUUUCAGAUCGUGACACCCGAUUCGUAUCACAUUUUUGGAGAAGUUUACAGGAGGCCCUGGGUACCUGGUUGGAUUUUAGUACUGCUUUCCACCCCUAGAGUGAUGAGCAGUCUGAGCGUACCAUCCAGACCCUUGAAGAUAUGUUGCGGGCCUAUGUGAUUGAUUUUCAGGAUAGUUGGCCACAGUUCCUACCGAUGGCUGAAUUUGCUUAUAACAAUAGUUAUCAAACAAGUAUUCAAAUGGCACCGUUUGAAGCCCUUUACGGUAGAAAGUGCAGAUCACCACUACAUUGGAGUGAAGUGGGAGAGAGAUUAGUUUUGGGUCCAGAUGUGUUGCAGGAGGCUGAAGCUAAAGUUCGACUUGCACGAGAACGUCUAUUGACAGCUCAAAGUCGACAAAAGAGCUAUGCGGAUAAACGUCUGCGAGAAUUGGAAUUUCAAGUUGGCGAUCAUGUAUUCCUAAAUGUUUCACCAACAAAAGGAGUUAAGAGAUUUGGCAUUCGAGGGAAGUUGAGUCCUUGAUUUAUUGGACCCUACGAGGUGUUGGAACGGAUAGGGCCGGUAGCGUAUCGGCUUGCGUUGCCGCCGAACCUAUCAGGAGUGCAUAAUGUGUUUCAUGUAUCCACAAUUCGAAAAUAUAUUUUUGAUCCAACCCACAUAUUGGAAAGCACCCCAGUGGAUUUACGAGAAGAUAUGAGCUUUGAGGAACAUCCAGUGAAAAUACUAGCUUGAGAAGUGAAACGGCUUCGAAACCGCGAGAUACCCUACGUGAAGAUCCUUUGGAGCAACCAUGACAAACGAGAAGCCACGUGGGAAUUGGAGAGUACAGUGUUAGAGCAUUAUCCCCACCUUUUCUCGACGGAAUCUUGAGGUAGUUGGUUAAAGUUUCGCGGACGAAACUCCUUUUUAGGAGGGGUGAAUGUAAUACACUGAACUUAUGCAAAUUGUGAUGUUCGAGUGUGUAGAAGGAUAUUUGGAGCUAUCCUACAUCUUCUAAAGGGUUUAGAGAAGAUAUUGGACAAGUUUGAGACUGAUCGGAAGGCCAGAAGCAAGAAAGUGUAUUGUUCUGGCGAAAUUAAGCUUUUUCUGAUGGUGUACCGGUACAGCCAUCAUCGUGUACCGGUACACAAUGGCAGAAACGUGGCAGCAAGGCUAUUUUGAUAUUUUCACAUUUUAUACUUAUCUACUUAGCUUCAGCUCGACCCCUGGAGCCUCUUAGAUGCUGCUAGAGAUCAGAGAAGCUGCCCUGCACCUCUUCCUCUUUCUCUCUCUAGGGUUUUUCUCUCUCUAUAUAGAAAUCGAAGAUUUAGCUCGUUUUCGUCGCCUCGCUUGUUCUUCACUAUUUGCGAGUGUCGCAAAGCUUACGUGGACGUAUAAGGGAGCAUUUUGGAAGGCUUUUCGCAGCUCUGAACUAGUAGUUUACUGAUUGGAAGCUUGAGAAGGUAAUCGACUCAAUUAUUCCGUAAUCGAGGUUCUAUUAGUCGAGUAGUUUGUUGAUUUUGGAUUUUUGUUGUUCCAGCUGAGUGAAAAGAGGUUUUGCUGUUGUAACAGGGUCGGAUAUUAUAGCUUAGCUCAGUUGGGACUAAUUUUAUGAUCUAAGAAGGUAAACUACUUCUUUUCUUCAUUGUUUGGGCACGAAUUCGACGAUAAAAGAGCUGAUUUUGGGAUCAUUGUUCGCAGCAGAUUUUUGAAUUAAAUUGAGCUUAAUUGGUAAUCUUGGGGACUGGUUUAGAAAGUGUUCUAACCUGAGGUAAGCAGGAAUUUCAGUUGGAAAACUAAUUUCGCAAGAAUUCAGCCAUAAUAGCUUGUAUACAAGCAUAUUGACGCCGUUUUGAUGUUGUUUGCAGCGAGAGUGAGAUCAAGCCUUGGAUCGUCUUUAGCUGACUUGUGAGGGCUCUUGGAGGCUUAACUUGAGGUAUUAAACUAGCCCAAAAUCAGGAUUCAAGCUAUUACUUUGUACUAAGUGCGAAUUAUGCCAAAAUUGGACAUUUCGGUUGUAGUAUUGAUGCGAUUUUCGUGCUUUGUUUUUAGCAGGGUUGCGGACUAGUGGAGCUGAUUUCGGGACUCUUGUGGACUAAAUUUGAGUCUAGUAAUAGGUGGGUUUGAGCUAACCAGAACAAGUGAAGCUCCCCUAUGUUCUAUAUGUUAUUGUAGAAGUGGUAUAGUUGUGUGCUUAUGUGAUUGAUAAAGGACUUGAAACUCAUCAUCAUAUUGUUUGACAUAUUUGAAAUGAAAUCUCUAUGAAGUAGAGAACACUCAUGUAUAAAGUAUUUAUGUUUAUGUUUAACUCAGUUGAAUAACUAAUGGACAAGUUAAUAUGUUCCUAGAAAGAAGAGAACAAUGACAUUCCGUUGACUUUAUUGAUUAGAAAAUAGAGAACAAUGACAUGCCUUGUGACUAUAAUGAUAAUGUCAUGAUAGUGGAAAGCUUCUAAUGCCAUAUGUAAAUUAGCAUUACUCUCAUAUGUUUACUGAUCUAGUGGACACUAGCUAUUGUUAAUAUUCGUUAUAUUGGAAAUUCCGAUCAAAGGAUCGAGAGUGAGAACAUUGCAAGAUAAAACAUGAUGAUUGAGAUAUAUUGGACUUUGGACUUUGCUUGCUUGCCAUUGUGCUCAUUCGCACACGCUUGUGAGGGUAGCUCCCUACAACCCGGCACUCCGGAGUUGGUCUACGCGACAGUUGCUCGUCCGUGCGGGAUUGGAUGCCGAAGUGGAUUGCCGUGGGGAGUGUAUACUACCACGGGGCCAUUAGGCGCGGCGCAAGCCGGACUACCUUGGGUAGUUCCUUAUGAAUGAAAUGUAAAUUCUAAAUGACAGUAAUGAAUGAUUACCAGUUAAAAUGUACGGUAUUUACUUACACGUUCAUGCUUAUGUUUAUGUUAUGUUCAGGCUUACAGUAAUUGCUAUGCUUUUAUUAUUCAGAUGAUUUAUUACUAUAGAAAGUAUAAUUACAUGUUGCUUACAUGUUCAUUAUUUGUUAGCAUUGGAAAUAUAUCAUGCAAUUACUGCUUUUACUUUCAUUCAGUACAUCAUGAGCCUAGUGGUGUAAUUCGCCGAGGCUGGCGGCUUACCCACUGGGAACUAUUGUUAAUAGUUCUCAUGCCCUUUUUAUGAUUGUUUUUACAGAGCCAUCGACAUGAGAGGCUAGGGAUCGUGGCAAGGGAGUCGCGUCUAGCUAGACACUGCUAGGGGCUUGCUAGUUGAUCACCUUGCUACUCGGGCUACGGCCGAGGGUGAUGUCCCUGUGUAUAGAGAGACUGCCAUUGUACAUGUUUUUGAGUGGCCUUUGAUGUAUAUGAGUUUUUAGAACCAGAAAUUGUAGUUUUCUUACUUCUUUUUGAUGUUGAGAUUUUGGGUUGUAUACUCUCUGUUCUUUUGUUGAUGAUAUUAUCGACUUGUACUUUGCUCUGAUAUCAGGAUAGGAUCUUCUAUGUUUUCUUCCUAUCGAUUUUCUUCUUUGUAGACGCCUUAUAUACUGCAAGUGUAUGGUGGGUCUGUGUAUGUACCGGAUAUGCUUCCGCUGGUACCCAGGCGUGACACUUGUACCGUCUCCUUUCUUAGCCGUUCUUUCACUUUUGACGGUCAAUAUCUCUCACGUUUCUUUUUUGUCUCUUUUGAGGCAUUAAUUAGGUUAUUUAUUACCGCCAUCUUUUCACCAUUAAAGCUAUUUUUCAUAAUCCUAUCCGGCGGCUCUCCUUCUCUUCCCUCUUUCUUUUGCCUAUCAUGCUUCAUUGCUUUUUUUCUUCCCUACGCUUCUUCUCUUCUUCAUCCUUGUCUGGAGUUUUCUCUUCACUAUUUCUUCUUUUUUCCAUCGAUUUUCUUCUCCUUUUUUCUUCCAUUUUAGCUAAUGGCUCUACUUCCUCCUCUUCCUUCGUCUCCUUCCCUUGAUUAUACUCUCCUUUGCCAAUUUGUCGAAACAAAUCCUUCUCGAUUUAUACUAGGACCUUCAUUCAUGGACGAUCCUAUUCCUGAAGAUUUUUCUUUUUCUACCGAGGGUCUUCCCCUGAUGGCUGAUGCUAUUCAUCUGUCUUCUUGGUAUGUUUCGACGACUUCAAAAUCGCCUGGGAAGAACCCUCGGACUUAUUUGAGUGCUUCGGAUGCCUAUCUCGCCUGGUUAGACCGUGUCGAGGCAUCUUAUGCUGAUUUCUGACGCGAGAUCAGGAUUUAUGAAGCCAUUCAACUAUGUAGAACACCUCCUAUAGUCGACAACCUUUUUUUAGCUGUGGCUCUCUGUUUCUGAUCCCCUAUUUCCAAUACCUUUCUUUUCAGAAGACGACCUUUUACUUCCACUCUCCUUGAUGUGGCAAUGAUUGUUGGUCUACGCCUUCAAGCAUUACUCUUUUGAUGGCCUAUAACCCUGAUGUCAUAAAUGAUUUUAAGGCCCAUCUUGAUUUGAAAGCCGAUCUGGCCUAUACCAAAUUUGUAAUAUACCGAACUUCUACAAUCAUAAAGUUUUGGUAGGAACUGACUUAAAAAGCUAUCAAAAUAAUUUCGGUGAAGUUUGGAGAGCAUUCGAGUGUUUUCGGCGCAAAUUGGAUGCGAAAACGAACUCGGAAAGCUGAAAUCUACCUAGGUUACAGAAUUUGUAUUGAGUACCGGUACUGGGGUUUUGAAUACUGGUACGCAAUACAAAAUGAAAAAUUUGAGCUCUCGGGUUCUGAGGAGCCAAGUUUGGGUACUGGUACUAAAUUUAUAUUAGGUACCGGUAGUGGAAACUGAGUACCGGUACGCAGUUCUGCCAAAUGCAGAUUUUGAAGGAUAUUUUAGCAAAAUCAAGUGUAAAUAAAAAUAGCAUGAAAUACUAUUUUUAUUGAUUUAGAAACAGUAUAAGAUAAUUUAGAAAUGGUUUGUGGUGAAAUUGGAAUAAAAGCAGGAGAUGUAGAAUUUUCUGUAAGGAACGGGGCUAAUCUUUUAGCAGAAAAUUUACAGUGUCAGAAAAUUAUGAAAAUUUGAGAAUAUGUCGGAAUUAUUUUUUUGAGGCUAGAUUUAAAGUUUCAUGUCAUUCCGACACAUAAAAAGUGAAAAACAGAAUCUGACUGCUAUCUGCUAGAUAUUCUAGUCGGUAGACUUUUCGGUGACAAAAAAUGGUUCAAAACAAAAAAAAGUUAAGAUCACGUUCUUCUAAUUGAUUUUAACCGAGCCUCAUUGUCAAAUUUGAGAAGAAACAGACAUUCAGAAGGGCUCCGGCGAAAAGUAUUAGAUUCUGAACUAGACUAAACUGAAAAUUAUAAUAGUGUUGGGGACCUAUAUGUAAACCCACACAAUCUCUCUCUCUUCCUGGUUCUCUCCCAAUAUGUGAGAGGAGUGGAGGCUUCUAUUUCUCUUCCACACACACACCCACAACAUGAGAGCUUCUCUCUCUUUCUCUCUCUCUCUAGCAAUUUCUCCAUUAAAGAGAAGAAGUUGGAGGAGAUUAACUUGGAGAAGAAGCCUGAUGAAGAAAGCUCUUUAAAUGAUGGAUCAAGUCUCUUGACCAUGAUGCCCAAGGUGAGAUUUCAUGUAUUUAAGUUAGGGUUUGGAUUAAACCCUUUACAAUUAGUGUAUUUCAUCUCCAUAUAAUUCUAAACAAGAUUGAGUAAAGGUUUACCGUAGAUUUUAGUGUUCUUGAGGAUUCAUGAAGCCUAGGGCCUGGAUUUAGAGCUUUUGUCCCUAAGGGAUUUGGAACUAAAUUGACCUUGUAAAACCUUAAUUGAAGGAUAAUUCGACGUGGAGGACAACUUCGUUUUGGAUUACGACAAGGUUACGACGUCCGAUUGAGAGAUUUGCAGAAUUUGGUUUGUUAGGCUUGGGUCGAGAUGAAUCGGCGUUGGAAAUCAAAUUGCUUGGAAAUCCUAGCUAUUGGUAAUUAGCAAAGGUUGGUGCUGCUCUCCGGAAUGGUUGGAUUUAUCCCUAUGUCUGAUUCCUUUUGUUGAGCAUAUAUAUAUAUAUAUAUAUAUAUAUAUAUAUAUAUAUAUAUAUAUAUAUAUAUAUAUAUAUAUAUAUAUAUAUGAGAGAUAAAUUGAGGAGUCAAAUUAUAUUGUAGAUGAUCUUUUUUUCUCCUCUCUUUAUNAUAUAUAUAUAUAUAUAUAUAUUGAUUAUGUAUGAUAGGGUUCAAGUAUUCUUUUGUGAUAGAAAUGUUACAAUUCUCUACCACCCCGGGAAGGCAAAUGUAGUCGCCGAUGCCCCUAGCUGGAAGUCGGUGGAGAACCUCGCGCAAAAAGUCACGACUCAGGGUCCUCUGUGUAGGGAGAUGAAACGAUUGGAUCUCGAGAUAGUGACUCCAGGGGUUCCGGCUGUGUUAUCGGCUCUCGUUGUCCAACCGACCUUGUUGGAGAGAAUCAAGAAAUUCCAAUAUCUCGAUUUGAUCUAAAAAAGGCUAUUUUGUAGAAAAUAGGUUUUGGACGAAAUCCUAGCCUCUAGGUUUUCUCAAACAUGUAUUCUCAUGAUGCUUGAUGUGUUAGAGAACCCCAAUAGCUUAUUUAUAGACUUUAGAAUCAAUUGGAGUCGGAUUAGAAAGUUUUCACGAAUUUACACUAUGUACCGGUACACUUUUAAGCUGUUACCAGUUACACGAUGACGGAACGAAAAACUGACGAAACACUGAAACCGGUUACAUGUUGAUGGUUGUACCGGUACACAUUUUGUACCGGUACACUUCUAAUGCUGUACCGAUACACUUUGCAAAUUUCAGUAUUUUACAAAGUUUCGGGUUUCGCAAAGUUCCGAGACACUUUCUAAUCCACUUAAUCUUUGAUAUUAUGAUUCUAAUGCCUACAAGUAUAUGUACAAGUGUAUAAAGAGAGAUACAUCUAGUAUAUGUAUUGGGAACUGGUCCCUUUGGCCCGGGGACCGGUUGCAUCGCGCGUCGCCUCAACCACCAGUUGAUGGGAUCGGUCUCUCCCUGCCAGGGACCGGUCUCCGAGAGCAAACCCGCACAGACUAUGUUCGGGAACCGGUCCCUCACCCCUAGGGACCGGUCCCCGAGAGCAGAAUCUACCCAGUGCAGGUUUGCACUAUUUGCUCUCGUGGACUCAACUCCAAAGCACUCUUUGUGUUUUGGACACCUUUAGCUUCUCCGAAGGAUACCCACUCGACAAUUAGUCGAUUUUGAGCGAAGUCCAACUCUCCGAUUUCGAGAAUUCACUUCCUUACAUUAUCAGUCUUCGCUUCACUGGGAGAUGGUUGUUCGUGCGAUCUGCAAGGAUGGAGUGAGGACGAAUCUUGCCUAUGUGGAAUCAAAAGACUUGCAACCAUAGUAUCACCUGUUGUCCUUGGUGAUGUGCUACAACGUUCAACCGACAAUUGGCGCUAAGAGGAUUUGUUGGGAUCGACUUGUUCUUCUCUAUCUACUUGGCCACCCCGAGCUCGCAGAUGGUCUAAAUCUGAACAUUCCGUUCCUUAUGUGGCAACGAAUGGUGCAUGUAAUACAGUCUUCGGUGCAACGUGAUGUCACGCCCCGGGACCCAGCGGAAGUCCGCCCAGUACGUGUCGAGACUCGCCAUACGUUAAAACAUAUAAGGCUUCUACAAAACUACUAUAAAUAAAGUGAUAAUAAAAAGACAUCUAGGAGUAUCAGAGCAUAGUACAAUAUCUAGAUUCUAAGAGAUAUAGAGGCAAAUAAAAAAGCUAACAAAUCCACUAAGAGUAACCAUAAAGUAGUACAAUAAACAUCCAAAACACAAGUGCUAAAAGUACAACAAUGGUGGUCUCUAUACAUGGAUACAAAACCUCUUAUUCUCAACUACAAAUAAAAAGAAGAGUAAACCACCUAAUAAGCAAAAGAAACGCUCCUCGCUAGCUAGCUAAGCGAUUCCCUUGCCGCGAUCCUGUGCCUCCACCGAUGUAGAGGGCUCUGAAAUAGAAUCAUAAAAUAAAGGGCGUGAGACUAUUAAAUAAUAGUUUCCAGUGGGCAAUUACUGACUUCAGUGACGCCACUAGGCCCAAAAGCUGAAAAGGGGUAAGUACGAGUAAAGCAAUAUGAACAGUAAGCAAAUAAACAUGAAAGUUUACUACAACAUGAUAUCUCUACUUAGCAUGAAUUUGUAUAAGUAAGAAUGCUACUGUACCAUAAAUAUGCAUAAGCGCAACUACUAUGACGUCCACAGAUAACUAGUAAAUUGUCAAUGUUUACUAACUUGUCAAAUUAUUCAUUUACAAAUUGAUUCCACUUGUUCCAAAUCUCAUAGGACCUACCCGUGGGUAGUCCGGCUUGCACAGUGCCUAAUGGCCCUGUGGUAGUCAACAUCCCCACUCUAGGAAUGAGCCUCCCCUACGGCAUCCCAUUUCGGCUCCGAAUCCUGCACGGGCGAGCAUGUGUCGCGAUGGCUAUCUCCGGAGUGCCGACUUGUGGGAAGUGACCCUCACAAGCAUGUGCGAAUGAGCACAAUGGUAAGCAAGCGUAAAAGUCCGUCUCGAGCCACAAGUCAUCAUGUCUAAAACAUGGAAUGUAGCAAAUCUCUCAAUGGCCUAUCUGUCACGCCCCCGACCACCCGCCUAUUUGGCCGGGUCGCGGCGCCGCAACAGAUCGCCGAACGGACAGGGUUUCCCCUGUACUGCGGACAGAGUCUCCCCUGUACGUUCAAGGCAUAGCAAUCAAUACAAUGUACAAAGUUCCAACCAGGAACACAUUUCAAUCAAGAUUGCAUAAUGGAAGGUAUCAAACAACAUAACACAUCUUAUGUUAUUACAUGCAUUCACAUUCAUACAUUUUACAUCCCAAAUACUUAUUACAUUUAACUUCCAAAUACAAUUCGAUUUAACAUGAUUAUUACAAUCCUAUUCCUUUCAUUUUCUUACAUCUUUAAGAAAAGCCGACUCAGGGUACCGCUAUCUCUGGUCUUGGUGGUAGGGCGCUAACUAUGAUGCUACGCCCUUGCCUCGCGCCGCCGCGCCGCUCACGUGUGAACCUGUAACACCCCAAAACCACGUGGGGUGAGAACCAACUCCAUGGUUCCCAGUGGGUACGGCCACCCAAGGGAAAAGCUCGACCAAUAGGUCCAAGGGAGGCAACUGCAAGUUAGUUCAAUAAACAGAUAGAUAUAUAUCUUGAUUAUGCAACGAAUAAAACCAUGCAUUGCCUCACGAAUGCAAUAAUGUAAUGCUAUAUGCAAAUCAUGCAAUAAUAACUAUGCAACCAACUAGUAGUUCAUUCGACACUACUUUCAAUUCUGCUAACCAUAGCUCAUCCAUUCGAUAUCUAAGGUUUCCUCUAUCUUUGAUUCUUGUCAAUCACCGUUUUAAUCAUAAAGUUUCAUCUACCUUUACAAGGCUAACCACCCGACUCGGUCUUGAGUCAAUCGUCUGCGGAGUACCGCACUAGAACCAGGCUCGAGGCGAUGGACGUCUCACAUACACCUCAGCCCUAAAUCCUCUCGACUAGGAUACCAAAUCCAUAAUUCAUAAUGCAUACUUGUUGUACACGCAUUUGGCUAUGACCCAAUCUUACCGGUUAACCAUGUUAACCCCAAUAACUCACUACCAAAAUCCCUUAAUAACGGAGGACUCGAACCUCCCUGGGGACCGUCAACUGGUGGGACUUUACCACGCCCAGUGGUGACCAACUCCGGAGCGCACCGCCCGAGGGGGAGCUACCUCCCUCAAGCCAAGACGUAACGUGAGUAUCGAUCCAAUCCUCAACUUGAGGAUUCAUAGCCACUCGUCACAAUGCCAAUGUCAUGAUAGGUCUCUACCUAUUUAAUCAUGCCACUCUCUAUGUCAACUUGGACCAAUGUCAAUAUGGUUAAACUAUGUUUAACAAUCACUUUCUUGAUGCCAAUCAAGUCUCUAUUGUCAUUGUUACCCUUGUUUACUAAUGUUCAAGUCCAACCCUCACAUUUACACAAUAAUAGGGUCCUAACAUACAUGAAUGACACCAGAAUAUAUACGAUCAAUCACCACAAGUGUUUGCUAGGUUCAAGAUGCUAGGUUUAAUGCCACUCGAUCUAAUAUAUAUAUAGAUUGUCCACUAUGUUCCACAACAUGGCAAUAUGUCAUCGAGUAUGUUUUUCUAUUUAACAUAAUCCACAAUAUGUAAAUUCAUAAUAUAUCAUCAUGCACAUAUACCACUAGCAUCACAUGAUUUGUCAACAUACAUAUAGUCAUUAUCCAAAAUAGUCCAUACUUAGCAUCUCAUGCAUUCUUUUAGCACUUAAUUCAUUAUGCAUUACAUUUAGCAUAUUCUACAACAUGUCAUCAUACAUUCCUUUUAUGAUGUUCUUAUAAUGCUAACAUUCAUACGCCCUUUAUAUUAUGCAUUCAAAGCAUUAAUCAUAUGCAUUUAUCUAGCAUUUCUAUAGUAUGUUAACAUGCAUUCUUUUCACAUUCUUAUAUUAUGUCAAUAUGCAUCAAUAUGAAAUCUCAUUUCUUAGACAUAAAGGGCGACCUAGUCGCUUCGGUAAGCACAACCCACCUCAUUUCGCAUUCCGAUUGCUUGUCGACACUUGCAAUCGGCCUCCCGCGGCACCCGGCACCCGGUUUGGCCCGAUCUCUCACGCGACCACCCGAACGGCCUCCAAUUCACGAUCCGAAAAUUAAAGGUCUUCGGUUAUGUGCCACGAUGCUUCAAAUCCAUUUUCAUGAAUUUACGAUAUCGCCUCGGCCCUCCCGGCGGACCCGAAGCCUAAACGUCCAUUUCUUUAAUAACUUUGUAACGGCUCGUCGGAUUGCCGAACCGUCUUCGCCAACGCGUUCGUUUACCUAGCAAUUUGGUUUACGGAGGGUCAAAUGAGAUCAAACCCAUACAUUUUACAAAACCCCAUUCGGAGCCCUAACAUGCAAUUAACCUCUAAAUAAUCCAAAUUAAAUGGAGCAAACAUGUUUAGAAUGCUCAUUAGAGGCUAUUAGAACACUUAAAACUAAGGAUUAAGCCAAAUCCUAAAAGCUUACCUCAAUGUGAACGCCGCGACGAAAACACACCGUUGCAACGGCCGCACGAAAGCCCGAACCGACGCCUCCAAUGCGUUCGCAAGCUCGCUCUCCACCAACCCUCAAAUUAUUAGAGAGAGAUUUGGAGAGAUAAGAGAGAAAUCUAGAGAGAGAAAUAAGGUUUUCUCUCCCCACACCAUGAACGCAUGGUGGUGGUGGCGGUCGGCUGCUUGAGGGAAGAAGAAGACAUGAAGUCUUCUUAUAUAGUCAACACCUCAAAACACUAUUCAUCCAGGCAACUUAAAAUCUGAUAACUUUCGCCGGAGCUCCCUGAAUGUCCGUUUGAGCUCAAACUUGACAGUCAUGUUCGGUUUUACUUAACUUAACAAGCUGACGAUCACUGGUUCAGUUUCGACCCCGUUUGGUCACUGAAAACUGUACCGAACUGCAAUCUUUAUCAGAUAGCUUUCGAAUUUUAUUUCUCACUCUACGGGUGUCAGAAAAAUAUGAAACCUUAAAUCUAGCCUCAUAAAAAUAUUUCUGACUUAUCCUCCAAUUUUCAUAAUUUUCUGAGACUGUGCAUUUUCAGCUAAUUUAUCUGUCCCGUUUCCAACAGAAAAUUCUAAAUCUUCUGUUUUCAUUCCGAUUUCAGCACAAGUCACUUCUGACUUAUGUUUUACUUCUACAAAUCCAAUAAAAAUAGUUUUCCACACUAUUUUUAUUUAUUUUUUUAUUUUUUUAUACCAAAAUCUGGUAUGUUACACUAUCACUAUGUCAUCAUGUCUAAAACAUGGAAUAUAGUCGAUGUCACAAUGGCCUAUCACUAUAUCUCUAUGUUGUAGUUUUACAGUUUACUAGUUCGGUGCUCCUUUAUGGCACUUUUGUUCACUUUGCCCAAACAUGAGUUUAGUGUUCAAGAAUACAUAAUUCGAGUCAUUUUUAUCAUAGAGGACAUAUUUCCAACUUACAAUAUAGAAUACUUUUCACAUGCAUGCCUAAUACACAUAUAGCUCUACUAUAUAGAGUUGAGUUUUCACGAUACAUAACACAUGAAUUUUAAGUAUCCUAAAAUUCAUAAAAAUUCUAUCUAGCAUGAAUAUGCAUACAUUUCGAUGAUACGACAAGUAUAAAACACAUAGGGGAUAUUUCUCCCCUAUUUCAUGAAGUCAAACCCACCGUGACUUCUCGAAACCCUUCGUUUGCGCCGACGAAGGUGUCCGCUACUCUCCUAGUACCCUAAAGGUAACAAAAUGAGGGAUAUACGAACGUUACGAACAAUCAUAAGCUCAAACAUUAAGCAACUCAAGCAUAGGUGAAGGAAACUCACCGAAUGUGAAGAAAACCCCUCACGAUCUCCAAAAGGGAGUUAGAGGCCUUCUAAUCCAACCUAAACAAAGGUUCUACGAAGAUCAAUUGGGCUCCAAAACUCUCAAAUCCAAAAUCCCCAUUACUAACCCUACUAUGCUCAAUCUAGGGUUUCCUUAGUAAAAGCGACUAAAACAUGAAUCAAGAAGUAGAUUAGGCUUACUAACCUCACAAGAGCUCCAAAACAAGGCUCCAAGUAAGUUAGGGUUGAAGAUCCUCCCUCCACAAAGCUCCAAUCACGAGCUCAGGACUUCUCCCAUGGUAGAAACCAACAAGAAGUAAGAAGAGGCAAAGAGGAGGAGAUCAAAAACUAGCUAAAACCAUCAAAAAUGGAGAAGAAAUCAAAGGGAAGGAGGCUCACCUUGUUCUCCACUGGUUAGGGCUCAAAAAAGCUGUCAAAGGGGGCUGGGGUGGGUUAUAUAGAGUUUGUAACAAUUGUAAAUACACCCCUCCGCAAAAACAGCUCGCACUGCAUUGUGUACUGGUACACGAAAAAGUGUACCGGUACAAAUCCUGCGAGACAGCAAACCCGAGCCUCGGGUUGGCCAUUCACCACAUCUAUACCGGUACAACCAUCAAGGUCUACCGGUACACUUUUGUACCGGUACAACCAUCAAGUGUUAAGUCUUGUGUGUUCGCAAGUUUCGUGAAGUGACUCGGAGUCUUGAUGGAUCGAUGCGUAUCGUCGAAGAUCGAAGAGUCCAAGACUUCGAAGAAAGCAGAAUUAACUCACUAUGUGAAUCACGAUGCCCAGGUAAGCUUUUAAUUCAUGUUAUGGUGAUUCAUACUUAGUUGUAGGCAUAUAUUAGAAUCAUAAUACCAAAGUUUACUGGAUUAGAAAGUGUGUUGGUACUUUGCAAAACCCAAAACCGUGCAAAAAAUAAGUUUUUGCAAAGUGUACUGGUACAACAUCAGAAGUGUACCAGUACACAUUCUGUUUCGGUACAACCAGUGACUUGUCACCGGUUACAGUAUUACGCAGGUUUUCUCUUCUAUUAUCGUGUAACCGGUAAUAGCUUAAAGUGUAUCGAUACACAAUGUAAUUUUCGGAAAAAUUUUCCAACCCGACUCUAAUUGAUUCUAAAGUCUAUAAAUAAGCUAUUGGGGUUCUCUAACUCAUCAAGCAUCACGAAAAUACAUGUUUGAGAAACCCUAGAGGCUCGGAUUUCAUCUAAAACCUAUUUUCUACAUAUUAGCCUCUUUUAGGUCAAAUUGAGAUAUUAGAAUUUCAUAUCUAUAUGUCGAUUUGAUCUUCACUUCGCUUGGAGUUCACUUCCCUGAUUUUCAUCGAUACUCUAAGCGAAGGAUCACUGUACACAUGAUGUUCUUCAUGACGGCGUCGUGGAUUCAGCGUGAUUGACGGCGGUUCGUGGAUUCGGAUCGUGAGCUUCGUGGAUUCGGAGUGGAGGCGUUUUGUGGAUUCGGAACGUGGCGUUCGUGGAGUCGAACGUGGGGGCGUGGACAACCCAGAGGAUUGCGCGAGAUUCAUAAGAGAUUAAGAGAGGUCGAGUCCGUGGAGUCGGUAAUCACCUUGUAAUCUUUUCUCUUAGUGAAUUAUUUUUUCACGUGUUGGUCCCGUGGGUUUUUCUCCAAGUUGGAGUUUUUCCACGUAAAUCUCGGUGUGAUUUUUAUUUUCCGCAUUUAUUUUUAUCGCGUUGAGAUUUGUGGUUUUUGGCCGUUACACCUAUUCACCCCCCUCUAGGUGUUAGAUACAAUCUAAAUAGAUCCUUGGGCUCCUCAAACUUUCAAUUGGUAUCAGAGCGGGAUCUAGAUAAAUUGUUAUCUAAUGGCCGAAGGCGGUAACAUUAAUCGACCACUACUCUUCAAUGGCACGAAUUAUGCCUAUUGGAAAGUUCGCAUGAGAGCUUUUCUAAUCGCAAUCGAUGAGCGGCUGUGGAAAGCUAUUGAAUUCGGAUGAAAACAUCCUACCGAAGUUGUCGAUGGUGCUACCGUCCCUAAACCGCGGAACAAGUGGACAAAAGAUGAGAACGAGUCAUCUUCGUUUAACGACAAGGGCAUAAACGCUUUAUUUAACGCAUUGUCGCAAACGGAGUUUACUCAAGUAUCGGCAUGUGAAACAGCAAGGAAAAUUUGGGAUACUCUACAAGUUACGCAUGAAGGAACUAGCUUGGUAAAGGUUUAAAAAUUACAAAUGUUGACAAGCAAAUUUGACUCAAUUUUUAUGGAAGAAAACAAGAUCUUUACCGAGUACUAUACUCGAUUUCAAGACAUUGUUAAUACAUGCGCUAACUUGGAAGAGAGAAUCCCGGAUUCUAAGAUUGUUCGAAAAAUUCUUGACUCUUCCGGAACGCUUUCGGGCAAAAGUUGCCGCGAUCGAAACUGUUAAGCAUCCGGACGAGAUGAAAGUCGAAGAGUUAGUAGGUGCUUUGCAAACUUAUGAGAUGACUUUUCCUACUAAUCAAUCUUCUUCGAAGUCUUUUUCUAAAAGUAAAGGGAUUGCACUCAAAUCGACAAAGAAAGAAGACGACAACUCGGAUUCCGACGGAGAUAUUUCGCUCGCCAAUUUCGAACAUCAAUUAGCGCUCCUAACGAAGAAGUUCCGACGGAAUUUUCGGAAGAUUAAAUCGGACAAGGCUUUAUCGUCUAAGCAACAAUCUUUUUCUAAAUCAUCUUCAUCUUCUAAAUCUAAGGAUAAGAAAUUUGCAAAAUCUUCAAAAGAAAAAGAUGAAUUUGAAGGGAAAAUCCAAUGCUACAAAUGUAAAGGCUACGGUCACAUUACGACGGAUUGUCCUUCUAAGAAAACCUUUAGACCGAAGGCUUUGCAAGCGAAAACUUAGGAUGAUUCAACUUCAAGUGAAUCAUCUUCAAGUGACGAAGAAAAGAAUGAUUUGCUUUGUUUACUAAUACCUCUUUACCUUCGUCUAACGUUGUUUGUUUUUCCUCAAUUGUUUCUAAUUCUAGUAUUUCUCCUUCCUUGCAUGGGUCUUUAAGCGAUAACGGCGAAAGCGAGGAGGAAUCAAACGACGAGGAUAUAGCGGAAGCGUAUAAUCAACUCCUUAUUGAAUCCAAAAAGAUGACGAAACUUAAUAAGAAGUUGAGGCGUCGUUUGUUGGAUAUCGAAGAGGAAAACAACAACUUGAAGAUAAUGAAUAAAGCACUUGAGGAGGAAAAGGAAUCGAUUUCGAAGAAUAAUUUGAUCCUCCAAGAGAAGCUUGAUGAAGCGGAUUCAACAAUCAAAUCAUCUAAAAACAAGAUUGGAUUUUUGGAGCAUCAAUUUGAGGAAUCGCACAAAUCCAAUCAAUCCUUGACCGAUAAAGUUCGUCAACUAAAAUCCGAUAUUCAAAAAUUCUCUUCGGGAUCGAGAAGAAGUUGGACCAUAUGCUCGGGUUGGGUCAAACGAAUAAGUUGGGCCUCGGAUAUGAAAGAACAUGUGUUGAGAAGGUUUCAAAAUCAACUUCUAAAGUCUCAACAACUUUGAAAGAGGAGGUGUGUCAUCAAUGUGGCAUCAAAGGACACAUCAAAAGAAGUUGCCUGGAAAAGGGAAAGAAGAAUCAAUCAGCAACUUCGAAACAUCAAGCGGUACCCUCGUCUACUCGACUUCCUCCACGGAAUCAAAAGAAAAAUCAAUUAAGUCGAGCACCUCGAGGUAACCGAUUUUCUCGCACGCAAUGUCAAGUUCAACCGAACCUACAUGCAAACCGGACUUCAAAGUCUCAUCAACAAGUUCAAUCGAAGUCACCCACAACAAAACAACCAAAGGUGGAUCAAAAAUCAAAGCAAACGGCACCUAACGUCAACAAGCCGAGACAACCAACGAUCCGACAAGUGUGGAUCCGGAAAGGUGACAUCUUUCCUUGUUUUUCAUCUUAGUUUGUUUUGAUUAUUUAUGUAAUGCUUUGUUUGGUGCUUAUUGCAUAUUUUUUAUUCAUUUACAUGAUGAUUUUCGUGUGUGAAAUUUGUUUUGAGGAAAGGUGUUUGGAAAUUUAAAAUUUUUUCUUUGAGAAAGGAGACGAUUGAAAAUCUUUAUUGUGGAGAGGUUAGAAUUUUUCAAAGUGCCUUAACCGGAAUUCAUCUUGAAUUAAAUUCAUAUUAAUUAUCGGUUUUACUCCACUUUUUAUUAUUUUGACGAUAAUUGAUUAUAUGAAUUCUUAAUACAUAUAUUCAUCAAAAUUGUGAAAUCAAGUUUGAUCUUUUGGUGAUUAAUUCAUCUUUGUUGUAUGUGUUGAACAUGAUGGAUGGAUAUUCACUAAUCGACUAAAAUUUUGUCAAAAUUAUUUUCAAUUGUGAGAUUGUCUAAUUAAGGGAUAGUUUUGAAGUAUUAAAAAAAAAAUGAUACUCCUAUGUUUAAAAGAUGUGGAAAAAGUUACAUUCUAAAAAGGAGUGUGAAAACUACCACCACAUGUAGGAAAGAGCUACCACCCCGGUCGUCCGGUAAGUGUGUGAAGCUACCACAUGGAAUUUAAUUAAAAAGCCAAAACAGUUAAAAAAAAUGAAUAUUUUAGAAUUUUCGGAGUUAUAAGGUGAUAGGAUGAAAACAUGCUCAAAGAGCCACUCCCGGUGCCAUAUUAGUUAAAUCUCUAUUUUGAAAGAAUUGCGACAAAUUGGUGUCAAUUUUAUUGAAUUUCUAAAAAUCAUUUUUCAUCAACAUACAUCUUGAUGGGUUUGAAACAUUAGGUUAUUUUUUAUUUCAAAUUUUUAUGUUUCGAUGUAUUUUGACCAUAUAAGAGUUUAUUUUCAUCAUAAUGAUUUUUGGAGUACAAUUCUUAAUUUUUAUGACAUUAAUUUAAUUUUGAAGAGUUUUUGAAGGAAAAAUUUUAAAAUUUUCGAAAUCUGCGAAAGUGUACCGGUACAAAAUAACGUGUAUCGGUACAAAACACUUAUACCGCGUUAUUAUAACCGGUUACAGGGCUCGGUUCUCUUUCAAAUCUUAAUCAAAAUCUCUCCUCUCUCUCUCUAAAAUUCCCUGGUGCCUUCCUCCUUCAGAUCCACGUGUUUCCUCUCUAGACCUGUAAGUAUUUCUUUCAGAUUUGCUUAUUUCAUCCCGGUUUUGCAAUUUUUUCAAAAUUUUCCGAGUUGAAGCAUGAUCUCUAUUCUUAAUCGGUUUUUAUGCAAUUUUUUGCUGUGAAUCAGUAUUUAGACAUAUAAUCUUGCUUCUAAAACACUUAGAUCAGGUUAUAACGCUGUAUUUUUUGCUGAUCUGUAAUCUGUACCUCAAUAUACAUGAAAUUUUGAAAUUUUUAAUAAAAUAUCGUUUUUUGAUGAAAAUUUGUGCAUGAUUCUGUUAGAAAUAGCGUUAUUCUGCUUUCUAAUAAUAUUAGAAUUUUUUUUUCACUAUUUUUAGCGAAUUUUUCAAAUUUUAUUUAUGCACGGCUCACUUUUUGUAUAGGAUCAAUGGCAUUCUCGCUGGUUUUACUGCUUUUGGUGCUGAUGGCCACUGGUCGUGGUCGUGGGCGUGGCCGCGGGCGUCGAGGGACGUCCAAAAGGACUCAUACUACAGGCGAGUCACCCGGGUCUAAUCCGGAUUACCAGGCAUGUUCGCCUGAGGCUACUGAAAAACUGACUGCUUGAGUUGAUAAAGGAAAAGGAAUAGCUGGUGAAUCCUCCCGCGGAGGUGGCGCUCGUGCACGAGAGACACGAUCAAAGCAAGCCGCGGAUGUUCUACUGGAGCGGCGGAGGACAUUUCGAGCAGGUCAUGCAUUGCUGAGCGAUAUGUCAACUUCCAUGAACUAAUCCAAGAGGUUCCAGAUUUUGGUUGCUUACUUCAGAGGGUCCCCAUUGAGCCAGUUGGACGUGUUCCAGCUCGAUCUCCUUUUUGUGUGGAACUCAUUCGGGAGUUCUACAUGAAUGGGAAGAUGUGUGCUGAGGACGAAAAGACCGGGACUUAUCUUCUUGAGACCUAUGUACGUUGGGAGAGGGUUCUAGUCACUCCGCACACGAUUGGAGAGUUGUUGGGCAUAUAUGUGGACACGACAGGACUUCAUCAUACUACUGGGAUUUAUCAGUUUUCGUCUCACUGGGAGACAGUUGUUCGUGCGAUCUGCAAGGAUGGAGUGCGAAAAAAUCAUGCAUACGUGGAAUCCAAGGACAUGCGACCCGAGUAUCAUUUACUCUCCUUGGUGAUGUGCUACAAUGUUCAACCUACAAUUGGAACAAAAAGGAUUCGUUGGGAUUGUCUGGUGCUUCUAUAUCUUCUUGGACAUCCUGAGCAAGCGGACGGGUUAAACAUCAAUAUUCCCUUUCUGAUGUGGCAAAGAAUGGCACAUGUUAUACAGUCUCUAAUUCGACGUGAUCUACUUCCGUUUCCGUUGUUGAUCACGAGGAUUCUGCAAGAAUACAGAGUUGACGUGUCGUGUGAGAAGUACGACACUGGCCUUGGACCGAUCGAUGCAGUAACUUGGGCCAAGUCCGUGAGCACCUUGAAGACAUUUCAGCAAACAAAGGGAUCUUCCAGAGCAGCUUCCAGUUCCGCACCUCCACGUCAUGCAGAGCGCAAGGGAUCUUCGAGCUCAGGGGGAAGUGAUUAUUGUAGAAUCACUUCAUCAUGAGGUGCGAUCAUUAGAGAAGAAGGUGGCAAAUCUUGCUAAGAAGGUGGAGGUGGGUAUGAAGAGGAUAUUGGAGAAACUUGGGUAUAGGCAUGACGACAUUUUUCUUACUCAGCCUGCCUACACCACCUACACGAGAUCGACUUCGUGACAUCCACUAAUUCCACCAUCCACCGGUACUCCUGAGGCUGGGGGAUCUGGAGCUGGAGCUGGAGACGAUGAUGAUGAUGAUGAUGAUGAUGACGAGGACACUGAGUGACUUCGUCCUCGAGCUCUGUUUUUCUACUUUGCUUUUUAGGAUGAUGUUUAGUUUAGUUGUGCUUGUUGCUUUACUUUGCUUUUGCAUUUAUUUUCUUUUAGACCUGUAACUAUAACAUGACUACUCUUAUGCUUUCUAGUAUACUUUUUCUAUUUAUAUGCUUUGUCUUUGGCAAUUUUUUGACAAAAAGGGGGAGAGCAAUGAUCUAGUAUGCUUUUUCUAUUUAUAUGCUUUGUCUUUGGCAAUUUUUUGACAAAAAGGGGGAGAGCAAUGAUCUAGUAUGCUUUUUCUAUUUAUAUGCUUUGUCUUUGGCAAUUUUUUGACAAAAAGGGGGAGAGCAAUGAUGAACAGGUAUUGAUCAUAGCAAAGGAGAAGAAGGAAUAAAGAACAAAGGAGAAGAAGGAAUAAAGAACAAAGGGGGAGAAGGAGUGAAAUUCCGAGGAAAAGAAGGAAUGAAAAUUUGAGAACAAUGAAUGUAAGAAUGUCCAAUGAUCUCAACUUUCUAUAUCAUUUGGGAUGAAUUGUUUUGCAGAAAAUCAAGACUUCAAGACUCCUAGUUGCGUCUAAGUCAUAGAGUCUGUUAUAGGAGUUUUUGAUGUACUUUUGAGUUUCAAAUUGUAUUUCAAGACUCCUAGUUGCGUCUAAGUCAUAGAGUCUGUUAUAGGAGUUUUUGAUGUACUUUUGAGUUUCAAAUUGUAUUUCAAGACUCCUAGUUGCGUCUAAGUCAUAGAGUCUGUUAUAGGAGUUCAAUAUUUUGGUGAUGACAAUUGAACUUCGAUUCUUAUUAUGUAAUUUUGAGUUUGUAAGUUUUGUCACAAAAUUGCCAAAGAGGGAGAUUGUUAAGUCUUGUAUGUUGGCAAGUUUCGUGAAGUGCGUCGGAGUCUUGAAGGAUCGGUGCGUAUCGUCGAAGAUCGAAGAAUUCAAGACUUCGAAGAAAGCGGAAUUAACUCACUAUGUGAAUCACGAUGCCCAGGUAAGCUUUUAAUUCAUGUUAUGGUGAUUCAUACAUAGUUGUAGGCAUUGGUGUCACGCCCCCGACCGCACUACCCGAAAACAGUACCAAUUUGGUCCGUUUCGAGGGCGGCGUGCGUGAUGCCGAACGGACGGAGUUUCCCCUGUCCGUCCAAGGCUGAGCAACAGAUUGUGUACAACAAGUCCCCAGAAAAAACAACUUGCAUUCAUACACAAUCAACAACGAAACGAGAGCACAAACAGUGCUACAACCAACUAGAGCAAGCGAUACAAGUAAAAUCAUACAAGUAUACAAAAGAGAGAAACUUAACUAUUUGAAUCAUCAUUGAAACAUUUAACCUCUUUCGAUAUCAUUUAAACUUUAAUCAUUUAGUACAACUUGCAUUCUUUCUCAAAACGAAAAUACUUCAUAUACUCUCCAAAAUCUCACCCUAUAUAACAUCUACUCUCAAGGGUAUAAAACAAAAGUACAAGGUGGUGCUAAUGCAAGUAGGUAAAGUAAGCUAUCUACCAAAAGCUAGGGCGCUAUGCCCUUACCGCGAUUCAUCGAUGAAGGCCCGCUGUCCUGUGUACCUGUACCCCCAAAACCACACGGGGGUGAGAACUACGAAUAGUUCCCAGUGGGUUCGGCCGCCGACUCCGCCGAUCUACCCACUAGGUCUUAAGCAGGCAUAGAGAGAUAAAUAUAUGCAAUAUGUAUAAAGCUAGACUGAACUGAAAGCAGGUAUGUAAAACAACUAUAGCAAGUUAUGCCUCAAUCCGGAGUCGUGUAUGUAUGAACAAUAAAUAGUAGGGUAAGCAACUACUAUAAACAUCUACAACAACUAUCAUAGUAAGCUAUAAAACAUGCUACUAGAAAAGCAAGUAAGCUGAUAUGAACAAUGAAUAGCUACUAUGAACAUCAAUCGUCGGUAAAACUCAAUGGGUAACCCAAUCCUCAAGUGAACACAAGGUUCACAAGCAAAGCUCACAUAUCGACCUCCGAGGGAUGCCUAGCUGGACUAUCCCCGAGUACGCCUGCGGAUAACAAGCGGCUAUCCGAGCAGCAAGCAGGGCUGCCUCUCUAGUGACCAACUCCGGAGCGCACAACUUGAGGGGAGCGACCCCACCAAGCGCAGACAGGCUAUGUGAGCAAGAUCAUCUCACGAGGAACAACAACCCUUUUAGGGUAAUCUUAGCAUAGAUCAACAAUUCAUGUACCCAAUGUCAUAGUGUCUCAACUACACUAAUAUGAUCAUCUCAAGUAACGUCAAACAUGUGCCACUCAAUCAUAGUUUUCUAACUAGAUGCCACUCGUCAUUUAGACUCAUCAUCACACUACUACAUCAUACUAGUUCUUUAGCAACAUAAGCACUAAUCAUCUCACAUAGGGUCUAGGUUUUUCUCAAAUAAUCAUCAUGCAUACUAGAUCAUGAACCAACCAAGCAAGUAAUUUGAACUACUAGCAUGCAAGUGUAAGCAAUAAUAUCCAUCUCUAGCCCUAUAUGAAUAUGUCACAAUAUGCGAAAGAUCGAUAUUUAAACUUAGAUAGAAGGUAGCCCGAUGACUUCGGGAUGGACUCCCCACCUUAGGUGAUGCCAAAAACACUCCGAGACGCGCUCUCGUGCUAGUCUUGUCGCCGCUUAAUUUUUGUUGGGUUAGCUUUACAUUUAGCGCUUCAAAUGGCGAUAUCUUCGCAGCUCGCUUCUGUAUCGUCGAACCGUCUUUCCCUACGCGUUCGGAAGCAUAGAAAUUAGGUUUCUAACCCCUCAAAAGAGAUCAAACCCUUAUAUUUCCAAAAACCCCAAAUCUAACCCUAGGUUUAGCACCCAUGGGAAUCCAUGAUUUCUAGCCUCAUUGUGAGCUAGAUCCAUGUUCUCUAAGCUUAUUAGGUUCCAUUUGAACCAUUAAAACCAACAAAACCCCUAAACCCUAGAAAUCCAAAAAAACUAGGGUUAGAGCUUACCUUAGGUUUUGCUCCAAAGAAGGCCCAAGCUUGAUGGAGAGGAGAGAAAGGAGCUUUAUCUUCUUCUCCUUGAUCUUCUCUUCCUUUUCUUCCUUCUCUUUUCUUCUUCUCUUCUCUUUUCUUCUUCAACCGGUUAGAGAGAGAGAGGGAGCUAGAGAGAGAGAGAGGCUGUGAGAGUGAGAGAGGAGAGAGCUGAGAGUGAGAGGAAUAAGUCCUCUAUUGUAACAAUAUGCUAAAAAGCCCUCCUUUUAUCAGAUUUGCAACUUAACCCGCUGCUGCCGCGCCCUUGUACCGGUACACGGGAUCUUGUUCCGGUACAAGACCUGGGCGACAGCAAAAACAGAGCGCAAACCCGAGAGCUCGGGUCUCGGUUUCAUCGGGUUUGUACCGGUACAAGCCCCUUGUACCGGUACAGCACCUGAAGCCUUCAAACCCGAGAGCUGCGCAGGCAGGCUGCGAUGGUUGUACCGGUACAGCCAUCACCCUUGUACCGGUACAGCAGCUCCAGAAAGCUGUUUUAACUCUGUUUCGGCUCCACUUCACGCCGAUCGAUGUCCAAACCAUUCCAACACCUUUAGAACUCAUUUUUGGUCUUCCAAAUUUGUCGGAAUACCGAAUGGAACUUGUCCGAACAUUCGAUUGCUCACUUUGGUCCAUUGUGCCAAAGUUAGCCGUUUUCGUCGAAUUUCGAUAUCUUACAAUUGGAAUCAUAAUACCAAGGUUUAUUGGAUUAGAAAGUGCGUUGGUACUUUGCAAAACCCGAAACCGUGAAAAAAAUACGUUUUUGCAAAGUGUACCGGUACAACAUCGGAAGUGUACCGGUACACAUUCUGUUCCGGUACAACUAGCGACUUGUCACCGAUUACAGCAUUACAUAGGUUUUCUCUUCCGUCAUCGUGUAACCGGUAACAACUUAAAGUGUACCGGAACACAAUAUAAUUUUCGGAAAAACUUUCUAAUCCGACUCUAAUUGAUUCUAAAGUCUAUAAAUAAGCUAUUGGGGUUCUCUAACUCAUCAAGCAUCAUGAAAAUAUAUGUUUGAGAAACCCUAGAGGCUCGGAUUUCAUCUAAAACAUAUUUUCUACAUAUUAGCCUCUUUUAGGUCAAAUCCAGAUAUUGGAAUUUCAUAUCUAUAUGUCGAUUUGAUCUUCACAUCGCUUCAGUUCACUUCCCUGGUUUUCAUCGAUACUCUAAGCGAAAGAUCACCGUACACAUGAUGUUCUUCAUGACGGCGUCGUGGAUUCGGCGUGAUUAACGGCGGUUCGUGGAGUCGGAUCGUGAGCUUCGUGGAUUCGGAGUGUAAGUAUUUCGUGGAUUCGGAACGUGGCGUUCGUGGAGUCGAACGUGAGAGCGUGGACAACCCAGAGGAUUCCGCGAGAUUCAUAAGAGGUUAAGAGAGGUCGAGUCUGUGGAGUCGGUAAUCACAUUAUAAUCUUUUCUCUUAGUAAAUAUUUUUCGCGUGUUGGUCCCAUGGGUUUUUCUCCAAGUUGGAUUUUUUUCACGUAAAUCUUGGUGUGAUUUUUAUUUUUCGCAUUUAUUUUUAUCGCAUUGAGAUUUGUGGUUUUUGCCCGUUACACCUAUUCACCCCCCUCUAGGUAUUGUAUACAAUCUAGAUAGAUCCUUGGGCUCCUCAAACUUUCAUCAAGGCUGUACCGGUACACAGCCCUGCUGAGGUAACCCGAGAGCAGACCUAAAAAUCCAAUCUUUUGGAUUUUGGUGCCAAGUUUUAAAUCUCAAUUCUCGGGAUACUUGCCAUAAGUCAGAACACUGUCAACGACCAUCCAGAAUAUCUGAAAAACUCAGAACACAGAUCAAACACUCAAACCUCGCAAUUUGCUAAGGUCCAGUGCGUUACAUUCACCCCUCCUAAAAAGGAGUUUCGUCUGCGAAACUCAAAAGCAACGUACCUCAAGACUCCAUCUGAAAGAGAUGGGAAUAACGCUCCUACAAAGCGCUCUCAAGCUCCCAUGUGGCCUCUCGCUCAUCGUGGUUGCUCCAAAGAACCUUCAUGUGAGAUAUCGAAAUUUGACGAUAUUGGCUAACUUUGGCCAAAUGGGCCAAAGUGGGCGAUUGAACGAUUUGUACAAGUUCCAUUCGGCAUUCCAACAGAUUUGGAAGAGCAAAAAAUGAGUUCUAAAGGUGUUGGAAUGGUUUUGACAUCGAUCGGCGUGAAAUGGAGCCGAAACAAAGCGAAAACAACAUUCUGGAGCUGUUGUACCGGUACAAGAGUGAUGGUUGUACCGGUACAACCAUCGCAGCUCUCGGUUUGGGGGGCUGCCAGGCCUUGUACCGGAACAAGGGGAGCUUGUACCGGUACAAGCACUGCGCAACCGAGAAACCGAGCCUCGGGUUGGGCUGUCUGCCAGGCCUUGUACCGGUACAAGAAACCGUGUACUGGUACAAGGGACCCGAAACUGUAGGUCAAGUUGGAAAAUUAGAUUUUUGAGGGGGCUUUUGGGAUUUUGUUACAAUAGAGGGCUAUAUCCCCCCUUUCUCAGCCACUCCUUCUCACACUUAGCUCUCUCUCUCUCUCUCACAUUGCUCUCUCUCCCUCUAACCGUAGAAGAAGGAGAGGAAGAAAAGAAGGAAAGAAAGAAAGAGAAGAAGAAGGAAAGGAAGGAGAAGAUCAAGGAGAGGAAAGUGAAGCUCUCUCCCUCCUUAUUCUCAAGCUAGGGCUUGCUUUGGAGCAAACCCUAGAGGUAAGCCUCAACCCCAACUUGUGAAUCUUGGGUUUUGGGAGGUUUUUAUUGGUUUUAAUGGUUCAAAUAGAACCUAAUGAGCUUAGAGAUCAUGGAUUUAGCUCACAAUGAAGCUAGAAACCAUUGCUUCCCAUGGGUGCUAAACCUAGGGCUUGAUUUUGGGAUUUUUGAAAGUAUGAGGGAUUGAUCUCUUUUGAUGGGUUAGAAACCUAAUUCUUAUGCUUAUAAACGCGUAGGCGAAGACGGUUCGUUGAUCCGUCGAGUGAGUGCGGAGAUAUCGCCGAUUAGAGUGCUCUAGGGUUCGUUUUGACCCGAGGUGUUGAAGCGGCGCACGUGGACCGCGACGCCGAGUUUAGUAGCUCUACGAUACUACCACAAGGUGGGUGGUGACCAUCCCGAAGCAAUCGGGAUACCUUCUAUGUCUAAGUUUAAUAUCGAUCUAUUUGCAUAUUGUGCAUAUCCAUAUAGGGCUAGAGAUAGAUGUUAUUGCUUAUACUUGCAUGCUAGUAGCUCAAUAUAUCUUGCUUGGUUGGUUCAUGAUCUAGUAUGCAUGAUGAUUACUUGAUAAAAAUCUAGACCCUAUAUGAGAUGAUUAAUGCUUAUGUUGCUAAAGAACUAGUAUGAUGUAACUAGUGUUGAUGAUGAGUCUAAAUGACGAGUGGCAUCUAGUUAGAAAACUAUGAUGAGUGGCAUAUGAUUGUUGAUGACCGUGACAUGAGAAUAUUAGUGUAGUUGAAACACUAUGAGAUUGGGUAUAAGUAUUGUUAGGUCCUAUGUGUUGGCAAGUUUCGUGGGUCGAGUCGGAGUCUUGAAGAAGUCGGGAGCGGAGGAUUGAAGAUCGAAGAAUCCAAGACUUCGAAGAAUCGGAAAGGACGCAAAACACGCAAAACUUGAAUCACGAUGCAUAGGUAAGUUUUAAAUCUUGUUUAUGGUGAUUUAUACUUAUUUAUAGAUCUUAGAAUCAUAUUUUCAAAUUGUAAUUGAUUAGAAAGUUUCUAAGAGUUUGUAAAACCCAAAACAAUGCAUUUUCAGCGAAAAUUGCAUUGCUGUUCCGGUACAAGGGUUUUCUGUCAAGGGUACAGCCAUCAACGUUUGCGCAGAAAGUUUGAUGAUUGUUCCGGUACAAGGGUUUUCUGUCCAGGGUACAGCCAUCAACAUUUGCGCAGAAAGUUUGAUGGUUGUUCCGGUACAAGCUUCAUGCUGUACCGGUACAAGCCCUGUUCCGGAACAAGCUAAAGCUAUCCAGGGUACAGGAGCUUCGAAGAAAAAUUUCCGUCAUGGUGUAACCCUGGAAAGCUUUCCCUUGUUCCGCGUACAAGGUGCUAGAUUUGGAAAGAAACUUUCUAAUCCUACUCUGUUUAAUCCUACUCUGUUUUGAUUCUAAAGUCUAUAAAUAAGCUAUAGGGGUUCUCUAAUUGAUUAAGCAUCAGAAAAUACAUAUUUGAGAAACGCCUAAGAGCUUCGGAUUUCAUCAAAAACCUAUUUCUACAAAAAGCCUCUUUUAGACAAAUCGAGAUAUUGAAAUUUGAUAUUAAUAUGUCGAUUUGAUCUCCGCUCGCUUGGAGUUCUAUUCCUGGUUUUCUAUGAUACUCCAAAGCGAAGGAUCACCAUAUUCAUGAUAUUCUUCAUGGUGGCGUCGUGGAUUCGGCGUAUUUGACGGCGUUCGUGAUUCGGAUCGUGGCUUCGUGGAUUCGAGUGCGUCGUGGAUUCGGCGUGAUGGCUUCGUGAUUCGAAGUAGAGGCGUUCGUGGAUUGGACGUGAGGGCGUGGAACAACCCGGAGGGUAGCGCGAAGAUUCAUAGGAGGUUAAAGAAGGUUGAGUCCGUGGAGUCGGUAAUCACCUUGUAAAUCUUUUCUCUUAGUGAAUUAUUUUUUCGCGGUGUUGGUCCCGUGGUUUUUCUCCAAAGUUGGAGUUUUCCCACGUAAAUCUCGUGUGCUUUAUUAUUUUUCGCAUUAUUUUUAUUGCAUCGAGAUUUGUGGUUUUGGCCGUUCACGCUAUUCACCCCCUCUUAGGUGAUAGAUACAAUCUAGAUAGAUCCUUGGCUCCUCAAAACUUUGUCAAUUGUAUCAGAGCGGGAUCUAGAUAAAUUGUUAUCUAAUGGCCGAAGGUGGUAACAUUAAUCGACCUCCUGCUCUUCGACGGCACGAAUUAAUGCUUAUUGGAAAGUUCGCAUGAGAGCUUUUCUAAUUGCUAUCGAUGAGCGGGUUUGGCAAUCAAUUGAAUUUGGGUGGAAACAUCCGAUAGAAAAGGUCGAUAAUGUUGAAAAGCCAAAACCACGGAACAAAUGGACGAAAGAAGAAAACGAGUCAUCUUCGUUUAACGCAAGGGCAUAAACUCCUUAUUUAAUGCAUUGUCUCAAACGGAAUUUACUCGUGUUUCGGCAUGCGAAACGGCAAAGGAAAUUUGGGAUACUCUACAAGUUACGCAUGAAGGAACGAGCUUAGUAAAGGUCCAAAAAUUGCAAAUGCUAACUAGCAAGUUUGAUUCAAUUUCUAUGGACGAAAAUGAGACCUUUACCGAGUACUAUACACGUCUACAAGAUGUCGUGAACACAUGUGCUAACUUGGGAGAGAAAAUCCCGGAUUCAAAGGUUGUUCGUAAAAUUCUUCGAACUCUUCCGGAACGCUUUCGGGCAAAGGUCGCCGCAAUCGAAACGGUCAAGCAUCCGGACGAGAUGAAAGUAGAAGAAUUAGUAGGAGCUUUACAAACGUAUGAAAUGACUUUUCCUACUAAUCAAUCUUCUUCCAAGUCUUCUUCUAAAAGCACAGGUGUUGCAUUGAAAUCUACAAAGGAGAAGGACGAAGACUCGAGUUCCGACGAUGACUUAUCAAUUGCGGACUUUGAACAACAAUUGGCACUCCUCACGAAGAAGUUUCGUCGAAAUUUCUGGAACAAGAAUAGAUUGGACAAGACUUCAUCGUCUAAGCGACAAUCUUUGUCUAAAUCAUCUUCGUCUUCAAAGUCUAAGGAUAAAAACCGUGCAAAGUCCUCAAAAGAAAAGGAUGUCUUUGAAGGAGAGAUCCAAUGCUUCAAGUGCAAAGGCUACGGUCACAUUGCUACGGAUUGUCCUUCAAAGAAGACGUAUAAACAAAAGGCUAUGCAAGCAAAGACGUGGGAUGAUUCGACAUCAAGUGAAUCAUCGUCAAGUGACGAAGAGAAGAAUGAUCAAAUCGCCUUAUUUGCUAAUACACCUUCGUCGAAUGUUAUGUGUUUAUCCUCUAUCGCUACUAAUUCUAAUGUUUCUUUUUCCUCGCAUGAUUCAUCGAGCGACAACGACGAAAGCGGGGAGGAUUCGAACGACGAAGAUAUAGCGGAAGCUUACAACCUACUUCUUAUUGAAUCAAAGAAGAUGGCUAAAUUAAAUAAGAAGUUGAGGCGUCGUAUGUUGAAUCUUGAAGAGGAUAACAACAACUUGAAAAUCACGAACAAAGCUCUCGAGGAGGAAAGGGAAUCAAUUUUGAAAAUGAAUUCGGACCUCCUCGAGAAGCUUAAUGAAGCGGAAUCAACGAUCAAAUCAUAUAAAGACAAGGUUGGAUUUUUGGAGCAACAAUUCGAUGGAAUCAAAACAUCCAACCAAGUCUUGACCGAUCAAGAUUCGUCACUUCAAUCCGACAUUCACGUUUUUCUUCCGGAUCAAAAGAAAUUGGACCAUAUGCUCGAAAUUGGGCUAAACAACAGCUAGGCCUUGGCAUAUGAACGGACAUAUGUUGAGAGGAAUCAACGGCUACAUCUAAAUCCUCAACAACUUAAAAAGGCAAGUGUGUCAUCGAUUGUUGAGUUACGGUCACAUCCAAAGAUGCCCCGUGAAAGAUUAAAGAAACUAAUUGGCAAUGUCUCACAUCGGAUUCGACGACCUCAAACCUCAAUUGACAUCGUCUACAACUCACUUCCCCCCGAGGAAUCAACGGAAAAUCAAUUAAGUCGAGACCUCAAAAGAACCGUGAAUUCUAAGCUUAAAGACAAGUUCAACCAAGCCUCAACCGAAAGAACCACACAACGGUUUGAUCAAAAGUCUACAACAAACGGCACCAACGUCGACAAGCCGAGAAAACCAAUGAUCCGGACAAGUUAUGGAUCGCGGAACGUGUAUCUAUUCUUGCUCUUCGUUCUUAGUCAUUUUGAUCUUUAGUGUAUAUGCUUUGAUAUAGGUGCUUGUUGGUUAAUUUUAUUCAAUUGCAGUUAUCAUGUUUACGUGAUGUUUGGUGUUUGAUUUUGUUUGGUUAAAAAUCUUUUUGAUGAAAGGUACUUGGGGAUUCAAUAUUUUGAGAAGGACGUGAUGAGAAUCAUUAUUUUGAGAAGAAAAGUAUUUAAAGAUUGUUUAACCGGUUUUAUCUCACUAACAUAUUAAGUUAAUUAUAUUAAUAUCGUCUUUCACUCCACUCAUUUAUUAUUUUGAUAUAUUUUUAUUAUAUGAUUUUUAUUGCAUAAUCAUCAAAUUUUGAAAUCAAAGCUUGAUUUUUUGAUGAUUAAUUCAUCUUGGUUAGGAGUGUUGGUAUAUGAUGAAUGGAUAUUCUCUAAUUGACUAAAUUCGUCCAAAUCUAUUUCAAUUGUGAGAUUGCCUAAUUUAGGGGAGUUUGAAAUUUAAAAAAAGGAAAGGAGAAAAAGAAAACUCCUAUGUUUAAAAAAUGGUGAAAAUAGUUACAUCCAAAAGGGUGUGAAAACUCACACAUGUAGGACGAGCUUACCACCAAUCGGAUCGAUCCGGCAAGGUGUGUUGAAGCUAUCCACAUGGUAAUUUAAUUUGAAAAGCGAAAAAAAGGUCGGUAAAAAAAAAUAUUUUAGAAAUUUCGAGUAAAGUAUAGUGUAGUUUGAAAAAGAUCUCAAAGAGCCACCCUGGUAUCAUCAUGGGUUUUUAAUCUGCAAUUUUGAACGGUUACGGACAAUCUUUGGUGUUCAAUUGAGUUGAAUUUUCUAAAAAUCAUUUUUCAAUCAAAUUACAUCGUUGAUGAUGUUUGAAUCUGUAAAUUAUUUUGAUUUUGAAAGUUUGGAGUUUUGGAUGUGUUGAAAUUUUAUAAUUUUUAUUUUUAUUAUAAUGAUUUUUGGAAAAGCCUAACUAUAUGAGAUAAUGUUAAAUGAUGGAUUUUUAAGUUUUUCGAAAUUUAUUUUUCACAUAUCUCUCUUUUNNNNNNNNNNNNNNNNNNNNNNNNNNNNNNNNNNNNNNNNNNNNNNNNNNNNNNNNNNNNNNNNNNNNNNNNNNNNNNNNNNNNNNNNNNNNNNNNNNNNGUGUACCGGUACACCAUAAUGGCUGUACCGGUACACCAAGCAGAAAAGGCUGAUUUCGCCCAAUCAAUACACUUUCUUGCUUUUAGCAUUCCAAUCAUCCUCUAACUUAUCCAAAAACUUGUUCUAACCUUUUAGAACAUGUAGGAGUGAUCCACACACCAUUCCACACACUCGAACUUCGCAAUUUGCGAAAGUCCAGUGUAUUACAGAGUACUAGCGCGCCGGUCGAGGAUCGUGGUAAGGGCUUAGCGCCCUAGAGGUUGUAGUAGUUUACUUUCCUACUUGCAUUUAGAGUACCCUCGUGUACGCAGAUGAUCAUGUAUAUUUUGGGAUGUAUUUGGGAGAGUACUUAUGCAUGUGAGAUGAAUAUGUAUCUAAAUGAGGAGGUGAACUUGUAUCAUAUUUUGGGAUAUGUAAAUGUAAAGUUAAUCAAAUGUAUUAAAGUUGAAUGGAUGUAAUAGUUUGGUAUCUUUCUUUUAUUCACUUAUAUAUGCUCUACUUGUGAUGCCUGCUUUUGGUUGUUCAGCACUGGUUGUGCUCUCGCUUUUGUUGCUCGAUUGUGUAUGUAUUCAAGUUAUUUUUCUGGGCACUUGUUGUACACGAUCACGUUGUUUAGUCUUGAGGGGACAGGGGAGGUGCUGUCCGUCCGGCGUCUGUUCGACGCGUCCGAGCCGGACCAAAUUGGUAGCAGGUGUAACAUACCACGUCCCUCGUAAAUCGUGCCGAGUUCCGUCAAAACGAGCGGAACGCAGAGUUGAAUGAGUUAGAGUGGACCCUAAGAGCAUUAAAGUCCAUAAGUGAAGCUAAAAGGGACCCGAGAGAGAGUAAAUCUAGAAAUCUGGCUAAGUCCUAGAUUUUGUGCUCUCGGGGACCAGUCCCUGAAGGAGAGACCGGUCCCCGUACGCGUAGCCUGCCAGGAAAUCCUGAGGCUUCCGGUCCCUGGUGGUGAGACCGGUCCUUGGGAGAUCGGUCCCUCGCUGCGCAGCAGCUGAAAAACGGGAAAAUUUGGCUAAGUCCUUGAAAACCCACGUUCGGGAACCGGUCCCUGGUCGGGGAGACCGGUCCCCAAAGGCGAAAAAUGCCCAGUCUUGGCAGAUCAAGAGGAAACAAGUGGAGGGGCUUAAAUGCAAUUGUCACAACGGAUGCUUGCUUUUGUAAUGUUCGGCACUGGUUGUGCCCUCGCUAUUGUUUUGAUCAUGUAUGUAUUCAAGUUGAUUUUCUAGGAACUUGUUGUACAUGAUCCUGUUGUUUAGCCUUGGGCGGACAGGGGAGGUGUUGUCCAUUCGGCAUCUGUUCGACGCGCCCGGAUCGGACCAAAUUGGUAGCGGUCUCGGGGCGUGACAGUGUGUGUGCAUUGCGUUUCAGGACGCGAUGACACCACCAAGGAGAGUUACGACGUCCACACCGGCGGAGCCUCGGGAGGAGCUCGGGCAGUCGGGGUCGGACGACGUGCACGAGUUGCGAGCCCAAGUAGCGGCUUUGGCCGGGGCUAUGCGGCUUCAAGGGGAGCAGAUAGGGCGGCUCCACGAGAUGAUGGCGCAACAGGCAGCAGCGGCAUCAGUGCCAAGGGAUCCACCCCCACCGGCUGCUCCUGUAGCACCACCUCCUGCGGUGGCGGCAGCGCCAGUGACGACUAUUCCUCCGAUGGCAUCGAGUUCAUCGGCUCCUAUUUUCGAUGUACUUGAGGCCGAGCAGGAGCGCACGUUGGCGGCGCUGACAGCAUUUAAGCGAUUCAACCCUCCGACCUUCAACGGUGACGUGAAGGAUCCGUGGACGACGGAGAAUUGGCUAGCCGCGAUGGAGGCCUUGUUCGAGGAUAUCUACACCCUCGAGAAGGAUAAAGUUCAUUUGGCGGCUCAUUAUUUUGAUGGGUUGGCUCGGUUGUGGUGGAACCAAGCGAGGAAAAAUCGCUUGCUAGGGCACCCUUUUCUUACUUGGGAAGCAUUCCGGGAGAUGCUGCUGAUGGAGUAUUUCCCCGAAAGUGACAAAAGAAAAAUCAAGGAGGAUUUUCGAAAGCUGAGGCAAGGAAGCCGAUCCGUGCGGGAGUACGAGAGGGAGUUCACGCACAUGAUAAACUGUGUGCCAGACUUGGUCCAUGGAGAUAUGGACCGAGCGGAGGUAUUCGAGCGCGGGUUGCAACCCGAGAUUUUCAAGGUUAUUCAUGCAUUCCGCUUGAAGACCUAUGAGGAAGUGCUUGAUCGCGCGCUUUUGGUGGAGCGCGGGAAUGCCAUCGCGCGUGAUGAGCGCGAGAAUUUUGAGAGAGACAGGGAAAGAGAUAAGACCAAGAAGCGACCGGCUGGUGGAUCUGCGGGGCAAUCGAGUUCUAAGCGACCCCCGCGACCUCCACGAUCACAUUGGCGGGGAGGUAGGAGUCAGACCCAGAGCCGUGUCGCCUACCCAUGUGUGAUCUGCGGUGAAGACCACCGGGUUACNNNNNNNNNNNNNNNNNNNNNNNNNNNNNNNNNNNNNNNNNNNNNNNNNNNNNNNNNNNNNNNNNNNNNNNNNNNNNNNNNNNNNNNNNNNNNNNNNNNNNNGGUGAAGACUACCGGGUUACCUCUUGCCCACAGCGAGAGGGGCGAUGCUAUCGGUGUGGCCAGGCGGGCCACCUUGGCCGAGAGUGCCCGGGCGGCGUGUCCCCAACCCCGUCAUCAGCUUCGGCUCAAUACACUCAGCGACAGCUGGCGGGACUGCCACUCGCAACAUAUACUGGAUGAUCGUCGUUGCCUCGUCAGCCGGAGGCUUCUCGAGCACCUAGUGGGCGGGUUUUUGCCACUCAGGUGGAGGAGCAGCCGACCAUAGUUCCUGACGACGUGGUAGUAGGUAUUAUUCUGAUCAGAGGCACUAGAGCUAGAGCUAUAUUUGAUACAGGUGCAUCUCAUUCAUUCAUAUUAGCAUCAUUUGCACAAGCUCAUAAUACAGAGAUCACUCAUAAUGAGGAGUAUUGGUCGGUGAACACUCCCGAGCACUCGAUCGACGUCUACGAUGAGUGCUUGGACUGCCCAGUGCAAAUAGGCGAUUGGAUUAUGCAGAUCGACCUUCUAGUGUUGAAAGAAAUGUGGGGAUUCGAGGUAAUCUUGGGAAUCAAUUGGCUCUCCAAGUACUAUGCGGUUAUAGAUUGCGAAAGAAGGGUGAUCACGUUCCGUAAACCCAACCAAGAGGAGUUUGUCUAUCGGGGGUGUAAAGGCAAGCGCUUCGCAGCCACUAUAUCGACGGUGAGGGCGAAAAUGAUGAUCAAGGGUGGUUGUAAGGCCUACUUGGCGACCAUCGUAGACCCUCGACAGGAGUACCUGGAACUGGAGAGUAUUCGAGUUGUGCGGGAGUAUCCGGAUGUAUUCCCAGUGGAGUUACCGGGAUUGCCCCCGGAUCGAGAAGUCGAGUUUGUCAUUGACUUGAUUCGCGGGGCGGCGCCAAUUUCGAAGGCUCCGUACAGAAUGGCACCGGUGGAGCUAAAAGAGUUGAAAGCUCAAUUACAAGAUUUGCUCGAUAAAGGCUUCGUACGGCCGAGCGUGUCCCCGUGGGGAGCUCCGGUGCUAUUUGUAAAGAAGAAAGACAUCACACUCCAACUCUGCGUCGAUUAUCGCGAGUUGAAUAGAGUGACGAUCAAGAAUAAAUACCCAUUGCCAAGAAUUGAUGACCUGUUCGACCAGUUGCAAGGGUCAAGGGUGUAUUCAAUGAUUGAUCUGCAGUCGGGGUAUCAUCAACUGAAGAUACAACCCAAAGAUGUACACAAGACGGCGUACCGUACGCGGUAUGGCCACUAUGAGUUUACGGUUAUGCCAUUCGGGCUCACUAAUGCCCCGGCGGCAUUUAUGGACCUAAUGAAUCGGAUCUUCCGUCCGCUAUUAGACCGGUGCGUCGUGGUUUUCAUUGACGACGUAUUGGUAUAUUCUCGGACCGAAGAAGAACACGAGGAGCAUCUAAGACUCGUGUUGGAGACACUCCGGAAGGAAAAGCUUUACGCAAAAUUAAAGAAAUGCGAGUUUUGGCUUUCGGAGGUUACCUUCUUGGGCCACGUUGUAUCCGGAGAUGGCAUCUCGGUGGACCCAAAGAAAGUUGAGGCGAUUAAAGAUUGGCCUCGCCCGACAAGUGUAGCGGAAAUUCAUAGCUUCCUUGGACUUGCGGGCUAUUACCGGCGGUUCGUGGAGGGGUUCGCCAGGAUAACGACUCCACUAACGUGCCUUACGCACAAAGGGGUGAAGUAUGUUUGGAGCCCCGAGUGUAAGCGGAGCUUUGAGGAGCUAAAGAAUAGACUAAUAUCUACUCUGGUGCUUGCUUUACCGACGCCGAGAGAGAGUUAUGUCGUAUACAGUGAUGCUUCAUGUAUCGGUCUCGGGUGUGUGUCUUAAUGCAAAACGGCCGAGUCAUAGCUUAUGCUUCGCGCUAGUUGAAGAGUUAUGAAAAGAACUACCCGACUCACGAUCUUGAGCUAGCGGCGGUUGUUUUGACGCUAAAACUGUGGAGGCAUUACCUGUAUAGGGAACAUUGUGAGAUCUACACCGAUCAUAAGAGUCUCAAAUACUUGUUCACCCAGAAGGAGCUAAACUUGCGACAGCGGCGGUUGUUAGAGUUGCUCAAAGAUUAUGACGUCACGAUUCUCUACCACCCCGGGAAAGCGAACGUCGUGGCCGAUGCUCUAAGUAGAAAGUCGGCGGAAAAUUUGGCGACGGAGAUUACGCCUCAACCGGCAUUGCAAAAGGAGAUACAACGGUUUAGACUAGAAGUUGUGGCGCCGAGAGUGCUGGCAACACUUACCACUUUAGUUGUGCAACCAACCUUGAUGGAAAGAAUUAAAGGAUUGCAAACAUCGGAUGUAUUUCUCCAAAAGGUGCGGGGCAAAGUUGAGAGCGGUAGUGCCGAAGGUUUUGGCAUUGGAACCGACGGCGCACUACGAUAUCGGGAUCGUUGGUGUGUGCCCAAGGACGACGAUCUUCGGAAGGCGAUUAUGCAAGAAGCGCAUCAAUCUCCCUAUAGCAUUCACCCGGGCGGCACCAAAAUGUAUCGAGACUUGAAAUUACAUUAUUGGUGGCCGGGCAUGAAGAAAGACAUAGGGAAGUUCGUGGCGCAAUGUCUCACGUGCCAACAAGUGAAGGCGGAGCGUCGAUUUCCAGCAGGCAAAUUGCAGAGUCUACCUAUACCCGUGUGGAAAUGGGAAAAUAUUGCAAUGGACUUUGUGACAGGUCUGCCUAGGUCACAAGGUGGACACGACGCGAUAUCGGUAGUUGUGGACCGGUUGACAAAAUCGGCGCACUUUUUGUCGAUCCAUACUACUUGGUCGGGAGACAAGUUAGCUCAAGUUUUUAUCGACGAGGUGGUGAGACUCCACGAGGUUCCGGUAUCUAUUGUGUUGGAUCGGGACCCUAGGUUCACAUCUCAUUUUUGGAAGAGCUUGUAGAAGGCAUUAGGCACGCGGCUCGACUUUAGUACGGCCUUCCAUCCUCAAAGUGACGGUCAAUCGGAGAGGACAAUUCAAAUACUUGAGGACAUGCUUCGAGCAUGUGUGCUUGAUUAUAAGGGCGGAUGGCACGAUCACUUACCGAUGGCGGAAUUCGCAUAUAACAAUAGCUAUCAAGAAAGCAUUGCGAUGGCGCCAUUCGAGGCCCUGUACGGAAGGAAAUGUCCCUCGCCGAUACACUGGAGCGAUGUGGGUGAGAAAAUGGUUCUUGGCCCGGAUGUGGUGCGGGAGGCGGAAGAGAAAGUCCGCCUUACCCGAUAAAGAUUAGUGACGGCGCAAUCACGGCACAAGAGUUAUACCGACAAGCGGCGAAAGGAUAUUGAGUUCGCGGUAGGAGACCGCGUAUUUCUAAAGGUAUCGCUGAUGCGAGGAGUUGGGCGGUUCGGUGUACGCGGGAAGUUGAGUCCCCGCUAUAUCGGACCCUUCGAGAUUUUGGAACGAGUUGGUGCGGUGGCCUACAAGUUGGCAUUACCACCGAGGCUCGCAGGAGUACAUGAUGUAUUCAAUGCAUCCCAACUCCGCAAGUAUGUGUAUGACCCAGAUCAUAUUCUCUCGUAUAUACCGAUAGAACUCCAAGAGGAUGUGACUUAUGAGGAGUUCCCGGCUUAUAUCGUGGAUCGAGAAGUGAGAAAGCUCCGGAACCGCGAAAUCCCGUAUGUUAAAAGUUCAUUGGUGCGAACAUGAUGACCGAAAAGAAACGUGGGAGCUCGAAAACGAAAUGAGGGAGCGUCAUCCUCACCUCUUCGAGGAUCCGAAGUGAGGUAAGAAAUUUAAAUUUCAACCUUAGAAGUUUCGCGGACGAAACUAAAUUUAGGGGUGGAGAAUGUAACAUACCACGUCCCUCGUAAAUCGUGCCGAGUUCUGUCGAAACGAGCGGAACGCGAAGUUGAAUGAGUUAGAGUGGACCCUAAGAGCAUUAGAGACCAUAAGUGAAGCUAAAAGGGACCCGAGAGAGAGUAAAUCUGGAAAUCUGGCUAAGUCCCAGAUUUUGUGCUCUCGGGGACCGGUCCCUGAAGGAGAGACCGGUCCCCGUACGCGUAGCCUGCCAGGAAAUCCUGAGGCAUCCGGUCCCUUGUGGUGAGACCGGUCCUCGGGAGACCGGUCCCGGAAGGGCAGACCGGUCCCUCGCUGCGCAGCAGUUGAAAAACCCAAAAAUUUGGCUAAGUCCUGGAAAACCCACGUUCGGGAAUCGGUCCCUGGUCGGGGAGACCGGUCCCCAAAGGCGAAAAAUGCCCAGUCUGAGCAGAUCAAGAGGAAACAAGUGGAGGGGCUUAAAUGCAAUUGUCACAACACUUUAUAUGGGCCAUCCCUUCUCUCCCACAGCCAUUCCUCUCCUCCUCUCUCAUUUUCUCACUUUCUCUCUCUAGAACUCUCCUAGAGCUUGGAGAAGAAGAAGAAGAACUUGGAGAAGAAGGUGGAUUUGGUGCUUUGGAGGUUCUAGGAGCUCUCCAACAAGAAGAAUCUUGGUACAGCUUGGAUUAGAGGUAAGUUUUGUGAGGUUUUCCUCUAGGGUUUGGGUUUUGGUUUAGAAAAUUGGAGCUUUGUGCUCCUUAGAGGUUUUAGAGGCUCUUUUGAGCCAUGAAUGUCAUGGUACCCAUGAGAGCUCAAGGUGCUCUCAUGGUGAACCCUUGGAAGUUGGGUUAGGAGCCCUAGGGUUGGUCCCAAAGGUCUAGAAACCGUACUAAGAUGUUCCUUAGAUGAUUCUAAGCUAUUAUUUGCUUAGGGUUGAGAUCGAUUCAUGGGGAAACCCUAAAUGACAAUAUUAGGGCUUGAAAAUUGGGGCUUUUGCCCUAGGAUUUUUCGGGGACAAAUUGACCCCGUAGAAACCUAAUUGGGGGUCAAAUAAACACGUUGGACAACUUCGUUUGAGGAAACGAAAAUAUUUAAGAAUAGUUCAUGUAUAUAAGGGCCUAAUUAGGCACCCUUUUUGGAUUGUAGGACGCAGAUCGUCGUUCGUAGCGUUCGGGAGUUUCGUAUUCUCACCCACACGAUUACUAGAGGUGGGGGGUGCACGCCGAAAUCGCUGGAUUCCCUUCUAUGUCUAUUUCUCUAUUCUUGAGCAUAUGGUUAUUCAUUCCGUCAUGCAUAUUAAGGUUAAUUCACAUGUGAACUUUGGUUGUUUUCAUUAUGUUUAUUCCAAGUGUAUUUGAAAGUAGAGAGAAAUGGGACCAUGAUGGACAUGUGUUAUUGAACCCUAGGAAUUGCAUGAUAGCGGGACUUGGACUUAGCACAAGUAAACAAAUGGUGACAAUGACAUUAGAGAGAUAGAUUAGCUUGGAUAAAUGGAUGUUAAACAUAGAUUUAACUAUAGUGGCAUUGUGACGAGAUCGACUAGAAAGUGGCAUGAGAACAUAGGUAGAAAACCUAUCACAAAAGUGGCAUCAUGACAAGUGGCUUAAUAUCCUCAACGCGGGGAUUUGAUCGACACUCAUAAUAAGUCUUGGCUUGAGGGAGGUUGCUCCUCCUCAUGCGGUGUGUUUCCAGAAAUCGACACCACAGGGAGCGAGAUCCCUGAAGACGGUCCCUCGGGUCAGUAGUGCCUGGAGCCUCCCCGGUAAAGAAAGGGAUUCUGGGUUAUGAGUUUUUGGGGUUAACAAGGUUAACCGGUAAGAUUGGGUAAGAGCCGAAACUUAUUUACGAAUUGAGCAUGCAUGCAUUUUCCGUUAUUGCAUUGAGUAUUUGUAUCCACUGACAUUCUUUUGCAGGCAUAGUAUUAGAUGCAUUAGUACUGGUUACUUUUCUUUCCUUGAAAUACUUAUGCCUGGAUAGACCUAAUGGGUAAGUCAGCGAGGUCGGAUGCCGAACCCACUGGGAACUUCGUUGUAGUUCUCACACCACUAACCUUACAGGUCCUAGCACGAGCGGGGCGGCGGCGGACCGAGGCAAGGGUAUAGCGCCGUAGAUAGCGGCCACCGGAACUUUAUGUAUUUUGUAGCCAUUUCCCUUUUGGUAUACAUGAUCAACUUCUUUUGUUGAUUUAGAGAUGUAAAGUUGUAAACGAUCAUGUAAUUUUGGUGGAUGGCUAAAUGUAAAAAGAAAUGAUGGUUGAGUGGAAAUGUAAUAGUUUUAAUCACUUGUAUUUGAUUUAAAUUUAAUCAAAUAUCAUGUAUGUUGUAUAUUUAGCUUAGAGCUUUCGCUUCCGUUGUUGCUUGCCCUCGUGCAAGCCUUGUAAUAUAUAUAUAUAUAUAUUAUAUAUAAUAUUAUAUAUAUAUAUAAUAUAUAUAUAUAUAUAUAUAUGCAAAUCUCUUGUUGAUUGCCUAUUUAUACAUGUUGUUGGAGCCUUGGACGACAGAGGAGGCUCUAUCGGUUCGCGCGUCUGUUGACGUGACCCGAACCGACCAAAUUGGGGGGAUUGGGGCGUGACAGCGGUCCCGAGGCGUGGUAGAUAAUAUGGUAUCAGAGCGAGUUAAGAGCAAGCAAAGAGAGAGUCUAGGAUUGAUCUAGGAGACCUAGGACGGUGAACCUAAGGCUAUAGGUGCAUGAGUGCAACGUGAACCUUUACGGGUGGCGGAAGUCGAUCGAUUGGGUCGAAGUUGAUUGUAUGUCUCUAGUUGUGGCUAGAGAUGGAUUCAAGUGGUAUAAGUUCUUGACUUAAAGUGGUUGUGUUGGGCGGCCGACAACACGAUGCUAAGGGUUUAGAACAAGUACACUUGUGUGCUUCCGCCUGAUUUGCGAUGUUGAGUCACAUUGUUUCGCUAUUGUGGCGAAGUUAACGGGUUAAGGCCAAGUUGUUGUGUUUCAGGAGCUAAUGGCACCAAUGAGACACUACAUGCGUAGAUCCGUUCCGGCACAGCCUACUGAGGUGCCAGAACAAGCUGGGUCAAGUGAGGUGCAAGAACUGCGGGCGCAGAUAACUGCACUAGUUAGCGUGGUUCAACACCAAGGGAGUCUGAUCGAGCGGCUCCAGGAGCCUAAAUGCAAAAGUGACAUGAGUGGACAAUGUAUGAGGGGUUAUAGGACAUUUCCUCUCAUUUCUCACCCUCUCACACACUCUCCUCUCUCUUUCUCUCUCUAGAAGGCAAGGAGAAGAAGAAAGAAAGGAAAAGAAGGAGAAAGAAGAAGAAGUAAAAGGUGGAGAAGAAGAAGGAGUGAAGCAACUCCCUCUCCUUCACCAUUAGCACAAGAGAAGGGAAAGCUUUGAGGUAAGCUUUGCCUCCUCUCAUGGUAGAACCCAAAGUAGGGUUUUGAUAGAGCUAAGAAUGGUGUUAGUAGAAUCUCUUGAGUAUUUGAAGCUUUAUUUUGCUUCCUAAUGAGAUCAAAACCUAGGGUUUUGAUAUAUAUUGAAGCUAGGGCACCCAAAUUGGAGCUUUUGCUUGUGAGGAUUUCAAAGCUAAAUUGACCCUCUAGAAACCUAAUUGGGGGUAUUUCCGACGCGUUGGUGCGCUUGGUUUAACAUUACGAAAAGCCUAUGCGAAGUUAUAAGCAAAAAGGCCUAAUUUGGCUUCAUUUUGCCGCUGGUAGCGAACUAGGCGGCUAAAAAUCUCGAGAAAAUCACCUUAGCACCCUAGCAAACCUACGAGGUGGGUGGUGCUUUCCAAACUUGUUGAAAUUCCUUUUAUGUCUAAUGUGUCACUUUCUUGAGCAUGUGAGCAAAUGUUUGUGCAUGCAUUGUGGGGUAAAUGAGAUGAUAGUCAUGUGAAGUGCAUGUUGUGAGUACAAUUUGCAUAAUGAGAUGGUUGAGAACCAAAAAGAAUGUAUUAACCCUAUAUGUGCAUGUAAAGAGACAAGAAUUGAGAAUAGUUAAAGAACAAGUGACAUGUGACAUGAGGACAAUGUAAUAUUAAGAACAAAAACUAAAGUUAGCAUCAAAUGUGUGGCAUCAAAGAACAAAAGCUAGAGUUAGCAUCAAACGUGUGGCAUCAAAGAACAAAAGCUAGAGUUAGCAACAAUUGUGGCCUAAAGAACACUAGAGUUAGUGUAAGGACAUGAUCGAGAACAAAGAAUGCAAAGAACUUGAGAUUGAGACACAAUGACAUGCAACUUUAGAGCUAAGGGUCAUUUGUGCAUAAUUUUCUUAGAGUUAAGGAACGGAUUGAACUGAACAUCCUUUGAGUUAAGGAUAUGAUCGUACUCACUAUAAGUCCUUGCUCGAGGGUGGUUGCUCCCCCUUGGGUGACGCGCUCCGGAGUUUGUCAUCACUGGGUUGGUGUUGUUCCCCAGAGAACAGUCCCAACGGGAGGAAGCUGAGGGCCCGUUAAAUGGGAUUUUGAGUGGGUGAGUUAAUGAGGCGAAACCCCCGGGUUAGCCGUAAGAUUGAACGAAAGAGAUUGAACAAAAGAUUAAAGAACUUGCAUUCUACAUGAGUUUUAUAUUGAGCAUCUUUAUUGAUAGCAUUGUUCAGGCAUAUUAGCUGCAUAUGUAUAGUUGGUUACUCAUCUUAUUCUUUCUAUUAUGCCUGAGUUAGACCUAGUGGGAAAGUCGGUGUGAUUGGGGCCAAACCCACUGGGAACUUCGUUGGAGUUCUCACCCCACUAUUUUCACAGAGCCAGGACCGAGCGAGCCGGCAAGCGACCGUGGUAAAGGUAUCGCGCCGUAGACAGUGCCUACCAAAGUCGGGUUUUAUACUUUUACUAGUAGCGUACCCUUAUAUCAUCUUUUGUAUACGAUGAUUUGAGAUGUUAAAGGAAAGAAUGUAAUGUGUUGUUAUGAGCAAAUGUGAUGUAAAAAGAAAUGAUGAAAAGCAAUGUAAAGAAUCAUGAAUGUAAAUGGUUUAAAGUAAAUCAUUCUACGUGUAUGUUGUUAGUUUCCUUUCUUUCACUCAUGGCUAUUGCUUACCCUCGUGUAAGCUGUAUUUGUAUGUUUCCGCUAGUGCUUUCCUCUAUUGAUGAAAAUGUACAUGUGAUGAGCCUUGGGCGGACAGGAAAAACUCUGUCCGUUCGGCGUCUGUUCGACGUGCCCGGACCGGCCCAAAUUGGUAUCAGUCCCGGGGCGUGACAAAAUGUUCAGCAAUAUCCUCAUUUGCAUUGAUUAUAUUACAUAUAUAGAUAUCUUGAUAAGUGGGACUUCUGUAAUAUCCUAGGCCUCUGGUAUUACUAGAUUUGCUAUUUGGGAGUAUGGAUCUUCUUUGUGGUGGAUUCCACAUUCGUUGAAAGAAUUUGUGAUUGGCCCAAGAUCUCCUUGUUGGGCAACCUAACUUGCGUAUCAUCUUUUUCAAGCUAGUUGAAAAAUAAUUUGGGAUUUCUAUAUCCUCAAAUAUAUCAUCAUCAUAAUCCUCUGGUCUGAUGAUAUCAGUGGAUUUUUGAUCGUCUGAUUUAUAAAAAAGGAUUCCUCUUUUUACUGUCUUCCUUCCUUCAACAUCUUCUAUCUUUGGUAGGACAAAGAAAGUUUUUAAAUGAUUUACAACAAAAACCUGUCUUGCAGGAAUAAGUUUGUGGCAUUUUUCAGGAACCUUGAGAAUUGCCAAUGUAUUUUCCACCAGGUCAGAGGCUUUUGCAAUCAUUCUAUCAGCCCUGACAUAAGCUGUAAAGUGAUGUUCGUCUUCUGACGAGUUUUCGACUUCGAGAGUAUUCCAAUUGCUUGAAAGAAGCUUCAUAGCCCAACAUAAUUCAUCUUCAUCGAGAUCGGAGCUAUCCGAGUCACUUCCGAAAUGCGGCACUGUUGACUCCCUCUUGAUUUCGUCUACAAGUCUCUUCUCUUUAGAGGAUUGUUCUCUCGAUAUGCUACAAUUUUCUUCUGUAUCUUCUGAUUCUAUAAAAUAUCUUGCAUCUUCAUAUUGAAUUUCGUGAACUCCAAAUGGCCGAAUAUCACCAUCAAUUCUAUAUUCCUCCCCAUCUUUUAUAUAUUUCAAGCAUUGAUGAAGGGUAGACGGAACUAUGUGAUAUUUAUGCAACCAAGGCCUUCCUAACAAUGCCUUAUAGGAAGUAUCUGCAUUGAUAACAUAAAAUUUUGCCUCAGUUUGCAACUUCCCAAACCUUAUCGGGAGGGUAAUAGACCCGAGGGCCUUUUGAUUGUGUUAGUUGAACUCUUGAAUUACGACUUUUUCUAAGUUUAAAUAGCUGACAUCCAUUGCCAGACUUUUUAGGGUUCUUAAAGUCAUUAAGUUCACAGAAGAUCCAAGGUCAAUUAAAAUACGGUUCAUCUUUUCUCCGUCACUUGUGCCGGUCACAUAUAACGGUUGAUUAUGAUGCGUUGUCCCCAUUAAUAAAUCCUUUUCUGUAAAGGUGAUAUUGGCGGUGUGGAUGAGGUAUAACGCCUCCUUCAUGCUUGUCUCGGCAAAGUAUGCGUGAAUGGGCUCAGGAUUUUGGAGAGCAUAGAUCAACACUUCUCUGAGUUCUUUGGACAUUAUGAGGGCGUUAUAAACACUCAGAAGUGCUAGUACUUUUCAUAGAUGAAAGAGUACAUUAUAUUCUAUUCUUGUCAGCUUUGCUUGAUUUGAAGAAGUUGGAAGUUCUUUGCUGACUUGAACUUCUCUAUCUCUUUCCUUUUGAACUGGUUCUUGCCUUUCUGGUAGCACUUUUCCAGGUCUUAAUUUUAUUUGUAGGGCAUCACCUUCAUCAUUCUCCGAAUCAGUAUUGAUGUCGACUGCCCUACAAGUCUCGUUUCGAGUUUUCUUUGAGCUCUCGCCUACUUGAGAGCGAAGCAUAUCUAUUAUUAUCCUUGUUUGAGAGUUCAUAUUUUUCACUGCAGUAGUAACACAGUCUAGAUUUAACUUUAAAGAAUGGACGUCUAGCUGCAACCUCUUUACGUCAUUCCCUACUUCCAAGAUACGAGUUUCUAUUAUUUUUAAUUCUUGAUUUUGGGAGGGAGGUUCGUAUACUAACCAUGCACUGUCACCUUCUUCGUUCACCACUGCUGGUUGUUUACUUUUUCGUCUCCGUUUGUUAACAGAUUCCUCAGAGUGAUCUUCAGAGAUAGUGAUUACUCUACAAGACUCUCUACUGAGAGUUUUCUUCUCCAGCUCUUUUAGAUGUUGGCAAUUUAUGUGAGUAUGGCCAUUAGCUCCGCAGAAGUUGCAGAUAAUAGGUUCAUCCUCAUCGUAUGGUAGGUAUGUUCUCGGGGAUCUUAUGCUCCUUGUGACUUGAUUCUUCUUGAAGCCUUUACUGGUCGAGGGUUGCAUUUGAUCUUUCUUUGCAUCUAGGUUAUGCCCCCACUCUUGAUGGUCCGGAGAAAAUCGGAGUCGCGCUUCCCUUUGCUCCCCUUUCCAAACUUUCUUUAUAACUUGGUCUUCAAUGAGUGGAGCUUUUCCUUUUCCUUUAUAAACUUGCACGUCUUGGUGCCGUGACUUUUCUGCUACUUUUUCAUCAUCGAUCUUGAUACUCGGAGGCUUUUUCUUUUUCUCCACAAUCCAGUCUUUCUUUUGAUUGUCAAUCGACUGGUGCCAGCUGGGGUUUAAAACUUGAGUGUUUUUACUCCUUCGAGAAAAUUGUUGUUUCUCUCUUCGAAUUGGUAGAUCUUGAUUUUUUAUGAUUCUCAAGUCUUGAGAAGAGACAUUCUCUGUUGUUUGCCCCUGACUGAUAUUGGGGGCUAUCAUUCUUUCAAUGCGUUCCAUCAUCUCUUGUAGACGAUUGUUUCUUGGUGGUGGUCGAACUCGUCGAGGGGCUGGGGCCAUCAAUCGCAACACCUGUUCAAUCCUUGCUUCAAGCCUGAUCACCAUCUUCGCUAUCUCUUUUUGUUCGACUCUUAUAUUAAAGAGCUCUUCGUUGACCGAGUCAAGUCUAUAGUUCGUGGCCCUUUGUGCAUAUGCAGUUGAACCUUGCUCCUCUUUUUUCUUUCUUUCUAAUUUUUGCCAAAAUUGUUUCUCGCUAUCACCUUCUUCAACACCAUCAUCGGCGUUGUCUUCUAAUGAAGAAGUGAAUUCGUCUUCACUGUCCACAUCAUAGGCUAAGAUGGUUCUGCAUGCUUCUUUGGAUACUUCUCACCAGAAGUCUUCCGCCUCCUCAUAAAUCUCCUUCUCUAUCUCUUCAAAUUCGUCUUUUAAAUUUAUAUAGACCUUCUUAUUGGGUGGAAGGGGAGGCUCAACAUAUUUUUUAAAUUUCACACCCUCAUCAAUCUUUCGUAUUGGGACGAUCGUGCCUUCCGUUGCUCCGACUACGAAGUCUUUGAUUAAAACUGCGUCCCUCUCUUUCUGUAUGUAGUCUUCUAGGGAGUCAAUAUACUCUUCAAGCUCCGUCUUCUUAGACUCAUACGGCUCUGGCUCUACGGGCCUUUUAAUCUUCUUUUUCUUGAUCACUUUUCGAUUAGAUAGAGUAGGAGGAUUGUAUGGUUUGGAAGAUGAUGAAGGCUGAUCCUCAAGUGGCAUUGGCUGCACUCUUGGAUUCAGCGGGCCUCGCCAUGUAAUUCCUAGAGUUUCUUUCAACUGUUUGAGCAUUUUUCGAGUCUUCUUAGUCAGAAAGGUGUUCCAAAACUCAGAAGGAAAAGAGUUAUCGAACCCUACUGGUUCUUCGGUCCCCACACUAAUUGCAUUGGUUUCUUCCACUUGUGGAUCCAUGAUGACAGAACGUGAGAGAGUGUAAUAGCACCAGUUUUAUAUUGCUUCUCAACCCAAUCUUUAAACACCGAGCAAUCUUCAAUAGGAUGACUGACCAUUCUGUGAUAGAGACAAUAAUUUGUGUCAUCGGUUUUGCCAACAUCUUCUGGCCUCUUUGGCUUCGGUAGCUGCAGGCCGCUUUUAAUAGCAUCAUUGAAUAUUUUCUUCACUUUGUCUCUUUUAAAGGAGUAGACUUUAUUCUUUCUCUCCUCUAUGGUCAUUCUAUAGUUAUCUCCGCCUAGCGUUGGUUUGGAUGUCGGCCCAACUGAAGCAGUGGACCUUUUUUCUUUUUCUACAUUAUUGGCAUAGGCUAUUCUUGAACGGACGAUUUUGGUCUCGGCUUUCUUUCCAUCUUCCCUUCGAGGUCUAGAAGGAUGGAAACCCGGCGAAAUUUGUGGAUCAGUUUUUUCUAGCUUUGAGACGUUCAGUAUGAGAUCCUGAAACGUAGUACAACUGGUGGUGCAAAGGAACGGGGCCAUCCAGUUGUCUAUGUUCCCCUUAAGCAACUCUACCGCUUGAGAUUGCUCUAGGGUUGUAUCACACUUUAUACUCAAAUUUCACCAUCGAGUUAUGUAGUCUAACAUUGACUUAUGUUUCUUUCUUUUAGUCGCUGCCAGAUCGGCUAUUGAAAUUUUAUCACUGACUGCAGCGAAUUUUGCUCAAAAACAUUCUCCAUUUCACUCCAAGUUUUGAUUGAAUCAUCUUCGAGAGAAUAAUACUAGUCAAAAGCUAUCCCGAUCAAGCUCUGAGGGAACUGACAUAACAAUAAUGCAUUGUUGCCCCCAGUGUUACCACACGUGGCUUUGAAAUGUGCCAAAUGUUGGUCCGGGUUGCCUACCCCAUUAAAUUGUUUGAAUUUAGAAAUGACAUACCCUAAAGGGAAGAGUAUAUCAUCAUAUUCUACAGGGUAUGGGUACCCCCUUCCUUUCUGUUUGGGUAUCGACCCUGCCAUUAACUCUUUCAGUUGAAGAGCAAUGUGUUCUGAUAUUUCAUCUCUGGUCAUAUCAUGAGUAUCUUUCUGGAUGCGAGGUGUUGUAGCCAACUGAUUUGUCCGAUUUUCUUCGGUUGACGGUAUGGACAAGUUCAAGGUCGGUGGUAUAACUUGAACUUUAGGAUUGCGUAAUUGCACUCCCAUGUGCGUUUGCAUGUUGCUGAACAUUUCCAAGACUUCGUCUAACUUGCUAUGCAGAUUUGAUAUGUCCUUGUCCUUUUCCUCCAGCUUCUUUCUCAUUGAAUCAAUUAGGAGAUCUUUAGGAUCCCGGGGAAGAAAAGCGGGCUCCUUUUCAUUCUCCUCUACAUUAAACAGGUCAAGAGGUAAGUUAGUAUUGGGGUGUUGAGGUAAUUCCGUGUUGGGAUGUUCUCCUAUCCCUUGAGAGGAACCAUCUCUUCUUGUUUUAGGGGCCUUCUUCCCUCUGCGCAGGAGGGCGGCUUUCGUAGCUAUCUCUCUCAGCGUCGGCUUGCCAUCAUCAUUAUCUUCUUCUACGUGAUUGACCAUCCUUACCGUAUGGAUAGUCAACCUUCUGGAGCUCCCUUUUUGUUUCACCGGAUUAUUAGAUGACACGAUAGAGUUCUUCACUCUCCAUUGCUUAGUAAUUUUCUUAUUCGGCUGCAAUGGUUGCUUCCGCCCCCUAAUUGCAGAUGUAUUUUCCUCAUUGCAACACCUUUUAACCUCUUUCAAGGCCUUAUAGAUGCGUUGAGAUAUAGUUGUCUCUUUAUGUUUUGGCGAGACCUUGUUGACAGGCCGUUGGUGGCUCGCCUCAUUGAUAGGUCAUAGGUGACCCAUUUCCCUCUCAGGACGGAGGACCGCAAUGGGUGAAUUCUUUUUGAAAAACUUGAGCCGGGCAAACUUGUUAUGCAUGAGGCUUGCUAGUUGGACUACCACCUGACCGGCGGUGGUGCUUUUGUUCCAUUGUUUUCCCUCACUUGUCUUCUCUUUAAAGAACGUUGAGCGUUUCUUUUAAAAGAUUUUGAUUUUGGAUGAAGUGCCAUCUCGGCCACUUCACCCGUAGAGGUUGUCAAUCUAUUGAAAACUGAUUUUCUUGGAGCCUCCGGAUCAAUGGUUUCAGAAUUGACAGGGGCCAAUCUUUUAAAGACAGAUGUCCUUGCAAGCUGGCCAUCAGAAAAUUUGAGUCGACCCUCCAUCACCAUUCUUGUUGCAGCAGAGGGAACACUAGUCGCUCCUUGGCAGGCCGGCGAGGUGGAUUCGGGAUGAUGACGUUUGGGCGCCUCCCACGUGAUGGAAGACGUGAAAUCGCACGGCUGUUGGGAGCCAAAAUAGUUUUGUCCUUGGAGUACGUCGAAGUCCUGCCCCCACCAAUUUGAGUGACUAGCUGGGGAAUGACAAUAGCCAGAAUGUCCUCAGUGAUGGUGCCAAACUGGAUGGUGACACCGGCAGCCUCUAUCUUCAUCAUAGAAGCGGGAAAGCGGAUGUGUGCUGCAUUGACCGUGUUGUUGCUUGAUGCCAUUGCUCUACAUAUAUAAGACAACAGACGUUAGUCACAUAUAAAUAUAUUCUGGCCUUUUAUCAGCAUUUAUUAAUUAGGUCUCAAAGAUGGAGGGUGAAGCCAUGUCCCACUGGUUAAUUAGGUCUCAAAGAUGGAGGGUGAAGCCAUAUCCCACCGGGCGUGCCAUUUUGUCUGCCGCAAACGAACCGGCCUCGCCGUAGGUGUUUCUAGGGCGAGUGGUCAUUCAAAGUAGAGUUUAAAUUUGUUUAAAUUUUAUUUUGAGAUCAGGAUUAUAGGUUCAUGGCUUCUAUAAUAUAUCACAUCCCUCGUGAAACGUGUCGAGUUCCGUCGAAAUGUGCGGAAUGCGCAGUCGAACAAGUUUGUAUGGGCCCCUAGUGCUUUGGAGCCCAUAUAUAGUGCGAAGGGACCCGAGAGAGUGAAAUUCUAAAAUCUGGCUAAGUGCCAGAUUUUGUGCUCUCGGGGACCGGUCCCUGAAGGAGAGACCGGUCCCCGUGCGUGUAGCCUGCCAAGAAUCCUGAGGCAACCGGUCCCUGGCAGUGAGACCGAUCCUCGGGAGACCGGUUCCUAGAGGAGAGACCGGUCCCUCACUACGCAGCCAGCCAAAAACUUGGAAAUUUGGCUAAGUCCUGGAAACCCAACGUUCGGGAACCGGUCCCUGGUCGAGGAGACCGGUCCCCGACUGCGAAAAUUGCCCAGCAAGGGCUGAAACAGAAUUUUGAAAUUAGAAGGGCCUAGUUGCAAAUGUUACAACAUGUUAUAUGCCCUAGCUCUCUCCCACAGCUCUUUCUCACCUCUCUCUCAUUUUCUCUCUUCUCUCUCUCUAGAACUCUAGGAUUUGGUGGAAGAGAAGGAGAAGAAGCAAGGAGAAGUGGAUUUUUGGUGGGUUUGGUGGGUCUAGGAGCUUUCCAACAAAGAGGAGCUUGGUGGAACUUGGGCUAAGGUGAGUUUCUAGCAUGUAGAACUCUAGGGUUUGGUUUUAAACCUUGGGAUUUAGAGUUUUGAUCCUCUAAUUAACCUAGAAACCCUCUAUUGACCUUGAAACCAUGAAAUCCAUGGUUUUCUUAGGGAGAUCUCAUGGUGGAUCACUAGGGCUCAUGGUAGAUGCCCUAGGGAUGGUUCCAAGGGCCUAGAAAUCUUAGUAGAAUGCUUCUUAGAUGAUUCUAAGCUAUUAUUUGCUUAGGGAUGAGAUCAAUCUAGGAGCUAUCUCAUUAGGGCAUUGUUAGGGUUCAAAUUUAGGGUUUUUGCCCUAGGAUUUUUUGGGGACGAAUUGACCCCGUAGAAACCCAAUUGGGGGUGCCCUCGGCGCAUUGGACAACUCCAUUCGAUGUUACGAAAAUGUUUGAGUAUAGUUCAUGUACAAAAGGCCUAAUAUGGCACUAUUUUGGUUAUAGGGUGCGAAAUCGGCUUUUGUAAAGUUCGGGAGUCGUCACAUUCUACACCUACACGACUACGCGAGGUCGGGGGUGCACGCCGGAAUCGUUGGAUUCCCUACUAUGUCUAUUUCACUUUUGUUGAGAAUAAUAUUAUAUAGCACCGUUCAUGCAUAGUAGGGUUAAUUUACAUGUGAACUUUGGUUGUUUCCACUAUGUAUUUAUCUUAAUGUAUUUGAAUAUAGAGAGCCAUGGAACCAUGAUGGACAUGUAGUGUUGAACCCUAGAGAUUGCAUGAUUGUGAGACUUGGACUUGACAAUAGAAAACAAAGGUGACCUUGACAAUAGAGACAAGAUUGGCAUUGACAAGAAUGAUUAGAAAGUGACAUGAACAAAUAGGUAGCAAACCUAUCAUAAAAGUGGCAUUGUGACUAGUGGCUAAGUAUUCUCAAGUUGGGGAUUCGAUCGAUACUCAUGAUAAGUGUUGGCUUGAGGGAGGUAGCUCACCCUCAAGUGGUGAGUUUCCGUAAAUAGUCACCUAGGGGAGCGAGGUCCCCGUAGACGGUCCCUCGGGUCGGUAGUGCUUGGAGCCUCCCCGGUAAAAAGGGAUUUAGGUUAUGAGUUAUUGGGGUUAACAAGGUUAACCGGUAAGAUUGGAUAUGAGCCAAAGCUUAUUUAUGAUUUGAGCAUGCAUGCAUUUCCAUUAUCGCAUUGAAUAUAUAUAUAUAUGACCUCCUUCUUGCAGGCAUAGUAUUAGUUGCAUUAGUAUUGGUUACUUUCUUUCCAUUGAAAUAUUUAUGCCUGGAUAGACCUAGUGGGUAAGUCGGCGAGGUCGGUUGCCGAACCCACUGGGAACUUCGUUGUAGUUCUCACACCACUAACCCUACAGGUCCUAGUGCGAGCGAGGUGGCAGAGGACCGAGGCAAGGGUUUAGCGCCGUAGAUAGCGGCCACCAGGACUUCUUUCAUUUUGUAGUCAUUCCAUUUUUGGUAUACAUGUAUCAACUUUAUUUUGUUGAACUAGAGCUCUAAUGUUGGAAACAAUCUUGUAUUUUGGUGGAAUGGCCAAAUGUAAAAGGAUAUGAUGGGUUAAUGAAAGAUGAAUGUAAUAGUUUUAGUAUACUUGUAUUUGGUUUAAAUUAAUCAAAUAUCUCGUAUGGUUGUAUGUUUUAGUUAGAGCUUUUGCUUUCGUUAUUGCUUGCCUUCGUGCAAGCCUUAUAUAAUUGCUAAUCUCAUUGUUUGAUUGCCUUAUUAUACUUGUUGUUAGAGCUUUGGGCGGACAGGAGAGGCUCUGUCCGUUCGGCAUCUGUGGACGUGACCCGAACCCAACCAAAUUGGCGUGGAUUAGGGCAUGACAGAUAUAAUGGUAUCAGAGCGAAGUUGAAAGCAAAAGUCUAGGAAUGACCUAGGAACUAUAGGUUUGGAGACCAUAGGGACUUAGAAAAACGUUUAACGUGAACUUGGCUUAUGCGAAAGCGAAUGAUUAGGUUGACGGUAACACUUCUCUAGAAGGAAGUAGAGAUGGAUUAGAAGGCUUAAUUGUUGUCUACUUAAGGGACUUUGUGGGGCGGCUGACCACAUGACACCGAGAGUAGAAAUGAUUAUGCUUGUUGCUUUCGCUUAAUUGGGUAGUUAUUUGGAACGUGUAAGAGUCACGUGUGUUGAGUACUAAUGCGUGUGAUGCGUUUCAGGAAUAAUGUCCCCGAGACGCUACACGCGUAGGGCCGCUUCGGCACUGCCUGAUGAAGUGCCCAAGCAAACGGGAUCGGAUGAAGUGCGCGAGCUACGAGCCCAAGUAGCGGCAUUGGCCGGGGCUAUGCAGCUACAAAAGGAGCAGAUUGGAUAGCUCCACGAGAUGGUGGCGCGACAGGCGGCAGUGGCAUCUGUGCCGAGGGAUCCGCCCGCACCUGCUGCUCCUGUAGCACCACCUCCUGCGGUGGCGGCAGCACCGGUGACGGCUAUUCCUCCGACGGUAUCGGGUUCAUUGGCUCCUAUUCCCGAUGUACUUGAGGCUGAGUAGGAGCGCACGUUGGCGGCGUUGACGGCAUUCAAGCGGUUCAACCCUCCGACCUUUAACGGCGAUGUGAAGGACCCGUGGGUGGCGGAAAGUUGGCUAGCCGCGAUGGAGGCCUUGUUCGAGGAUAUCUAUACCUUCGAGAAGGAUAAUGUUCACCUUGCGGCUCAUUGUUUCGAUGGGUCUGCACGGUUGUGGUGGACUCAGGCAAAGAAGAAUCAUUCGUUGGAGCACGCUUCUGUUACUUGGGAGAUGUUUCGAGAGAUGCUACUUAUGGAGUAUUUUCCCGAGAGCGACAAAAGGAAAAUCAAGGAGGAUUUUCGGAAGCUAAGGCAAGGAAGUCGCACGGUGUGAGAGUAUAAACGGGAGUUGAAACACCUCGUCAAUUGCGUGCCGAGCUUGGUUCAUGGCGAUAGGGACUGAGCAGAGGCAUUCGAGUGCAGGUUGCGACCCGAGAUUUUCGAGGUCAUACAUGCCUUCCGGUUGAAGACCUACGAGGAAGUGCUUGAUCGCGCGCUUUGGGUGGAGCGCGGCAAUGCCAUUGCGCGAGAUGAGCGCGAGGCUUUUGAGAAGGAUAGGAAGAAGGACAAGUCCAAGAAGCGGACGUCGAGUGGACCUGCGGGGCAGUCGAGUUCUAAGCGACCCCCACGACAACAGCGAUCGCAGUGGCGGGGAGGUAGGAGUCAGACUCAGAGCCAGACUACCUACCCGUGCGUGAUAUGUGGCGGAGACCACCGAGUUACUACUUGCCCACAGCGGGAGGGGCGGUGUUACCGAUGCGGCCAACCAGGACACUUAGGCCGAGAGUGCCGGGCGGCGCAUCCCCAGCUCCGUCAUCAGCUUCAGUUCAGUACACUCAGCGACAGCUGGCGGGACUGCCACCCGCCGUAUCUCCUGGACGAUCGUCAACACCUCGUCAGCGGAGGCCUCUCGAGCACCUAGUGGGCGGGUAUUUGCCACUAAGGUGGAGGAGCCGCCGAUUUUCGUUCCCGACGACGUCGUGGCAGGUAUUAUUCUUAUCAGAGGCACUAGAGCUAGAGCCAUAUUUGAUACAGGUGCAUCACAGUCAUUCAUAACAGCAUCAUUUGCACUAGCUCAUGACAUAGAGGUCACGCAUUAUGAGGAUUAUUGGACGGUGACAGCACCUGGACUUACGUUUCAUGUGCAUGACGAGUGUUUGGACUGCCCAGUGCAGAUAGGCGAUUGGAUCAUGCCGAUCGACCUAUUAGUGUUGAAGCAUCUGUGGGGCUUUGACAUAAUCUUGGGUACCAACUGGCUCUCCAAGUAUUACGCGGUUAUCGAUUGCGAAAGGAAGGUGAUCACUUUUCGUGAGCCUGACCAAGAGGAGAUGGUUUAUAAGACGGGUAAUGGUGCGCGUUUUGCGGCGACCAUAUCAUUGGUGAGGGCAAAGAAAAUGAUUAAGGGUGGUUGCAAGGCCUACUUGGCGACCAUCGUGGAUCCUCAAAAGGAGCACCCGGAAUUGGAAAGUAUUCGAGUGGUAUGCGAGUAUCCGGAUGUAUUUCCGGCGGAGUUACCGGGAUUGCCACCGAACCGGGAAGUCGAAUUUGUCAUUGACUUGAUUCCUAGGGCGGCGCUAGUUUCGAAGGCUCCAUAUAGAAUGGCACCGGUAGAGUUGAAGGAGCUAAAAGCCCAGUUGCAAGACUUGCUCGAUAAAGGCUUCGUGCGGCCGAGUGUGUCUCCAUAGGGAGCUCCGGUGCUAUUUGUGAAGAAGAAAGACAGCACUCUUCGACUUUGCGUUGAUUAUCGCGAGUUGAAUAAGAUGACGAUUAAAACUAAAUAUCCGUUGCCGAGAAUUGAUGACUUAUUCGACCAGUUGCAAGGGUCAAGGGUAUAUUCAAAAAUUGAUCUUCAAUCGGGGUAUCAUCAGUUGAAGAUACGGCCCAAAGACGUGCAUAAAACGGCGUACCGUGCGCGGUAUGGCCAUUAUGAGUUCACGGUGAUGCCGUUUGGGCUUACUAAUGCCCCGGCAGUAUUUAUGGACCUAAUGAAUCGAGUCUUCCGUCCGCUAUUGGACCGGUGCGUCGUGGUUUUCAUUGACGACGUAUUGGUAUAUUCUCGGACCGAAGAAGAACACGAGGAGCAUCUAAGGCUCGUGUUCGAGAUACUCCGGAAGGAAAAGCUUUAUGCAAGACUAAAGAAAUGUGAAUUUUGGCUUUCGGAAGUUAUCUUCUUGGGUCACGUUGUAUCCGGAAAUGGCAUCUCGGUGGACCCAAAGAAAGUUGAGGCGAUUAAAGAUUGGCCUCGCCCAACAAGUGUGGCGGAAAUUCGUAGCUUUUUGGGACUUGCGGGCUACUACCGGCGGUUUAUGGAGGGGUUUGCUAAGAUUACAACUCCACUAACGCGCCUUACGCACAAAGGGGUAAAGUAUGUUUGGAGCCUCGAGUGUGAGCGGAGCUUUGAGGAGCUAAAGAAUAGACUGACAUCUACUCUGGUGCUUGCUUUGCCAACGCCGGGAGAAAGUUAUGUCGUGUACAGUGAUGCUUCAUACAUCGGUCUUGGGUGUGUCUUAAUGCAAAAUGGCCUAGUCAUAGCUUAUGCUUCGCGCCAAUUGAAGAGUUAUGAAAAGAACUACCCGACUCACGAUCUCGAAUUAGCGGCGGUUAUCUUCACGCUAAAAUUGUGGAGGCAUUACUUGUAUGGGGAACAUUGUGAGAUCUACACCGAUCAUAAAAGUCUCAAAUACUUGUUCACCCAGAAAGAGUUAAAUUUGCAGCAGCGGCGGUGGUUAGAGUUGCUCAAAGAUUAUGAUGUCACGAUUCUCUACCACCCCGGAAAGGCAAACGUCGUGGCUGAUGCUUUAAGUAGGAAGUCAGCGAAAAAUUUGGCGACGGAAAUUACACCCCAACCGGCUUUGCAAAAGGAGAUGCAGCGGUUUGGUCUAGAAGUGGUGGCGCCGGGAGUACCGGCAACGCUUGCCACAUUGGUUGUGUAACCGACCUUGUUGGAGAAGAUUAAAGAAUUGCAAGCGUCGGAUGGUUUUCUCCAAAAGGUGAGUUGAGAGUGGUAGUGCCGAUGAGUCUGGCAUUGGGACCGACGGCGCACUACGAUAUCAGGAUCGUUGGUGCGUGCCCAAGGACGACAAUCUUCGGAGGGCGAUUAUGCAAGAAGCGCAUCAAUCUCCCUAUAGCAUUCACCCGGGCGGCACCAAAAUGUAUCGGGACCUGAAAUUACACUAUUGGUGGCCGGGCAUGAAGAAAGAUAUAGGAGAGUUCGUGGCGCAGUGUCUUACGUGCCAACAAGUAAAGGCAGAACGACGAUUCCUAGCGGAAAAGUUGCAAAGUCUGCCUAUACUCGUGUGGAAAUGGGAAAACAUCACAAUGGAUUUCGUGACGAGUUUUCCCAGAUCACAAGGUGGAUAUGACGCGAUUUGGGUAGUUAUGGACCAGUUGACAAGAUCGGCACACUUUUUGCCGAUCCACACUACUUGGUCGAGAGACAAGUUGGCUCAAGUCUAUCUCGAUGAGGUGGUGAGAUUUCACGGGGUUCCGGUAUCUAUAGUAUCGGAUCGGGACCCUAGGUUCACAUCUCAUUUUUGGAAGAGCUUGCAAGAUGCAUUGGGCACACGGCUCGACUUUAGUACAGCAUUCUAUCCUCAAAGUCACGAUCAAUCGGAGAGGACUAUUCAAAUACUUGAGGAUAUGCUUCGAGCGUGCGUACUUGACUACAAGGACGGAUGGCACGAUCACUUUCCAAUGGCGGAAUUCGCGUACAACAAUAGCUAUCAAGAAAGUAUUGCGAUGGCGCCAUUCGAGGCCCUUUACGGAAGGAAAUGUCGAUCGCCAAUACACUGGAGCGAUGUGGGCGAGAAGAUGAUUCCUGGCCCGGACGUGGUGCGGGAGGCGGAAGAAAAAGUUCGCCUUGCCCGACAAAGAUUAGCGACGGCGCAAUCAAGGCAUAAGAGUUAUGCGGACAAGCGGCGAAAGGAUAUUGAGUUCGCGGUUGGCGACCGUGUAUUCUUAAAAGUGUCGCCGAUGCGAGGAGUUAAGCGGUUCAGUGUUCGCGGGAAGCUAAGUCCUCGCUAUAUCGGACCCUUCGAGAUUUUGGAACCAGUUGGCGCGGUGGCCUAUUGGUUGGCAUUACCACCUAGGCUCGCGGGAGUACAUGAUGUAUUCCAUGUAUCCCAACUCCGCAAAUACGUUUACGAUCCGGAUCAUAUUCUCUCGUAUAUACCGAUAGAGCUUCAGGAGGAUAUGACCUACGAAGAGUUCCCGGCUCACAUCACAGAUCGGGAAAUGAGGAAACUACGGAACCGCGAAAUCCCGUAUGUUAAAAUUUAUUGGUGCGAACAUGAUGACCGUUAAGAAACGUGGGAGCUCGAAAGCGAAAUGAGGGAGCGUUAUCCUCACCUCUUCGAGGAUCUGAAGUGAGGUAUGAAAUCUAGAUUUCAAACUUAGUAGUUUCGCGGAUGAAACUAAAUUUUAGGGGUGGAGAAUGCAACAUAUCACAUCCCUCGUGUAACGUGCCGAGCUCCGUCGAAAUGUGCGGAAUGCGGAGUCGAACAAGUUUGUAUGGGCCCCUAGUGCUUUGGAGCCCAUAUAUAGUGCGAAGGGACCCGAGAGAGUGAAAUUCCAAAAUCUAGCUAAGUCUCAGAUUUUGUGCUCUCGGGGACCGGUCCCUGAAGGAGAGACUGGUCCCCGUGCGUGUAGCCUGCCAGGAAUCCCGAGGCAACCGGUCCCUUGUAGUGAGACCGGUUCUCGAGAGAUCGGUCCCUGGAGGAGAGACCAGUCCCUCACUACGCAGCCAGCCAAAAACCUAAAAAUUUGGCUAAGUCCUGGAAACCCAACGUUCGGGAACCGGUCCUUGGUCGGGGAGACCGGUCCCCGACUGCAAAAAUUGCCCAGCAAGGGCAGAAACAGAAUUUUGAAAUUGGAAGGGCCUAGUUGCAAAUGUUACAUCAUGUUAUAUGCCCUAGCUCUCUCUCCCACAACUCUUUCUCACCUCUCUCUCAUUUUCUCUCUUCUCUCUCUCCAGAACUCUAGGCUUUGGUGGAGGAGAAGGAGAAGAAGCAAGGAGAAGUGGAUUUUUGGUGGAGUUGGUGGGUCUAGGAGCUUUCCAACAAGGAGGAGCUUGGUGGAACUUGGGAUAAGGUGAGUUUCUAGCAUGUAGAACUCUAGGAUUUGGUUUUAAACCUUGGGAUUUAGAGUUUUGAUCCUCUAAUUAACCUAGAAACCCUCUGUUGACCUUGAAACCAUGAAAUCCAUAGUUUUCUUGGAGAGCUCUCAUGGUGGAUCACUAGGGCUCAUGGUAAAUGCCCUAGGGAUGGUUCCAAGGGCCUAGAAAUCUUAGUAGAAUGCUUCUUAGAUGAUUCUAAGCUAUUAUUUGCUUAGGAAUGAGAUCAAUUUAGGAGCUAUCUCAUUAGGGCAUUGUCAGGGCUCAAAUUUAGGGCUUUUGCCCUAGAAUUUUUCGGGGACGAAUUGACCCCGUAGAAACCCAAUUUGGGGUGCCCUCGGCGCGUUGGACAACUCCGUUCGACGUUACGAAAAUGUUUGAGUAUAGUUCAUGUACAAAAGGCCUAAUAUGACACUAUUUUGGUUAUAGGGCGCGAAAUCGGCUUUCGUAAAAUUCGGGAUUCAUCACAUUCUACACCUACACGACCAUGCGAGGUGGGGGGUGCACGCCGGAAUCGUUGGAUUCCCUAUUAUGCCUAUUUCACUUUUGUUGAGCAUAAUACUAUAUAGCACCAUUCAUGCAUAGUAGGGUUAAUUUACAUAUGAACUUUGGUUGUUUCCACUAUGUAUUUAUCUUAACGUAUUUGAAUAUAGAGAGCCAUGGAACCAUGAUGGACAUGUAGUGUUGAACCCUGGAGAUUGCAUGAUUGUGAGACUUAGACUUGACAAUAGAAAACAAAGGUGACCUUGACAAUAGAGACAAGAUUGGCAUUGACAAGAAUAACUAGAAAGUGACAUGAACAAAUAGGUAGAAAAUCUAUCAUAAAAGUGGCAUUGUCACUAGUGGCUAAGUAUCCUCAAGUUGGGGAUUCGAUCGAUACUCACGAUAAGUCUUGGCUUGAGGGUGGUAGCUCCCCCUCAAGCGGUGAGUUUCCGGAAAUAGUCACCUAGGGGAGCGAGGUCCCCGUAGAUGGUCCCUUGGGUCGGUAGUGCUUGGAGCCUCCCCGGUAAAAAGGGAUUUGGGUUAUGAGUUAUUGGGGUUAACAAGGUUAACCGGUAAGAUUGGGUAUGAGCGAAAGCUUAUUUAUGAUUUGAGCAUGCAUGCAUUUCCAUUAUCGCAUUGAAUAUAUAUAUAUAUCUGUUGACUUCUUUCUUGCAGGCAUAGUAUUAGUUGCAUUAGGAUUGGUUACUUUCUUUCCAUUGAAAUACUUAUGCCUGGAUAGACCUAGUGGGUAAGUCGGCGAGGUCGGUUGCCGAACCCACUGGGAACUUCGUUGUAGUUCUCACACCUCUAACCCUACAGGUCCUAGUGCGAGCGGGGUGGCGGAGGACCGAGGCAAGGGUUUAGCGCCGUAGAUAGCGGCCACCGAGACUUCUUUCAUUUUGUAGUCAUUCCAUUUUUAGUAUACAUGUAUCAACUUUAUUUUGUUGAACUAAAGCUCUAAUGUUGGAAACAAUCUUGUAUUUUGGUGGAAUGGCUAAAUGUAAAAAGAUAUGAUGGGUUAAUGAAAGAUGAAUGUAAUAGUUUUAGUAUACUUGUAUUUGGUUUAAAUUAAUCAAAUUUCUCGUAUGGUUGUAUGUUUUAGUUAGAGCUUUUGCUUCCGUUGUUGCUUGCCUUUGUGCAAGCCUUGUACAAUUGCUAAUCUCAUUGUUUGAUUGCUUUAUUAUACUUGUUGUUAGAGCCUUCGGCGGACAAGGGAGGCUCUGUCCGUUCGGCGUCUGUGGACGUGACCCGAACCCGACGAAAUUGGCGUGGAUUGGGGCGUGACAGCUUCCAACAUACUCAAGAAUCUACUGUUAAUUACCCCACACUUUCGGUGUUAAGGAACCCUCGAUUAAAAAACCAAAUAUAAAUGCUGAUAAUAAAAGAGACAAAACAGGCAAAUAAAAUUUUAUUAAUAUGAUUUGCCAUGUACAUGGCUUAAGCAGGGGCAUACCCCCACUAUGCAUAAAUUUUAUAAGAUUAGAUACUCAAUUUAGCGACUUGGUGGUCGAUUGAAGUUUUGAUGCUCAGUUUAAUGACAUGGCGGUCGGUUUAAGUUUGGUUUAACGACUUUACAGUCGUUUGGAUUGGAUUUAGUUUAACGACUUUACAGUCGUUUGGAUUGGAUUUAGUUUAACGACUUUACGGUUGUUUGAACUUGGGUUUAGUUUAACGACUUUUCGGUCGUUUGAAUUUGGGUUUAGUUUAACGACUUUUAGGUCGUUUGAAUUUGGGUUUAGUUUAACGACGUUUCGGUCGUUUGAAUUUGAGUUUAGUUUAACGACUUUUCGGUUGUUUGAAUUUGGGUUUAGUUUAGCGACGUUUCGGUCGUUUGAAUUUUGAUUUAGUUUAACGACGUUUCGGUCGUUUGAAUUUCGGUUUAGUUUAACGACGUUUCGGUCGUUUGAAUUUGGGUUUAGUUUACCGACUUUUCGGUUGAUUGAAUUUGGGUUUAGUUUAACGACUUUUUGGUCGUUUGAAUCUGGGUUUAGUUUAACGACGUUUCGGUCGUUUGAAUUUGGGUUUAGUUUAACGACAUUUCAGUCGUUUGAAUUUCGGUUUAGUGUAACGACUUUUCAGUCAUUUGAAUUUGGGUUUAGCAACUUUUCGGUCGAUUGAAAUCGAGAUGUUCAUGAAACUGAUUCAUGAAAUUAAUUCGUGCUAGGAGCCCAUUUGUAAAGUCCAUUAAAUUAAUUGAUGAAAUUAAUUCAUGAUAGGGACCAUUUGGAGAGUCCAUUGAAUUAGGUUUAUAAAAUUAAUUUAUGAUAAGGAGCCAUUUGGAAGGCCCGUUAGUUCAUGAAAUUAAUUUAUGAUAAGGAAGGCCCAUGAAAUUAAUUCAUAGAAUUAAUUCGUGAUAGGGGCCUAUUUGGCAGACCCAUGAAAUUAAUUUGUCGAAUUAAUUCAUGAUAAGGGGUCCAUUUGGAAAGCCCAAGAAAUUAAUUCAUAGAAUUAAUUCAUAAUAAGGGUCCCAUUUGGAAAGUCCAUAAAAUUAAUUCAUCAUAAGGAGGCCUAUUUUGCAAACCCAUGAAAUUAAUUCGUAGAAUUAAUUUAUGAUAAGAGGUCAUUUGGAAAGCCCAGAAAAUUAAUUCAUAGAAUUAAUUCAAAAUAAAGGGCCCAUUUGGAAAGCCCAUGAAUUCGGUUUGGGUUGGAGGUAUUUGGAUGACAUAGGUUUAGUAAAUAUGGUUGGGUUUUAUUUAUGGACUUUGGAUUUUGGAUCUUUGGGUUUUGGAUCUUUAUUUGUGGACUUUGGAUUUUGGAUCUUUAUUUGUGGAGUUUGGAUUUUUGGGAUUUUAUUUGUGGGCUUUGGAUUUUUGGUUGAGAAAUUUAUUCAUAUGGAUUUUUAUUGGUUUUGGAUCUAAAUCUGCAUGUGGGUUGAGAUUAGUUUCGAGCUUUACAUUUUCUGGACCUUGGACCCGAGUCUGCAUAUGGACUUGGAUUGGUUUUGGACUUUACAUGUUUUGGGCCUUGGACUCAAAUCUGCAGAUGGAUUGAGAUAAAUCUUGGAUUUUAUAUGUUCUGGGUCCAACUCUGCAUGUGGGCUGAGACGGGUUUCGGGCUUUAAUAUUCUGGGCCCGAAUCUGUAUGUGGGCUGGAUUUUUUAUUGAUUUUGAAUCCAAAUCUGCAUAUGGACUGGAUUUCGGGCUCUACAGGUUGUGGACCCGAAUUUGCAUGUGGGCUUGGUGCCUCUUUUUUUAAAAAAAAGUUUAUUCAUUGAGCCCAUAAAUAAAUAGCUCAAAUUUAUUUCAUCAACAUUUUUUUUUUGUUCUUUCUUAUUUUUUUAACUGAGAGAAGGAACAACUUUUUUUUUCUUUUCUUUUUUGUAUUUUUUUCUUUUCUUUUCUUUUCUUUUCUUUUCUUUUUUUGUGUUGACUGUCAGAGAGAGAGAGAGAGAUCCGACUCCCUCUCUCUUUGUCUCUGUGUGUACGAAAUUGAGAAAGAGAGAGAGAGGGAGGGGGUGCCUCUUCUUUUUUUUUUAUUGUUUCUUUUCUUUUCUUUUCUUUUCUUUUUUUUUGUUGGUUCUUCUUUUUUCUUUUUUUCUUUUUUUUUUGACUGCCAAAUCCCUCUCUCUCUGUAUGAAACCGAGAGAGAGAGAGGGGUUGCCCUCUAUUACCUUUUUUUUUUUCUUUUCUCUCUCUUUUUUUUUGUUUGUUCUUUUUUUUUUUCUUUGUUGGUUUGACUGCCAGAGAGAGGGUUGGAAACCCAACUCUCUUUCUCUCUCUGUACGAACCGAGAGAGAGAAAAAGGGAGGGGUGUCCUCCUUUUCUCUUUUUUUAAAUUUUUUUUUUGUCCAAAUAUAAGAAAUUUCGUCUCUUUUUUUUUUAAGAAAUAUAUACGAAAUUGGUCACGUCGAGCAAUACAAUCGAAUCGAACGAAGAUGAUGACUCAAAACAGAACCCGUCCAUUUUUUUAUUAUCAUUCUUAUUGUUAUAUUUUUUUUGUCGCGUUUUGUUCAAGUACGCGGAGUUUAAUCGUGUCGAGCCUAUCACGAAGAUGGCCGCUCGAUUAAUUCUUUUGACCAUGUCGAGCCUAUCGCGAAGAUGGCCGCACGGUUUACGUAUCGAAAUAAACAGAGCUCGAUCACCUAUUUUGACCAUGUCGAGCCUAUUGCGAAGAUAGCCGCACGGUUUAUGUAGUAAAAUAUCCGGUUCGAUCAAUCAUUUUGACCAUGUCGAGCCUAUCACGAAGAUUGCCACACGGUUUAGAGAUUAGCAAUGCAUACGACGGAAGUGACGAUUUAAUGUCAAAUUUGAUCGGUUCGAAACCGAUCACGAAGAUGGUCGGGUUGAUCAAAUUGACAAAAAAGAACGCACGGUUUAGAGAUUAGCGAUGCAUACGCGCGACGGAAGCAACGAUUUAAUAUCAAAUUUGAUCGGUUCGAAACCUAUCACGAAGAUGGUCGGGUUGAUCAAAUUCACAAAAAAACGCACUUACGCUAUGCAUAUGCAUGCGUAUCUCCUAUCGUUAUAGAAGUCGUUGUGAUUGUCGUUAUCGAAGUCGUAGCUGAAUUCAAGAGCCAAAGUCCUUUUUUUCUUUUGCUGCGGUACGGACAAGGAAGGGGGGGUGCACAUGGCACCCCCUCUGCCAGCAAGACCAAAAAGGGGGGCUCCCCCCUUGGUAUAUGUACACGAGAGAGAGAGAGAAAGAGAGAGAGUAUAUAAACUCUCUUCUUUUUUUUUUACCUUUUUUUUUCCUUCUUUCUUCCUCUUCUUUCUGUUCUUCUCUUUUUUUUCUUCUCUUUUCGGUUCUUCUCUCUCUCUUUUUUUUAUUUUUCAGAGGCCUCCUUAUAUUAAGCCUCUAAUGGCUUAUACUUUUUUUUUAGAAACUAUUCAAAAAAAGAAUUUGAAAAGGAAUGGUACCUUGAUUAAGAUAUGAAAUUUUUUUUCUUUUUUUUUUAGUAUCUUUUCUUUCCUUCCUUUUUUUUGAAAUAGGAAGUGGGAUUUUUUUUUUUUUUCAAAUUUUACAUCUUUCCCCCUUUUCUUCUUCCUCUCUUUUUUUUAUUUUUUUUUAACUCAAACACGAGGAUAGGCUCGAGGUAGGGAUAGCAAUGGUGGACGGUCACGCCCCCGACCGCACGACCCGAAAACGGUACCUAUUUGGUCCGGUUCGAGGGCGGCGGGCAUGAGGCCGAACGGACAGAGUCUCCCCUGUCCGCCCAAGGCUAACCAACGAGAUUGUGUACAACAAGUCCCCAGGAAAACAACUUGGAUUCAUACACAAUCAAAUAACGAUAACACAAACAGUGUUAAAAUCAUCAAGAGCAAGCGAUACUAGUAAAGGCAUACAAGUAUACAAAAGAGAGAAACUUAACUAUUUGAACCAUAAACUUGAAGUAUUUAAAUACAACUUGCAUUCAACUUCAUUUAAACCUUCAUACAUUGUUUCCAAUCUUUUCCAAAAUGUAAAUACAUCAAAUACUCUCCAAAACCUCACCCUAUACAACAUCUACUCUCAAAAUAUAAAAACAGGGUGGAGCUAAUGCAAGUAGGAAAGUAAACUAUCAACUGAUACCACUAGGGCGCUAAGCCCUUGCCGCGAUCCUCCCGCUCGGUCGGGACACUCGAACUAGCACCUACAACAAAGGGUGUGAGAACUAUGAAUAGUUCCCAGUAGGUUCGGCCGCCGACUCCACCGAUCUACCCACUAGGUCGAAGCAGGCAUAGAGAGAUAUAUAUGCAAUAUAUAAACAAAGCUAAACUAGCUAAAAGCAAAUAUGAUAACUGAGCAAGUAAGGAAACGUAAGCAAGUAGGUAGAAUCAUGAAUAUCUAGCUAUGCCUCAAUCUGAUAUCAUGCAUGCAUGAACGAUAAAUAAAGCUGUGUAGAAAGCUGCUAUGAACAACAACAACAACAAGUAAGGUAAUGUGAACAACCAUAGGAAAGCUACUAUAAACAACAAGUAAUGAGUGUGACUCAAUAGGUUACCCAAUUUUAGAAUGAACUCGAGGUUCACAAGCAUAACUCACGUGUAAGUCUCAUAGGGAAAGUCUCAUUGAACUACUCCCGAGACCGCCUGCGGACAGCACACAGACCGUCCAGACAGCACACUGACUGUCCCUCUAGUGACCAACCUCCGGAGUGCACAGCUUGUGGGGAGCGACCCCUCCAAGCGCAGACAGGCUAUGUGAGCACGAUCACUCACGAUCAACAACAACCUAUCCUCUGAGGGUAAUCUCAUCAUAGAAUCAUGGCGUUCUAAUACCCAAUCUCAGUGUUUCAACUACACUAGGGUUCUCAUGUCAUAAGCUAUCAACAAUCAUAUGCCACUCGUCAUAGUUUUCUAUGUUAGAUGCCACUUGCCACUUGCCAUUUUGACUCAUUUUCAACACUAGUUACAUCAUACUAGUUCUUUAGUAGCAGAAACUUUAAUCAUCUCAUAUAGGGUCUAGGUUUUCAUGCAUACUAGAUCAUGGAUCAAUCAACAAGAUAUAUAUAUAUAUACUAGCAUGCAAAUAUAAGCAACAACAAUCAUCUUCUAACCCUAUAUGAACUUGAGCAAAAAUGCAAUUAGAUCAAUAUUAAACUUAGACAUAGAAAGUAGCCCCGCGGCUUCGGGAAGGUCACCACCCACCUUGUGGUAGUGCCGGAAAGCUAAGAAACUCGGCGUCGCGAUCCACGUGCGCCGCUUCAACACCUGGGUCAAAACGAACCGUAGAGCGACCAAAUCGGCGAUAUCUCCGCGCUCGCUCGUCGGAUCGACGAACCGUCUUCGCCUACGCGUUCGGGAACAUAAUAAUUAGAUUUCCGACCCAUCAAAAUAGAUCAAAACCCUAUAUUCCCAAAAACCCCAAAAUCUAACCCUAGGUUUAGCACCCAUGGAAAAUCAUGGUUUCUAGCUUCAUUGUGAGCUAAAUCCAUGUCCUCUAAACUCAUUAGGUUCCAUUCGAUCCAUUAAAACCAACAAAAAGCUCCCAAAAUCCUAGAAUCUCAUAUUAGGGUUGAGGCUUACCUUUAGGAUUUGCUCCCAAGCAAGCCCUAGCUUGAGGAAGAGGAGGGUGAGAAGCUUCUUCUUCUUCUCCUUGAUCUUCUCCUUCCUUUCCUUCUUCUUCUCUUUCUUUCUCUCCUUCUUUUCUUCUUCUUCUCUUUCUUUUCGGUUAGAGAGAGAGAGAGCUAGGUGAGAGGGAGCGAGAGAGGCUGAGAGUGAGAGAGAGAGAGGCUGAGAGAGGUGUUAUAACCCUCUAAUGUAACAAAAUCCCAAAAAGCCCCUCUAUUUUCUAAAUUUUCGACCAGACCUGCUGUUUCGGGUCCCUUGUACCGGUACACGGGUCCUUGUACCGGUACAAGGCCUGGGUGACAGCCGAACCCGAGUGCAACCCGAGCGCUCGGUUUCUCGGUUUCGACGGGUUUGUACCGGUACAAGAAGGCCUUGUACCGGUACAACACCUGGAACCCUCAAACCCGAGAAACAUUGAUGGUUGUACCGGUACAACCAUCACCCUUGCACCGGUACAACAGCUCCAGAAAGCUAUUUUUCACCUCGCUUCAGCUCUACCUCACGCCGAUCGAUGUCAAAACCAUUCCAACACCUUUGGAACUCAUUUUUGCUCUUCCAAACUUGUUGGAAUGCCGAAUGGAACGUGUCCAAACCGUUCAAUUGCUCACUUUGGUCCAUUUGGCCAAAGUUAGCCAAAUUCCAUCGAGUUCAAUAUCUCACAUGGACUGACUCUCUAGGCAAUGUGAAUAGCUGAAUGCGAGAGUCGAGUCAUGAUAUUUGAGGGUGCCUUAGUAGCCCAGAGUUCCGGUUUUGAUCCGGUGGACCGAGUGGUGAUAGUGGAUCACUAUGGUGAGAAUAGUUUGACGGUCGCCAAAUUCUGGCGAGUUGGUCUUGUAGUACCUCAACCAAUGUAGUGCUUCUGAGCUUUGGAUAGGAUUGGCUUCAAUGUUGGUGACUGGUCGACACAUCUGGUGAGUGUCGGACUGAGUCGGAGUCGUUUCUGCACGAAAUAGAUGCAGAAAUGGACUCGGCACACUUAAAUUAGAAAAAUUAGAGUUUUGCCAGAUUCGGGCGCCUAGAACUGGCUUUGGGUCGCCCAGAAGUUGAGUGCAGAACUGAGCAGAACUGGAAGCCAAUUCGGGUCCAUAUUUCGGGCGCCCGGAUGUGGGUUCGAAAGUUCACCUCGUGAGUAUCGUUUGCGCUGACACGUGGCUGAUGGUAGGUGAGGUCCGCCGGAGCUGGUUAUGGGCGCAGCACACCGCGAGCGGAGAGUUCGAGGAGGAAGCUUUGUGUAGCCUGGAGGAUUCGGGCGCCCAUAAUGUGGGUCCGGGCACCCGGAAGUGCCCGAGUCUGCAGAGACACCAGAUUGCAGCAUCUAUUCUUGGGGCUUAUUCUACCAUUCCAGCACCCUAUAAAUAGGUGGAGAGUGACCCUGGUGAGCUCUUUUCACUCUCUCUUUACAGUAGCACCUCUGAUUUCUCCUCCACUCCUCGAAUUUCCUCAAUUUGCACCCAAUCUUUCAAUUGGAAGGUGGUGGAGUGCUGAUCCUGUAGUUUUUCAGCGACGAUUUUGGUGUUUUGGCUCGUGUGCGACGUAGGAAGGUCGGAUUGCGGUGAAACUUGGUUUGCUGGAUUCUAAACUUCCAGAGGAAUCCACGAAGCCCAGAAUUUUAGAUUUUGGUUGAGGUUAGCUUGGUCGAUUCUAUAUUUUUCUGGACUGCUGGUGACUUUGAUCUAAAAAUCUGUUUUCUUGGGUAUUCUUGAUGCUAUUCUUGGAAGGAGUGGGAUUUUGGACCUGAGGUUGAUACUCCAUCAUUAUUCACUGGAUUUGAAACUUGCCUCACCUGAAUUGGAGAUUAUUAGGUGAAUUUUGAUAUUGGAGUUGAGACAAUGUAAGCUUAAGUGUUGAAAUUUGGUGAAUUGAUGGAUUUUGAUGGAUUUUGGGUGUAGAUCCUUUGAGUAGCUUUGUUGCUGGUUGUGGGUGAUCUCGGCUAAGGCUACCAGCAUUUGUGACCUUCUUGCUGCCAGGGAAUUGCUCUAGAGGUGGGUUUAUCAUUGGUUUUGCUCCUAAGUAUAUGUACAGUAACAUGUAUAGUUUCGACUUCAGAAUAUCAUGUUGUAGCUCAAAUUCAUCGAUUGGUAUAAUAUAGGAAAUCUGAAUUUGGAGCAUGAAUAGUAAUUAGUUGAAUAUACAUGUUGGACUUGGAACUUGACUUAGGAGAAAACCAGCGAUUCGACCUGUCAUAUGAUUCUACUACUUGAUUUAGCUCUAGGAGCCGUGGUUUGAGUGUAUCACUGCUGUUUCAGCGCGAUGGAUACCCGGGGUAGUUUAGAAUGCAUUUACGCUUGUCCUAGGAUGCCGAGCUUAUUUUAUAGCAGAGUCUAGGCUGUUUCGGGUUGUCGGGUGCCGUCGGGGUGGACGGUGGACCCAGAUUUUUGGUCUCAGAUUGUGCCGAGGGCACGUGGGUUUCGUUUCUAGACCUGUUUUGACCCUAGCUACUUGACUUUGGUUUGUUAGAGCCUAAUUGAGCUCGACAGAGAUACGUUUGCAUACUCGGUUGGGUAGCGCCCACGAGUGCCACCGGAGUCGGGCUUAGUGCGUUUGCGUUUGUGUCGUUCGUGCAGGUUGGACUUGCUCUCUACGAACUGGUUAGUGUGGAGGUAGCUGUAUAGUUGCGACCAGGCGGGAUGGGUGUGUUCACGUCCCAGGGACGGGUAUGAUUACAGUCCUUAUUUGAGAUUGGGUCUGUGUUGACAUUGUACUACAGAGGGUUAGAGUUAAAGCAUGAUAGUAUAGCGAUAUUUAGCUGUAUAUUUGUUCCAGCUUUCUUUACUAUUCCUGCUUAUCCCUGUAGACUUAGUGGGUGGACCGAUGAGUUUGAGGGCGGUACCCACUGAGGACUACUUGUUUUUACAGUAGUUCUCACACCUUGUUGUUACCACUGUUUUGCAAAGCCGUCGCCUUCGGCUGCUGCUGUUGCUGAUCUUGAUUGUGGCAAAGGUGUCGCGAGUUAGAGCCCUUCUAGUCGAGUCGCAGAGCUAGAGGAGCUCCAGCUACAGGUAGUUGUAGUUUUUGGGUCUUUACAUACAGUUAUUAUAUCUCGCCAGAGCGAGUGUUUAUAUACCUGGAUGACAUGUAUGUAUUGAACCACAGUUUAUAUAUUUGGUUUAUUUUUCUAGCUGCUCUAUACUACUGUUUGUGGUAUUGUAUGAUUACAGGUACUACUUUUUCGCUUCGUAUACAGAGGAAUUACCUAUGUAUACGGCGGGUCUGUUAGCGAGCCCGAGGAACGAGUAAUCCGGGACGUGACAACCAAGGUGGGGGAAAUUGUGCUCACGUACUUGUGAGCAUAGGCAAGGUUGCCUAGUGCUUGAUUUAAAAUGGAAAGGCGUAAGACGCUCGAGUAUAGGUACUCGUGGAGUGCGAAUUUGGUUCAGCCUAGAGAGUGUGUUGGCAGUAGCACUUGAGCGUUGCUAGGUCUAAAGUAGGUCAUGGAUCACUUGUAGUGCUAGUGGCUCUCACUAGGUUCUUAGGAGCCGAAAGAGAUAUGUAUUGCUCGGCAGAGUGUGUCGUGAACGACGACGAUGGCGGAUAUUACUUGAAGACGAUCCGUGCCUCGACCAUUUGUGGACUGUAGAGCUUGGGGUCAUGUGGAUAGGCGUAGUCAGCUGUGUGGGAGAGCGGCCCGAUACCUAUGGGUAGGGCAGAGGUUUGUUGAGGUCACGCCUCCUAUUCCUGUGAGCUCCGGAGUUGUAUCACAGUGAGAUUAAGACAGGAGAGAGAGGCAUGACGAUGCGCUCCAGGCGGACGAGUCACGUGUUGACAGGCGAGUGCGGUUCGACCAACCGGCGGCGAACUGCUUGGAUUUGGAUCAAGGCAUGUUCAUGGCAUUUCAUAUAGUGAUGCAUUAGAACAUUGAUAGUUAACAUUGUUAAAGAUAUAGUAGAAUCUUGACAUAUUUGGUAAAGGCAUAGUGAUACAUUUGAAGCAUGAUAUAGAUGUAUAUGUGCAUGUUGGGCUUAUUGUUUCUAUCUUCCUUAUCAUAUUGACCUUUCUAUUGUCUCUAUGCCUUCUUAGACCUAGUGAAAAAAUUGGAGGGGUUGGCAGCCAAACCCACUGGGAACUUUGUUUGGUUUUCACACCCUGUUUUCCAAAGCCAAGCGCGAGCGCAUUCAUCGAGGACGUGGCUUGGGCGUUGAGCCCUAGAUAGUGUGGACCACCGGGACUAGAUUACUACCCCUAUGCAUAGCAAGAAAAGAAAAGAAAUGCAUAACCCUUUGUGAGAGAUUUUGAGAUGAAAUAAUGGCGUAUAUGUGAGAUAUCCUUUUGUAUAUAAAGGAGAUGUCAAUUUGUAUGUAAAUGAGAAGUUUAAAGAAUUUAAAUGUGAAAAUGCGAUGUAAUAGAUAGCUUUAUUUCUCUCGCAUCUGUGUAUACCUCUUGCAAAUAUUUUGUUGCUAAUAUCUCCUGUGUCGGGUUGUGACAACACAUGUCCACACGCAUCUACGGUCUACACUGCACCAAGUACACCAAAAAUAGCUUAAGGACAUGUGUCAUAUCUUGAUCUGGAUGAUCUCCACCUUUAUUUAUAAAACACUGAAAGUAUCUACUAGUAAGCUUCAUAACAAUACAAAUAAACUAGUUCUGUUUUCUACUCCAAAACUCGUCUAAAUUUUAAAUAUUUCGACUUCAACUUUUAGUUAAUCUAUUCUUUUAGUUCUAAAACUCUAGACUAGCUCCUCCACUUAUAUGAAGUUUACUCUACUGAUAAAAGACAGUUCUUAAACCUUAACAUGUAGUUCACUGACGUGGAAUAUGUGGAGUUAGAUUACCUCAACGACUUGCGUUUUUAUCUUGAAACUACCUAUACCAUUUAAGCUACUAAUAAUCAAGUCCACGUGGGCUCUUGAACACCCCCCUUCGAAACUAAAGACGUACACACUAAAAUUUAUCCUAAGGGGUGUUCUUAAGAUUAUAAAGAGGAAUACUCGAAACCUUUCCAUCCUUCGGAUUAAACUUAAUAAAAUUUCACACCCCCACGGAUCGAUUUCAAUUCUAUGGACUCUUGUUCUUUUCCUUCUAACCAGGAUUCUGACAUCUAUGUCAAAAAUAUCCGAAACGAAAUCUAUCAUUGUGGUUGUCUAAAGAUCACCACUUAAGACUCUAUUCACUCUAAAGAUUAUUAUGGUAAUAACUUCGAUCUCUACGUCACAUAAAACUCCUAUAGAAAGGAAAAUCCUGAUCUCAUCUAUCUGGAUGAGGUCAACUCAAAACACAGGAUGAUCAACUUCUAUGAGGAAGAUGGAAACUGGUUCGAUACUUCAGACAUCUACGUAGGAAAACCUUUCUCCGAUAAUUAGAACUCUACGUUAGAUAAGAUGUCUUAGUAUGAACCCUUAAUCGUCUAAAUGGAUAUCCUACAUUCGGACAUCCGACAUCUACCUAGAAAUUCUUCUUCAACUCUGGACUACCAAGACAUCUAUUCAUAUUCCGAUCUGAUCACCGAGUUCCAAAACGUGUCUUCGGUCCACAUCUAAUAAAACUACACAUACGUGGACAACGAUCUUAAUGGAGAUAGUCCUAUAACAACCGGAAUCGAAGACAGGUGUCAAACUAACACGUAGUCUACCUACAAUUCUGUCGAAAAGACUUACCACUAAAUCUACUCCUCUAGAUAUACUUCGUUGGACUUCCUAAACAUCAAAGACCUGUAUUUUUAUUUCACACGUUUAACUGCUCUAGAAAUAUACCUGAAUUUGUUCGAGGAUUCGUCACCGUGAACUUUAAACUAAGAAAUCAACAUAGUUUACCUAAAGUACAUUUGUACAGACUACUUACACAUAUAAGUUUCCUUAUACUACAUGUCUAACACUAGGACACAAAUAUACAACUACUAUAAAACUAAAAACCAUGGUUAUAUUUACACUAUGUACUACACUUCUUUAAUGACUUACUCUUAAAACUAUACUUUCUAGAACCCGUUCGUCUACAUUAAGAGUUAUACUUCUAGUAAUCUCUUAGUUUUCUUUAACAAUACUCGGUUAGUGUGAUAUCACUUGUCAAUAACUUCUUCAAACCUAUAAAACUACAAUUUGGACAUCACUGUGGAAUACUAAGAUCACAUGUAGAAUUCUUCUUAUCUCCACUAGGUUAACCAGUCUUAUCUAUACGUGUCUAAUAUCCUAGAAACCCUAUAGAUCAUCUGAUAUGAUCUGGACUAUACCGAAUACGACAUUUGUCUAACUCUUCUAUAUGGGUAUUAGGCUUAUCUCUAGUAACCUUAUGAAAUCUUUCUCAAAACUCCAUAGAUUUCCCUUGAUAUAGAAUACCUAAUGUAAUGUCACUGAAAGGACGUCAUGAUCUUCCUAUAUCACUACGUUUAACCUAAUCACUAUGUCGACUACAUUUCAGAUGAUGACCUAAAUAAAAAGAGGAUCCUCCUCGUCGACAAAGAACCUUCAGUUGGUUUGUUAGAAACUAACGAUCUUCAUGAUACCUUAGACUUGAAUAUCGUAAUCUAUGGUGACAUUUUCUCCGAUUCACCUAUUCUCUUAAAGAAAUACUAAACGGUGACUACCUCGCUGGAAAUCGUGAUCACACAUAAGUAACACUAACAUCUAGACGUUAACUAUUUACACGGGUUCUCUUACACCUCUGAUUCUACUUAUCUAAAUACUUUCACUCUGUAUUCAAGUAAGCUGUCUUAUACUUCCUCUUACAUUAACGAAACCUUAAACACUCUAGACGUUUCUUAGACCGACUAGUCGAGUGGUUCCCUAACAGAUCCUGACACUAGGAUCUUAGCAGCUCCCCCUACCCCGACUCGGGUGUUACUUUCAAUGGCCGCUGCCGUUGGGUUGGACAACGUCCAAGUUACCCAUCUUUGUUCAGCUUGUCCAUCGACACUCCUCGUGACAAAAACAUAGGAGUAGGGAUACCGCUGUCACGAGUAAAGACGUUCACCUAUCCUUCCCGAAAUCGGGACUUACCAAGGCUCUGGGUACUCCGUCCCACACUGGAAUGUCUGUGGGAAGACUCCUGGAUGAUACACACACCUCAACACUCCGGCGUUGAUACCCUUCUCCCGCCAAGGGAUUUUGUGUGUACUUUGCUAUGAUCGCGUACCGGCAUUAUCGCGAGUGGGCGAAUCUUGGAUGUAUCGACAUGGUACACACGCCAAACACCUUUAGGCUAAGUGGCCGGAACCAAGUUCCGCUUCAGGUGGUAACACAGGAGCCUACAUGUAUCUGUUCGUGAUUCACUUCCAAGUUUGGGCUUUCCAUGGAAGCGGCUUAUGCACCAUAUUCUCUAGGUCGUAGGAAAACUCAAUAAAAAAAAAAAACUUAAAGUCAAAAGUAAAAACUUCAAAAUUUAGUACACCCCCUUACAAUCAUAAAACUAAAUUUUGUUCACUAAAUUUUGAAGAAAUAUACGAGUAUACAAAAUUUUGAAGUUAAACCGGAAACCUGAAACACCCGUCGGGUGACAGUUACCCGGAACGGACCCUCGGGUUCGAAACCAGAGAAAAGUACACCACAAAUCAGGGUGUAACCUUUCUCUGGGAGUGAACGAGACCAAAUAUAAGAUGAAAUAAGAGUAACAAUAAUGAACCCUUCACUACUCUCACCUCGAGAGCAGAUUUAUGUGCGUGCGCGCGUGCCGUGCUCGUGCUCGGCCCGGCCCGCCGCCGCGCGCACUUGGGCCAAGUAAAAUAAAAACAAUGUGAAAAGAAUAAAAUAAAAACCGGAAUGGACCUAAUCCAGGUCUAAACCAGGUCAGCUUUCCAGCGUGGAGCCCUGAGUUGGUCGGGGUUGCCAGAUGGAGCCCUUCCACCAGAAGGGCAACCUUGGGAAGAAAACGAGAGGAUAAAUGAUCCCACUCACCGACCCAAUCCUGUUAUCACUGUAUGUCUUUGGGAUCGGACUCGAAGAGGGGAAAAGAGAGAAGAAGUGACAAAACGACCUAGAGACUUUUCGACACUGCCAAGCAAGAACGCGGUGGGACUUCGGCACGGCUGCCCCACCUGCUUCCAGCAACAUAGCGAUCCUCACUAACGGCCGCGGAGCAUGCACCUCCCCGUUAGAACGAAGAUCCUGUCACGUUAGCGUGCGGAGCUGAGUGUCCGAGGUAGAUUAGGAAAUAAGAGAUAUCAAAAAUAAAUAAAGCAAGAAUUAGUUGCAAAGAUUUUUGUCACUUAUUCAACAAAAGUUUGUUUUAACAAAUAUGUUUAUAAACUGAUUUCUAAAGUUUUCUCUUGAUUAAAAAGGUUGUGGUGGAUGGUGGUAGUAGAGUUGGAGUGUAGAGAGGUAGGUUCCCGAUGUUUGUGUGUUCAUAGUGAACCCAUUAUGAAAAUGUUCAUAAGAUCGAGAUGAGAGAGAGAGAGAGAUAUAUAUAUAUAUAUAUAUAUAUAUAUAUAUAUAUAUAUANUUUUUCAUCCGAAGGCUAAAAACUUAUGAGUACAAGGAACUCUAUACUCAUAAGAUUAUAGCAGCCCCAGCCUAUAUAUAUAUAUAUAUAUAUAUAUAUAUAUAUAUAUAUAUAUAUCGAGAGAGAGAGAGAGAGAGUGUGUGUGUGUGUCUAGAGCUACUAUACUAUCGAAAGCAUAGAGGAUUUGGUGCUUCCGACUUUUUGGCCCUUAGAUCAACCCCUUUGAUCAUUUGUAACUUUUGGAUUAAUACUAUUACCCUAUGGGGACCACUCAACCCUAAGGGUACCACUCAACCCUAGGGGGACUGCAAUCAGCCGAACCGUACAAUUCUUAAUCCAAGGGUCAAAAAGUCGGAAGUAUCAAAUUCUCUAUGCUCCCGAUAGCAUAGUAGCUCUACACACACACACACACACGUAUAUAUAUAUUAUGCAUAUUAUAGAUUAUAGAUUCUAUGUACAUUCGAAAAUGGGUAUAAAUCUUACACUUUUUAUUUUAGCGUUAAUAAAAAUUUAAAUAAUUUUUAGUAAAAAUUAAAAAAGUAGAUGUGAUAAAUAAAAAAUUAAUAGCCUUUGGACAGAGUGGGUAUAAGAUGUACACUUUACUCUCGGGUGUAUCAUAGCAUUGCUCCUUACUUUAAGAAAAACUUGUAUAUAUACCCCUAACCUUUAGCUCUUUUUCGAACAUAUGCAUAAAUUUUUAAUUUUGAUAAUUUGACUCUCUAACUUCGUCAACUAGUUUAACAGGUUCUCUGUUCAAUUGAAAUUGUCAGUAACGCAUCUAUUUUAAUUAUAUGUCUUGCAUAUAAUCUCUAACUAUUUUUUUUAAAAAAAAUUUAACUUUUUAUUCUAACAUAUAAAAAAGCCAAUAAAAGUUAACGGAGGUUCAUCUUAUGUCUCAAUGCUCAUACUUAAUUAAAAAAAAAUUUUUGAAAAAAAAGACUUUAAUAUCUUAUAAAAUUAUGCAAACAAUUUGCCACAUAAUGACUAUAUUAUCAGUAACAUCAAUGGAAGAGAUGGGUUUAUUGACUUACAUAUUAGGGCUAAUUGCAUGCAACUCCCAAUAAACACAGCGAAUUAUAAAUAUAUUCCUACAAUUUAUUAUGUUAUUCCUGCAAAAGUCCUAAUAUUUUUAAAUAUACCCCUGCCAUUAGGAUCCGUUAGAUAAAUUUAGCUAACCAUAAGUAAAAUACUUAAUCCGGUUAGUCGAUGAGGUAAAUAGAUAUUUUCACCCCUCUUAUAAUCCUAUUAACUAACUACCUGAUGGGCCUCUAACCCUAGUUGAAGUAGGACCAAACCAGCGUCAAAGCAAUCCUGCGAGGAGGCCUCAUGUAAACUUUUCACUUUCUUCUGAUGAUUAAUCUAUAGUUCAAUAUAUUCUGUGAGGGAAUGAGAACUUUUUUUUUCUCUUCUUUUUCCUCUUCCUCUCACUCCCUCAUGCUAGUUUCGAAUCCAUAAUUACUAGGGUUUCUCCAUCCCCAUUCAUCAACGAGGGGUAGAAGAAUAAGGUGAGUAUGCUACUGUCACGCCCGGGUACCAGCGGAAGCAUAUCCGGCACGUGCACAGACCCGCCAUACACCUGCAGUAUAUAAGGCGUCUACAAGCAACACAAGUCGAUAGGAAGUAAAACAAAGAAAGUCCUAUCCUGAUAUCAGAGCAAAGUACAAGUCAAAAUACUAUCAACAAAAGGGCAAGAGUGUACAAUCCAAAAGCUCAACCAAAAGAUGAGUAUCACAACUAAAACAUCAGAUCCAAACAGGAGAUAUACAAAAAUAGGUACAAUGGUAGCCUUUCUAUACAAAAGGACAUCACCCUCGGCCGUAGCCCGAGUAACAAGGUGAUCGACUAGCAUGCUCCUAGUAGUCCCUAGCUAGGCGCGACUCCCUUGCCACGAUCCCUAGCCUCUCCUGUAACAGGCUCUGUAAAAACAACCACCAAAAGGGCGUGAGAACUAUUAACAAUAGUUCCCAGUGGGUAAGCCGCCAGCCUCGGCGAAUUACACCACUAGGCUCAUGAUGUACUAAAUGGAAAUAAAAGCAGUAAUUUGCAUGAUAUAUUUUCAAUGCUAACAAUUAAUGAACAUGUAAGCAACAUGUAAUCAUAGUCUCAACAGUAAUGAAUCUACUGAUUAAUAGAAGGAUAGCAACUACUAUAAGCAUGAACAUAGCGUAAAUGUGUAAGUAACUACUGUACACUGUAACUGGUAAUCAUUCAUUACUGUCCAAUUUCCUUUAGCACUUUUCAUCCAUUCACAGGGAUCUACUCAAGGUAGUCCAGCUUGCGCCGCGCCUAAUGGCCCCGUGGUAGUAUACACUCCCCACGGCAAUCCACUUCGGCACCCAAUCCCGCACGGGCGAGCAACUGUCGCGUAGGCCAACUCCGGAGUGCCGGCUUGUAGGGAGCUACCCUCACAAGCGUGUGCGAAUGAGCACGAUGGCAAGCAAGCAAAGUCCACUAUCCACAUGUCUCAAUUUUUAUAUUUUCACAUGCAAAGUUCAGAACCCUCGAUCCUCUGAUCGGAAUGUCAAUACACAAAUAGUAACAAAAGCUAGUAUCCACUAGAUUGUAAACAUAUAAGGGUAAAGCUAAAUCACAUAGCAUUAUAAUCUUUCCACUAGUAUAGCACUAUCAACAUAGUCAUGAGCAUGUCAUAGUUCUCUAUAUUAGAGUCAAGAGAAUGUCAUUGUUCUUUACUUUAAAGUGCAUCCUACACUUGUUCAUAAGCCAUUCAACUAUAUUGAAUAUGAAUAGAAAUACUUUCAUGUAUAUAUGUUCUCUAUAUCAUAGAAACAUAAUAAACUGAUCUCCCGAUUGUUCUACUGAACUAAACAAGAAUACUUAAAGCAUGAGUACUUUUAUGCAUGAACGCUCAUUUCACAUAUGAUAAACGUCAUGAUGACGAAUUCCGAGCCCUUUAGCAAUCACAUAGGCAUAUAAUUAAACCGCGUCUAUAAUACAUAUAGAACAUAGGGGAGCUUCACUUGCUCUGGUUAGGUCAAACCCACCUAGUUCAAGGCUCCAAACAGUCCAAAGGAGUCCCAAGGAUCAGCUCCACAAGGCUCCAAUCCUGCUGAACACAAGCAUCAACACCGCGUCAAAAUGACGACCGAAACGUCCGAUUUCGGCCUAAUUUGCACUUAGUACAAAGUAACCCCUUAAAUCCCUAUUUGGGCUCUUGUAAUACCUCAAGUGUAACCUCCAAGAGUCCUCACAAGUCAGUCGAAGACGAUCCAAGGCUCGAUCGCGAUCUUGCUGCGAACAAUACCGAAACGGCGUCGCAAUGCUCGUAUAUAAGCUUCUAUGGUUCAAUUCUUGCGAAAUUGAAUUUCUAAUGGAAAUUCCUGCUUACCCUUGGUUAGAGCAGCUUCCAAACCAGCUUCCAAGAGUGCAAGUUCAGCUCAAAAAGGCACAAAGACCUGCUGCGAAGAGAUCAUACAAAACAACGUCAAUUACGCGAUUAAACCGCGUAUAGUUCCGAAUUAGCUUCAUAAAUGGCUAAUUAUGCCAAUUAAGCUUCCAAGUAGCUUAUCCCAGAUCUAAGAGGGUUAAUUCUCAGCUAAAUAACUCAUAUAUACAUGCUGAAAUCUCAGUUUAAAACAGUUGGAAGCAAAAUCCUGAAAUCGAUACUCAAAUCGACGAAUAGAGCGCCGAUAACGGAAAAAAAUCAAGUCGUAUACCUUCUCAAGCUGGCAACCAGCUCCUUACUGGUCCAGGGCUGCAAAAAUCCCUUCAAAACGCUCUCUUGCACGUGCACAAAGGUGCUGCGACGCUCGCAACCAGCGAAGAACGCGCGCGGCGACGAAAACGAGCGAAAUCGGCGAAUUCGAUGUAGAGAGAGAAAAACCCUAGAGAGAGAGAGAGAGAGAGAUGGUAGAACACUCCUCUGCACUCCAGCAACAUCCACAGAGCUCCUGGGGUCGAGCUGGGUCCAUAAGAUAGGGAUCAAGAUGUGAAAAGACCAAAAUAGCCUUGCUGCCACGAAUUGCCACUGUGUACCGGUACACCAUUGCGGCUGUACCGGUACAGCAAGCAGAAAAGGCUGAUUUUCGCCAGUUCAAUGCACUUUCCCACUUCUCGCAUUCCAAACAUUCUCUAACUUAUCCGAACACUUGUUCUACCCUUUUAGAACAUGUAGGAGUGAUCCACACACCAUUCCACAUACUCGAACUCCGCAAUUUGCAAAAGUUCAGUGUAUUACAGCUACAUACUAUAAAUCCAAAACUUGUUUAAUCUAAUUGUAAUUUAGGUUAUUUUGUUGUAACGUAAGUUAAUUUUGGAAUAUCUUGAUGUAUUUUAUGUUACUUUUAGAACAACUUUGGUCUCAUGACGUAGUAAUUUAGCAUAUUUUUGAGAAAUGUGUAAUAUUUUUUAUAAAUCAUCCAAGCUGGCAAAGUAUAACAAUUUCAUUGUCAUCUUUACAAAAAGUAUACAAGGACUAGUCAUUAUUAUUUAUCUUUUUUGUUACUAUAAUGGCAAUUUGAUAAUAUGGAUGAAGAUAGUAUUUUUCAAGUGAAGUUCAAUUAUGUUGGGUAUAUUAAAACAGUGAAAACUGCUUGUGGACUCAGAUAUUGUGAUGGCAAGAAGAAUACAUUGAUGAUAGAUCAUGAUAAUUACAAUCUCAUCGAAUUUUGUCGAGAUCUACGAUCACUGUGGGAUUGGAGUGUUCCAGAUAACAUCAAGAUAUGGUAUGUAGCAAGAAAUGUUAACCAAAUAGGUUCGUUCAAAUAUUCACUAAGCAGCAAUUCAUGGCUAUAUUUUUCAUAUAAAAUGAUAUAAAGAAGUGAAAAUAUUUAUAACCAUUUAGUCGCAAGGCAUUCCGUUAAACUAUAUUCGUGGAGAAACUAGUUCCUAAUGUGCAAGACACCAACACUCAAGUGCGCACAAGAGAGCAAUGUUGGUAUGAAUGAUGAUAACAAUGUGGGUGUUGUUAGUGAAGGUGGUCAAGUUGCUGAAGAAGCAGAUAGUGAAGUUGUACGUUGGUGAAGUUCGUGAAGAAGUAACAGCUGAAGAAGCAUUUGGUGAAUCAUAUGCAGUGUUAACUGAAGAUAGCUUUUGUUCUCUUAAAACUGAAGAAUACAUAUCAUAUAUAUUGAAGUAUUUUCAUGUGAUAAGAAUAACCCUAUUAUGGAUAUAGGAGCAAAAUAUCCCACUAUAGCUUCAUUUAGGGAUGUGCUGACUUAUUUUGCCGUAUUAAAUGAGUUUGAGUAUAAGCUACAAAAAAGUGAUCUUUUGAGGGUAACUACAAGAUGCUCAAAAUCUUAAUUGCAAUUGGCAAAUCCAUGCAUCUUAACUUCCUUUAGUUUUUCAAGUAGUACCAACAUUAUUCUAUUUUUUUAACGUACUUUUAGUAUCAUUCAUCUAUAAAUAAUAAUUAAUGACAUGUCUAACUAACAUUUUUAUAUUAUAGGUAAAAACUUUACAAGGAAAGCACACAUGCACAUCUAUCAAUCUGUAUCGGAACAAAGUAGCAACACAAGCUUGGGUAUGAAUAAGGUUAUUGAGUGGCUAUGGUUGAAAAGAGAUUUGUCUAUAAGCGAAUUGCGUAAAAGACUACAAUAAAAAUAUCAUGUGGACUUGGCCUACUGCAAGGUCUUUAGGGGGAAAAGAAAUGGCAAUAUCUAAAAUCCAUGUGAAGUUGAAGCUGUUGUAUUAAAGAAUUUUUUUAUUUUAAAGAAGAAAUUAUUAGAAGAAAUCCUGAUAGCCACAUGGAGGUAAAGCUACAAGUUAUUAAUGGAGACAUCAUUUUCAACAAAUUUUUUCUUGCAUUUGGUAGUUGCAUACAAAGAUUCCUCACUUGGAUGUAGACCUUAUAUUGUAUUAAAUGGAUGUCAUCUCAAAGAAAAGAAUAGAGGAGUGCAUAUAUCGGCUACAAGUAUUGACGAAAAUAAAUUAAUUUUUUCAGUAUCUUUUGGUAUUGUGGAGUCGAAGAACUCCAACAGUUGGGAAUGGUUUCUUCAUGGGUUGAAGACUGCUAUAGGAGAACCCGAAGGCCUAGUGUUCUCCUCGAAGAGACAUAAAGAUUUGGAUGAGGCCGUUCAAGGAGUGUAUCCAAGAAUUGAACAUACAGAAUGCAUGCGUCAUUUGUAUAGCAACUUCUUGGAGAUUGCUAAUAGAGACAAUUUGUGGGCUACAGCAAGAGCAUGUACACCUACUGUUUAUGAAGCUAGCAUUGCUAAGGUGUAUGAAGCAAACCCAAUGGCUAUUGCAUAUAUGCGAGAGAACCAUGGCUAUUUGCAGAGUUGAAGUAAAUUCGGGACAAUUGCUAAGCGUGAUUACUUAACUAAUUAUAUUUCUGAAUUAUUCAAUGCAUGGAUUUCUAAUGGUAGGCAUAGACUAUUGAUUGACAUACUUGACACUAUCCAACAAAAAUUAAUGGUCAAGAUGGAGAAGAGAAAAAAUAGACCAAGAAAGUGGGAUCAACAGUAAUCAAAUAUGUAAACAAGAUCAGCAAGGUAAUUUAUUUACAUUACACUGAUUUUUUCCUUUAAUUUUAAGCAAUCUUGGCUAUGCUAUCUUCAUGUUCGAUAUGUUAGAUAUGUUAGAUAAUUUAGUUUACCUAAGUAAUUUAGUUACAUCUUUUCAUAUUCUAAUUAAUUUUCACAUUAGAUAAGCUAUGUUGUUUAAUCUUCACAAUUUUUAGGGUUUUGGUCAAGAUGAGGCGUUAUGGAGUGAUAAGUUUUCAGCAAAAUUAGUUGGACCUCAUUCAAGAUUCGAGGUUAUACUGCAUAACACGCAGUAUAGCUACAGAAUAUGGCAAGUAAAAGGUGUGCCAUGUAUUCAUGCAAUGGCAGUAGUAGGUGACUUAAGAUAUGAAAAGUGAAAAAAAAUAUGUGCACCCAUAUUUUACGGAGGCCAAAUAUAAGGAGGCCUACGCUGCAUCUAUUGCACCAUUGCCUGCGAUGAGUGAGUAAAGAUUGACAUCAGUCAUCGUGUAUUACCUCGUAUUUUAAAUAGGCCAGCUGGAAGGCCUCAAUAAACAAAUUAGAAUAUUAGAUGAGAUGUUAAUCAAGAAGAGGUAUUGAUGCAAAAGAUGCAAGCAAUAAGGCCACCGUGCAUAAACAUGCAAGAACCCUUUCAAUGCGAAUCUGCACCCUAAAGUACCAUCUCAAGUAGGGAAUUAGCACCCUGAAGGACCAUCUCCAGUAGGGAAUGCGCACCCUAUAGCACCAUCUAAAGCAAGGAAUCCGCACUUCGAAGCACCAUCUCAAGCAAGUACUAGUAGUGGCACAAGUACUAUGUUGACUAACAAAGUUCACUUUUAAUUUAUUUUCUUUGCUAUAUUACUAACUACUAAAAAAGCUACAGGUGUAGAGGAAGGAAGCUAGCAUCAAGAUCAAGAUGGAUAACAGGUGAAGCGACAAUCUCACGGUCCUAACAAAGAAGUGCCAUAAGUGAAAUUAAUGCAAUGGGUUGUCUAGAAAAUCAAGAUUUAAUUUAGUGAAACAAUUGAUGUAGUGAAAGAAUUAGUUUUUUUUAUUUUUGGUUGGUUUGAAUAGAUAUACUUUGUUACAGUGAGUACUUGAAAUGGAUGUAACUUUUCAUAAACUAUCUGUUUUUUGGAUAUUUUGAAAAAUGUGGGUAAUUUGGUGGGUAAUUAGAAUAAGAUUCCUGGAACAACUUGGUUAUGCUUGUAUGCAAUAUUUUGGUUUGAAUAGAUAUGAAACUUGAUACAAUAGUUCUGAAAACUUCAAUUCGAAAUAGUUGUUUUGGUUUGAAUAGAUAUGAAACUUGAUACAAUAGUUCUGAAAACUUCAAUUCGAAAUAGUUGUUUUGGUUUGAAUAGAUAUGAAACUUGAUGCAAUGGCAUUGUCUUUGUAUUGAACUACCAGUUGUUUCCACACUUGUAAUGGAUGUAAUUUGGUUUUACUUGCAUGGUCCAUUGUGGUUUUAAUAGAAGUGUAAGUUAUGAAUAAUAUUAUGUUUGUAUGGAACUACUAGCUUUUUGGAUACUUUGAAUGGAUGUAAUGUAAGGACUAAGAUUUUGGCAAUGUAGCUAAACUCUCUGUUGAUGAUUUUUUUGUGUGUAUUUUAAUUACAAAAGCACUCAUUAAGUUUCGAGAAAAAAACGAGUUAGAAUGGAGAUCUUACGUGAUCUUUACUUUUCACUUAAAGUGAAUAGUAACCCGAAUUUCCGAAAAAGCCAAUGAAUAGAGUUGGCUUCAGGCACGCACCGGACUCCGUUCAUAGUGAUCCAAUAGCUCGUUUUCAACGGUUCGUCUACCCCGGAUCCAAAGGCACUGACGGAUGUUGGGUUUGACACAUGGAUUUCAAGAAAAUCUGGAUAUACAUAUACUCUAUGUAUUUGUGCGUGGUUUUGCCUAUUGGAGAGAGGAUGGAUUUCUUCGCGAAUCAGUGACCAAACCAAGCAAAACAAAAUAGUAGGUUUGAUGUCUUUAUCGUGCUGAUCGAACUAGUGCGAUCUAUUCGCAAACUUGACGGACGGAUCUUCUGAUAUUGCACGUUGAUCGAGGAGUGGUCUUAAAUGGCAAAACGGUAAUUUUGCGAAAAGCUCUACAUUUUAUGUACCAUUUUGCGUGAAAUCGAAUGUGGGGGUGUAUUCGCAUGUUUACUCGUGUUGUGAGGGAGUCGGUUCUAAAUAUCAGAGUUUGGUGGACUUAAACGCAAUUUACACUUUAUGUAUAUAUAGCUACCUAGGGUUUGCAUGGUGCAAACCCUAAUCCUUGACUAGCUCAGCUGAUCCCAGCCGCCCCUCCUCCCUCACCUCGUGUGCCGCGCGCCUCCCUACCGUCGCCAACCGAUCUUCGAUCGGCCAGCACACCCUCAACUACUUUUCUCCCUCUCCAUCUCCUUUUUUUCCACCAUCUUCUCUACCCAACCUUAAACUUGAGCUCAUGGAGAUCAAACCCUUCUCCUUCGGCCACCUCCACGCUCCCUCGACCUCUGGUGGUCGGCAGCUAUCGAGCCCGACCAUCCUCAUCCGUCGGCGCCACCAUUUUUGCCAUGGAUGCCACAUCGGGCUAGUCCUGGCUGAGGUAGCCCCAGCCCCCUUCCUUUGCGCUGCCGACACCUGAGGCCGCCCCUACCGCCUCCCCCGGAGCCCUGGCAACCGUCCUCGCCGGCCGCAGCCACCCCGUGCGCCGCCUUGCCAAUGCUGCCAACCUAUGGCCAGCCGAGGCUGGUGUGGCCGAGCUCUGCAGCACCGUGCCCUCAGCUGCCGACCACCGUCCCCAUCCCUUCCCCUCGGUCCCAGAGGAAGCCUCACCCUUUCCCUGGCCGGUUCGACCGUCGCCGUGGCCGGAGAAGCUCGCCGAGCUCGAGCUCGACCUGUGCAGGCUCGGUUUGCUCCGCCGCCACCGUCGCGAGCCCUGGCCUCCCCACGUUGGCCGCACCCAUCGGCCGCCGGCGUGUCAACCGUAGAGCCACCGCCAGCCAUGCCCUAGCUCCCACUGCUCCGGUAAGCUUGUCAGGGUCUUUUGGUUGCUGUUUUGGGUUUGUUCUUAUUUUUUCGAUGAUCCGAGGUUGUCCCGAUGCCUCCGAAGAUGAGCACAGUGAUCAAUGGUCAGUGCUGAUUACGAUGCUCACCUCGCUUUGGAUCAACGGACUCCGAAUCAGCCUGUUCGGCGCGAUUUACCCCGAGUGCGCGCAGUUUGCAAAAUUUUCGAGUCGCUCCUGUGCCUCCCACAGUGAGUCGUUGUGCUCCGGAUCAUGAGCACGGCCUCCAGCACGUCGAGACCUAUCAGUACGUGUCUCGGUGGACCUAGGAAGUCGUCGGUUUGCGGUAACAAGCCACAAAACCCUAAACCCUAAACCCUAAGCCUCCGUUUGGUUCGGGGUUAAGGAAAAAGUAGCUAUUCCAGGGAUAAAGUUAAGUUCAGGGUUAAAGUGGGGUUAAAGUUUUUUUGUGUUUCGUUGGGGGUUGGAGUUAGUCUAGAAUAAUGAAAAAUAGUGUUUGGUUGGGUAGGUGGGAUAAGAAGAUAAUGAUUGAUAAAGAAGGAUAAUGAUUGGUUGGAGUAGGUGUGAUAAGAAAGAUAGUGGGUUAUUAUGAAUAGAAAAUAGUGUUUGGUUGGAGUUUGGUGGGGUUAGGUGGGGUUAGCUAACCCGGGAUAAUUUAUUUGAGGUGGGGUUAGGUGGGGUUAGCUAACUCCACCUAUUUUUUGGGGUGUUUGGGGAUAAAAUGGGGGUUAAGGGGUUAUUCCACCCCUUAACUCCCAACCAAACAAGGGCUAAAGCACCUACUAACUCUUCGACUUUCAUCUCAUCUAGAUGCUUAACGGUUUCAAUCGUGGCAACGUUUGUCCUAAAGCGCUCCGGAAGAGUUCGAAGAAGUUUUUUAACAAUUUUCGACUCCGGGAUCUUCUCUCCUAAGUUAGCACAUGUAUUAAUAAUAUCUUGAAGUCUAGUAUAAUAAUCAGUAAAAGAUUCAUGCUCUUCCAUUUGAAUUGAAUCAAAUUGACUUGUCAACAUCUAAAGCUUUUGAACUUUUACUAAACUUGUACCUUUAUGUGUAACUUGAAGAAUAUCCCAAAUCUUCUUGGCGGUUUCACACGUCGAGACACGAGUAAAUUCAGUUUACGAUAAAAGCAUUAAACAAAGCAUUUAUUCCUUUACCAAUGAAUGAAAAUAAUUCGUUUUCGUCUAUUUAUUUCUAGGUUUGGGGACAGUAGCAUUAUCGACGACUUCGGUGGGAUACUUUCAUCCGAAUUCGAUUGAUUGCCACACCCGCUCGUCGAUUGCAAUUAGAAAAGCUCUCAUGCGAACUUUCCAAUAGUUAUAAUUUGUGCCAUCGAAGAGUGAUGGUCGAUUAAUAUUACUUCCCUCGACUAUAAUGAUAGAUGAAGAUCUAGAUCCCGCUCUGAUACCAAUUGUAAGUUGCGAAGAGCCCUAGGAUCUUUUAUCUAGAUACUAUCAAACACCUGGGGGGUGAAUAGGUGUAACGACCAAAAACCACAAAUCUCAAUGCGAUGGAAAUUAAAUAUAAAAAAUAAAAAUCAUACCGAGAUUUAUGUGGGAAAACUCCAACUUGGAAUAAAAAACCUACGGGACCAACACGCGAAAAAAUAAUUCACUAAGAGAAAAUAUUACAAGGUGAUUACCGACUCCAUAGACUCUACCUCUCUUAACCUCCUAUAAAUCUCGCGCAAUCCUUCGGUUGUCUACGCCCUCACAUUCGAAUCCACGAACGCCUCGCACACGUCCGAAUCUACGAACACCACUUGAAUCCACGAGCACACGAUCCGAAUCCUCGAACCACCUUUAAUCAUCCCGAAUCCACGACGCCAUUCAUGAAGAACAUCAUGAUUAUGGUGAUCUUUUGCUUAGAGUAUCGAUGAAAACCAGAGAAGAAUCUCUAAGCGAAGCGUAGAUCAAUUCGACAUAUAGAUGUCAAUUUUCAAUACCUCGAAUUAACUUAAAAGAGGCUAAAUUGUAGAAAAUAGAUUUAGAACGAAAACCUAGCCUUUAGGGUUUCUCAAACAUAUAUUCUCGUGAUGUUCAAUGAAUUAGAGAACCCCAAUAGCUUAUUUAUAGACCAUAAAAUCAAUUAAAGUCGGAUUAGAAAGAUUUCGAAAUUUUACACUAUGUACCGGUACUGCAUCAUGUUGGUACCGGUACCAAAUGACGGAAUAAAAAUUCCUUAGGCUGCGGACUGCGGUAUAGGUACCAGGCCGAUGCUGUAUCGGAACCAGCUGCAGUACCGGUACCCUGCCAAUGCAGUAUCGGUACUCUGCAAUUUCGAGAAUUGCACCACCUGACUACUUCUAAUCCUUUAAAUUAUUUAAUUACUUGAUUCUAAUGUCAUAAAAAAGUUUAAAUUAUCAACAUGAAUUAAAACCUUACCUGAGCAUCGUGAUUCACGUCGUGAGAUGUUUCUGAGUUCUCGAAGUCUUAGUUUCUUCAAUGUUCUUCAAUCAUGCACCGAACCUUUCAAGAUGUAAAAUACCGAGAAUUCGGAAAUUAAAUAUCAAACUUUAGUCAAAUUGACGAAAGUGCGAGGAUGAUACCCUUCGGAAAGUCCGAAGGUGUCAAAAGGAUCAAAAGUGCAUUGUGGGAGGUUUUCGAGAGCUAAAGAAUAAAAAAUCUGCAUUUUGCAGGUUUUGUGCUCUCGGGAACCGGUCCCUGAAGGAGAGACCGGUCCCUGUACGCGUGGAAGAUGAGAAAAGGGAAAAAUCGGCUAAGUCCCCGAGAUCAGGCUCUCGGGAACCGGUCCCUGCUGGAGAGACCGGUCCCCGAGAGACCGGUCCCCCAAGGAGAGACCGGUCGCAUUACGCGGGAGCCCUGGCUGCCCGCAGGGAGGAGCUAUGGGAACCGGUCCCUGGUCAGGGAGACCGGUCCCCGCACACGAAAUCUGCCCAGUUUGGGCAGUUUAAUAAAAUGAAAGUUGAGGGGCUUAUUUGCAAUUAUGCAUUAUAUGGGUUAUGUAGAGGGCUAUGGGGGCUUUGUUCCUCUCAUUCUCUCCCUCUUAUACUCUCUCUCCUCUCUUUCUCUCUCUAGAAGACAAGAAUGAGAAAAAGAAUGAAAAGAGAAAGGAAAGGAAAGAAAGGGAAAAGAAGAAGGAGGAGAAGGAGUAGAAGGUGAAGAAGAAGCCAAGGAGUGAAGCUACCUCCUCUUCUUCCUCUUUGGAGCAACAUAGAAGCAAGCUUAGAGGUAAGCUUGAACCCUAUUCAUGGUAGAACCCAAAUUAGGGAUUUGAUUAACCUAGGAAUGGUUUUAAUGGAGUCUCUAGAGUGUUUGAAGCUAUCUUUGCCUUCCUUAAGAGAUCAAAACUAUGGAUGGGUAAAUGCGGUGAAGCUUAGAGGAGAGCUUCAACCUCUCUCAUGGUAAAAUCCAAACUAGGGUUUGGAUUGAGCUAAGAAUGAUUUUUAUGGAACCUUUAGAUGAUUUGAAGCUUGCUUUUGCUUCUCUAAGAGAUCAAAACCCUAGUUUUGAUAUGCUAUGAGCUAGGGCACCCAAAUUUGGGGCUUUUGCUCGGGAGGAUUUCAAAGUGAAAUUGACCCUCUAAAAACCUAAUUGGGGGUAUUUCCGACGCGUUGGUGCGCUCGGAUUGACGUUACGAAAAGCCAAUGUAAAGAUAUGAGCAAAAUGGCCUAAUAGGGCUUCGUUUUGCCGCAGGUGACGAACUAGGAGUCUAAAAAUCCCAAGAAAAUCAUUUUAGCAUCCUAGUACGUCUACGAGGUGGGUGGUGCUAUCCAAACUUAUUGAAAUUCCUUCUAUGCCUAAUGUGUCAUUUAAUUGAGCAUACGUUUAUAUUGUUGCAUGCAUUAUAGGGUAGAUGUGAUAUUAUAUAUGUGAAUGUUGCAUGAUGUGAGUACAUGUGCUAUUUGAAAUGUUUGAGAACCUAUUUAACCCUAUAUAUAUGCAUGAGAUAUAAUGUGAGCACCCAAUGAGAUGAAAGAACAAAGUGACCCAAUUAAACAUAGAUCGAGUGGCAUUCGAUAAUGUAAAGUAAAGUGAUACUAGAGUUAGUGUGUGUGGCAUCAAAGAGAAAUGAGAUGCAAAGAACAAUGAUAAUGAUUAGAGACAAGGAAAGAAAAUGAAAGUGGCAUAAAGAACGAGUAAAGUUAAAGAACAAUGAUUGCCAGAGUUAGCAAAAUAAAGUGAUGUAAAGAACACUAGAGUUAGUGUAAAGACAAUGAUUGAACUAUAUAUCCUUUUAGAGUUAAGGAUCGAUUAUACUUGCUAUGAGUUCCGUGCUCGAGGGCUGUCGCUCCCCCUCGAGCGAUGUGCUUCGGAGUUUUGCAUCACGGGUUGUAGUAAACCCGAGGACGGUCUUAGCGGGAGGUAGCUGAGGGCCCGCGAUGAUAGACUUAAUGUGGGCAAGUUAAUGUGGCGAAACCCCCGGGAUAGCCGUAAGAUUAAAGAACAAGAACAAAGAUUAAAGAAUAAAGAGUAAAGAACAAAGAACUUGCAUACUUGCAUGAUUUACGUUGAGCAUAUUUCUUGCUUUAUUAUUCAGGCAUAUUAGCAUCAUGAUUAUAGUUUGGUUACUAUUCUGCUUAUCUUUUCUAUUAUGCCUGAGUUAGUCCUAGUGGGAAAGUCGAUGAGGUUGGGGCCGAACCCACUGGGAACUUUGUUGUAGUUCUCACCCCACUAUUCCACAGAGCUGGGACCGAGCGAGCCGGUGAGCGACCGCGGUAAAGGUAUCGCGCCAUAGACAGUGAUUACCAAGUCGAGUUUACAUUUUGUAGUAGCAUUCCCUUACUUCAUCUUUUGUAUUUGAUGAAUUGAGAUGUAAAAGAAAAGAAUGUAAUAUUUAUCUCGAGGAGAAUGUGAUGUAAAAAGAAUGAUGAAAAGUAUGUAAAGAACUAUGAAUGCAAUGUAUGUGAUCAAAAGAGAAUCAUAGUACUUGUGUAGAUGUUUAGUUUCCUUUCUCUCACUCAUGGCUAUUGCUUGCCCUCGUGUAAGCCGUUUGUGUAUAUUUCCGCUAGUACUUUUCUCUACUUGAAAAUGUACAGGUGAUGAGCCUUGGGCGGACAAGGGAAACUCUGUCCGUUCGGCGUCUGUUUAACGUGCUCGGGCCGGCCCAAAUUGGAUCGGUCCCGGGGCGUGACACAAGACUUCGACUCAAAUCACGAAACUUGCCAACAUAAAAUACUUAACAAGAGAGUGAGGGAGACAGUGAGGGAGACAGAGAUGAGUUCGGGCGAGGCCAGUGAGAGAGAAAGGAAAAAGGUUCCGGCAAGGAUUAGGGUAUAUUGACUAAAGGCGGUGAAUCGUUUACCGCAUAUAAAUGCGGUAAACGAUUUACCGCAUUUAAAACCAUUCACCGCUUCUAAAAUACGGUAAAUAGUUAACUGCUUUAGAAAUGCGGUAAACCAUUUACUGCAUUCUCCGUUUUACCCCGUGAUGCCCCUAGACCCACAAAUGCGGUGAAUGGUUUGCCGCAUAUGUGAAUGCAGUGAACCAUUCACCGCAUAUAUGCGUUAUAUCCCCCCAAGCCGACCUGGCCUAUUUGAAAAUCAUUUUUGCAAUAAACUUUAAAGGAGGCCUAUUUUUAUAAAUAAAAAUUUUAGAAAGGCUAUUUAUAAAAAAAAUUCAACUAAGGAGCACAUAGACUGCAUACUUCUAAUAUUAUAGUAGUCCUGCUCUAUAUUUUUUCUAUAUAAUAAUUAAAUAAAAAAUAAUAAUUUAAUAACUUAUAAUAUUAUUACGCUAAUAUACUUAUAUCCAAAUAAUAUUUUUGGAUUGCGUCCCUAUUUUAAACCCAAAAAUAACCCAACCCUAACUAAUGCGUUGAGAGCCCUAACUAAAGGCACGAUCGCCCCCUUCUCUCUCACUCGCCGCCGCUUCCUCCCUUCUUCGUCACGUGCGCUCGUCGACGGCUCUUCCGCAGCUCCGCUCCUCUGCUGGUUCGCAUCCCCCCCGCCCCCUGGCCCUGCGAAUUGCUGGUUAGAUGUCUUACGUUAUCAUCUAUUCAUGCUGCAGAGUUACAACUAACAAAAUAUAUCUCCCGACCAUAGUUAGCUAAUUCGCGAAUUAUUCGCGAAUUUUUGAAAUGCCGAAUAAAACAGCCAUUUUCGUAUUUUUCCAAAAAAUUUGAAAAAAUUUGCAUUUUUUUGGCUAAAAAUAAUUAUUCGCAAAUUAAACGCGAUUUGCUAAUAAUUCACCCCAAAAAAAGGGCUCGGUUGCUAAAGCGGACUCGUGGGCCUUGCGGGUGACCCAAAACAGAAAAAAUAACCUUUCCGAGAACCUCGCCUCGCCCUGUCGCCCCCAAAAAAAAAGAAAAAGAAAAAAGAAAACCUUUUCUGAAAAGAAUCGCCUCCCUUCGCCUUUGUUUGGUUGGGGGUUAAGGGGUGGAAUAACCACUUAACCCCUAUAUUAUCCCCAAACACCUUAAAAAAUAGGUGGGAUUAGCUAACCCCAUCUCAAAUGGGCUAUCCCGGGUUAGCUAACCCCACCUAACCCUAUCAAACCCCAACCAAAUAUUAUUUUCUAUUUAUAAUAACCCACUGCCCUUCUUAUCCCACCUACUCCAAUCACACACUAUUUUUCACUAUUCUGAACUAAUUCUAACCUCUAACCAAACACAAAAAUACUCUAAUCUUACUUAAACCCCGAACUUAAUCCUAUCCCUAAAAUAAUUAGUUUUUUCUUUAACCCUGAAUCAAACGUACCACCCCAACGUACCACCCCCCCCAAAAAAAAGGGUUUGCCCUAACUUCUCACCGCUGCGGCCCUGCUGCUUCCGACCCCUCCUCCUCCCUCUCUUCCCUUCCGGCCGCUCGCCGAACGCCAUCGGAAGCCCUCCUCUUGCCACAUCGAAGAUCGGGUUCUUCACUCUUCACAACCCUCCUCGUCGCCUCUUCCUCUUCCGCUUCCGCUCCCGCUUCCGCUUCCGCUAUCCAACGAUAGAUCAGUAAUCGAUCGGGUGGUUCUUUACAAACCAGGUACGAUUUGAGUUCUCAUUCUUCAAAGCAAAAGUUGGAAGCUUUUAGUCCAUCUGAUGAAUACUUUUUUUUUUUAUACACAAAUGGCUCGAGUGCUUAUUGCUUAAUUGAAUGUGUCCAUUCUCUGUUAUGCACAAAGAAGACCCAAACAUAGUGCUAAAUAAUCUUAAUUAACUUAGCGACCAGGAAGUUCAGAACCUCCACUAUAUUUUGAUGGAGCCUUGUGGUGCUCUUUCUAGCCAACCAGGCAACUUAUUUUUAUCCGAUCCCUGCACACAAAUCUCAGAUUCUCAAGUCAACUUAUGUAUGCUUAUAUGUGGAAUUGUGUGCUUGUAUGCUCUAUGUUUAUUCAAGCUUUUAUGUAUGCUUAUAUGUGGAAUAGUGAACUUUAUGUAUCUUUUAUUUGUUUACUGUUUAGUCUUUAGAAUUUAGAUAUGCUAGUAUGCAGUUAUGCACUAUGCAAAGUGCCAAUUUCAUCUUGUAUUUAGUUUCUAAUUAUGCUUAUAUGUGAACUUUUUAUAUUUUACAUUUAAAUAUGGACUAUCUUGAUCUCUUAUUUGCUUAAUUAUUUCUUUAUUUUGAGGCAUAAUAGUUUACUAUUUUUUUUUUUACUUAAUUAGUUUAAUUUUGUAGCUCUUUAUUCUUAUAUUCUUAAAAAAUACGAGUAUUUAUGCUAAUAACAUAAAUCUUGAGAGGGAAAAAACUUAAUUUAAUAGCCGAAUUUUUGAUCCCGAAUGUUUAAUUGGUGAACGUAUAAUAUCUGUAUAAAUCACGUAUCCGAAUAAUUGGCAAAUCCGUUUUUUAGCCCUUUUUUUCAACGAAUUUAAAAAUUAGAACACGAAUUUUAUCCGAAUUAUACCCGUACCGAAUUUUUUCCGAAUCCGAAUUAACUGACUAUGCUCCCAACUACCUAGAAAUUCAAAAAACUAGUAAAUAACGGAUACUGAAAUUUGCGUAAAAGAUUCGAACGAUAUUUGUGAUCUUAAAUGUGUAGCAGGCAAAUAACGUCCUAUAGUGCACACUUCCUUUAACUCAUUCUAAGCUGAUGUUAAAAAUGAUAGAACAAGUUUAUUAAGUGCCUUAAUGUUAAAAAUGAUGGAACAACUUCUACAAACUCAAGUUUUUCAAAUUUCUUUUAAUUUGAAAUGACUACAAUUACUAUUUCAAAGUCUAUUUUGGAUAGCCUCUCUCACUUAAUACUACAAUAAAUUGGUGUAUAGGGAGCACCAAUCAAGGCCUAUAGGUGAAAAAACGUUACUGAAGUCUGAGGACAUCAAUAUUGUUGUUGUUUUCUUUUUCUUUUUCCUCUUUUCUUUUUUUUGGCCUCACAGCUUUAAGUGUCUAGCUAUAGACUACCACAAUUAUUUAUCUAGUAAAUUAGUAAAUAAAUCAAUAUAUAAUGCAUUAGUAAAUUAGUAAAUAAAUCAAUAUAUAAUGCGGAAUAAGAAAAUGAAUUGUUGUUAUGGCCUUUUGCCAGAUCUGAAGACCGGGUGGACCAUCCAAGUGAUUCAAGAGGUCAAGAUCCUCGCAAAAAAAGGUGCAUUUUGAGGGUCUUGACGCUGUGAUCCAAGAGCUUGUUGAUCUAGGGUUUCAGAGGUCUCUUUCCCGUUCUCUCAUCCCUUUUUUCACUAUUUUUCUUCAAAUUUAUUUUGAAUUAUGUCUAUUUUGUCUAACUUAGUUGCAUUAUGUCUUAUUUGCACUAAUUCUCAUUCAUAUUUAUAAAUUCUUAUUAUAUAUUAUUAUCUGAAUAAUAUCCAAAUACUAGUGUGAUCCAUGCAAUUAUGCUUUUAGCCGAAUGGUUACGAAAAUUUAGCAUUUGACACAUGUCUGUAUUUGAAUUCGCCUCCGAAAAAAGCAUGCAAUUAUGGUUUUGUCAAAUAUCGAUAGUAUUUGACUGUUUUCACCUCUAUCUGGCCUUGUCUACAUAUUACUUCCUUCAAUAAAAUUGAGAUAGGAUUAUUAAAAAAUAUUACAAUAUUAAAUUUUUUUGGGUCAUGAGACACACACACACACAGAUAUAGAUUGUAUUUAUAUAUUUAAGGCUAUAUUAUCAAAUAUUGUUUUGCACGUUAAAUUAUGUCUUAAUUGUUCCGAGCAGAACUUUGUGAAACCUGUUUCUAGAUAUUAUUGAUUAUUGAUUAUAUUUAAUAGUGUGAUGUAAUAAGAUUAAUUUUCCUUUUCUUUUGGCCUAUAAAAUUGGCAUGAGUAUGGACCGCACCUAGAGAAGUAAGUAAAAGAUUGAAACUCUCUGCGAUCACUUAUGGGAACUUGUGCAAUUAAUAGAAAGGGUGAUGGUUACAAAAAAAGGGAAAAAAAUAAUGCGAAGAAAAACUCUAGUUGAGAACUGGCUUUUGUGCAUUUUAGAUUGGUUUGGAACCUAAAUCAAGAAAACUGGUUAUCUAGAAAAUCUGUUUUGGGAGUGGAACAGGUUUUAAUUUUAGACCUGUUUAUUCGAUUAACCCCUUCUCGGUCCAUCUCCAAUACUUCUUCUGUUUCACAAAAUUCACCUUUUUUCUUUUUGUGAUAGAUUGCCCAAUACUGAACUGCCUUCUAACAACGUGCUUUGCAGGUCCUUUCGCUCUUUCCACCAGCCUACUAUUUAAAUUGGUCCCCAACAGAUUGAGGCCUUUCUUUAGUGAAACGAGUAAAGCCACAAUGAACAACGAAGGAAGGCAGCACGACGAUGAUUCCGCCCUCACGGAGUUCCUCUCUUCCCUCAUGGAUUAUACGCCUACUGUACCUUCACUUUCUUUUCCUUCUUUUGUUUUUUCACUUGAUUUCAAUCUUUUGUAUUUCUCCCUUUGGGCUUGUUAAUCUAUGGUGUUUAUCAAUUCUGCUUGGUGUUUUGGAGGUGGGUAGAUUCCCGAUGAGCUGGUGGAGCACUAUCUUUCUAGGAGCGGCUUCUACUGCCCCGAUUUGCGGCUGUAAGCUACUCCGCCUUUUUUUUUUUUAUUGUCUCUACUUUGUGAUUACUUAUAAGAAAUCUAGUUUUAGCAACCUUUUUAAGUUAGAGAAAUGUAUGUUAAAUGCAUUUAUAAUUGUGUUCAAUUACCAGAAACAGAAAUUUCUAAAGAUUCUUUAACAGAUGGUUUUCAAAUAAUGAUUUUAUUUUGUUUGUUUGAGACUUUGACGAAGAUCUAAAAUACAAUCACAUCCUUGAGAACAAAUUAAGAAAAGGAAUUUAAAAAAUGGCAUUUUUGUCCUUUUCGUUCCGUGUUGCAAUGUAAACUUAUAUUUGAUUAUACGGUACAAGGUUGAAAUGUUGUGUUUUAUGCAUAUUCUUGAAAUCCUAGCAAUUGUUAUUCAAAAAUAGGAUUUUUUUGUCAACUAGCGUCUGCAAACCGUACAUGAUAAGUUGAUGAUUCAAUUUCGAUUAAGAUAAUCAUCUCUGCUUUUGUAACUCCGGAUUAGAUUUUUGUUCAAGCAUGGUUGCUAUCUGAUAGUAAGAUGAUUGCGAUUGCUUUUGGAGGCACUAUUUGGUUGAGGUUUAAUUUGGCAUUAUCCCCUUUAUCAAGCCGAAUGUAUCAAAAAGAGGAGAGAAAAAGACAGGCAAAGCUGUUCUGGUCAAUUUUGUAAAUUUACAAUAACUAGUGAACUACAAAUUCCGGCCAAUACUUGUAAUUUAGUGCUACUCCCACUUCAUUCCUGGUUAAUCUAGCAACCUUAGUGCAGUCAUAUAUCUAUCCCUAUUACGCAAAACCACUCACAAAGCUAAUUUACUUCUUUGUUAUCAUGGGGAAGAAGAUCCUAAUAGCUGGCAAACUUGUCCCAUGAGCCUAGUGCAUCUAAAUUGAAAGUACUGAACAGGAAAAUCCUCAUAGUUCAAAGUUUCCAUGAUUGAUGGAGGAAGGUAGUUUUAAGGUACUUUCUCACAAUUACUUUGUAGACCUGACGAUGUUUCUAUGGUUUUAAUUUUCAAAUUUAGAAUGAUAUGAUAAUAUCUGCAGAAAUAUUAGGAAAUAUUGUGCGCAUCCACUAGUUAUUAUAUAUUUAUUGGCUAUUGAUAUUUUGCUUUAACCUUUUCUGUCCAACAAAUCUUAGUUAUGAAGAUCUCCAAACCUGCUUGCAUUUCCAAAAUCUUUUUCAUUAAGAGACUUAGUUAAGCACCAUGCAUAGUGAUCGUCAUGUUGAUAUAAUAUGCUUGAAUUGAAGCCUUCUCCUUUAUUUCCAAAGGAACCUUUGCCUUGUCUUGCUUUACUUCAACCUACUGUUGAAGGCCUGAAUCAGACCAUGCUGGAAAUUUCAAGGCAUGGUAGUUAGUCAAACAAAAAGUAUUUACUCAAUUGCAUUUGUGUGCUUUUAGUGUAGAAUAUCUGUUAUUGUAGUGUUAUACUAUUUUAGAUAUUCUCAGUUAAUAUGAGGUUACUCUAUUUUAUUUUUGAAAGAUUGUGCAGACUGAUUUGUUACUCGUCUGUUUUGACAGAACAAGAUUGGUGGCUGUAGCUGCUCAAAAGUUCAUUUCAGAUGUUGCUAGUGAUGCUCUCCAGUAUGUUAAACCUCUUCUUUUGUGAUUUUAUAUUUUACCAUUGAAAUUUGCAAGAUUUUAUAAUUAUAAUGCCUUCUAAGUUUUCUUGCAUUAUUAUUGCUUGAUAAACCUUGUGGGCUUCCUAUGUAUUAGUGCCUGAAAUUGUAAUGCAUUAGUUAGCAAUACAUGUUUUAAGCUGGACAUCACAUGAUUAUAACAAAACCUUACUAGUAAACAUUAUCAAGCAUCUGUGUCAAGUGAAGCGAGUCCUCAGUUACUUGUCGAUGAAGGUUUUUGUCCAUCUUCGCCCUUGCACUUCAGUUUACUAGGUCUCUUGGGAAUUAAGAUAGUUUGUAGGUACUACUUCUAUUUGUCUUUUUUUAAGUAGUUCUAGCUUGUGUUUUGUACAUUUAUAAUCUUGAUUUUUAACUUUUGCAUGCUUUUCUUAAUACAAAAAGUUGGUAGCACAUUUUAACAGAGAAAAAUUUAACUUACGCUGCCAACUAUAUUUUGUUUGCCUGACUUUAUAUUGCAUCGUGGGUAAUAACUCAUUUAAUUUUCUCGUGCAAUCAUUAAAGUUUGCCUCUUGACAAGCCUUAGACAAUUAGCCCUGGAUGGUUAGGUUAUGCUACAUAAUAACAAUCGAACUUUCUCAUUGGGCUACAGUGAGUUGACAUAAUUAUUUCCAUAAUGAAUUACAGAGAAAAGAUUGCCUUUUAGUGGUAAUUGUAUAAAUGGGGGGCCUCUCACUAUUUUUCCCGUCAUUAGAUAGAGAUGAUAGGGCCUGAAUUUGUAUUUUUGGUCCAAUAUCCUACAAAAAAGCUUAAUCUGCUCAUCUACUCUCUUUGUUAUCUAUCUAUACUUAUCUAUACUCAUACAUUAUUCCUCAUAGAAUUCGCCACAUGGCAGUUCUUCCUUCACCUUUACCUUCUCCCCCCUUCCCAUUCCCUAAUGCUUCGCCUUCCCAUCCCCAUCUCUCUCUGAUGCUUCAUUUUCCCACCCGCCCACUUUCCAAUUAGGCCCUGUUUGGAUGGUUACUUUUUUGGAGUGAAGUAUACCUAUGCUAUGGGUGUAGGAAAAAAAUCCUAAGAGAUGUUUCGAUGCUUCAAAAACACCCCAACAAAAUAGGGUAUAGUUUAACUAUACCCUAAAAAACAGAGAAAAAGUAACCUCUAAAAUUUUCUCUGGAAAAAAAAUUACGCUAUUUUUUUUGGGCCGCCUCCCCACUCGCCCGACUUUCUCUGGCGCUUCUCUCUCCCUCCCGUUGCCCUCUCCACGCUUCCUCCCAUCCUCUCUCUCACCUGAGCUGCGUCUCUCUCAUCUCAGCCGCCGCCGCCGCCGCCGCCGCCGUGGAUCUCGGCCACCAUCGUUGCCAUCUCUCGGGUUGCCGCCGCCGCCGCUCUCCGCUGCCAUCUCGUGCGUUGCUACCGCCGAAGUCACGAUCACCUCGGCUGCCGUCGCCGUCGCACUAACCUCGGCCACCAUUUUCUUGCCUCGAUCUUGUUUCGCCCUUCUCGUCCCUCGCCUUGCGAUGGCCGGAGAAGGGCAGCCCCAUUUCCCUCCUCCAACAGGUAACAAAGAAAUGAUCUGAUUUUUUUUUUCCAAUAGGUUAGAUUUUGAUUGAUUCAUUAAUCUUCAUUAGGUCUUUAUGUAAGAAUAGAUAUCUGUAACACAUGAACUCUAUCUUCUGCCUUUCAUGGUGGCAGGAUUUAGCCAUAGUAUGCUAGCUGUUAAUUUGAGUUUGCAAUAAUUUCCUUUGUGACUCCAAAUGAGUUGGUUGAUGAUUAAAGCAGGCCAUUAGGACUUAGAUGAAGCGCUAAUUGUUUAUCCUUUUUGAUAGUUCCGACUACCCUGCAACUUGAUGAAUAACGGCGAUACUCAGAGAAAACGAGGUUUUAUACUUACAUGUAGGAUGGUUGUUCUGCUGUUUUCUCAGGAGGCAGAGCAAUAAUGCAUAGUUAAUUAUGUUAUGACUACGUCUAGUUUAUACCGGUUUCUGUUUGCCAUGGCUAAAAAAUCUGAUGAUGAAAUGUCAAGCAUGCCUGUGGCUAGAGAGGCGCCAAGAUUUAUUUGCCAGUUUUAGUUAUAUUGUUGUAGAUAUCCCAAAUUGGAUGGAAGGAGAAUCUGUGAAAAUCUUGUUAGGUGAGUCCCUUUGAUGAACUUGUUGUAUGUUUUAAAUUUGGUUUGAACCGGCUGGCUGAUCUAAUUGGUCGAACCAUUACCAAGUGCUCAGGUCAGUCCUUGUUAACACAUGAAACUCUAGGAGUUCAAAAAACAGCAUCAAGCCAAAUGUCUUUAUUCUUUAUGCUUGAUCAUUUAUCAGCUGGUCAAAAAACAAUGGACACAUUCUUAGGAUGCUAAAAUGUGUGCUUGAAGUUUAUUUUUUUGCAUUUAUAAGCGAUUAUUGGGUUAAUUUUUGGUCAGGCUAUGUUAGAAUAAAGUCCAGAUUUGGGUUUAUUUUUGUCUUCAAUUUGUGUUCAAUGUAAGCUAGAUGGUCAAUUUGUUUAGGCCCGUAGAAGCUUCAGUUUGUGUUCAAUUUAUUCCUUUUGUAAUUAUUUUGUUCAUAUUUGUAUGUAUUCAAAUAUUGUCACACAUUGUUUGUCGUGAUUAGAAUAGCCUUCUCAAACUAUUUUGCAUGUUAAGUAAACUUAUGAUUGCCUUCUCUAACGGCUAGUAAUUGGGUUUUUUUAAUUCUCCAACCGCUGGAGAUAAAACUUUCCAACGGCUAAUUUUUCAAAUUUUAAUUUUUAAAUUUUAAAAUUUAAAAUUAUUUAAUAGUUAAUAAUUUAAAUUUUAAUUUUAAACUUUUAUUUUAAAUUUUUAGAUCUUAAAGUCAUUUUAAUAGUUAAUAAUUUAAGUUUAAACUCUCAAGACUAAUUUUUUAAGAUUAUCAGAAAUUCUGUAGAAUUGUAUAAUGUGUAUCCAAACAGCUUUUAAAAUAAACUCGUGGAAUUUUUUUGGAGUUACAGGAUACUCCAUUUCAUUUGGACCAAAACUACGGUAUUUAAACUCUAUGGAAUUUAUUUAUUGCUCAUCCAAACAGGGCCUUAAUGCAUUUGUAGGUCUAUUGUUAUCUAAACAAAUCACUUUCAAAAGAAAAAAUCAGUAAAAUAAGAUCUUUUCAUACUCUUUUUUCUUAUACUAUUUGUAUUUAUUAAUAUCUCAUGGCAAGUCAAAAAAUUUUAAAACUUUUAUGUUAUCAAUUUUCUGUUUUUUAUGAUAGGGUUAUUUGCAUACACGUCCCUGCAAAAAUAGUGAAUUGCAGAUAUAUCCCUGCAAAAUGGAAACUCCAUAAGUUGUCCCUGCAAAAGUCCUAAGUUAUGCAGAUAUGUCUCUCUGGUUAACAUCCGUUAGUGAAUUGUUAACUUUUUAACAACGAAUUUAUAAAAUGACAUUUUUACCCUUACAAAUAUGUCCCUCCAAAAAUAUUCCUCUUCCCCCUUCUCUUUCUCUUCCUCUUCGGGCUGCCGGAGCGGACGACAAUGAUGGCGCUGGUGGGACUCGCCGGCGACGAAGAAGAGGGAAGAAAAAGAAAGAGAGGAAGAAGAAGAGGGAAGAGGAAGAGGAAGAGGGAGAGGGAGAGGGAGAGGGAGAGGGUUCGCCGCCGCCGUCGCAUCUUCUCCUUCGCCGGCGACGAAGAAGAGGGAAGAGGAAGAGGGAGAGAAAGAAGAAGGGGGGAGAGGAGGAGGGAGAGGAAGAGGGAGAGGGUCCGCCGCCGCCGCCGCUGCAUCUCCCUCGCCGGCGACGAAGAAGAGGGAAGAGGAGAAGAGGAAGAGGAAGAAGGGUAGAACCGUAAAUUCACAUUAUAAUUAACCAUGGUUAAGUAUUUUUACUAUGGUUAACGGAAAUUUUCUAACAUACUCUAAUAGUAGGGACAUAUCUGCAUAACUUGUGACUUUUGCAGGGACAACUUAUGGAGUUUCCGUUUUGCAGGGAUAUAUCUGCAAUUCACUAUAUUUGCAGGGGCGUGUAUGCAAAUAACCCUUUAUAAUAUUAGCCUACCGCAAUGCGCGGGUAACUUCAAUAGUGUUAUAUGAUUCUUGUGAUUGAAAGGCAGAGGUACUUUUACAUGAACAACUUCUAGGAGUAUCAAUUGCGGCGUCACGACUGAGAACUCCUAGAUUGCUUUAUCAUAUUGUUGGGAGGGACAAAUAGGUUCACCAUCAUUACUUUGCGAUUGGUAAGAUGGUACCUUGGGUAGUAUUGCCAAUACAUGUACAAUUCUAACUUUGUUAGGAUCAUUCGGAAGAGGAGAGGAUUAUUUUAAGAGAGGUGCAUCACCAACCUCUUGCUGUGGAAAGUGUUCCUUAUGUUUUUAUUACAACCACUUACUGUACAUAUGAAUGAUAAGUCAAGUAACUUUCCUAGCUGCCUUGGCAGGCAACAUUUAAGUGAACUACCUUGGAACCUAGGUGGCGUUUUGAUAACACUUCUCGAGAACAAGCUCUACAUUAGUGGAAUGUCAUCACUCGUGUGGACUUGGGACUUUGGUGGCAUUUUGAUAACACUUCCUAAGAACCUCUCUCAUUGGUAGAAAUGCCAACUAAAUUCUUAUAUUAGGCGAGAAACAUCGUCGGUCUCUCAUUUGGUCAAGUUGCUAUGACUAUAUUUAAUAUAAUUAAUAAUUUGUAUUUAUAGGAUGAAAGCAAGAUAAAAACGUGUAAGUGGCAGCAAAUCUAUGAUGUUAUAGAAAAGUUUAUUCUUCAUAUUUUUGGAAUCACAUACUCAAACUUUCCCUUAUUUGACAUUUUUCUCUUUUUGUGAGGUCAUAUCCUUUUUUUAAAAAUUUAUCUGGUAUUUUAAUAACUAAUAUAUUAUUUCAACGGACAUAAAGUAUUUGUAUUGAUUUAAAUGAUCACACUUUUAGUUGCAUUUCCUAGAGUACAUUCGAAUAGACUAUAUAUUAGUGGAAUUGUUGGAACAACUUUUUCUCCAUUAUUCCUUUCUUUGAAUUUUGUUAUCUAAAAUUAUGAGAAGACAAAUAUAGAAGUGCGAUAAUUAAAGCAUAAAUGAUUAUUUCAAAAUUUACCUCUAUAAAUUCUUUCUACUUAUAUUUACAUGAAUAGUUGGAAGUUACGAAAUCUAUGAAUUGAAAUUCAUAAUUUAAAUAUCUUAUAAGAAACUUAGGUUCCUCGGCAAUUAUUAAUUUUGUAAAAUAUAUUGAGAAUGCAAUACCAAGUGAUCUGGCAUCAUAACUUGGUUGAAAGCUAUGACAUAGGCUUGGUUGAAAGCCAUGAAAUAGGCUGUAAUUCAGUUUGUGUCCUGUUUUGCAAAAAAGACAUGUUAAUGCUAAGUUGCAUUGGAUUGGAUUAAGUAGUGAAGUUCGGAUUGCAUUGGAUUGGAUUGGAUUUAGUAUGUUACCCAUUGUGGGAAGUGGGUAUCUCCAUAAAUUAUUCAUCACCGUUUAGGGAUCAGGGAGGUCAUAAGCCUAUUCCUUUAUAUGUCGCCAUUUAAAAGGUAGAGCAGAGGUUGGCCGCCACUAAGUGCCCCACUAAUCUAGCUACUGAUAUUUUCAAGGGAGGAGAUAGCUCCAUGGUUUUCUUUCUUAUUUGCUGUGAAGGAAGAAAUCCUCACACGGGUGUUAGAACUAGGGAUUGAUUGAGGGAUUGAGGAGGGAAGUUCUAUCUCACCCUUUAGGUAGGGAUGGUAGUACCACCUCAGCUAAUAUCACUGGAGGAGGAGGAUAUAGGCUAGAUACCUAAACUAGUGAAAUAACCCGUGCUUCGCGGCAGGAUGUAAUGAUAUGAUUAUUUCGUCAUAUCUUUUUAUCAUAACAUAUAUAUCUAUAUAUAUAUAAUAUUCAAAUUAUCUUAUAGUUCUUAUUACUUAUUUCAAUAUAUAUCUGAAAUGUUAUCUAUAUUUAUGUAGUUCGAAGGUCGGAGAAGUGACAAGCAAAAUUAACAACGAUAAAAAAUAAAGUAAAACAAAUCAGCCAGAAUAUGAAAUAUGAUUUAUUGUUUACAUUUGUAUUACAAACUAUAUAUUAUUGUAGAGCUAGGCUGGUAUACUAUCGGUAGCACGGAGGCCUCCGUGCUACCAAGUUGUUUUCAAUGAUGCGGCUUCCAAAUCGACGAUCAGCUCCGUUAAACUUGAUCUACACUAUAAAAAGUAUUUGGAAACUAAAUUUCAUAAUUUUUCGGUAUCAUUUACCUAUCAAACGAGUAGUCUAAAAAUGAACGGCUGAAAAUAAAAAUCUCAUAAAAAAUGAUGAUAAAAGACUUUAAUUUAAGAUCAAAGGUACUAAUCUUACUCUAAAUAGUGAAAAGAAUUUUCUCUAAAAUUUUUAUUAGAUUUGGAUUGUUUUACACCGUUAAAUUCACAAACGCGUCACAUCUACCAUUAAAAUUGUCAAUUUUGAGACCUUUUGAUCAUUAGCCAAAUAAUGUCGAAAAAUUANCGAUUUGGAAGCCGCGUCAUUGAAAACAACUUGGUAGCACGGAAGCCUCCGUGCUACCGAUAGUAUACCAGCCUAGCUCUAUUAUUGUAUUGGAUAAUAUAUAUUAUUUAGUUAGUUGAAAAUAUAUAUUAUUUAGUUAUUUAUUCCUUUUUUUUCUUAUUUUCUGAGUUAGGCAUUGCAAGGCAAGGGUAGCAGCGCCAGUUAAAGAUAAGAGUAAGCAGCCAAAGGUGCAGGCUGAGGCCUAAUGCAAAUUUGAUGUUUCUCGUUGUUACAACUUUUCUGUAUUUUGAACAUGUUGAUGUUUGUGUUCGAGAACACUGAACAAAUUAUGCUGCAGGAUAAACGCCUUGUCUUGACAAUGGAAGAUCUUUCCAAAGCCCUGCGUGAGGUAAGUAAUCUUCUUAGUUAGCAAAUCUAUUUUUAGAUAAUAACACGUUGUUAUUUUUCUCAAGGAGAACCAUUUGUUUUCUGUUAGUAUGGAUCGAUGACGUUCUUUAAUUCUCUUGUUUAAAGAUUUUUUUUUUUAUUUAUAUUAGGAAACUGGCGAAAGGUUCAUGGCACUUCUUUUUUUUUUUUUUGUAAAUGAAUUUUUUUUGGAAUUCAGAGGCAGAGUACUGCUCUAAACAAGAGGUACUAUAUGGUGUUUAUAUAACGGAGUAAGUAGAAUCAGGUCUAUGAUUAAAAUGCCUAUCUAAGAUUUUCGUAUUAGGCCAAAUGAAUGUUUGUUCAAGACCUUAGAUGCAACUAUGUAUUGACACGGAAAGACAAUCACCAUCCUUCUCUUAGGUUUCUGCAUUAGAUGUUUGAAUUAAGUUUUUAUUUUUUUGAAUUUAAGACCUCUCCAACGUGAUUUUAUACUUGAGAGAAAUUUGCUUCAAAGACUGUCGAGCCUAUAACCCAAUUAUAUUUGCUUAAAACAGCACAACAAUCAAUGAAUAGACGUUUCCUGAUUGGAAUUCCCAAUUUUCUUGUCAAAUGCCUUCUUAUAGUUAAGCAGGUUCCUUUUUAUUGUGGUAAUAACAGUUGUCAGGGAAACUGACAUUUAUUUUCAAAAUUACUAGGUUAAAUUUUUCGAUGGGAAAAUUGGAAGGUGAUUAUUGCUUACAUUUGAAUUUCAGAUGCAUCUUCGGAUUAUGAACUCUGUAUCAACACUAAUUGUUGUGUCAUAUUUGAAAUGUAAUAUGUUUUUUGAUGUUUUAAGGAGACGCUUGAAAUGUAAUAUAUUUUUUGAUGUUUUAUUUUUAAGAAAUGAAAUAAAUGGGAACUUAGCUAAACUAAUGAAAAUCCCUAAGAUCUUUGGUUUCUCAGUUUUUCUAUAUCAAUUUGAAGUUAAAUAUUAAUACUCUUUACCAAUAUAGGGAAAUUGUUUUGCACUUAAACUCCCCCUCAAUAUUCAAAAUAUGCAGAAAACUCUCCUCAACUUUAUGUGUUACUUAAUCCCUUACGUAAUUUUACUGUCUAUAAAACGUUAGAAAAUACCAAGAUGUUGUUCAAGUAUGAACUAUUAAUUUUGCACGGUGAUAAUCUGGUGUCUAGGCAUCUCUUCUUGCCCUCAUAAAUAGAACUUACAACUGCUUUUUAUUUUAUGAUCAGAAAAAUGAAAAAACAAUCUGUAAGCGGAUCAAAAAGCAAGAAAGGAUAUCUGGAAUCUGGAUAUCACUUUCUCCAUACAACACAUAUAUUAGUGUUUGAAAUUAUAUUUUAUUAUUUCCUAAUGUUUUAUGAGUGAUUAAUUAUGUAAGGGAGUUAAGUUAUGGCAACACAAAAAUUGCAUGGGGGCCUUCUACAUAUUUUAAAUUUUGAUGGGGGCGAAGUGCGAAACAUAAGGUUUUCUAUACGUUAGCCUAAAUAAAAUGAUUAUUGACUAGAUGAAGUAUCCAUACUUUGAGAGUGUUUAAAGGGAUACAUGACAGAGCAUACAUAAUGCUUGAAGUUUAGUACCUUACCUCUGAAUUCUGUAGUUGUAGGCAUUUACGAAACUUUGCUAUGUUCAAUACAUUUCAUUUAGCUUGUUAGACUUAAACAAAUAAGUAGUAGUAAUAUAUAGAUGCAUAAAUAAAUAUAGAUAGCCUAAUAUUCCUUUUACAGGAUCACAUUAAUAAUGUAACUCUAUGACCUGUAUGAAGAAGUUGUCGUUGAAAUAGAAGAUGCUACAAUCACAAUCCAGAAACUGUUGCGAUAUGAUCAAGCUCAAUGGGGAGAUGUUCAAUCUUUUGUUAGCAUAAUUCAUGCGUCAGGGCAUUGGAUGAGCAAAAUUGAUUGUGUUGAUGCUUCUGUUGUGCAAAAGCAACUCUAAACUAUUAAAUGCCUAAUAUUCUCUAUUAAUAACGAGCAUGCCAAAAUUAUUACGACAAGGGAUCAUGAGAUUAAGGGAUCAUGGAAUUUUGUUUUAUGUGAAGCGGUCACAAUUUUUAUUAUUGUCUCUUUUUUACUUUGUUUGUUCAUGUUUUUCUAUAUGUAUAUUAUUAGUAGCUGUUUGUUGUUUUUUAUGCAUUGAUUGCGCAUUAUCUCUUGGAUCUUCUCAUACAUCCAAUUUGCAUUGCAGUACGGAGUGAACUUGAAACACCAAGAGUAUUUUGCCGACAGCUCCUCAACCGGAAUGGAUCCUGCUUCAAGGGAGGAGUAAGUAACGAUCAAAUCCCUAAAUUAGAUUGAUGCCCUUUGUGUGGAAAGGGGCUUGCGCCUAUGCCUCAGCCGUUUCGGCAUCAUGAUUCAACCAAGUACAGCUUGAUGCAGUAUUAAUUGUUACUUUAGCUUAUAUAUGUUUGCAGAAAAUAGUUUUGUAUCAUUUCGUCAUCUCUUUAGUAUCUAAAUUUUGGAGCAUAUGUUUGUUUACCAAGCUAUUUAGGUGACACUAUAGAAUACUCAAGCUUGUAUGUGCUUGCAGAAACUAGUUUUGUAUUAUUUUGUUGUCUUUUAACUAUCAAGAUUUUACAGCAUUUGUUGGUUUACCUCCUCUUGUAUCACAAAGCUUCACAUGUUUAAUAUAUUUUGAUUAAUUUUUGCCGAAUAUUUGUAUACUAAGUCUUGGGCAUCAAUAAGCUUUUGUUGGAUAAUGUUGUGUAGAGUUUACCUUUAUACAUUAUUAAUGAAUUUGCAUGAGAGUUUGAUUUCUUUUAAUUGAUUAAUUAAUCUGAAUGUAAUUUUUUUCUUCUGUGAUUACAUAUUUCUUAUUGUUCUUGUUCUUAAACAAAAACCAUAAUGCAAAGAAACAAUACCAAGAGAAAUUAACUUCUCAUUACUUGGUGCUUUUGACCUUAAGGAACUUGGAAAGGAAACAUGAACAAAACCUAGAGUCCCGUACAUUCUUCUGAUUUUUUCCAAAAUGAAUUGAAUAUUUGAUCGAUUUGUGUAGAAGCUUGAUUUGAUCGAGUUUAUAAAUGAAGCUGAGAAAAUGCUUCUGAAACGACAAAACUAUCUGCCUUUGUGAACCAUGAUGAAUGAGGGAUUUAAUGAGUGAUUUUGCCAUAUUUUUCUAAUUAUUCAAGGAAAUUAGCUUGAAUGUUUAGCCCGUUUUUCAAUGUCGGAACAAGUUAUACUUAGUGGUAGCAACAAUUAUGUGAUUAUAAGUUAAGUGUUUGAUUUUCACGUCUUGAAAGGUUUGGCAUAUGUGAUUUGGUGCAGUAGUAGUGUAUCUUACUUACGAGAUAAUUUAUUUUAUUUCGGAAAAAUGAGUGGACAGUCAAAUGUGAUAUGCCUUUCUGGAUAUUUGAUCGUAUUCCUCUUUUAUAAAAUGCUAUAAUUUUGUGAAUAGAUGAAAGAGAUGCGGUGAGCGAGAUAUUCCUGCAUCUAGAGACAGCAUUCAAAGAGUAUUUUCCUUGGUCCAUUUUAGAGUUUAGCUAUCAUGUUGGGAGGAGUAUCAUCCUCACAAAUGGUUUAUUAUAUUUGUGAUCCAAUGAUCACCCUCAAUGUACAAUCACCAUUUUUGUCAGUACUGGAGUCUAAUUGAACAUAUACACAGUUGGAGAACAUUUUAGUGGCAAAAUGAUUUAGCAUCUUAGAAUGCUUUCUAAUAAAGGAAAAAGUCCAUGUAGUCUCCAUUCAUGUUUCUUGGUCUGUAUCAGUAGUAGUAGUAGUAGUAGUACUAGUAGGCUGGUCGAUGGUCAUAUCUAUCAUUUCAACUCUCCGGAAUAAAUCCUUAGCUUUCUUAAAGGGGAGUCAAUGUGGACACUCUGGAAAUACCUGGGUUUUGAGUCAUUCAAAACUCGAAAUAAAAAACCUUGUAAAGUGUGGAAAGGGUUUUAGAGAAAAAAAAAAAGAAGAAAAAUUUCAAAGCUAUGUGGCAAGAAGUGUAAAUGGGCAAAAGCUGUGCAGUUUUUUUUUGAGGGAUUAACAGGGAAUUUGUUUUGAUAUUGAUAGAUAAAUUAUAGAAGUUUUUAGCCAACUAAUCUCAUUCAAACCUUUUAUUCUAAAAAUAAGCCUCUAAAAUUUAUAUUUGUGAAAAUAGGCUCAAAAUUGCCACGUAGGCACUGAGCUAGCAGCAGAAAAUUAAUAGCGGUGAUGGUUCACCGCUUUCAUAAGGUUUUAAAAAUUCCAUAAAAGCGGUGAACCAUUCAUCGCCUUCAUGUAGUUCACCUAAUUUGUUCGUGCGUGGAUAAAAUUUAUGAAGAUGGUGAAGGAUUCACCGCAUAUAAAACCGAUGAAUAAUUCACGGCUUUUAUAUGCGGUGAACCAUUCACUGCCUUUAUAUGCGGUAAAUGGUUUACCGCAUAUAACUAAUUCCAUUGCUAGACAGUAGCUACUUUGCAAAAUUUUCACAUUAUACAAAAUAGCAAUAUUUUCAAGCAUUUCAAUUACAGUAAUAAAUACAUAAAAUCAUUUAUGCCAACUUCAUCCGUACUUUAUGCAUAUAAAAUAAGCUAUACCAAUAUCAACACACUUCAAUUUGAAUAAAUUUAGAUAAUACUAUAAAAAAUCAAUAUAGAAAGAUUUGAAAUAUCAAAUAUACAUAAGAAUCCAAAAAAUGAUAAAAAAAUCAAGUCCCCUCCAUCCCCCUCUUAUGCUCGCCUUCGUCCCCUACCACGUUCACGUCCGCAUCCACGAUUGCCUCAUUGACUCCGUCCUCGAAUAUGCAUGUCAUGCUCCAUCUCAGGCUGCACGGACUCAAUAACAUGCAUUUGAUCAAUGUGCUCGAUGGCGAUGCCCUCGACAAUCGACUCCAUCCUUUGCUCAACAGCUGAUCGUAGUAUCCCUUCCUAUGUCUCAAUGUGACCCUGUCGUCGUCGCGUAUGUUGAUAUACGACAUCAUCGCGACGAACUUGCGAUGUGGAUGGAACAUCAGAAGGAUGGAAAGACAUGAAUGAAAUAUCAAAAUAGAAUAUGUCUGACGUAGAUGGAAUAUAAAAUGGAGGGAUGGAUGCUGACGGGAUAUCAAACUGCACUUCCGAUGUCGAAGGGACAUCAAAAGUCGAAGGGACAUCAGAUAGAUGAAUUGGGACGGAUGUCGAUAGAAAAUCAAACGCAGGCAUGGAGGUAGAGGGAAUAUCACCGAAAUCAUAUGCAUGCAUGAAGGUGGAGGGAAUAUCACCGUAAUCAUCGAAAGUCUGAGAAGAAAUAUCCGGAUGCCCUAUCACGGGUAAUAUCGGAAGGCUCUUUAACACACUCUCGAGGUCCCACCUUACAUAUGCUUGAGUAUCUAUCAUUCUAGAUGGCUCCGGAGGAUCAUCCAUCAAAUAACCAAUACUGCUAACAGCAUGCCACAUAGCAUCCACCUAUAUAAAAAUACAUGAUUAUAUAUAAUAAAUAUCCUUAUAUUAAAAUAAACUAUAAAAUAAAAUUAUCUUACCAAUCUUCGCUCGAUAUGCCCACAUGGCAGAAAAGUAAGUGGAGGCCGCUAUACAGGACGAGAAAUCCACCUCCUUGUAAUUCUCCAAUACCACUGCAUGUACACAGAGGUGGCUCGUAUCAAAUCUAGAUCGAUGAAAGGACUCUGCUCCGCAAUAUGCACCAGACGAUUUGCCCAACGUUGAAUAUAUGGAGCAUGAAACGCUGCCCAGUCCUUACCUUAUCUACCCUGCAAUGUGAUUCUCUGUAUAGCUUCUACGGGAUCCGGUAUAUGUUGCAGUAAUCGAAACUAAUGCAGAACUCUAUCAGAUAGAUGUAGCUCCACAAUAUGAUAGCAUAUCAAGUAAGUUCUCGAACACCAGACUGCAGAGCCUUCGAGACAAAAUGCAGGAAGACUGUUCAAAACAUCCUCCGUGUAGAGCAUCCAUAUAACCUGUACAAGUGUAUUAAAAAAAAAUAAAUGUAAGAUUUUAGAAUGUAUGUGUAUGUAUUUAUUUCAUGAAAUUUAUAUGUACUUGUGACUCUCUCUCUCUGCUAAUCUAGCUCCUAGCGGUAAAACUCAAUGUCAGUCACCCUGACAUUUCCACGAAAUCGCAAUCCCGUGUUCCACCUGCAGAAGUGAUUAGUAGUAUAUUUUAUUAUUUUAUAAUACAUCAAUACAUUAUCAAAUUUUAUUAUUUUAUUAUAUUAUAUUUAAACACAUAGCAUACCGACAACCCAAUCGACAAUCAUGGAGAUCCGGUGAAGCUCCAACUCGAUCUGGACGCCUAAUGUGUAUAUGGUCCCAUGCCCAUAUCUAAGAACUAAAAAAGUUAAUUAUAAAAUUAGUCAAAGAAACUAAGUUAUGAUCGUGAUAACUAGUGAAAUAGUGAUUUGAUCUGUAGUAGUGUACCAAAGGCACAACAUUCGGCCUUUCCCUUCAUAGAGGCAUUUCCUAAUGCCCGAUAGAGAUGGUCCAAGAUAGCUGCGCUCCAAGUUAGGCCUCCGCAGAAGUCAAAAUUUUCAAGUAGCGGUAGCCACUUGAGGUGAACUCGAUAUCCGGUGGGGUUAGGAAAUAAACUGCAUCCAAUUUAAAAUAAAAUGUAUGCUCGCACAAAUGCUGCAACCAUGGCCGGCGGAGCAUCCAAAAGAACAUGCUGGGAAUGCUGAAACAACCACUCCAAGCGGAUCUGGCCGGCGACGAUAUCAUCUAGCUGUAUCCCAAGAAGGUGCUCACAUGUAUGCAACAAAUCAAAUGAAGCACGUCCCAUAAUAGGCUCCUCGGAGACUUGUAGUCCAGCUGUAACGGCCACGUCACGUAGCGUAACUGCCAUCUCUCCGUGACGUAGGUCUCGCGCCUCCAUCACUCUAUCAACGCUCCUAAUAGAGCCUGAUCAAGCUGUACUCAUCUGAGGCGGGAGACGUAGAAAAAUCCAGCAUGCCGUAAAUGCUCUAUCACUCCCGGAUUGCUUGACUGUCCAUGUAUUCAAUUUACGGCCAUGCUCCAUAAACUAAACUCGCACAUACCUUUAUAUUGUUUAUUCACUUUUUAAAAAGUUUCCCUUUUAAGUAUUUAAAUUACAAACUUUUAUGUACAUGCAUAACUUAACAUACCUCUGAUCGCACGUAGCGUGAACGAUGCCUAGCCUGGUCUGAUAGAACUGAUGGAUCAACUGACCCGGGAUCCUUGUGAUCGUCCAUCUGCAAAAUAAAGUAUACAAAUUAGUGACUAUUAAUUGAACGUUAAAAGAUAAAUCUAAAAAUAAAAAUAGUGUAGAUAGUCAAACAUAAGUCAUCAACCUAAAGCUCUACGUCUACGGCCUUCAUUUGUUCUAUGUUGAUUAUUUGGACAUGUAGUCCUAUAAUGUUCUUGUUGUUUACAAAUAGUGCACAUAGUUCUUCGCAUUCCUUCACUCUCGUCUAUGGCGUUUCGAAUACGAGUUGAUUGCGGACGGCCUUUCUUUCUCCUGAUAGGUGGGGGUGCCAGCGGUGGUCCUUGAGGGCGUGGCCAGCUUCUUUUGUCUGGGACGGUGAAAUUGCGAGAAGUAAGCACCACGGUAAUACUCACAUGUAUAUUUUUCCAUUCAGAACAUAGACUAUAGUAGUCAAUGUUCAUUUGACCGUUACUGCAUACAGCUAGAAGAUGUGAGCAUGGCAACCUAGUGAGCUCAAACUCAUUGCAUGAACAAGUCGGGCUUCUCCCAUCAAGAACCAUCUCAAAUUUUUCAUUUCCGGUAGUAAUUUGAAACUCGUUUACUUUGAAGCGAUCACACGGUGUCCUCUUGCGAUUAUCAUAUAACUCUUAAUUAGCGCCUCCUGUUUUGGUGCCAACACUGUAGAGUAUGUUUGUAGUACACUGAACUUGAGCAAAUUGCGAAGUUCGAGUGUGGGGAUGAUAAUUGGAAUUAGCCGACAUCUUCUAAAGGGUUUAGAGAUAUUUGUAGACAAGUUUGAGAGUGAUUAGGCCACUGGAAGCGAGGAAGUGCAUUGCUACUGCAGUUUCUACACUUUCUGCAUUGUUGUACUGGUACAACAUUGAGUCUGUAUCGGUACAACAAGCAUUAGCAGCAGCAGCUGCGUGGUAGCAGGGAGAAUUUGGUCUUUUUACAUCUCAAGUUUAUCUCUAAUAUCCCUACACGACACUAGCAGCUGCUUUGAAGGUGCUAGAGCUUUGAGAGGCAGGGUAGAAGGCUUCUCUUCUUCUCUCUCCAGAUUUCUCUCUCUUAAUGCAUGGAAUGGUGGGUUUGAGCUUAAUUUCUUCUCCUACUUGAUGCUAGUUGGUUUGGAGCCUUGAAGAAUAGCUUCUGGAGCUGAGGGGGAGGCGUUUUGAUAGUGUUUUUCAAGUAUCUCACAAGGAAUAGCUGAGAGGGAGCUUUUGAAAGGUAAGUAGCUCAAUUUUCUCCCUAGCUCGAUUAGUAGUUUGGGAUUUUGAGUGUUUUGAUCCCUUGCUGUCAGCCACGGUUGAGGGAAGUUCCAGCAGCAAGAGAAGAGCUUCUUUGCUGUAAUUUCUAUACCUUAGUUCAAGGAAGAAGCUGAAUUGAAGCUUUAAGAAGUAAUUAGCUGAUUACUUAACCUUUUUGAUACUAUACAAGGUUUAAUAGUGACUAUUGAUGCUGAUUUCGAGUAUAUUGUUGACAGCAACCAUGAACACCACUUGAGCUGAGAUUAUGACCUAGGUGAGCUGGUUUGGAAGUAUUCCAACCCUCAGGGAGUGGGAUUCCAAGUUCAGAAGUUGAAUAAGUGAGAUUUUAACCUAUAUUACAUAGAGUACAACGGUAUUGAGGCUGUUUUGAGGCUAAUUCUGUAACGACCCAGCCCACUAGCAAUAAUAACUCGUUGGGCCCAACCACCGGCCCAAAAUAUUUAAGCCCAGUUAUUAUUACUAGUGUCUAAGUCUCUUAUAAAGACAAUGAUAAUUCCAUUCCCAUCCGAUGUGGGAUUAUUAGGGUGUCACAGACUCCCCCCGUUAAGGCCCUGACGUCGACGUCAGUCCAAUCACACACACAGCCCAAGAUCACCAGGCGAUGUGAGACUCGUCUCGCUAGCCCGUCAACCAGACCCUGGCUCAGCCGAAACUCGCCACACAUUGGACGUCAGUCCAAUCACACACACAGCCCAAGAUCACCAGGCGAUGUGAGACUCGUCUCGCUAGCCCGUCAACCAGACCCUGGCUCAGCCGAAACUCGCCACACAUGUCCAGCUGGUGAACCGGCUCUGAUACCAAAUGUAACGACCCAGCCCACUAGCAAUAAUAAUUCGUUGGGCCCAACCACCGGCCCAAAAUGCUUAAGCCCAGUUUUUAUUACUAGUGUCUAAGUCUCUUAUAAAGACAAUGACAACCCCAUUCCCAUCCAAUGUGGGAUUAUUGGGGUGUCACAAAUUCGCAGCAGGUUUUGCCACAGGUUAUUAGAUGGUUCUCGGUUGAUUUCUGGGAGCUUGCGAAGGUUGAACUUAGUGCCUUAACCUAAACCGAAGCAGGGAUUAAAGCUGUAGCCUAGGGAUGUCAAUGGGUAUGGAUACGCGAAAUUUUAUCCGAACCCGAACCCGAAUGAAAACGGAUAUAUCCGAUGGAUGUGGAUAUGGAAUCGGAUAUGGAUAUAAAAAAUAGAAACCCGACGGAUAUGGAUUCGGAUAUGGAUUUUGAUUGUACUCAUAUAUAUAUAUAUAUAUUUUAUGUUUUAUUUAAGCCCAAACCCAGCCCAAGCCCAAGUCCAAGCCCAAGCCCAGNNNNNNNNNNNNNNNNNNNNNNNNNNNNNNNNNNNNNNNNNNNNNNNNNNNNNNNNNNNNNNNNNNNNNNNNNNNNNNNNNNNNNNNNNNNNNNNNNNNNUAAAAUAGAAGUGAAAUCUCAAUAUAGUCCUAAUUCUCAACAAUAUAUUUCAUCAACAACAUCCAUGCAUACAAUCAUAACCAACCAAAGCCAAAAAUAGAUUAUUGAACCUACUACAUGCAAUAUAAGCAACAAAAUCAUUAUCAACCCUAUAGAACAUAAGCAAGAGGCAAAGACUCAACUUAAACUGAGACAAUAGAAGCUGCCCGAAUACUUCGGGAUGCAUCCCCACCUGGGUACCGGAACACUCCCAGACGCCCUUGCGCUACCUUGUCGCCGCUUAAGUCGUGGUCACUUAACCCUUAUCGCUGUAAAGCAAAUCUUUAGCCAGCUCGGACGACACCUUCUUCGCCUACGCGUAAAACAUAGCAAAGUUUCUAACACCUCAAAAACAAACCUCACAUUAACAAAAUCCCCAAAAUCUAACCCUAGGUUAGAUCCAUGAAAGCUAUGGAUGCAUACUUUCAAGUAGCAAAUCCAUGUCUCUUUAAGCCAUUAUCCAUUAACCAUCAAGAACAACAAAAACCAUCCAAACCCUAGAAAUCAACCAAUACCAUGAAGGCUGACUACCUAGGUCUUGCCCAACAGCCUAGGUCAAAAACACGAUAAGAAGGGGGGCCCUCAAAAACCCUCUUCCCCUUCUCUCCCUCCUUUUAAUCCUCUCUUUUUCCUUCUUUUCCUGUCUUCUUUUCUUCUCCUGUUCUCCCCAACCGGUUAAGAAAGAAGAACUAAGAGAGAGGGGCUGUGAGAAGAAGGCAGAGACUAGAUGGAGGGGGGGUAAUACCAAUUAACAAAAGCAAAAGCCCUACCUUACAGAUUCAAGCUUAACCCGCUGCCUCCCCGCGCUCGGUGUACCCGACAAGUUCCUACCGCUACCCCUGCAAACGGCCAAACCCAGACAAACCCGAGGCGCCCAGCCGGCAGCGAUGGCGAUCCUGGUACAGCCAUUCAUUCUUACCGUACACCAGCUCCAGAAAGCUGUUUCUCGAUCUGUUUCGAUUUCUUUUCGCGUCCAACAACGCUAAAACUAUUCCAACACUUUUGGAACUCAUUUUUACUCUUCCAAACAUGUUGAAAUACCAAAUGGGACUUGUCCCAAACUUUCGUUUGCUCACUUUGGUCCAUUGUGCCAAAGUUAGCCGAUAUCGUCGAAUUUUGAUAUCUUACACAAUCGGAGAGGACGAUACAAAUACUUGAGGAUAUGCUUCGAGCGAGUGUACUUGACUACAAGGGCGGUUGCCACAAUCAUCUACCGAUGGCGGAGUUCGCGUACAAUAAUAGUUAUCAAGAGAGUAUCGCGAUGGCACCAUUCGAGGCCCUUUAUGGAAAGAAGUGUCGCUCUCCAAUCCAUUGGAGCGAUGUGGGUGAGAGAGCGGCUCUCGGCCCCGAUGUAGUGCGGGAAGCGGAGGAGAAGGUUCGCCUCGCCCGCCAACAGCUGGCUACAGCGCAAUCCCGGCAAAAGAGCUAUGCCGACAGACAGAAGAAGGAUAUAGAAUUUGUCGUUGGAGACCACGUGUUCCUAAAGGUAUCGCCGAUGCGAGGAAUUAGACGGUUUGGGCUCCGGGGGAAGCUAAGUCCCCAGUGCCUCGGACCGUUUGAGGUAUUGGAGUGGGUCGGCGCGGUGGCGUACAAGAUAGCAUUACCACCGAGGCUUGCGGGAGUGUAUGAUGUAUUUCACGUAUCGAACCUCCGCAAGUAUGCUCACGACCCCGAUCAUGUUCUCUCGUUCGAACCGUCCGAGAUCCAAGAGGACAUGACCUAUGAGGAGUUCCCGACAUACAUCAUCGAUCGAGAAGUAAGAAAACUACGAAAACACGAGAUUCCGUAUGUUAAGAUUCGUUGGUGCAAUCACGAUGAUUGGGAAGCUACUUGGGAGCUCGAGAGCGUAAUGCGGAAGCAUUAUCCUCAUCUCUUUAACGAGCUGAAUUGAGGUAUGAGUUUAAGUCUAAAUUAAGCAAGUUUCGCGGACGAAACUAAUUUUAAGGGGUGGAGAAUGUAACGUAUCGAAACCUCAAUAGCGAUUAUCGAACUUUAACCAAAUUGGUUAAAGCGCCGAAACAAAUGGUUGGAUAAGUUCCAUUUUGCAUUCCAACAAGGUUGGAAGGACCAAAAUGAGUUAAGAAGUGUUGGAAUGGUUUUGGCAUUGAACGACACGAAGUAGAGUCAAGUCGAAACCAAAACAGCAUUCUGGAGCAUUGUGUACCGGUACACCAUGGUGGUUGUACCGGUACAGUAAGCGAUCACAGGCUGCUCUCGGGUUUGGGUAGCCUGGGUGGUGUACCGGUACGGGACCCCGUGUACCGGUACACACCCUGCAAAAACAAGAGAGUUUACUCUCGGGUUUGGGCCUCUGCGCAGGUCCGUACCGGUACACAAACCCGCGUACCAGUCCACAGCGGCUCUAGUAGCAGGGAUGAGUCUGCUGCAGAAUAGAGAGUUGAGGGGUCUAGUUGCUAUUGUUGCAACAUGUUAUUACCCCUACACCCUCUUCCCCUCACAGCAGCACCCCAACUCCCUCUCUUUCUCUCAUUUCUCUCUUCAUCUCUCUAGAACUCUUGGGCUAAGGGCUUGGAGAAGAAGGAGAAAAAGCUUAGAGAAGGUGGUUUCGGAGCUUUGGUGGUUCAAGAAGCUCUCCUACAAGAAGGCCUUGGUAGAGCUUGGGACAAGAGGUAAGUUUUUGCAAGAUAUCUUCUAGGGUUAGGAUUUAAAUCCAAAGUUUUGGAGUUUGAACUUCUUAGAGGUUUUAGAAGCGUGUUAGAGCCAUGAACACCAUGAAACCCUAGUUUUCUUCAUGGUGCUCUAAUGGGGGAUUUCUAGAGUUUGCAUUCUAAGCCUUAGAGAUGGUUGGGAUAGUUCUAAAUGAGCUUCUAGAGGUUAGACAAGCUCUCUUUUGCUUGUUCUAGAGAUCAAAACCUAGGGUUUAGCAAUGGGUUUGGUUAGGGCACCAAAUUUGGGGCUUUUGCCCUAGAUUUUUUCGGGGGCGAAUUCACCCCGUAGAAACCUAAUUGGGGGUGUCCUCAACGCAUGGGAGAACUCCGUUUAACGUUACGAAAAGGUUUAGAUGGAGUUAUUGAUAAAAAGCUUAAUUCGGCUUCGUUUUGCCGCAGGCGAAAAAGUAAAGCUUCAAAAAUUCCAAGAAAUUCACCGUAGCAUCCUCUCAACCUUCUAAAGUGGGUGGUGCAUUCCAAGGACCUCGGAAAUUCCUUUAUGUCUAAGUGUCAUGUUUUGAGCAUAUAUACAUAUUUGAGCAUAUUGCAUAAUAGGGUUAAAUAGUGAACUUUUUAUAACAUGAUGUAAAUUCAAAUACAUGUUAAAUACUUGGAAGAAUGUGAGAAUGAUAAUCCCUAUGUAUGCAUGAACGUGACAAGAAUCUAGAAGGGUUAGUAAACAAAAGUAACACCAUGACAUAGAUCUAACGAGUGGCAUCGAUGAGUCUAGAACACUUAGAAAACAAGUAUGGCAUUUGGCAUGAGAACAAGAACAUAGCACUUAGAAAACAAAUGUGGCAUGAGUACAAGAACUUGGCAGUGUAUAUGACACUAGUGAUAGUAAAGAAUGCAAAGAAAAGAAUGAUUGAGACAUUAUGACAUUUCAACCUUAGAAUUAAGGGUCAUUUGAGCAUGGUCUUCCUUAAAGUUAAGGAAUGGAUGAACUUGGAAUCCUCAAUGUAGGAUUGAUCGUACUCACCUUUAGUCCUUGCUUGAGGGUGGUAGCUCCUCCUCGGGCGAUGUGCUCCAGAGUUGACAUCACUGGGUUGUAGCGGGUAUCUCCCCAGAGGACAGUCCUAUCGGGUUUUAGCGGGUAUCUCCCCGGUUAUUAGGAUUUUGGGUUGGUGAGUUUGUUGAAGGCGAAACCUACGAGUUAGCCAAGAGAUUCGAUAAAGAAAUUGUGAUCCUGCAUUCAUCAUGAGCAUUAUAUCGAGCAUCGCAUUUUAUAUUGUUCAAGCAUAUUAGUUCCAUUUGCUAGUUGGUUACUUUCUUUCCUCUAUUCUAUUAUGCCUUAUUAGACCUAGUGGGAUAGUCGGCGUGGUUGGUUGCCGAACCCACUGAAAACUUUGUUGUAGUUCUCACACCCCUAUUUCUACAGAGCCGGGACCGAGCGAGCCGGCUGACGAUCGCGGUAAGGGCAUCGCGCCCUAGUUAGAGACCUCCCGAGUAGUUAUCAUUUUGUAGUCGCAUACCCUCUACUUAUACAUCAUCUUUUGUAUUUAUACAUCAUCUUUUGUAUCUUGAUGAUUAUGCUAUUAUGAACAUGUUAAAUGAAUGAUGUAAAAAGAGUUUAUAUUUAAAUGCAAGAAUUUAUAUUUGAGAUCAUGCCAUGUAAAAGAGAAGAAAUGAUGCAAAAUUGUAAUUGAUUUCCUAAGUGUAGUUUAUUACUUUCACUAUGGGCUAUUGCUUGCCCUCGUGCAAGCCAGUGUGUAUGCUUCCGCUUAUGCAAAUUGUUACUCUAUUGAUACUUGUCGUUGAGCCUUGGGUGGACAGGGAAGGCUCUGUCCGUUCGGCGUCUAUUUGACGCUCUCGAACCGGCCAAAAGGAUCGGGCUCGGAGCGUGACAUACGAUCCUAUCAUACAGUGCUAACUAUAUAAGAUAACUAUGAAGAUCCAUUUAUAUAGUUCUAAUUGUUUUAUGUCGAAUGGAAUACCUAUAGUGGACUAAAAUACACCUUUAGCAACAUAAAGGACAAUACUGAAGGAAAAUGAAAUUGUCUCAUUAUACAGACAAGCAUCUGCCUACAGUAUGAUGCAUCAAGCAGGUGUAGACAAUGGCUUCAAGAUGAACGGUGUCACGCCCGGAGCCUCGCCUAUUUGGCCGGUUCGGGCACGUCGAACAGACACCGAACGGACAGCACCUCCCCUGUCCACCCAAGGCUAACCACAAGAUCAUGUACAAGAAUUUGUCCAGGAAUAAUUCAAACACAUACAUGAUCCAUACAAACGACGGCAGAAGCACCACAAGUGCUAUACUAGUAAGAGCAAGAAUCACAAGUACUUACAAGUGAAUAAAAAAGAGAACAUUCUAGCUAUUACAUCACAUUCACAUUUACAUCAUUAUAUUUACAUUUUCAUCUCACCAAAAUGAAUGGAUAUAAGUUCAUCUCACAUGGAUCUAAAUACAAAUCCAUCUCGUAUACAUAUGUGCUCUCCAAAAUACAUCAUAUCUACUAUGUACACGAGGAUACUCUAAUGUAGAUAGGAAAAGCUACUAGCUAACUAGGGCGCUAUGCCCUUACCGUGAUCCUCCCACGGAACGCUUGUGCUCGGCCCUGCAACAAAGUGGGGUAAGAACUAUAUAAAUAUAGUUCCCAAUGGGUUUGGCCGCCGACUCCGCCGAUCUUUCCACUAGGUCUAAGCAGGCAUAAACAGAUAGAUAGAUAGAUAGAUAGAUAUCUAAAAAUGAACUGCUGCAUAGUAAUGAAAUAUACAAGUAUACUACUAUGCCUCAAUACACAAGUAACGAAUGAACAUCUCAUGUACUCUACCCACAUGAUGCUAUGUCUCUACAUCAAGUAUAAUGCAAUGUCAAUCAUGAGUUCAUUACCCAAUCCACUUGGCUAACCCGAAGGUUAUGCCAUGACUUAGAUCUCAAAUCCUGCAAGUGAAGAGCUACCCCGCCCUUGACUCACCCGGCCCAUAUCUCAAAUGUCACAGGUAAAGAGCUACCCCGCUCUUUGCCCGACUCAGAUCCCAAAUCUCAUAGGUAAAGAGCUACCCCGCUCAAAUCUCAUAGGUGAAGAGCUACCCCGCCCUUCGCCCGACUCACGUCCCAGUCCAAUGGGUGAGGAGCUACCCCGCUCGUAUCCCACCUGAUGAGCUACCCCGCUCGUGUGACAACUCCGGAGUGCACUGCUUGUGUGGAGCAACCCCCCCAAGCUCAAAACAGACUAUGUGAGUAUAAUCCAAUCCUCGCCAACUGAGAUACCCAGUCAACUAGGGUUAACAAACACUCAGAAAUCCACCUAUCCCUAGGUCGAUGUCAAGCGUCUCAACCACACUAAUCAACUCACCCUAGGGAAUUCAACUAUCUCUAUAUUUGAUGCCAUAGUGUCUCAAUUACACUAAGUUCUCAUACAACCAUUCAUAACUAGGGAAUCCACCUAUCCCUAGGUCCAUGUCAAGUGUCUCAUGUCACACAUCAUGACUUGUGUCAAGUGUUGCAUCUACACUAGGUCCCAUGCCACUUGUCAUGUAUUCCACAUUAUCUACAUGCCACUCAUUCUCGUUAUAAGUGUUUCCACUACUCUAGUUCACAAGUCACUAGUUUUUAUCAUCAAGUCCGAGUUCACCAUUUUCUUAUCACUAUAGAAUCUCAUGUCACAAUCCUAAUCCUCAUGCAUUCUAGGUUUAAGUGUCGAGCCCACAAUGCUACACUACUAGACAUGCAUGCAAGGAUGUAGAAAUGCAACUAUACAUAGAUCCUAUAAUGCAUAAGAACAAUAUAUGAAACAUGAUCAACAAUUCUAACUCGGACAUAGAAGGAAGCCUAGUUGCUUCGGGAUGACACCCCUCACCUAUUAUCGCGCUCCGAUUGCUUGUCGUCACUUGCAAUCGGCCUCCCGUGGCACUCGUUGUUCGGAUCGGCCCGAUCUUGCAAUUUCUCACCAACCAUGCGUCAAUUCGCGGCCUUGGAUUUUAUAGAUCUAUAACUUGAUGCCGCGAGCCCACGAAUCCAAUUUCGUAAUUUUUAGUCGCCGCCUCGGCCCUCCAAGUGGAAACGAAGCCGAAAACCCCUUUUUCAGCAAUAUCUCCUCAUAGGUUCGUCGGAUCGCCGAACCGACUUCACCAGCGCGUCAGAAUACCUAGCAAUUAGAUUUAUAUAGGUUCAAUUUAGAACAAACUCUAUCGUUUCACAAAAUCCCAUUUCGGAGCCCUAGUUUGCAACUAUUGCAAAAUCCACCGUUUAAUCUCUAGAUUCUAGCAUUCAUCACCUAUUUAACAUGCUAGGAUUCCAAAUAAACCAAUUCUAGAGAUUAAAAUCCACGUUCUAGAAAGCUACCAUGGUUGCUAUCAAGAAGCUUACCUCAAGCUUGCUCUAAUGGACCAAGGAAGUAGAGAAGAAGAAGCUCCACUUAGUCUUUUUCUCCACCAACCUCUCCUUCUCUUGCCUUCCUUGUAGAGAGAGAGAGAGCUUUAGAGAGAGAGAGAUGUGUGUUAGGGUUGGGUGGUGAGGGAAAUGAGAGAAAACCAACCCUAGACCCCUCAUAUAGCCUCCACUAAUGCAAAAAUUGCAAGAAGACCCCUCAACAAUGCAAUUAGUGCACAGCCCACGCAGGGCAUUUUCGGGCUACGGGGACCGGUCCUUGCUUGAAGGACCGGACCCGGAGGACCGGUCCUUGGCUGAGGGACCGGACCACGUAGGUCCAGAAAAUCAGCCUUUUAGGACAGCCAAAUUUUCAGCCUUUUUCCGUUUCUUCUCCGUUUCGCUCGUUUUCGCUCGUAUGGCCUCCGAUUCAUUUCAAAUCGCACCGAGAUUCUCAAAACAUGUUUUCGAGAUUUACAUCAUCUUUUCAUCCACGCUAAUGUCGGAUUUAGCUCAUGGUCCAACAUAGUCUUUCGGGUCCCGCUUUCGCGCUCGACGCGCACCGAAAACGCCCGAAUACUCCCGGACUUCACCGGAACCAUUCCAAUAGCUUCUCUAACCUAGCAUACUCCGUAACUUCAUAACUUUAGAAGUUCGGUAUACUACAAACGGUGAGGCCGUAUUUGGUUGGUCCUGAUAGUAUUUGGCAUCACACUAAAAAGCUGCUAUGUAUGAUAAAGAAACACCUAUAUAUAGAUUGUUGCACUUUUGUAAGGUCAUACAGAACAAUAAUAUUUAACUCAAACGGACCAAUUAUACAUACUUGGACAAGAAGAGUUAGAGUUAAUUAGAUAUGAUUACUACUUAUAUAUAAGAAGUAAAGGACGCACUACAUAAUGGUGGGGUGUGAGAUAAAGAAACUAUUCAUAAAACAGGCAUUAAGUUAUUUACUGCCAUGUAAUAGCAGUAUCUACAUGCAUGAUACCGGCAUUAUCUGCACCUGUGGGAGGGAUCAAAUCAAAGCAAGUACUAACUUGCAAGAGAAGACAUGUUACUGAAAUAUAUAGGUAUUCGCUAUCAUUUUAUAGGUGAACAUUGGCUAAUCUAUAGCCGUCACGUUUUAUCAUGCAGGGCAAGUCAUUGAGUAUUGUACUUCAUCUCGGUAUUAGUGUACCCAUAUGCUAUAUAGGUUUGCCAAAAGUAGCAUAUUAAUACAUAUAUAUACCUUUAGGUCAAAAACGAAACUGUCAUAUUUGACAAUACACUAUUAACACCCAUAAAGGUGUUGGGAUGGGAGAAUACAUCGAACGCCACACAAUUCUUCAUGACUUGUUCUUAUAGAAAUGGAUUGUCUAUGGUGGUCCCAGAUACACCUUUCACUAUAUUAUAGAUGAAAUACAAAAUAUUGAUGUGAGCCAGUGGUAGGUCUAAUCAUGCAGAUUAACACGUGCAGUAUUUUGACACCUCAAGAAGGUAAAGCAUUGUCUGUAGAUCCAGAGAAUAAAUGCAUCACCUACAUUUACAUAGGUUUUGAUUUUUCUCAACAGUCAUAUGGUUGUUAACUAUCUAAGUUUUUCAUUAAGUUUAUACAAUUUGACCUAUAGGUGUUCCAAAUGUAUUAACAAGUAGCCAUUCAUUAUUCUGCCAAAUAUGAUAGUUAUAUAUGAAACUAUAAGUGUACCAAAUAUCAUUUUAGGAUGUUUCAUACAUGUAUAUUGCAACCCAUUCACCACUUGGAUUAAUAUUAGAGUACGCGACUACCCCAACAGCAGAAUCUUGUCAAACAACACCUAUACAAUAUCAGGAGAUAAAUAAGUACAAGCAGAAUGAAAUAUGGAGCAUCUUAAAUAUAGAAAAAUAUAUAAUGUGUAUAAGCUUACAACACAGAUCGAUUCACCAUAAAAUACAUGCAGUAGUUAAAAAAUAAAAAGGAAAGAAGAACAUUCAUACUUCCAGAUACGAGAAAUAUAUGUCAUUACAAUUGCUCCCAAUCUUAUAUGCAAAGCUACAAUAGCAGCAAGAAAAUAUAGAAAAAGUGUUAAAUCACUAUUAUAUAGUUCAAAACUCUUGGUCAAGUAUGUACAAUGCAGAUCAAUUCUCAAUGUUGUAAUAGUACAGUCAAUGCACUUGUCGUUGCUUUCCAUUGGCCGAUCCUCCUCCGCUAUGCCGAAAUUAUUGUUUUUACGAUAUCUCCCCUUCGUGCAACUGUUUAAAAAGUUAAUCAGAUCAAAUUAAAGCCAAACAUAGAUACGCAUAUAUGGAUUUUAUUGAGAAUUUGUUAAUUCCUGUUGCAAGUGAAUUGAGUGUGGCAUAUGCAUACAAGCAGUCGGAUUCUGAUUUAUUGAUUUCUGACUUAUAUCCACUAUAUGAGAGUACAUGAUAGAUUUGACGAUAUGGAUAUAUUUUUAGGACCCAACAUGUCUCACAUAAAGAAACAAUAAUUAAAGGCUAAAUUACAUAAAACUUUUAUAUCAAUACCCGCUUCUUCACUUUUCUCCCGUCAUUUAAAAACCUACAAUUUGACCCACAGGGUGUACGGUGUGACAGAAUGACCAAAUUGCCCUCAUCUUCUUGAUUUCCUCCCCAAUGUUACUCAUCCCAGUGGCGGAGGAGGGCGAGAGCAUGUGUUUGGGUAUGGACAGAAGGGUGGGCAAGGGCGAGGCGGCGAUGGUAGGCGAGGCAGCGGCCGAAGGCUUGUGUAUGGGCAUUGAUAAGGGUUUCAAGGGUAUUUUGAGUAUAGAAAAAAGAUAUAAAUAGACCUAACAGAAUACUGACGGCGGGGGCGAAGUGAAUAUUUUUUAUUUUUCAAUAGGGCAAAGUAUAGGUUUUUGAACGACGGGGGAAAGUGAAAAAGCGGGUAUUGACAUGGGGAUUUUCUGUAAUUUAGCCAAAAUUAAAUUAGAGUGCUUGUAUAUGCGACAAAAUAAUAUUAAAUGAUAGUCUAUCAUAAAUUUAAUUAAUAAUACUGUUACAAUAAUGGCUGGGUCGCUAUGUACACCAAUUCCAUAAGGUAAGUCGCUUGACGAUGAAUUGUUAAUCGUAGGCCUUCGCAGAUAAACCUAUUUUAAUAAACCAGUUGGUGCCAAAGAAUAAAAUAUUGAAAAUUACAAGAAGAAAAUAGUAAAAUCGAACUAUAUAUCCAGAAUUAAGAAAAUUAAAUGCAUAAAAAAAGUACAAAAUAUUUACACACUAUUGGGAGGAGGCCGAGUGUGAUGAUGAAACACGAUUAUAGAUGGAACAUUCACCGCGAUAUAUCAUGUCCCUAAUUAUCUAACAUAUUGAAAUAUAUCAGAAAAUAUCAAUUAUUGUCAUCUACUAUAAAUUAGAAGCCAACAAUAAUUGAUUACGUAGGUGGAGAUAUACUUCUUGCUUAUUGGCUUUCAUCUUCAACCUUCGUAUAGCUUUAGUCAUUGACUCUUUUUUUUGCUUGGUAGGUGGCCCUUACUGCGAACUGAUAGGGGCUCAGUACUCUUCGGUCGUUAGUUCUAAAUUCGACCAGCUUUAGAAGGUGUUAGUUCAAUCUGCGAACAUUCGACAUCAUUGCUCCCUUUGGAUGAUGAAGUGUUUUUCAAUUUAGUCUUCAAAUCUUACAACGUACGUAACGCUACUUCACAUUUCUCAUUGGACUUAGAAAUUAUGUUCGCAAUGUUAUAAAUAUGACUAGAUACUUCUUCAUAUCACUAAUUUCAGAGGCACUCUCUAAGUUCUUAUGCCAUGCUUUCAAUCCGGGUAUAUCGCCGUUUGACGUUCUCCCACCAUUGUUUUAGUAUGUAAGAAUUUAGGACAAUCAUCAACUUUCUAUAAACUAGGACGACAAUUGAAUAUCAGUAUAAAAUACCAUUGUACUCAAAAUAACAGCAAAUACAACUUAUUAGGAAGCUACACUCAUCAAAAUAUACUAUGAAGACUAUAUCUUUUCCUCCAUCACCAUACUCAUUAACUAGAUAAGAAUGCGCAGUGCCCUUUCGAAGAUAGUAAAGAUGUCUCAUAUUAAAUUACUUCAACUAUGCCUGAAAUUCUCUAAAUUUUGCAAUGGUGUAUAUAUCUUAAAAUUGCUUCUCAAAUGCAUAGUAUCGGGAUGACUGAGCUGAAUGAUUUGUAGUAUAAUUCUAUUUCUUCUUCAGCUUUAUUCUUUACAUCACUUUCAUACUGCUUAACGAAUUAUUUUAACGAAAUCUUUGAGUUCACAUAUCCAUCAAAAAAUAAAUUCAUACUUUCGUUUCGCUAUGUCGUGGACAUUCCAACCCAAAAUAUAUCCUUCACAUAAACUGGCACCCACUUACAUCUCUCCUUGUAUAGGCCUGACAAUCAUUCAUUAUUUUUAAGUUCGUAACAAAUUAUUAUUCUUUUACUUUUUUUGCUCAAAUUCAACUUCUAUUAGUGAUUCAUAAAUAGCUUCCAUCAUAAUACUCUUAAUUGAGUGAUAUUCACUAUAGCUUCUUAGCUACUCCGAUAUGUUAUUUGUUAUGUGGCAUAAACACCAUCAAUGCCGAGUAUCAGGAAAGACCAGUGCUAUAGCAUUUUUGCUUUGUCUUGAUCGGUGAUUAUUGUUUUAGGGGCACGAUCGAGCAUACAUGACAACCAAUUCAAAAAGACUAUACAAAUGAAUAUGUAUCUUCAGCAAAGAGCAGGCCGCAUCCCAAGAAGAUUGACUGACCAUGAUGAUUAACUCCCACGAAAGGAGCAAACUGUAUGUAGUAUUUAUUUGUUAGAUCUGUCGAGUCGAAAGUAAUUAUAUUUUCAAAACAUUCAUAGGCUGCUCUGCUUCGAGCAUCUGCUUAUAAUGCAUUGCAAAUCCGAGAAUCAUCGUCUAGAUCUAUGGCAUAGAAAAAAUUUGCCUUCCUUUUUUGCAUGCUUCAAAAAUUAUGACAAAUAGUUGUGCCAUCAACUUCACUAAGUCAUAACUGGCGGUUUUUAUCGAUAUAGUUACGAGCGUCUUUCUCUCUAAAUGUUAAAUUUUCAUAUCCACUUGUCUCAACAACAAUUGAAACUUUUAUUCAAUCUGAUUCCGGCACGAUCAUUAAGAUCAAGCUGCCUUUUAGUGCUUCGAUCUAUAACUCGAUUGUAGAAAAAAAAAAGUCUAGAGUUAUGAGGACUUAGGGCAUAAUUAUGCUCAAGUUUAAUUUUGCUUUCUACACAAGAUGAAUUCAAAUUUAUUACCACAUUUAUCCUUACAGAACAGUCCGUCUUUGCUAUCGAUGGACAAGGAUAAAGAUUACUCACGAUCUGAUGCACUUUUUCUUGACAAGAACGUGCGAUGAUUACAUACGUAGUAUUGCCAUCAGUUAUUUUAGUAGACCUCUUUAAAAUUCAAAAUUUUAAUUGUUGUGCAUAAUACUUUUAGAAAUCAAAAGCUAUUUUCAAAUUAUUGAAAGGCAUUCCAAUUUCUGGUACUGAACUAUUUACAUUUGUGACAUGAUAGCUUAUUUCGUCAUCCAUCUCAAAAAUCAUCAACUAAAGUUAUCAGUGUGCCUAGAUAUUUAAAAAAUUGGUAGCCGAACACACCAUAUUUAGUUUGAAUACAAAAUUAGAAUAAUGAUAAAGGAGCAAAAUAUUUAUCAAAAUCGAAAAAAAAUGUACAUAAUGUAUAGGAACAGUACUUCUAAAGUUAUAAUAUAUAGACAGCAUUCUACAAUCUCUAAAAAUGUGUUCUUGCAGCGAAAGAAAACAAUNAUGAGCGGGGUAGCUCUUUACCUAUGAGCGGGGUAGCUCUUGACCUAUGAGUUUGAGUUAGAGUCGGGGCGAAGAGCGGGGUAGCUCUUGCCCUUAGGCAUUUGAGUAUGAGUUGGGCGAGGAGCGGGGUAGCUCUUCACCUAUAGGACUUGAGAUCUGAGUUGGGCAAAGAGCGGGGUAGCUCUUUUAGCUAUAGCAUUCAACACGAGUCGGGUAAGAGCGGGGUAGCUCUCUACCUGUAGUGUUAGAGUUGUGAGACGGGUGAGACAAGAGCGGGGUAGCUCUUCACCUGCGUGGUUUGAGAUCUUAGGCAGGGUAACCUAAUAGAUUGGGUAUUGACAUGAAUUGCCUAAGCAAAUUUGCAUUCAUACCAUGAUUAGACAUAGUAUAUGUUAGAGAGUUACAUAACUAUGUUGUAUUUGUAUUCAUUCCAAUGUUAAAGCAUACUAGCAUGAUAAAUGAUAUUGCAUGCAUUCCUUGCAUUUUGUGGCAUAGUAGAUAUAGUAGUUGUUUAUUUCUAUAUAUCUCUCUAUCUAUCUAUCUGUGCCAGCUUAGACCUAGUGGGAAGAUCGACGGAGUCGGCGGCCGAACCCACUGGGAACUAUAUUUAUAUAGUUCUCACCCCGUGUGGUUUUGGGGUACAGGUACACGUGAGAGCGGACCGGCAGGUGAUCGUGGUAAGGGCUUAGCACCCUAGAGUUGGUAGCAUACCUUCCUAUUUUGCAUUAGAUUACCUAUACUUUUGAGAGUAGAUGAUGUAUAGGUGUGAGAUAUUUUGGAAGCUAAUUUGUAACCCUUAUGUUAUAUUUUGGAAGCUUAAAUGUAAUCAAGAUGUACUAAAGAUUGAAUGGAUGUAAAUGAUGAAUGUCAAAUGUGAUCUAAUAGUUAGCUUAUUCCUCUCUUUUAUUCACUUGUAUGAUUCUACUUGUGAUGCUUGCUCUCAUAUUGUUCAGCACUGUUUGUGCUCUCGCUAGUUGUUGAAUGAUUGUGUAUUUAUAUAUUCAAGUGUUUUCCUGGGAACUUGAUGUACACAAUCUCGUCGCUUUAGCCUUGGGCGGACAGGGGAGGUGCUGUCCGUUCGGCGGUCCGCCCGGCGCGCCCGAACCGUGCCAAAUUGGUAGCGGUCUCGGGGCGGGGUGUGACAUUUAGUGUGAGAUGGCGAUAGGCAUAUUUUAUCAGAACACUAAAUGAAGUAAUGAGUUCAAAUUGAAGAAAAGAAAAUAAAAUUUUACUCACAGGGGAGGCGGCUAUUGUGCGUAGUGUAUCGGCAGAUAGGGCCUAAGAUCCCAGCUGGAGAUGGGGGAGCAGAACGCGCAAACGAGGGCUGAGAAUUCCAGUCGAAAAUAGGGGAGGAGAAUUAAGAGAUUCACGAUGGCCACAACGCAAGAGGAGUUCGGCAAAAGAUGGAGGAAGAGAGAGAGGAGUAAAGAUAGAGGAAAGAGAGAGGGAAAAAAGCGAAAGAUAUGGAGGGAGAGAGAGAAAGAAAAAAAGGUGAGAAGCUGGGAGAGUAUGAAGGUAAUAACUAUUUUUUUGAAUAAAAAAAUUUAAAUAAUUUUCAGCAAUUGGAUCACAAUGGUAUAAGAUGUACACUCCAUGCUGGGGUAUACCUGUAGCGCUACUCUUAGAAUUCAUUCUUACGUAGAAUUUUUAUUCGUACUAUUGGGCCCAUUUGCCCUAGAUUCUAGAAAAGUGAUUUUUUUAGAAUUGAUUUUGGUUUGGAGAAAUGAUUUUGGUUAAAAUCUGUACAGCGUUUGGCUGAGUUUAUAUAAAGCAAUUUUUUUAAGUGAUUUUGUAAAGUUGUUGGAAAAUUUUUUUUUUUCGAUGUUUGCAUAUAAUAAUAUUUUUAAAAAUUUUUAUUUUAAAAUAAUUUAAAAUUUUAAUAAAAAUGUAAAAUUUGUACAAAAUUUAAAAUUUGAUAUUUUAAUUUUAAAAAUAAACUUGAAGUUUAAAAUUUUAAAAUUUACAAUUUCAAAUUUAAAAUAUAAAUUUAAAAUUUGACAUUUGAAAUUUAAUAAUUUGAAAUUUGACAUUUGAAAUUUAAUAAUUUGAAAUUUAAAAUUUGAAAUUUGAAAUUUAAAAUUUGAAAUUUGCAAAUUGAAAAUUUAAAUAUAAAAUCUAAAAUUUAAAAUUUAAAAGUUUAAAAAUUUAAAAUUUGAAUAUUUAAAAUUUUUAAAAAAUUUUAAAUUUUAGAAUUAAAAUUUUAAAUUUAAAAUUUGAAUUUUAAAAUUUUGAAAUUUGUAAUUUGAAAAAACAUAUAAAUUUAAUUUUAAAUUCUCAAAUUUGAAAAUUUUAAUUUUAUUUGAAUUUUUGAAUUUUAAAUUUUAAAAUUUGAUAUUUGAAUUUUAAAUUUUAAAUUUAAAAAUUAAUAUGUAAGUUUAAAAUUUUAAUUUUAAAAUUUGAAAUUCAGAAAUUCAAAAAUAAAUUUAAAAAUCAAAAUUUAAAAUUAAAUUCAAAUUAAAUCCUUGAAUCGAAAAUAAAAAAAACUAAAAAAAAUAAAAAUUUAAAAUUUGAGUCUAAAAUCAAAAUUAGAUUUCAAGAAGCAGCUUUUAGCUGUUUCUGAUUUUGGGCUUCGAAAAUCAGAAAAAUAAUUCUAAAAUAAGAAUCAUAUUUUGAAAACAAGGUUGGCAAACGCUUUAUUGGGCCGAAAAUCACUUUUGAACCUAACAUUAUUUUUCAAAAUGUUAGUCCAAACACCCCCAUUAUUUAUUAACUUAAUGAUGCACCCGACACCUCCUUUUAUUAAUGUCUCAUCUUUCUUCAAGAAAAAUAAUAAAUAGAAAUGCCAAUUGAAUUCUAUAAUCAGGCUACAGACUCCAUUUGCACGAAAUUUGUUUAGGAAACACAAAAACAAAACAACUAUAAUGUAAGAAGAGACCUAAGCAGUACUUGUAAACUUCUCUAUUCUUUUCUUCUUUUUUUUUCUUAUUAUUAUUAUUAUUGGUUAGCAGCUUAUGAUUUGCCCACAAAAUGAAAGGGAAAAACCUUAAAACCAGGUGAGAUGGGAGAUUUUGGUGACAUUUAUCUACUCACCUAAUAAAUCCAAAUCCGUAUCUGGUUGGGAUUUGGGAACCACGGAAUAUUCCAAGCACACAAAUCUAUGGCAUAUAUAGAUAUAUAUGUACCUAGCACCAAAUUGCACACGUUCUCCUAAUGAGUGUAUGUUAAUUAUUGUAUCGAUGAAGUUACUUAUUGUAGAACUCGAAUGCUGUGAAAUUUUCAGUUUCUGUAAAGUGGAACUUUCUCUUCUGCUGAUUGUGUUUAGAUGAAGGUCACAAGCAUGAAAGUGAAAUUCCGCCACACUCCAUAUUUUGUUUUGUUGGGGACUUAUCGGCCACAUUUUAAAUGAUUUUAAGGUAUUACCAAUAUUAAUUUGUUUCACCAUAAAUCCCCUAAUCCUAAAUUCCCUAAAUAUUUAAACGAAGUUUAGGCAAAUAAUUUUGCACAAAUAUUAUUAUUCUAACUAUUUUUUCUUCUAUGAAAAGUGAAUGAGUAGAGGGAGCUGACUCGUACGGGAUGAAUUUAAAAUAAAACAAGUGAUGAAAUAACGUAACUACGCUUAACGAUACUUGCGCUUGCUCAUGAAGGAUGCCAUUACUUGCACCAAAAUUUCACUUUCUCACCCUUAAUUUCCUCAAAAGUGGAGAUCGAGAGCAAACACAAAAAGUGAAACAACUACAGUUCGAAAGGCAUCAACUUCCUACUAAACAAAGAACACGGAAAAAAUAAUUUUCAGCAGAAUUUUUUUAGUUCACCCUGAGUGGAAAAUAAGUCACCACCACGACGGACGAAUUAAACAGGCUGACUGCAACCCAAAAGCUACACUAGAGCAAACAGCAAACAGUUCAGAAACUGAUAGGUAGAGGAAUAUUAACAUUGAAUUACAAAAUGAUAAAUGAAACUCAUGCUGCUCCCUACCCCCAAUCAUUCUCGCCGUUAGGUUGUUACAAAACAAGCAAAAGACUUCAGGAUGAUGAUUAGAGAAGCAUACAUCAUACCCUCAGGAGGGGCUCCGAAAACAAGCAAAACCCCAUAGCGUUCGUUCGAGCUUCACUUGACUUCGUGCGUCAAUCGGGAACACCUGACUGGAUCUUACAAGAAUCUUUUAUCUCCGUCCAGCAUUGCCACGAGGAGCUUCAUACGCAGCUCCUGACCGAGUCGGGGUCUGCCCCGAUCCAUAGCUCGGAGCAGCAUGUGCAGAACCAUACUUGGCGCCAACCGUGCCUUGAGCUGGCCCACUAGGCUGUGCAGAUCCAUAAUGUGGUGCACCCGCAGGGCCCUGACCCAGUCCACCAGGCUGUGCGGACCCAUAAUGCAAUGCCGCUGCCGCUGGGCCCUGAGCCGGCCCACCGAGUUGUGCCGAUCCAUAAGGUGAUGCAGCUGCCUGGCCCUGGGCAGGCCCACCAAGCUGUGCCGACCCAUAUUGUGCCACCGCUGGGCCACCAAGCUGGGCCAACCCAUAGUGUGCCGCCGCCAGGGGUCCCUGAGCAGGACCAUAGGGGGCCGCCAGUGCCUGUGUUGCUCCGUAAGGAGAUGGUGCUUGUGCGAUCGACCCAUGAUGGGAAGAAGCAUUGUUUCCGGGCCCCUGAGCUCCUCGCGAAGCAUCAUAGGCAGAAGCUUUAGAGGCCUCAAACUCGUAGCCGCCCAUGCCUCUGGGGGCCUCGAAGCUUCCAGACCUGGCAGCAUCAUAGCCGCCAGCACGGGAGGCAUCGUAUCCAGGCCUGGCUGGUGCUGCAGUUACGGCCGGGUUUCCACCAUAUGCAGCAGCACCCGAAGGCCCGUGUGCCUGUUUCACAACAGAAAUGUUUUCUCUUACAAAACAGAAUGUAUAAAGCGAGAAGAACUGAGACACUGGAAACUAAAGACAAACAGUGUGAGAUAGAGGGAAUUUACUUAAGUUGCUAAGAGCUUGAAAACAGGAUGAUACAUAAAAUCAUACAAAUUGCUAUUGCAGGUUCACAGAAACUCCUUGAAUACAGGGGAAACAAUGUAUUUUCUUUCCAUGGUGUCAUCAAUUAGCCCACUAAAGCAGUAAGAUUAAAUAUAUGCACUAAUGUAUCUGAGCGCAACAACGAACUCUUAAAACAGCUUACUAAUAGAAAAAGCCCAGCGAUGGGAUUCGUACACUCAAAAUUAGAUGAUGCGCUUUAAAAUUACGGGAAAAGAUGUUGGGAUCAGAAGCACAAAGAGCUCCUGAAAGCAUUAAAGGUGGUAUAGCAAUCAUGAAAGGUGAGAAUACAGUUGUUGCAGGGGUUCACUCUGAAUCUUGGAUAAUCUCUCACAAGGAAUAAGAACGGAAACAAAUAUAGAUUCAAAAGUAGUUCAAGCUAUAAAAAAUCACUGGUUACACAAAAAGCGAUGGAAAAAGAUGCUCACCUGUGGAACUCCGUAGCCAUCUUCAUAAGCAUUUUGUCCAACAGAAUGAUGGGUAGAUGACUCAUUCUCCUUCAUUGCAGCAUUGGAGCCAUAUGGCCCACCACCUAUUCAUAACAAUAUCUAACCAUGAAGCUCAAUUCAAAUGAGAACCAUAAGGACCACCAUCACUACCUCUGUGAAGUAAGAAAGAACCAAAGAGGGAGAGAUCAUACCAAAAGCAUUGGUGCCACUUCUAUCCAGCUUAGUAGCAUUUGUCAGCUCAGCACGUAGCUUCUCCACCUCUCUCACCAUUGAAAUGUAAUUCUUUUCCAUUACUUGAAGUGAUUCAAAAUGGUCAACCCGAAUUUUCCUCUCAUAGUCAUAUGUAGCUCUGCGGAUUGAAAAAACCAUGUAUACAAUUUUGAGAAAAACCAACAUCAUAUGGAACCAGAAAAAUUGAAUAAUAAACUUUCCAAAAGAAAGAACUUUAGACCUGCAAUGUUGGUACUCCUGUCUAAGUGCAUCCAAUUCGGUCAUCAAAGCCGGGAUUUGCUGAACAUCACCAUGGGUCCUCUGCAGAUCCUGAUUCAGCUGUUGCACUUUCGACAUUAGCUCCUGUCUGGUGACAACUAACCUUUGGGCUUCUGCAUGGGCUUGUUGCAACUCAACUUUAACAGGUUCGGAAGAUUUUAGGUCGGCUUCCAUCUUCGCCAUCUUAUCCAUUAGAGCCCUCAUCUGUUGCUCUUGCUCAGCUUUUACAGCAUCCAUGUGAGCGUGCAAUCUCUGUAAUUCCUGCUGAGCAGCAGCUAAUUCCUGUCUUAGCGAUGAAUGGGUAGCUGCGAGCCUUUGGUUUUCGGUUGCGAGAGUUUGCAUCUCCAUAUGCUGCGCAGCAAGCUUCUGCUCCAUAAUUUCAGGGGGAGGCAACAAAUCAAAUGCAAAGGGCCCAGGCGGCGGGCGGAUCCCAGGACCAAAUGGGUCUGGAUGCAGCACACCAGGACCCGGAAAUGGCCGCCGAGGUUGAGAAGGCAUACGUCCUUUGCUUCCCAUAAUGCUUAGAACUGGACCUAUAAAUAUAGCAGAUCUUGUUAAUCCAAGAUGAAUAAAUAAAAAUGCACAUAUCCAUAGAUGAUGUACUAUGAAAAAGUUAAAACAAUUGCAGCAAAUGAGCAAUGAAAUAGGUGAUUAUAAUGAUAAUACUAAUUAAGAACAGAGGAUGGCAUGUCGCAGCAUGACGAUAUCUUAUAAAUCAGAGCUGUGGUUGUUCCUUUAUGAAACAGCAUGAGUUCUUUUGGUUUAACUUGCUACCAUUGUCAUUUCCUUACUUUUCUGGAUGUAUGUAUUAUGCAAGGGAGCGUGCUGGUGAAUGACAGAUUGACAAGUUUUGUUUGGAAACGAAAUGCAAAAACUUAUUGGUAACUUUUUUCUGCUUCUUCAUGUCUGAAGGUGUCAUUCCUCAUCCAUCAGUGCAAGCUAACCAACAAAGAUAGAUAGAGACGUCUACGCAUCCAAUAGUAUAGAAUUGGCAUUCGAAGAAAGAAAGAAAGAAAGAAAGAAAGAAAAAAGAAAACAGCAAGGGUACCCAGUGACACCUUAAUCUAACUUUGUAAUUUGAAAUACCAAAGCAACAGGAAGAAGAGAUUGCUAAUAAAAACCACUGACUGUCGUAAAAGUAUCCCUCUAUUACCCUACAAGAUGAGACAAAAGGAUGACUAAUUUGAUUUAAGAUACAACAACUGAAAACAUAAAGACAAAAACCACUAUGGGUACCAAAUAGUGCAAUUAUAAAGAUAAAAAUGCUGAAUUUAGCACUACAAACUAUUCUUUGGAAACUCAAACAAGAGUUCAUUAACUAUUCUUUGAAAACUCGAAGAGUUCCUAACUAUUCUUCGGAAACUCAAACAACGGAUCUUUAUUAAAAAUUGGAAUGCAAGUUCCAAGGUAUGUAGGUAGUCACAUUCAAAGGCAAAGCCAAGAUUUAUCUCAAGAGAAGCCAAAAUUAUGUGAUUCAAUAUUUAAAUUAAAUUUUCUAUUUCACAUGAAAAUCAUAAUUUCACAAAGAAAGUUUUACGUCAAGUAAAUUGUAGCCAUGUGAUGUAUCCACAUUGGCUGGUUCUAUUUCAACCCAACCCACAUGGAAUGUGGAUUAGGAAUUAUCCUAAUAAGUUAAGGAUAAAGAUAAAUUAUAUAUCUUAUUUGUUAAAAAAAAAAUAUUUCCUAACGAAUAUCUUAAUAAAUAUUCUAGUCCUAAGCUUUAUGUGAGAAUUAGAACAUUUUAAGGGAUCCUAAUAUCUAUAUAUAAAAACCCCUUCUCUCAAUUUUGACAUGUGAAAUUAAAAAAAAAAAAAAGGAAAUUCCUCUUUCUUCUCUUCUUUCUCUACAUUUUCUCUGGGAUUUCCACCUACAUUCUCAUGCUUUUAGAGGGUGGAUAAUUGUGGAGACUCUAGUAGCCUUCCACGACGAUCUAGCAUAGAGAUCUCGACACAAGUCCGAUCAAAGAUCCAGAAGGCCGUAAGACGAGGGCGAUGAUCCGACAAGUUCUUCCGCUGGAACUACCGUUAAGUAUGAUAUUUUUACGUCGGUUAAUUUUCCACCAAAUGAUAUCAAAGCACUUUUACUCGUUUUUGCCUUAAAUGUUGAUCUACCUAUUUGCGGAGAUCUAUUUUUGUGUAUAGGUCAUUUUGGUGAUCGAUUAGUUUUUGGUUUAUCUACAAUGCUUUUAAAUCUAUUAAUAUAGAAAAGGUCUUAAUUAUUUUCUUGUAAGUUUCAUUCAUUGUAUCUCGUGGUGAAUCGUUUACCAUAAACUUAUUUACACGUCCUGUAACCCUAAAAUUGUAGAUUAGAUCUACAAUAUUUUGUUAGGAUUCACUUUUUAUGAGGUACGAAACUCUACCAUAUUGAACUCUUUUAGAGUUUUAUUGAUAGAUGUUACUAGAUUAGAUUAUGAAAUUUUUGAGGAUUGGAGGACUAUGAGGAUUGGAGGAGUUUUUCGUAAACUUUCCGACAAUACUUGUUUUUUAGCAAAAAUCAGAUUUGUAGAUAUAUUCUUUUUUUUUCUUACUAUUUAUUGUUUUCUCAAAAGAAAGAGAUUACUGUCUAGCUGCGCAGGCCUAGCCAGGCACGUCCCCACCCGCGCGCAGUUGCACGGUUGGCUGGGUCCUGCCCAAGCCCACCAAUGCAGACAUGUUGGGCCCGGCCCAGCCCAAGCCGCUCGCAAGGCUGUGCAAGCCAUUGGGCCCGACGCGGCCUGGUUCAAGCACAGCCACGCAAGACGUGGACCUGACCCGACCCGACCCAGCCCGACCUGGCCCGCUUACAGUGCGCAAGCUAUCAAGCUGGUCCGAAUUAGAUUUAUUAAUAAAAAGGGGAAAAUAAUAGACCUACAACAUGAUUUGAACCUGCAACCUGUAUCUUCUCGAACUAUUGCUCUACAACCCAACUAUACUGAACAUUUUAUUAGUUCGUGUAGAUCAAUUUCUUUUGAACAGUUUCUUCGUGCAGCUUAAUAAUUAGUUUAAUUUGUCGUUGCUCUCUAAUUAUGCUUGUGUAGCUGAGUAAUUGUUUUUCUGCUAUGUGCAAGUUGCAUUUUCUCUUCUCAGAGUAAGUACUUAUGUUUUCAUGUGGUUUUCAACAUAACGUUAAUUUGUCAGAAAAUAGGUUAAUGUAUGCGACAAUCCUUAGAGAAGGAUGAAAUUAUGCACUCUAAUUCAAUAGAUAUUGUAGUAGGUUUUUCUUUCCACACAAAAACUAUAAUAUUGACCGAGUAAUGUAAAGGAACGUGUUUCACAUGUCGUCAAUAUUUUUCAGAUUAAGUUUUGGCAUAAGUACUUAUAUUUUUCUAUACAUAUAUCUAUUACUCUGUAUCUUGGUAAUAUUUUAAUAUUUGCGGGAUAUAUAAUGCAUUAGUUCCUUUAGUAAAGUCAGGAUAUGUUCCUAAUAAGUUAAAAAUUUACAGAAUUGGGUGUUUAAACCUGCAGUGUGAUGAUUAUGAGCUUAGCGAAAUUUUCAAUUCUGUUGUGUAGGCUAAAAUAUUUAUUAUGCUUAUUUUUAUUCGAUAUGUGCCUGAUGUCCUAAUCUACCAAUUUUAUGUAGUAAAAUGGCUUCAAUAAAUGUGAUUACCGAUUGAAAUUAAGGCGAAAAAUUGGACGGCAAGAUAAAUAACAUCUGGUUCAUGAAAAUAAAAUGUUUGCUCAAUGAAUAGGGUGUUUUAAAACACCUAACUGUUAAAAAGGCGUCGCCUCUGGAUGGUAGCACUACACAGCAUCUUCAUAAUAAGGAGGUUAUGACAAGUGGUUCAAUGAGGAUAGAACCGCUAGGUACACUAUAUUGAGUGCCAUGCAGGAUGACCUCAUCGGGGAGUUUGAAGCCCAUGAUAUUGCCAAAGAUGUGAGAUAAGCUCAAUAUGACUUUUUAGUACAUGAGGAACUCGCAGCACACCAUGGCUGAGCACCUUCCUGUGAUGAGUGCAAUGACUCGGGACUUUAAAGCUGCAAGAAAUGAGCUCAACAAUGAGCAACUAGCUCUCACGGUUGAUCUAGCUAUGUGUGAAACUUGUUUGGCAGGAAAAGCACAUGGAAAGCCUUUUGUUAAACUACACGUACUACUCUCCUUUAAAGUUGGUUCAUUCAGACAUUUAUGAGCCAAUGAACGUGAGGGCUCAACAUGGAGCUAGCUAUUUUCUCAUGUUCAUUGAUGAUUAUUCUUGUUAUGGCUCUAUGUACCUAUUUUCUCGAAGUUCUGAAUCGCAAUUUUGAAUCAUUAUAUUGCUUCAGACACUAUUGCGAAGGUCGAGAAUCAGUUAUAAAGAAGUGUGACGGUGCUUCGUACUGAUUGUCGGUGCGAGUAUUUGUCUGAUCAGUCCAAGACAUAUUGUGAGCAAAAAGGCAUUUGCAGAUAGCUUACUAUUCCUAGCACAUCGCAGAAAAACGGUGUUGCUGAACAAAGAAAUCAUACUCCAUUAUACAUGGUUGGGUCAAUGAUGCCGUAAACAAAUCUAUCCAUAAGAUUUUGGGAAGAUGUGUUGUUAACUGUUGCCUACAUUUUAAACCGAGUCUCUAGUAAAUCAGUGCCUUCCACUCCAUAUAUGUUAUGUAGCAAUAAGCCAUCUUUACACUAUUUGCACUUUUGGAGUUUAAUUGGAUAUGUUCAUGCCUUUUUACAUAGGUUCGAAAAAUUAGGCUCUAAAGCGAGCAAGCAUGUGUUAAUUAGAUACCUUAAGAAUGCAAAGGGCUACGUGAUGUAGGGUGAGCACCUAAGUGGUGGUCAUUGAAUCUCAAGAUACGAAAUUUUAGAGAAGGAUCUCCCGAGCAUUAGAGAAGUAUGCAGAGACGUCUCCUUGUAUGAGUUACAAGACGAUGCGACACUAUCUGCCAAAGAAAGUAAUAUACUGCGUCGAAAAAUAGAUGAUGAAAGUGAUAGGAAUCCAUCAGCUAGUGGGAGCCCCUUCAAAUAGGUGUCCUAUUGAAAAUUGAGGAUUGAAGCCUUCAGAUGCAUAGAAAAAACGUGGAAAUAUUUCUCGACGUCACUUUGAGAUUGAUGGGAGUGUUUUUAUGUGCGCUCCGCUUGAUGAUGAUGAGUCUAUUUCUUACGAAGAAGCGCUAUCGUCACCUGUUAGCAAUGAGUGGAUCCCUACCAUAAAAGAAGAGAUAGACUCCAUGAACAAGAACAAAGUGUAGGAGUUGGUCGACCUUCCGCCAAAGUGCAAAACCACUAGAAAUAAGUGAGUCUUGAAAGUUAAACACAAGGUAGACAGGUCGACGAACAAGUAUAAGGCUCAAUUUGUGAUAAAGGCUACACACAGAAGCAAAGGGCGGAUUACAAUACAUUUGCCCCUAUCAUGAGGUUUACUUCAAUGCGCCUAAUUCUAGCAUUAGUAGCGCAUCUUGAUUUGAAAUUGUUCCAAAAAAAAGUAAGACUGCUUUCCUCAAUGGAGUACUACCAAAAUAGAUCUAUUUGGAUUAAUCUGAUGGUUUUUGUGUUUGAAGGCCAAGAAGAUAAAGCCUAUCGAGUAAAAAGAUCCAAGAAAGGUCUCAAGCAGUCAUCGAAUAGUGGUACUUGAGGUUUCAUGAAGCUACCACCUCUAUCAAUAUGUCCAAGGUAGAGAAAGACUGAUGUGUAUAUAUGAAGAAAACAGAGAAACAAAUUUUGCUUCCAUCUCUCUAUGUCGACGACAUAUUAUUAGCUAGAAACGACAUAGAGUUGAUCAACAUCAUUAAGGAGUGGUUAUCCUCUAACUUUUAAGAAAAGGGACAUGGUAAGACGAUCUAUGUGCUCAAAUUCAAGAUUAUUUGAGGCCAUUCUAAGAGGCUUGUUGUUUUGUCUCAAUAAACCUACAUCAAGAAACUUCUGGAAUGGCUUCGAAUACAUCAGUCAAAACCCGUUAACACUUGUUGAAAAAAAUCAGACUUAGAACCAUGAUCGGUGCCCCAAAAUGGAUAAGGAGAAGGAACAGAUGGCUAGGAUUCCUUAUACGAGUGCAAUUGGCAGAUUGAUGUAUACAAUCAAGUGUACUCGCCAAGACAUCUGCUUCGUUGUUGGCUUGGUAAGUCAUUACCAAAGCAACCAAAGACCUACUCAUUAGCAAGCGGUCAAAAAAAAUUUUCGAUAUUUAAAAGAAACUAGUGAUCUCAUUCUCUGCUUCUACGGUAGGAACUUGAGAUUUAAAGGAUUCAGUGAUGCUGAUUGGGCGGAAAAGGGAUAAACGAAAGUCUACCUUAGGCAAUGUGUUUAUGCUCAAAAGUGGAGCAGUUCCCUAGUGCAGCAAAAUGCAAAGCUGCAUUGCCUUAUCAAUGAUGGAGGCGGAGUAUGUCGCUUAUACCACAGCUGUUCACGAGGCUGUAUGGUUGAGGAGAUUUCUCCGGCACCUCGACGUUGCAUCUGGAGCGAAUGUGCAAGUAGAGAUGUUCUCUGAUAAUUUGGUUGCCUUGAAGUAUGUCGAGGAUCCUAAAUAUCAUGGCGGAGCGAAACAAAUCGACAUACAAUUUUACUACAUUCGAGAUAUGAUUAAACUUGGUAAGGUCUUUCUUUGACAUAUCUCCACCACUAGGAUGGUGGCCAAUCCGAUGACCAAGCCGAUAGCUAAGAAUGUGUUCAAAACCCAUGUAAGUAGCCUGGAUCUACGCAGGAUCUGAUGCAUGUAGAGUGUUUAUGUAUCAUAUGCUUCCUUCAUAAUAAAGGACCUUGUUUCCCUUUUAAUGUGAUUGCAUGACCGAUACAUUACAUAUUGGUGUAAUGUAUUAAUUUGAAUGAAGUUUUACCUAAAGACUGAGUUUUCAAAAAAUAGUUCAUAGUAGGCUUUGUUCGGGCAAAUGUUUUUUUUUUUUUUGUUAAUGUACUACUUAAGUCUAAAGGAUUUAUUGCCCAAACCUGCUCCAUCAUAGAUCGAAUAUCAUUGAAUUUGGAAUGGCAAUAGGUUUGUAAAAAUUAUAAUUUUCAACAUGUAGAUUUUUAAGUGUUGGGUUGUGAGGGAACUAGAGUUCGGAACGGAAAUCGGUAUAAUGAAUUCCAUUUUAUGAUAACAAGGCUUCUACUCUAAAUUUGUACGUGUAUCGUCCUUACAGAACUUUUUGUCGAGAGCUAUUCCUGCACAGAUCACAUAUCCACUAUCAUUUUCAAAUUCGAGAAAAUUUGCCCCAUGAUGAUGAAGGUUAAAACAAUCAUCUAGAUCCACUAAGGACCAUCUUUUUAAAACAUAUAAUUUUCAACAUGUAAUUUUUUUAAAAUGUUAUAAACCAUAUUUAAAAGUUCAAAAAUUUACUCAAUAACUAUAAUAUUAAAUUUAUAAAAAUAAUAAAACAUAAUGAAUUUGGUCGAGACAUUAAUUUCUCCUACACCAAAGCCAUUAGAAGGAAGGGGGUCAAGACGAGAAACAAUUGUCUACAAUAUGUCCAGUAAAAAGUCAUUUUUAUAAUGCUUACAAUAAUACGUUUAUAUGGAUGGUUGAAAAAAAAAAAAAAAAAAAAAAAAAAAAAAAAAAAAAAAAAAAAAAAGCAAAAUGACUUCGCUUUGCUAUGAAUGCUAAAUCGAACUAUCUGAACCCUUUGCUGAAUUGAAUUUAAUAGAGCCCCCACCCCCCCAUUUUAUUCUACUCCACAUGAUAUGCACGAGAGAGAGAGAGAGAGAGAGAUGAAGACCUCUGUGGAGGAAGAUGGGACCGAGGGGAGGGGCAGAGUUUCGGAGCUUCCGGCAGGGGAGGAGCGGAGAUGCGAACCAGCAGACGAGGAACGAGCGCCGGAGCGGAGCUGCGGAAGAGCCGAGGAGCGUUGGUGACGGAGGAGGGAGGAAGCGGAGGCGAGCGAGAAAGAGAGGGGGAGAGGGGGAGGAAGAAAGGGCGAUCGUGGCUUAGGGUUCUCAACACAUUGGUUAGGGUUGCCUUAUUUGGGUUAAUUGGACCCCAUCGGUGCCCGACCAUUUUAUAUAUUUUUUUUUAAGGAGAUGUCCUCAUCAAUUCUUUCUUUUUUCUUUUUUUUUUUUUUUUUUUUUGCCCAUUUGCAUAAAAAAUCUACUUAUUUUGGACUUUUGCAAAAUCGGACCACCUUUUUUAUUUUUACAGAUUCGGUCCGCCUUUUCGUCUGCCGGACCAAAAUGCCCCUCGUAUACAAAAGCCGCCUGCGUAUUUCUUGACAUACGUAUACUACCCUACCCUACGGUCUGGCGCGCAUUAAAUGCGCCGCUUCCGCCUUACGCAACCUCACUUAUUUAUCAGAACCCGGAUCACAUCCGCCGCCCUAUUCGUCGGCCCCGCUGUUUGCUGUUCGAUUUUACUAAUAAAAUUUCUGAAGCUAAAUGAAAAAAACUGCACGUCCCGCAACAAGGAUAAUAGUGCAACGCGAAGUAGCAACGCGAGGAAAAAUGGUGCAACUGCCCUUCUAACAGUGCAUCGCUAGGCUCGCUCCAGUGCAACCUCGCCAUAACCAGUCAAAAUUUUACUUUCUCUAUUUCUUAAUAUAAUCUGAACUUAAAAGUGCAAAUGAACGGCGUCCCCUCCAAAUGCAGGCGAAGCGUCGGCGGCGCAGGACGGUCGGCUGCGGGGUAGGACGGUCGGCGAUGUGCCACAUUAGAGUUGGCGUUCCGGGAAGCUCGGCGGCGGGGCUAGACGGUCGCCGGCGGGGUCCGGAGUGCGAGAGGCACGACAUAACGGCUAACAAUUGUGUAAAGUUUUCUCAUAAAAGAUCACGCAUUCUUUUAACUAUAUAAUAAGUGUAAGGCAGUGUGAAUAACAGAACAAUAUUUUACAAAAGAGUGCAACGAAGCUUGUAAGAGUGCAAUACGGAGUUAAUAACAGUGCAACGGAUUUAAAAAUAAGUGCAACAAAACUUAUAAGAGUGCAAUACGGUAGUAAUACCAGUGCAAUGGUUUGAAAAAGACUCGUACUAAGCUUGUAAGGGUGCGUUCGAGAGGUGGAUAUAAUAAUAGUGCACCUUUAAACGCCGAUAAUAGUCAGACAUCUCUUUAAAAUGGUUUAAACGCCGAUAAUAGCCAGUGCAAUGGUUUAAAAACGCCUGAUUUAUUAAAGAAGAUAAUAGUCAGACAUCUCUUUAAAAAUCAUACUUCCUAAAUGGUGUAAUAAAUCGCGUUCAACGUUGUAAACUUAAUCGUGUGGUAGUUCACCAAUUACUGUAAUAAAUUGACUAAAUGGUGCAACAAGUCUCUAACCAUUGCAAGAAAAAUCGUUGGUGUAAGAAUGUAAAGAUGUAAAGAAAGGGAUCUCUUUAUUAAUAUACAAGCAAAGUAUACAUUGUCUUUGACAAAAAUGCAACAUAUAAUACACGUUUUGCAUACAAUACGAUGUUCACAACAUCAACUGUAACAUUCGCAUCAACAUUAAUAUUGAACAAAAGUAGGCUUUCAUUUUACAAAAGUAUAGAAUCAUCAUUAAAGCUAGCCGGCAAAUCCAUGCGCACAGAGCAGACGCUACUGUUCCUCUAACGGAAUAUGAAAUGGUGAACAGGAGAAGGCUCGCUCGGAGGGGUAUGUCGAGUGCUUUAUUUGCACUAAGGACUUUAGCAUUGACGUUUCGGCACUACAUUGUUCGUAAAGAGACAGUAUAGUCAGAAAAAAAUUAGAACCGAUCGAUAAGAAUAAAGAUCUGGAAGAAUUUAAGAACCUAGUAUAGAGGUGGUGCCUCGUCGCAAAUAAAGUACAGUACUUCAGAUAGUGCGAAUCAAUCUUAACGCCCCCUUGUUGGAUGGUACACUUACGACCGAGCCUCCUCGUCGUCGACCUCUCCUACGACUCUCUUCCCUCGUCUCGUGUACCUCCAUCAUCGCCGUUUUCUCGUCGCCGGUUGCCUAAGUCCAUAGAGAGUCCUUUUUAUAUAUUGUAAUGAAGGUUGCGUAACCAUUUAGGUCACCGACUAUUAAUGCUCGCGAAAUAUUAGUUUUCCUCGUGAACAGAAAGUGGCUAAUGCUCACCUCAAGGGCAGUAUUACUGUAACAUCACUUAAAAAACAUCAAUUCCUUCAUUCAAUCGUAUAAUAAUAGUGCAACGAUAGGCCCUAAUAAUAGUGCAACGCCAAGUAACAGAAUGCAAUAUAGCUUCUAAAAGUGCAAUACUGGCGCGAUAUUAGAGUAACAUUCGUCAUAACAGUGCAACGCCUUUACGGAGAAUGAAACUGAAGAAGCCAUAUUUAAACAAAAUAAAAAUACGUUUGAAUAGUGCCUUUACUUUUGCCGAGGCAGCUUCGAUAUACCCGCCGGUGUCUCUUCGCCUCACAGAAGGGACGCUAUAACGUACACGUUACGCUAUGUGCUUUUAGCAGCAUUAAAUGCGCCCUGCGCAGGGAGCGUAUAUCAUCCACGCUAUUCGCCAGACCGUGUGUUUGCUGUUCGCUAAAUCCAUAGCACUAUUAUGAUGACAUCGCUGCACCCUUAUGAACUUAGUUCUACUAUUUUACCCUACGUUGCACUAUUAAUGGUAGAGAGCCGAAGCAGCGUUCGAGAAGUAGGCUGCUCGCUCGGAAGGGUACCAUCCAGCAAUGAGGCGUUAAGAUUGAUUCACACUAUCUGGAGUGCUUUAUUUGCCAUGAGCCUAUUGGCCCUCCUCUCAUACAGAUUCUUAAAUUCUUGCAUAUCUUUAUUGUUAUUGAUGGAUUCUUAUGUUUUGCUGAUUGAACAGUCUGUUUCAUGGUAGAGUGGAGCUCCAAAGGGCUCGAGGCAUAUAAAGCACUCCAGAUAGUGCAAAUCAAUCUUAACGCCUCGUUGCUCGAUCUACCCUUCCGAACAAGCCUCUCAUCCUCGCAGUCUCCUUCGACAGUCUCCUCCUCCUCGCAGUCUCCUUCGGCAGUCUCCCCUGACCUAUACCUGUUAGCUUCGGCUAUGUGCGCGUGGAAUUGUAGAGAAACUUUGAUGAUUACAUACUUUUCUUAAUUAAUUAUCAUGAAGAGUUUGUAUAGUUGAUGUAAUAGAAGGUUACAUUAUAUGCAAAUCCUGUUUGUAUUUUGCAAAAUACUAUAAAAUCGUGUACUCGGCUUUAAAAAUAAUGUAAUUCUUGUUCACAUGUUAAUCGACUCUUUACGAAUUUGUUACACUAUUUACAGUUACAAUAUUUACCAAAUAAUGUUGCACUGUUCAUCAUAGUAUAAUAUAAAUUUCGGACAUUUUUGCACUAUUAUGUUCAUGUUAUCACCAAUUCUGUGAAAAAUUUGUGCUACAUAUCGUACUGUUACACGCUUUACCAGAUAAUCUUGAACUCUUUUGAUCUUAGUUACACCACUUAAAGACUUCGUUAACUAUAAAUUUCAUUUCACCCCUCGUAUACAAAAGCCGCCCGCGUAUUCCUCGAUACGUAUACCCUACUGCCGUACUGUCUGGCGCUCAUUAAAUGUGUCGCGUCCGCUUUACGCAACCUCUCCUCCCUCGCUCAUUACUCGGAACUCGGACCACAUCUGCCCCCGCUAUUCGCCCGCCCCGCUGUUCCCUGUUCGGCUUUAAGACUUCACGAAAUUUUCUGAAGCUAUUGAGAAUUACUCUGCGCCCCGCAACAGGGAUAAUAGUGCAACGCGAAAGAGCUACAAUAGGAGAAAUGGUGCAAGCGCCUUCUAUAACAGUACAAUAGUAGGAAAAAUAGUGUAACUAAGCUUGUAAGGGUACAAUACUUUAUUUUUACCAGUGCAAUGAUUUGAAAAAAAGACUACUAAACUUGUGAUGAUACGUUCGAGAGGUGUAACAUAACGCAUGAAGUAAUAAAGAAGAUAUAAGUCGAAAUAAUAAUACAAUGGUUAGAGGAAAUGAUGCAACGAGAGCUUUGCAUGUACAUGAAAUUAAAAAUUCCACUCUCUUUAUUUCUUAAUGUAAUCUUAAGCUUAAUAGUGCAAAAGAAGGCGUCCCAUCCAAAUGCAAACCAAGAGUCGGCGGGGCAGGAACAUCGUCGUUGGGGAUAGAGUUCGAUAUGCCGAGAUAUCUGCUAAAAGAUUGAAGAAGUUACGCGUCGGCGGGACAGGAGCUCGGCGGCGGCGCAGAAUGGUCGCCGGCGGCCUCCGGAGUUUAUUGACGACUUAAAGUACUUAGGAAAAUCUUACACUAUUUUUGGAUGACUUAAAGUACUUAGGAUAGUCUUACACUAUUUUUGCACUCUUUUAUUCAAUGAGUCCGUGUGGAAAGGAAAAAUAGUGCAACGUAUGGUAAAGGUCACCAAUUACGAAUGUAAAAGUGCAAAUCAAUUGACAUAAUAGUGCAAUGGUUAGGAGAAAUUGGUGCACUGUUUAAGACUGUUACACUGUUUUAUUUCCAUUUCCAAACAAUGGGUCUGACCAUGCCGUACUGUCUGGCGCUCAUUAAAUGCGCCGCUUUCGCUUUACGCAACCUCGCUCAUUACUUCGAAAAAGGACCACAUCCGCCUCGCUAUUCGCCGUACCCGCUGUUUGUUGUUCGGCUUUAAGACUUUAAGAUACUUUCUGAAGCUAAAUGACAUUAAGUGCACGCACACAACUGGGAUAAUAAUGCAACAGAAAGGAGCUACGACAGGAGAAAUGGUGCAACCGCCCUUCUAACAGUGCAUCCGUAAACUCGUUCCAGUACAACCUCUCCAUAAUCUACUUAUUUUAUUUCUUAAUGUAAUCUUAAGCUAUUGUGCAAAUGAAAGGACAUGGGGGUCGUCGAAUAGCAGGGCAGAGUAGGAGGAGGCUCCACCACCUCUUUAUCCGCCGCUGCGCUACCUCUAGCCGCCGCCGCCGCCGCAGUGUCGAAUUCGCCUCUGUGCGCCAGGGAUAUUAGUGCAACGGGAAGAUUCUACUGCAGUAUAAAUGGUGCAAUGACCGCUAUAACAGUGCAUCCGUAGUCUCAUUCCAGUGCAACCUCACUUAACAGUCAAAAUUUUGAGAUCCUCAUUACACUAUUUUUUAAAUAUGUUGAACUACUAUCCUCUAUUUUAUACUAUUACAAAAAUUUACUUAAUCAAAUUAUCUAUAUGUACACUAUUAACAUUAGCCUUGAACUAUUACAAUAAGAUGUAUGAAUUUUUCGAUGUUUCCUGCGGUGCGCCCGCGGAUGUCGUCGCGCGCGGCUGGUUUGCUCUAGCCACAGGAGAGUUCUUGCAUGACCUUUUGUUGUGCCCCCAUCUCUGACAAUUCCGGCACCGCUUUUUUUAUUAAGCCGUUAGCAAUAGACUCUUGCCGCGAAACCUUUCUUCUGCCCGAUUGUAUGCGGACGUUUGGCGGCCGCAGCAGAACAACGUUACUUGGUAUUGCAGGCCAUUGCUCUUUGCCUCUGGUGGGGGGGACGCAAUCAUUAUAGGUUGCGCGAUAAGUCAAAGUCUUGAACCAGUCCUCGACAAAAUCAUACGGAUCCCGUAGCCUAAAUGAAAUUGCUGCCAUGGCGUGAUUACAUGGAAUGUCGUCAAUGUCCGAUGCUUGCAAGAACAUGUCUUUUUGGAAAGAUCCACAACAUCCGUACGGUCGGCAGCAAUUACCUGGAAAACAACAAGCCAGUCCAAAGGGUGGGACAAAUAAUGUAAUGACUACAUGUAACCAAUUGAUAAGUAGUGUAAUAUACUGAUUAAAUGGGGCAAAAUAAACGAUAAUACCUGAAAGAGAACAUCAGUCGAAGGAUUCAGCGUAUAAAAGCGGGACGCUUCCCUCGAGCUCGCUAAAAUCUUUUCUGCAUAGGGUGUUACUACACUGGUAAUAUUCUCCCCAUUAUUUUUUCUCCGGUAAAAAUAACAAGCUGUUUUCUUUCGUGUUUCCUCGAUGAGGUAGAUAAUUGGAAGGCCCUUUAAAUGUCGAAUUACACUGUUUAUCGUCUCGGCACAGUUGAAAAUGAGCAUUGAAUAACGCCUUCCGAGGAAGCAAUGGGUAGCCCACCUAUGCCGAGAAAGCUUGACCACAUACUUGUACUGUUCGGGGUUCAACUUAAUCUUCUCCAUGUGUUCGUUGAACUCCGCGACAGUGUAUGCGCGCGCCGCCGCCCAAAAUCUUCUCCACGCAGGUGUAUACUUUGGCGCGUGCGGGAGAUUGGUAGACAGAUGGUAAAUGCAAUAACCAUGAGCUGCAUCCGGAAAAACAUUGAAUACAGCAUCAAUCAAUCCCUUUUGGCGGUCGGAAAUAAUAGUAGGUACACUGUUUGCUCUGUUGGAGUUGCGAUCACCGAUGACGCCAUCCCGUAACUGUUCCAGAAACCAGUGCCAGGAAUAACGAUUUUCACCUUCAACAACUGCUCACGCCAAUGGCAAUAUACAGCUAUUCCUAUCAAUACAUGACGCCGUUAGCAGACAACAUCUAAACUUACCAAUUAGGAAGAUUCCUGGAAGAAUAAGAAACCGUGUAUAUUAUUGUGUAAUCGUGCAAAAAAUUAUAUUACAUUCAUGAAUUUAUUAUAUAAUAGUGCAACAUAGUAAAAUAAUGAUGUGACAGUGGCGUAAUAGUGCAAUAACGUACCAUCCAGACCAAUCAGCGGCCUGUAGUGCUUCCUGAAUGCUCGAAUCGCUGCACCGAAUGCCCAGAAAAAAGGGUAAAAAUGACCCUUGUCCUGGUAAAGCAAUUGGAGACAUAUUUUCGCAUCUCCACUCCUCAACUCUUGCAUGUACGAGGGAAGUAGAGCGAACGAGCCCUCGAAAUCGCCGCGCACUUCUUGAAGGACCAAUUCUCUGGCCCGGCAGGCUUUCCAGUAUGAAAUUUUUACGCCGUGAUGCCGAAGAAUCUCGGUCUGAACCAUCUUCGGCGUGUAUUUCUCGUUUGCCACCACCUGCUCCCUAACAAAUGCUGCUAUAAAAGCCGCAUCGCAAUUCCUGUGGCCCAAUCCCCCUAUUGCCCUGCUACAAGUGUGUUGCGAAUCAAAUUUCUUCACCCACCAUUGAGCAAUUCCUGGUACUUGACGCGUCUUUAUUCUCCAAGGACAAUAUGAGACACGGCAUCAUACGGUUAUCUUAUGGUCGUUGCAUUUCGUUGGUGCGUACUCAAAACCUCUUUUCAUUGCGUAUGCUUUGAGAGCUCGUUUGAAGUCGCCUUGCGUCUUGUAGAGCUGGCCCUCGUGGAUAUCGUCCGCAUCUGCGACGUCAACAACUGACUCCAUCGUAGAGCUGUUUACAAUGAGGUCUUCUUCAAGCUCGUCGUCGCCAAAUUGCUCAGCAGUAAGUCCCACUGCAUCGCCUUGCCGCAAUGAGAGGACAUCCAUAGCGCUGUAUGUCCGAUGAGGUGCGUCGGGAGAAGUCGAAACGAUACCGUUUCUUUCGUCGGAAUCUAACUCGUUUUUCAAAUAAGCGAUAAUAAAAUCGUCGUUACUGUCUGCUGCUUCCGCAUCGUCAAUGAGAAUAGGAUAAGAAGAUCUGCAGCACAAGUGAAAGCAAGGAGUGCAUUGUAAAUAUUAAAUAGUAGAAGAACCCUUAUGUGUAAAGUUCAUACGGUGCAAGAGGUCGAAGUAAUGAUGCAAAAUAUUACGAACCAGUGCAGCAUAAAAAUAAUAUAUAAUGAAAAAAUUAUGUAAUUGUGACGCCCCAGCUUCCCAGGGGGUCACCCAUCCUAGGACUACUCCCAUCCUAGCACGCUUAACUCUCUUAACCUCUUGGACCUUGCCACCACCCAAAAUGCUUAAGCCGGGUUAAGAGUUUAGCCCUAUUAUAUCUCAUAUAUAGGACUAUCUGGGGUCUCACAAUCUCCCCUCCUUUAAGCCCUGACGUCCUCGUUAGGCUCAGACUCACAAGUACCAGGCGAUGUGAGACUCAUCUCGCUAGCCCGUCAUCCAGACCCUGGCUCAGCCGAGACUCAUCUCACACUUCCGGCUGGUAAUUGGCUCUGAUACCAUUAUAUCUGUCACGCCCCAAUCCCCGCCAAUUUGGUCGGGUUCGGGUCACGUCAACAGACGCCGAACGGACAGAGCCUCCCCUGCCCGCCCAAGGCUCUAACAACAAGUAUAAAGUGGCAAUAAACGAGAGAAUUGCAUAUAUAAUACAAGGCUUGCGUGAGGGCAAGCAACAACGGAAGCGAAAGCUCUAAGCUAAAUAUACAUCACACAUGAUAUUUGAUUUCAUUUAAACCAAAUUCAAGUAAACAAGGCUAUUACAUUCCAUUCAACCAUCAUAUCUUUCACAUUUAGUCAUCCUCCAAAUACAUGAUUAUUUACACUUUUCAUACCUAAAUCAACAGAAUAAAGUUGAUACAUGUAUAACAAAAGGGAAUGACUACAAAAUGCAUAAAGUCCCGGUGGCCGCUACCUACUGCGCCAAACCCUUGCCUCGGUCCUCCGCCGCCCCGCUCGUACUAGGACCUGUAGGGUUAGUGGUGUGAGAACUACAACGAAGUUCCCAGUGGGCUCGGCAUCCGACCUCGCCGACUUACCCACUAGGUCCAUCCAGGCAUAAGUAUUUCAAAGGAAGAAAAGUAACCAUUACUAAUGCAACUAAUACUAUGCUUGCAAGAAAGAAGUCAGUAGAUAUACAAUUUCAAGGCGGUAAUGGAAAUGCAUGCAUGCUUCAAUCAUAAUCAAGCUUUGGCUCUUACCCAAUCUUACCGGUUAACUCUGUUAACCCCAAUAACUCACAACCCAAAAUUCCUUAAUAACGGGGGACUCGAACCUCCCUAGGGACCGUCAACUGAUGGGACUUUACCACGCCCAGUGGUGACCAACUCCGGAGCGCACCGCUCGAGGGGGAGCGACCUCCCUCAAGCCAAGACGAAAUGUGAGAAUCGAUCUAAUCCUCAACUUGAGGACUCAUAGCCAUUAGUCACAAUGCCAAUGUCACGAUGGGUCUCUACCUAUUCAUUCUUGCCACUCUCAAGGCUUUAUCUUCGACAAUGUCAAUAUGGGUUAAACUAUAUUCAACGGUUUAUCUCACAAUACAAUUCUUGUUUCUAUGUCAAUGACACCCUUGUUUUCUAAUGUCCAAGUCCAUUCUCAUAUUCACACAACUUGAGGGCCCAAACAAACAUGUCCAUUUUGGUUCUAUCAUUCUCUAUGUUCAACUACGUUAGAAACAUAUAAAAUUGAAGUCAAACCAAGUAUCCACAUGUAGCUACCUAUAUGCAAUGAAUGGUAUACUAUAUAUAUAACUAUAUAUGCUCACGAAUAGAGAAACAGACAUAGAAGGGAAAUCAAAGAUUCCGGCUUUGCACCCCCACCUCUAUUACGUUGUGUGGGUGUAGAUUACGAAAGCUCCGCACUUUUAACGAAAUCCAAGUUCGCGCCUAUAAUCAAAUUAUAAUGCCAUAUUAGGCUUUUUGUACAUGAACUUUAUCUAACAUUUUCGUAAUGUUUAAACGGAGUUGUCCCAACGUGUUUAGGGGCACCCCCAAUUAGGUUUCUACGGGGUCCAUUUGUCCCCGAAAAAUCUAGGGGCAAAAGCCCCCAGAAUCCAGCCCACUAAUAUUGUCUUUAGGGUUUCCCCAUUGAAAUCGACACAAUCCUAAGCAAACAAAUAGCUUUAGGAUCAUCUAAGACGCAUCCUAGAUAAGGUUUCUAGACCCCUUGGGAAGGCCACCAUAGGGCUCCAACACCAUUUCCAAGGAUUCACAAUGAGAGCACCUUGAGCUCUCAUGGGUACUUGUUUGUUCAUGGCCAAAAGAAGCUUCUUAAAACUUCUAAGGAGCACAAAGCAUCCAAAUCUCUUAACCAAAAUCAACCCUAGAGGAAAACCUUACAAAACUUACCUCUAGUUCCAAGCUCCACCUUCUUCUCCAAGUCUCUCUUAUUCUUCUCCAAGUUCUGGAGGAGUUCUAGAGAGAGAAAGGAGAAAAUGGAGAGGAGGAAGAGAGAAAUCGGCUGUGGAGAGAGAGGGGGGAUGGCCAUAUCAAAGUGUUGUAACAAUUGCAUUUAAACCCCUCAAACUUGUUUCCCUUGAUGCUGCCCAGAGCUGGGCGUUUUUACGCCUUCGGGGACCGUCUUCUUCCGACCAGGGCCGGUUCCCGAACGGGGGUUUUCCAGGACUUAGCCAAUUUUUGAGUUUUUCUGCUGUUGCGCAGCGAGGGACCGGUCUGCCCGUCAGGGACCGGUCUCCCGAGGACCGGUCUCACCACCAGGGACCGGAUGCCUCAGGAUUUCCUGGCAGGCUACGCGCACGGGGACCGGUCUCUCCUUCAGGGACCGAUCCCCGAGAGCUCAAAAUCUGGGACUUAGCCAGAUUUCCAAAUUUGCUCUCCGGGUCCCUUUUUGCUCCGUUUAUGAACUCCAAUGCACUUAGGGUCCACUUUAACUCGUUCAAUUUCGCGUUCCGCUCGUUUUGACGGAACUCGGUAUGAUUCACAAGGGAUGUGGUAUGUUACAGUAAUAGUGCAACCGCAUAUAUAUUGCUUACAAUUGAAUGAGGUAAAAUAUAAUGGUGCAAAAGUGCAUUAAGAGUAGUGCAACCGCUGAAAAUAAAGAGGUUACAAGUGUAAUAAGGCUCGGUAAUGGUGCAAAAGAAAUAAUAGUGUAACUUACGAGCCAACUUUUUUAAAAUUUGUCUGCUGAGGAGUAGAUGCGUCCCCGAACAGCUAUUAAUCAACAGCUCCAGCUGUUCAUCUGUAAGCAAUUCGUCUAUAACAUCGGAAUCACAAGUAGCAACCUUUCUCUCGACUAAGUUACUCACAGUAUAAAGCUCCAUCAGAUACGCGUUGGUUUUAUAGAGUCUCCGUAUGUUUCCGACAUCGUCGUCGUCAACAAUGUCGAUGAGUUUGCUGAGAUUUCCACUAUAGCUAAGUUUAAUUUCGAUCUUGCAGGAUUCUUGUGAAGUAUUCAUGUACUUGCAGAACAUUGCUUGCAGGGAAUUAAAAUUAUCGCCUUGCCUGAUGAAAUUGAGCCGGCUGGAUCCUCCUACAUAAUUGACAAUGCCUCAUUCCUUCUUAAAACACCCAUUAAAAUUGUAGGGCACUAGAAUUUCAGCGUUAUCCAUGACUUGUAAGAGUUGGAUACAGAAAAUGAGCUAAAAGUUAUCCAAAAACACUCUUUCAUCAAUAUAUAAUAUAAUCCAGUUAACGUGCAUGAGUUGUUAAGUUGUGCAUGGGGCGGGAAAUAGUACUUCUGUUUCCGCCAAAAUUUAUUUCUAAUUCGCCAGAAUUUUUUCCAAACGACGCAAGCCUUGCACCAUUUUGGACAAGUCGACCAUGCAUAUGCGGUUAUAUUGCACUAAUUUUGACUUCUGUUACACUAUUAUGCUAUCUAUUGCAACGAUAUUUCAAAUUCAAUUUCUAUAUGUUAUUUCAGUAACUGUGCCAUAUUCAAUUGUGCCUCAACAAGAUAUAUCGACAGUGGCAUCAUUAGAUUUUAUAUUCCCUUCAGUCCUUGAGACAAGUGCUGCUGUACUUUCAAAUAAUAUAAAUAAAAAAAUUAAAAAACUAACAGCAAACACUGGCUCUGGCGAAUAGAAUAUCGUCGCCCUAAAACUGCGUUUCCCGCGCUUGCUGCAUUAUUGGCUCUUUAAUGGCUUGCAUUUAAUGCUCUUUCAUAAAACGGCGCUAUUGCAUAUAGCGCAUGGGCCUCAUAUAAUUACCGGAUUGUAAGAGAAUUUCGCCUCGGGAAGGUAAAGCAACUUUCGAUGUUUGGGAAUGAAAAUGAAAUAGUGUAAUAGCCGUAAACAAAUCACCAAUUUCUACAAUGAAUUGCACUAUUAUGUCUAUUACAUUGCACCGUUACAAUCCAACAUGGAUUCUCUUACCGCACUUAAACAUUCAAUUGCACUAUUAUGUCUAUUACAUUGCACCGUUACAAUCCAACAUGGAUUCUCUUACCGCAUUUAAACAUUCAAUUGCACUAUUAUGUCUAUUACAUUGCACCGUUAGAAUACAAGUGGAUUCGUUUAACCACUUUUCACUAUUAUGUCUAUUACAUUGCAACGUUACAAUCAUCAUGAAUUCUUUUGCACAACUUCUUCAAAAAAUUGCACUAUUAUGUUUAUUACAUUGCACCGUUAUAAUACAAGAUGAAUAUUUUUACACCACUUUUACAAUAAAAUGCACCAUUAUGUACAUUACAUUGCACUGUUACACGGAUGGAGUCAAUAAAAAUAAAUUGACUAUACAAAUUAAAGAUUUGUUAAUCGAAUGAAUAAGGCUCGAAUUAUUGCGAGUAAAAAUGCCGCAAAAAUUCUGCUGCUAUCUCCCCGCGUUUCUUCGUUAUAUCUUUCUGGGAGAAGUUCAAGUUCCACCCCUUCUGCAAGUAUUCUUCGUAUGUUAAAAGGAAGAUUGCACAAUCAUUUGAUUGAUCUUUCAUCGGGAUGUCGUCCUUGUUGAUCAUCUCCCAGUCGACUGGACGGGUACCGCGGCGAAGAAGCAAAUCGGGAAAUUUAUUUUGCAAAAAAUUACCUAUGUAUUUACACUGCAUAAGAAAACAUUGGACUAAUUAGAAAGCCUGGUUUUUAUUGGACGAUUUUAUAUAUAUAUAAAAAGAAAAUACUUACCGCUGUCUCAAACCCAGCGUUGUAUUUAGGUUUCUUAAUGGACGAUAGGUGGAUGUACUUUCCGGCUUCGAGAUCGACCGCCAGCAAAUGCCAGUGGUCGGAGUGGAAGAGAGGGAUGAACCAGUACUUUGCCCCAGUAACCACCUCCUCGUUAAUGUCUUGCAAAAACAUCUCGGCGGGGUUCAUUGAUGUUCCUAUUGUCUGACAAAGGAAGGACGUGGUGUAUAUGCACUUGUGGCCUUCCGCCUGCUCCAGUAAAUGCUGGUAGGCGUCAAUAACAUCGGAGCUGACGAAGGCCAUAUGAUUUGUUAGGUCAAUGAAGUCAGUCCUCCCGAUGUCAAUACCCUUCGAAGGCACUCUUACUGGUUCGGUACUGGUAUUUGUCAGGAAUUUUUCAAUUCGCUCCUGAUCCUCCUUUGGUAACUCUCCCUUGCCAUAGUACUUUAAAUCCCGGUUAGCUGAAGAUAAUGGCAUCUUAAAUUUAAGUUUUUGGGCCUUUUGUUGUUUUGAUGUUUCUUUCAACUCCGGGAUGUCGAUGAUUAUUGGGGGCUGUAUAGCAAUCAAAUAAAGAGUUAAACACUCAAUGCAUUACACCAUUGCUGGACCUUAUUACACUAUUAUAAGCUGUUACACUCAAUGAAUUACACCAUUAUUGGACCUUAUUACACUAUUAUAAGCUAAAUCGCAUUAAAGAUCGAUAAUAGUGCAAUAUUCACAUAUCGGUAUAGUGCUGGGUUCCGGCAUGGAAGACUUCGCAGUGUAGGUAGGCGCCGGGACCACAUCCUCCGCCGCCACCUUCGCCUCCUUUACCGCAUCAUCAGCCACCGCCUUCGCCUCCUUGACCACAUGCUCCGCCGCCGCCAUCGCCUCCUCAUUUUCUUCAUCCUCCGCCGGAGCUGUCGCCGCUUCCACCUUUUCCUCAGAGUCUGCACCUCUGCCGCCGGCGCUGUCACUGGUGCAGCCUCCACCUCCUCCUUUUCUUCAUCCACCGCCGGAGCUGUCGCCGCCUCCACCUUUUCCUCAGAGCCUGCAUCCUCCGCCGCUGGCGCUGUCACUGGUGCAGUCUCCACCUCCACCGCCCCAACAGCCGACUCCACAAUUUUCUCGGCGGCCACAUCCUCCGCGGCCUCCUCCUCCCCCUUUCCCUCCGCCGCCGGCAUCUCUAGUAGUGAAGAUAACGGUUGGACGUCUUCACAUAUUUCGAUAACGACGCCCAUCAGCUGACAUUUUCAAAAAAUAUUUGACGCCACAUAAACAAAUUCGUUAGGAAUUACACUAUUUAAUUACAACUUAUACUAUUACAUACUUCAUCUCUAUGCAAAACCGACUCGCCGGCGAAAAGUCCCGCUGUUCGACUGUCGCUUUCUUCGACAUUUUCUUCAUAUAUAUUGAGCGGGCGCGGUGGCUGCAGCUUCACGCUCCAUCUCGGUGGGGGGACCUGCAUACAAAUAAUGUGUUCUAUGUUACACUACUCUAGAAUAUGAUGCACGAUUAUAAUAAAGGUUACACAAUUAUAGAACUAAAACAUGAUUUUAUUAAUCCAAGUCUUGUAGAGUUACACUAUUAUGGAGAUGCCAUAUUAGAAUCAAUCAUUUGUUGAGAAUGUAAAAUAAUAAGGGCGUCACAUACGUCGGUAAUUGGGUCAUCGGCUUUAUUCUUUCGUCCCCAGCGAGGUCGGAGAUCGUACGGGCUUCGAAAUCGUUGCCCCUCCCCGGCGUGCGAUUUUUACGAGAGUCCUUGGGAGCCUUUGGCGGACUCUCUAGUUUUUGGCGUGCCCCAUCCUUUCUAGAUUUCGAAGAACUUGCCAACCGUUCUUUCCUGAUUUUGGGAUUCUCCUUAAUAGCCGAGAUCGGUGCGGGCAUCGCCAAUACGGACGUUCCUAUCCUUCAUUUUUUAGCUCCCUGUGUCGAUCGCUUAGAUGAUUUAGACGGUGGGGGGCUUGGUAUUUGCACUCCUUCAUGUUUCCUCUUCUUGCUUUUGAUACUUCCAAUAGGUGCCGGGGUGGAUUUUGGUGCUAGUAGGAGUGCCGGAUUGCUCAGUAUGCUGGCAACGGAGGUGGCAAGACUGAACACCAAGGACUCCAGACGGCUAAUUGCCGCCAUCACCUCUUUAUAACCCCCUGGAGGUUCCUCAUUCCUGGGGCGGCGGUGGCGCCGUGGAACUUGAGCCACGACACCCACCAGGCGUAGUUCCUCCGAGGAGAGGUCGAACCUGCGGCGGCAUGUAGUGAAGUUAAAAUCCUCCUUCACUCUCGAUGAUCCCCGCGAACGACGAGACCAUCUAAUCGUAUCCCACCUUUGGACACGAGGAAAUAUUGCACGACGGGAAGGCAGGGGAUAUCUAUAUCCAGUGUGCUCGUAUAUCCACACCUGAAUGCAAAGACAAUAUUACACUAGAGUUCACACAGUUUCUAGAUUUAAGCAUACAAUAGAUUAUUUUCGCACGAUUACACUACAAAUCUAUACACGCAUGAACGAUUGAAAGCACAUAAUAAUUAUCUUGCACGAUUACUUGAACAAUAUACACUUACUGGGAGAAGCGGGGUGCAUCCAAGAACGUAUCCUACCCGCUUCGAAUUAGCUUGCAAUUUGGCCGCGGCGGAGCAUAGGCUGUCAAUUAUAAGCCGGUGUACUGCUUCCAGCCAAUUAUACCGUGACAGUGCGGGGAGAUCAUCUACAAGCCCCACCAGUCCUUUGGGGCAGAGAUUAUUGGUGUUGGUGAAAAGAAUACAACAAAAAAAAUAAAAAAUAAGUAAUUUGACGAAGUCAGUAAUGUCCUCUUCGCCCUGCUUAUUUGAUAUCUCCUUCAACACCACCUCCAGGUUUUUGCGGUCGACCUUCUUCCCCUCAAGAAACCGAUUCUGAAUAUCCGACCCUAAAUUGAGGAUUAGGUUUAGAGCCUGGCCCGACAGGGGUAAUCCAAGAAGAACUGCCACCCCUUGGCUGUGAAGUGUAUAACGUAAGGGCCUAUUUCGAAUUCUACACCCUCCUUCCAAUGUCGGAGGAUGAACUCCAGCAUGGGCCUAUCUAAGGUGAUGUUGGGGAAGUGUAAGAUAUUACUGAAUACCGUCCUCUGGAUAACGGGGAGAUGAUGUGGCUUCACGACAGACGCGUAAGUCUUCUUGUACGCUCCGACGAAACACCGUGAAUUCAUAAUGAAUCUACCGGCGGGGCCGCCGGUAACUGGCCGCAAAGGUGCCUUGCGGGCGCCGGAAGCUGAUGAAUCAGUAGAAUGCGACGACUUCGACGUCAUUGCAAGCUACGUAAAUUUAGAUAGGUCGUUUCUUGACCGAUGGGAUUCGAAGCAGAAGAUGGUGGUCACAAAGAGCAAUGCGGUUACUAGGGAAAAUCGGGGUUGCAAGGCAGUUUACUUCGCAGUGAAGGUUUAGAAGAGGGUAAUGGGGAGCAACAGUAAUUUGAAAGUUAGUGGGAUGCUAGUAUGGGCCAACCUAUUCAGGAAACAGUGUAAGAAUCCAUACAAAACAUGAAACGUGAGCACUACAACAGACAACAGCGAGAAACGAACAGCAAACACCGGCAAUGGCGAAUAGCGUUUCACACGCCAAUCGCAUUAAAUAUUGCGACAGAGUAAGUAUAUUGAUGUGAACGUUAUACUCGAGUGGGUGAGCGAAGAUGGCGGUGGCCGGUAAGUGAGGCGAAGGGACACCGGCGGACACAACAAAGUUUUCUCGAGGUUGCACUGUAAAAAAGGUUCGAGUCGUUGCACCAUUACUUUAAACUAUUGAACGAUUACUACGAUAUUAUUGCACUAAAACGAACAUGGUUGAGCUCGUUUACAAUGCAUUGCACUUUUUAAUCGUGUUAAACAGCCAAAGAAUGGCAUAUUGGGAUGGAAGUAAUAGUGCAAAAUCGGUUGUAAUAGUGUAAUAAUGCUCAACGCGGUGCAACAAAAUAAUGAAUUAUACAAAUGUAUUUAGAUCCACGACGUAACAAUGUAAAGAAAGGGAUCUCUUUAUUAAUAUAGUAUAAAAAUAUUCAUUGACUUUGACGAUAAUACAAAAUACAGUAAAAGAGUGCAUGAAAGCUUCCUAAUAUAAAAUUUUGACUGGUUAUCGAGAUGUUCCACUGGAAUGAGGCUACGGAUGCACUGUUAGACUCGUCGUUGCACCAUUAUCCUGCCUUAGAACCUUCGCGUUGCACUAUUAUCCCUGGCGCGCGGAGGUGAAGCGACACGGCGGCAGCGGCGAUAAAGAGGUGGUGGAGCCUCCUCCCACUCCAUCCCGGUAUUUUCGACGGCCCCCAUGCCCUUUCAUUUGCACUAUUAGCUUAUGAUUACAUUAUGAAAUAAAAUAAGUAAAAUUUUGAAUGGUUAUGGAGAGGUUGCACUGGAACGAUGCUACAGAUGCGCUAUUAGAAGGGCUGUUGCACCAUUUCUCCUGCCGUAGAACCUUCGCGUUGCACUAUUAUCCCUGGCGCGCGGAGGUGAAGUCGACACGGCGGCGGCGGCGAUAAAGACGUCGUGGAGCCUCCUCCCACUCCGCCCCGGUAUUAUCGACGGCCCCCAUAUCCUUUCAUUUGCACUAUUAGCUCAAAAUUACAUUAUGAAAUAAAAUAAGUAAAAUUUUGACUGGUUAUGGAGAGGUUGCACUGGAACGAGGCUACGGUUGCAUGUUAGAAGGUUCGUUCCACCAUUUCUCCUGCCGUAGAACCUUCGCCUUGCACUAUUAUCCCUAGCGCGCAGAGGUGAAGCGCCACGGCGACGGCGGCAAUAAAGAGGUGGUGGAGCCUCCUCCUACUCUGCACCCAAUGUUUGCUGUUCGGUCUCUUCUCCGACGCCUCCGCUUCCUAAAACCAUUGAACUAUUCUGUCGACCACGUUGCACCAUUACAAUCACAGUUGUAGUCUUUUACCCUACGUUGCACUGUUAGAAGGGCAGUUGCACCAUUUUUCCUGGCGUUGCUACUUUGCAUUGCACUAUUAUCCCUGUUGCGGGGAGUGCAGUUUUUGUCAUUUAUCUUGAGAAAUUGUAUUAAAGUCUUAAAGCCGAACAGCAAACAGCGAGGCCGGCGAAUAGAGGGGCGGAUGUGGUCCGGGUUCCGAGAAAUGAGCGAGAUUGAGUAAGGCGGAAACGACGCAUUUAAUGCGUGCCAGACCGUAGGGCAGGGUAGUAUACGUAUGUCGAGGAAUACGCGGGCGGCUUUUGUAUACGAGGGGCAUUUUGAUCCGGCGGACAAAAAAGCGGACCGAAUCUGCAAAAACGAAGAAGGUGGGCCAGGUUUUGCAAAAGCCAAAAAUAAGUAGAUUUUUUAUGCAAAUUGGCCUUCUUUUUUCUAGACCGAUUUUUUUAAUUUUUCAGAUUCGGUCCAACUUUAAUAAACUGACCAAAAUAUCCAUAUUAUUUUUUCUCUUUUCAUUUUUUUUUCUUGUUUUUUUUUCUUUUUCGAAGAAGGCGACUGCUCCUUACGCUCUCGUUCUCGCUUGCGCACCCCUCACCCUCACCCUCCUCGCCUCCGACCUCGCCGAGGCCGCGCCGCGACUUUUUUUUUCUUCGAUCCGCAGGCCACUGCCUCCGCAGCCCACCGCCGUCACCGGUAACGAAGAGAAAGUACUUCCCGAGGACGAAAAGCACACCGGCCACCGGCGACGAAGAAGAAGUGGUUCUCAAGGACGUAAAGCACACCAGCAAGAGAGGGGAGAAAACUCCGGCGAAGGCUGGCUGCAAUAAAGGGAAAGGGAGGGAUCGUCACCAAAAAAAUUAUAAAGAAAAAAAUAAAGAUAAAAAAUAUUUUUUUCCCUCCAUAAAAAAUCAAAAAUCAUAUAAGUAUGAAGAAAAUAAUGAAAUUACACUAUUAAAAUAGUGUUAUACUAUUUUAAAAAAAAUUUGCACUAUUUUAAUUAAUUGUGUACUAUUUUAAAUAAUGUUGCACUCUUUGAGACAUAAAUUAUAGUAUUUGGAGUCAGAUUCACACUCUUUAAAAUGAAGUUGCACUCAGGGGCGGAGCCAUAUUGGGGCCGACAAUGGCCUUGGCCCCCCCAACAUUUUGAAAUUACAACAAGGUCUAAUAUUAAGUUCCUUAAAAAUAUUAAAAUUUUAUAAAGUGUGAGGGCCAAAAUAAAAUUUUGUUACAAAGUGCCAGUGGGGUUGUCUUGUGGGCCAAGUCUCCACACAUGAUGUCAUGAAUCCAUGAUGGCACGAUGCAUUAUGAUUGACGCCCCGCCGCGGCGCCGCCCACGCAGCCACGCUCUUCUUACAAAUUACAGUGCCUAAUUAGUAAUAACGUAAAACUCUCUCUCUCUCUCUCUCUCUCUCUCUCUCUCUCUCUCUCGUUCUCUUUUCUAUCUCUCUCUCAAUCCCUUCCCUCCCGCCUUCGGCCUCCCGCCUCUUGGACCGCCGCGCGGCCGCGCCGACUGCCGGUGCUGCUCGCCGCCUCGCCGCUUGGGCUCGCCGCCUCGGCCUACGCCCCUCCGCGGCUCCGCCGCACUCCGCAGUUAGUUUUUUCUCGUCCGCUCAUCGCACUAUCGCAGCCUCGCAGGGCCUAGUCGCCCACUCGCCCCAUUCAACUACGGUGCGGCGGCGCGCUAAAAGCCUAAAAGGCUAAAAUCCUUAGACCGGUGGCGCCGUGGCGGUAAUCUCUCUCUCUCCCUUUUAGAUUAUUUCAGUUCAAUAAGAAUAUUUAUAUUUUAGAUUAUUUCGGUUACGUGUUUGCUCGAUGAGCAAUUCGUCUUUUAUAUGGUAAACAUGUACUCAGAUCCCGUUAGCUACAGGCCAUUUUGAUUUAGACAACUCCUUUACUUUAUCUUGAUUGAGACACGUACCUUACUUUUGAUUUUUCUUGAAUCGUUUUAUUUACUUAGGUUGAAAUUUUUGCAUAAUGUGUUUUUGGCCCCCCCCCCCCCAUGGUUGCACUAUUUAGGUAGAAGUUACACUCUUUAGGAUGAAGUUGCACUAUUUCUUUUUUCUUCUUCUUCCUCCAAUUUACACUAUUUUUUUCUUCCUCUUCUUUCUCCUUCUUUCUUCUCCUUCUCCUCCCUGAGUGUCCCCACCGUCGGUGCCGUGCCCACCCUCCUCGACGUCUCUGAAUCGACCGCUGCAAAUAUCGCCACCAGCCUUGGCGGCAUCGGCGAGCUAUUGGAGCCCUCGUCCGCAGCUUCGGGUGGAUUCGCGACUGGGCCAUCGUCGCCCACCUCGCGCGCCUCUGCUAGCAAAAUUACACAAGGAUUGCAACACUGAUUGAGCAGCUUCCCUAUCUAGAGCUUCCAGAUUGCAACAACGAAGGCUACUCUGAGUAUUCUAAGCACUUGAAUAGCAUUACAUCUAGGCAUUUAAGUUCGCCAUAAGUACCUCUAUUAAAAUAUCAACUUUUUUCUCACUUGUUGCAGGUCUCAAUAUGCCCCUGAAAGAACAUCAGCUAUUACAGCAUUAGCCACCUUUAUUGCCUACUUACUUAAAAAAGUAUCAACAGCGAGAACUAUGCGUGUUUAACAGAUUUGUAAGGACUGAGAUUUUGACAGUGCAACUAAACUCUCUGUUGACGAUGUAAGCAUUCGUAAAGUUUCAGAAGAAAAUGAGCUAGAGUGGAGAAGUUACGCGAUUAUUAGUUUUCACUUAAGUGAAUAGUAACUCCGGUUUUUCGGUGAAGCCAUGGAGUAGAGUUGGCUUUCAGCGCGUAUCGGACUCCGUUCAUAGCAAUCCAAUAGCUCGUUUUGAUCGGUUCAGCUAUUCUGGAACCAAUGGCACUGACGGAUUUCAGAUCUGAUGCACGGUUUUUGGGAAAAAGGAGUUUUAUCAAAAAGAGGAUUUUCGUCCUUUGCUAUUCGUGCAUCGUGAAGCUCCUCGUGCUCUGUGCCCGUGACCGGGGGUCGGGUGAGAGUUGUUUCAAGUACCUACUGGUGGUAGGGAAUUCAAAUUCGAGUUUGAAUUAGAGGAUUUCGAGUUUCCACCUAGGCCUAUGUGUGAUAUGUGGAUUAGUUGGAGAGAGGACAGAUUUUGUCGCAAAUCGGCAAGCAAAUCAGAUGAAACGAAAUCGUAGUUUCGAUGCCCCCGUCGUGCUGAAUGCGAUGGCGCUAUCGGAUCGGAAAUCCGACGGACGAAUCACCGGUUAUUGCAUGAUGUUCGGGAAGAGGUCUAUUGCGACAAAUCGGAAACUUAGCAAAAGUCGUAAUAUUUUAUGUACCGAAUCACAUGAAAUCAGACGUGGAGGGGCGUACGUGUAAAAUACUCGCACUGUGAAGGACUAAAUUUAUAACAAUCAGUGUAGAGGGACUUGUGUGCAAAGUUGACAUUCAUAUAUGGAGUUCCUAGGGUUUCAUCAUGGGAAAACCCUAACCUUGGUUCACCUUCUCCCUCAACCGACCUCCCUGCAACCCUCUGAACCUUCCCCUUCCUAGCCGCCCGCACUCCGGCCGCCGGCAAGCACCUCCGGCCACCGGAGUAGGCCUUCGAAUGCUCUCCUCUACAUCGGGUUCCACAACUUAGGCCGUGGAUCCUAGGAAAGCAUCCAUUUGCGUCGAAUCAGUGUUCACCGGCCGAGGCUUCCCCUCCGGCGACAUCCCCGCCGGCCCCGCUGUCCACGCGCGCCGUCGGCGCCGCCAGGACGUGCUGCUGAUGCCCAGACCCGAAGCGGGCCGAGCCGGGGCGACCUUUGCCUCCAAGGGCCGCCGCCGCUAGGGAGCUCAUAGGCGACCUCCCUCGUGACCGCCGGCACCUCCGCGUCCGGCCAGAGUGGCCGCCGCCGCCGCUCCUACUGUUUGCGGCCAACACGAGCGAGAUCUGGCCGUGGGUGGCCAGAUCUCUCUCCCCCGCGUCGUCGCUGUCCAGGAUCGGCCGGGCCGCCUCCCACCGGCCUUCGACGACCGCUCGUCGUCGCCCGGAGCUCCCCCAGCCAUCCCCAUGGCCGUCGGCUGCCGUUUCCUCUCCCUACGGCGGCGCAGGGUCUGUGCAGGCCGAGCCACACCCAGCACCGCCAACGCCGCCUUCUGCCGCCGGCCGGCGUGAGCACCGACUCCGCCUGGCCGGCCGCACCCGUCAACCGCCGGAGACGCUGCUACUGGAGCUCCCCGUCGGCCGGAGCGAGCCCGUGUUCUCUUCGGGUUUGGGUGCCUAGGGCAUCAUUGGCCGUCGUCGCCGCCGCCUCCCGUCACCUGCUGACGCCAUCCCCGGCCACCUUGGACAUGCCGCACCUACCCCUGGCCGGCCUUCCCGCCGUCCGGCCACCGCCGGCCACCCCGUGCCCUACCUAGCUCUGUAAGCCUAUUUUCAGCCUGUCUGCGCACUAGUUUUCUAUUUGGAUCACUGUUCCGACGACCCGGGGCUGUUCCGACGCCUCUGGAGGUGAGCAUGGUGAUCGUCAGUCAGUUCCGAUCACAAUGCUCACCUCACUUAGGGUCAGCGAGCUCCGGAUGAGUUAAUUAGAUGUGUUUUAGUUUCAGUGCGUGCUGUUUCGUUGAACUUCGUGUCGCUCGUACGCGUCCCACAGUGGCCGAAAUUGCUCCGAAAGGUGAGCACGGCCUCCGGUACGCCGAGACCUGUCAGCGGGUGUCUCGGUUUGGCUGAUUGACUUCUAGUUUGUGUAGACGGACCAUAAAAGCGCCGAAAUCACAUAAAACAAUGUGAUUUCGGGUAAUCGAGUGGGCUUUUAUGCAUUUUGGUUCGUCGUGGCUGCUCUUGGCAGCAUGUGCGGGUAGUGGGUAACCUUUGGACUGAUUGUCCAAGGCCCCAAGCCUUUGCGGAAAUCAAAAAGUGAUUUUCGGAGCGUUUCCCGGCGAAAUCCGCCGACGGAACGCGGGUUCGGUUCGGAUCGGAAUUAUUCCGAUGCUGCUUCCUGAGCUAUUGUGUAGUCGUCGAGCCUUGUUGGCUGGUCACUCACGUCAUUUCGAGAGUUCAGAAAUGACGAGUGAGCGACGGUGGGUUCCGGUGUCGAAAUUGACACUUCCGGGAACCCGGAUCCGAACAAUUAUCCGACAAUAAUUGUUUGUUUAUGUAAUCUUAUUUUUGCUGCCAAAUCACACUAAAAUAGGUGUUUUGUGGCAGCAGGUGACUCGUAGCUCGAGUCGGUAUGUUCCGGGACAGUUCGUGGGUCCCGACGAAGUCCCCGUGCGAUUACGGGACUUCCGGCGUAUUACGACGAUCGGUUUGGGAAACCGAUCUCUGUGGGUUUGUUUGUGGGUUGUGGAUUUAGUGGUUAUUAGUUGUGGGUUAGACACUAACCCGGUGGACCUUUUUUAGGUCCAGUUGACAUUCUUUCGCAGUUAGGAGGCAGGCGCGACGUCCUUACAGGUGGGUAUUUCGAUCCGAAGUCGAUACAGUGGUACACGCUCGGUGAUAUCCUUCUAUCCUUGUUCUCCUGUUAUUACUAUUGCGUAGUAUAGCUUAUUGAGCCUUGCACCCUUAUUGUUACAUCUUACUCUACUCAUUGUUUGCAUGAUUAGUAUCCUGAGUGGGAGUAGAGUAGUUACACCAUGUGUAAGGUACCGAACUUCUUAAAUUAUGAAGUUGCGGUGGGAUGUAAUAUACUGAAAUUUUAAUAUAAAAAAUAAAAAUAAAUAAAAAUAGUGUGAGAUACUAUUUUAUUGGACUUAUAGACGUAUAAUAUAAGUCUGGAAUGACCCGUGUUGAAAUCGCAGCGAAAACAGAAGAUUUAAAAUUUUCUGUGUGAAACGGGGCAGAUAAAUUAGCAGAAAAUGCAUAGUGUCAAAAAAUUUUGAAAACUGGAGGAUAAGCCAGAAUUAUUCUUAUGAGGCUAGAUUUAAAGUUUCAUAUCAUUCUGACACCCGGAAGGUGGAAAAUAAAAUCCGAUAGUGAUCUGAUAAAGAUUACAAUUCGGUACGGCUUUCGGUGACCAAACGGGGUCGAAACUGAAAGGUUAAAAUUUCUUUUGUUAAGUUAAGCAAAACCAAACAUGACUGUCAAAUUUGAGCUCAAACGGAUAUUCAGAGGGCUCCGGCGAAAGAUAUGAUUUCGAACUGCCUGAAGUGAAUAGUGUAUACUACUAUUGGGGUGUUGACUAUAAGUAGAAGCUUCUAGUGGCUUGGCUUCUUCUUCACAGCCGAGCACCACCCCCACAAGCACACGUUCAUGGUGGUAGUGAGAGAAAUUCUCACUUUCUCUCUCUAAAUAACUCUCUCAUCUCACUAGAUCUUUCGCCCAAAUUCGCGGCGUUGGCGGAGAACGAGCUUGCGAACGCGUUGGGAGCGACGGAUCGAGCUUUCGUGCGCCCGUUGGAGCGGCGUGCUUCCGUCUCGGCGUUCACAUUUUGGUAAACUUUUGGGAUUUGGCUUAAUCCUUAACCUUAACUGUUCUAGUAGCCUCUAAUGAGCAUUCUUAGCAUGUUGCUCCAUUUAAUUUGAAUUAUUUGAGGCUAAUUGCAUGUUAGGGCUCAAAAAUGGGAUUUUGCAAUACGUGAGGGUUUGAUCUAAAUUGAUCAUGUAUAAAUCUAAUUGCUAGGUUUUCUGACGCAUUUGCGAAGUCGGUUCGGCGAUACGACGAGCGUACACGAAGAUAUUAAAGAACGAAGCUGUUAGGGUACAGAUUGCCGCAACUUGCGGCGAAAGCUUCCAAAAAUCACGAAAUCGGAAUCCUAGCCUCGUGAUAGCGAUAAAAGGUGGGGGGUGUCAUCCCGAAGCAACUGGGCUUCUCCCUAUGUCUAAGUAUUUCUAUGUUGAACAUACUACAUAUAUAGUAUCAUGCAUGUUAGGGUAUUUAGAUGUUACUUUUACUAUUCUUGCAUGCUCCCUUGUAUUGCGGC
rnacentral:lncRNA from 1 species